rnacentral:lncRNA from 1 species
UUUCUUUUUUUUUCUUUUUUUUUCUUUUUUUUGGAUUUCGAAGCGUUUAUAUGAAGUCACAAGGGAUGUAGAAUUGCCAGGUGUUGUCGCGGCGACUAUCACUGUGUCCGUCCGUCGCUCCGUCCGUCCGUCUGUGUUGUCUCCAUCUUGGGAAGGGGGAACCUGCCGCGAGCCUAUGGGAUUGAUUGAAUGAGAGAUAGAUCGCAACGAAGCUGAAGAGGCCCAGGCGUUGCGUGUUGAAGGGCCUGUCUUAGUAGCGCUCCCUUCCUCCUGGCGAUUCUGUUGGAGUUGUCGCAGAGUUUCGACAACUGUCAUAGCGAUGGCUGUCGCACUGGGAGCAGCAGGUUCUUUUGCUGGUGCUGCUGCAGCACGGGCCUGGACUUGCAGUAGCAGCAUCAGCAGUUGCAACGAGAUCCGGACCCGGUCGACGAGUGUCACGAGUGCGCAGGUUUGCGGUCUGAUAAGGGCGGAUGAUGAGGUAGGACGACGCGGCGUCAAGACGAGGAGUCUGCGGUCUGGGGGGGUGGUGAGGCGAGCUGUGCAGCGGACGGAGCCGGAGCUUUACGAUGGCAUCGCCCACUUCUACGAUGAAUCGUCGGGCGUAUGGGAGGGCAUUUGGGGGGAGCACAUGCACCAUGGCUACUAUGACGAGGAGAUUGUGGAAGCCGUCGUUGACGGCGAUCCUGACCACCGGCGAGCGCAAAUCAAGAUGAUUGAGAAAUCUCUUGCGUAUGCUGGCGUUCCUGGUAUGUAUUCUUUCUCUCGUAUUUCAUCUGUAGAGAUGUGAGUGGAUGCCAGGUUUUUUACACUCUCCAGCCGAGCCCUACGCCGCCUAUCUGUCUGUGGCCGUGUGGAGAGUUCGAGGGUACGCUCUCGUUUUUUCACUGUAGAGUGCCUUGUUUAAUACAUUAUUUGGAGUAUUAUUCCGCAGCUUCGAUUAUGAAUUCUGAUAGAGCAUUAAUGCAACAAGCAAAUUUGAAGGAUGGUGACCGAAGCGCGAGUAGCUACGAGUCAUAUUGUUCUUUUGGUGUCUUUUUCUUUUAAGAACGCCCUUUUCGUUGUGAUUUUGUUUGUGCAGAUAGCAAAGAUUUGAAACCGAAGACGAUCGUCGAUGUGGGUUGUGGGAUAGGGGGAAGCUCACGUUACUUGGCCCGGAAAUUCCAGGCCAAGGUGAAUGCCAUCACGCUCAGCCCAGUGCAGGUUCAGAGAGCCGUAGACCUUACUGCCAAGCAAGGCUUAUCUGACCUCGUCAAUUUCCAGGUAGCGAAUGCCCUGAACCAGCCCUUUCAGGAUGGUUCGUUUGAUCUCGUGUGGUCCAUGGAGAGCGGCGAGCACAUGCCAGACAAGAAAAAGGUUAGUGACAUUAGGGAUAAAUGUUAAUACAUUGACUUAUUCUUGGUUUAUAUAUAUAUAUAUAUAUAUAUAUACAAUCUUUUUGCGUUUUUUCUGAAAUUCAUGUAGUUCAAUGUAAAGUCUGGAUGCAUUCGCUAAGUUUGGGUUCUUUCUCUGUGAAUGGCUUUGAAGUUUGUGGGCGAGCUUGCACGAGUAGCAGCUCCCGGCGGUCGCAUUAUCCUGGUGACGUGGUGCCACCGUGAUCUCAAGCCCGGUGAAACUUCUCUCAAGCCUGACGAGCAGGUUUGCGACCACGCUUCAUUCUCUUUUUUUUCUUUUUUUCUUUUUCUGCAGUAUCUUGUCAAGCUGUCACUAAAAGUACCGAUUAAUUUGAUUCGGAAUCAUACCAUCUCACUUAUGGGAGUUAUUUAAUUGCUUUUCCAGGAUCUUUUGGACAAGAUUUGUGACGCAUUCUACUUGCCAGCCUGGUGCUCGCCGUCGGACUACGUCUCCAUAGCCAAAGACUUAGGCCUGCAGGUGAGAAUUCUUCUUAAAUCUAGUAAAACAAGUUACCAAAAUUUUCCUCUUGUCGUUUUGUCACUAUCGUUACAUCUUUGUCCUUAAUUUUUGUUUUGUUUUUUUCGUUUUUGGUUUUUGUUGAGAGGUUAAGUAAUAUAGAGGUGAAAGGUUUCCUGUAACCUUUGGCAGGGAGGAAGCCCAGACUCUGGGCCCUCCACCAUGUUACUCAUAAUCACACUGUCGCUCCACUGAUUUACAUAGAAAUAUCUUUGGGUCAGAUAAUUUUUUAUUGUUCAGUCAUUUGGCAAAGUUGACUGAAACCAACUCCACAGGUAGGUUCUAAAUAGUUCCAAACAUAUUUCCUGCCUCACAGGAUAUCAAGAGCGAGGACUGGUCCGAGUACGUGACGCCCUUCUGGCCAGCGGUGAUGAAAACCGCCUUGUCCAUGGAAGGGCUGGUGGGACUGGUCAAGUCCGGCUGGACUACUAUGAAAGGAGCUUUCGCCAUGACGCUCAUGAUCCAGGGCUACCAGCGAGGGCUCAUUAAAUUCGCUGCCAUCACUUGCAGGAAGCGGGAUUGACCGACUGAUUCAGUCCUUCCUCAUUUCUCAUGACAUCAUGGACAAUGUCGCAACCGAUUACAUUCUUAUGCCAGUGAGGAAUGGUUGCGUGGUUUCUGGUAAUCGUCAAGCUUCGGAGUAUAAGGGAUUGAGGUCUCCGCUAGUAGACUUUACUAUGGCAUAUUCAACCAUCUGUACCUUGAGGGAGUAAUCACCAAUUCGUGCAUACAUCAUUCGGCAAAAGAUCAUUGGACGUCUCUUCCAGAGAGAGGUGAUUUCUUUCGAGAAUCUUUCAUGGAUUCAUCGUUUGAUAGACGGGCUUACAGUCCGGCUGUUUUUGUGCUCAGAAUUUGCGGUGUUUUGGUGAUGUUUGAGAAUCUGUGGGCUGUCUGAGAUCCUGUUGGAGACGAAGCUUGUCAAAUGGUCUUUUCUAGUUCUUGUCCAUUGCAGUUUCCAUUGACUGCAAUUUAUAAAAGACAUCAACAUAGUUUUAGGUCUAAUAGUCGUUUCAUCACGUACUGCUUGUGACAUGUGUAACCAGGUCACGGUGGAUGUGCAGAUUUGACUGAACUCCAUUAAGCUGCACUGCAAGACUUAAGUUACAAUCAGCACCUGUUACAAUGCAUUUUUCAUGACUUUAUUUUAAAGUGAGUUUUCAAAGAGUUUUAUGAUAGCUUGAUUUUAAGCUUGAAAUGGUGUUGCAAGUCAAGUUUUAUGAAGAGUCUUCAUCUUUACAAGAAUUUCACAGAACUGUCAAAUAGGUGAUUAUAAUUUGGAACGGUCAUCUUUGUUACAUUGUGAAAAUAUGAAUUAUCCUACGUAUCAGAGAACGUUAUUCUGGGCUUGCAUGUGUUCAAUGAAUUUUGAAAAUAAAAAAGCAUCAUCUCAGUAUGAUUAUCAAAUUGUCAAGUUUAUAAUAUUAUCUAAUUUUAUCUCUAUUUUAUGUUUUAUCAUUAAAAGGCAUAAGAUGUAUUCAUACAAAUAUGGUUUGAACUGUUGAUAAGAAUAAACGUUGUCAGUAAUUUAUUUUAAGUAUACAAGAAUCCUAGUAUUUUGUUAACUACAUCCUUUACGGGAAUACAGAAGAAUUGCAAACAGAGUUCACAUUGUAGUAAACAAGAAUACAAAGAGAAAGAAAGAAAAAAGAUUAAUAGAUUGUGUAUAUAUAUAUAUAUAUAUAUUUACAUAGGAGAAUGUGAAAUUGGCCCAUCCAUCAUUGUACGCUUUGCCCUUAAGAAAUCCUACUGCAAUCAAGGGAUGGGGGGCUGAGAACAGAAACGGUAAUGGUCAAGAACAGGAUCUAAAACUACUAAAUUUUAUUAUGUUUAUUAACUUCAUACAACAACAAGUAAUAACCAACAUAAUAUUGGCACAAUAUUAAUUGCUUGGAAACGUAAUUCAUUUAUCUGCAUAAACAAAAAUUAUGAUAAUAAGAUAUUCUUUUUUUAUGUUAUAUUAAGUAGGGUCAAUAACUUUGUAAUCAAAUUCCAACCUUAAGGCAAUUGCAGCAAUCUUUUGAUGAAGUGAUAUUUAUAUUUUUGUAGUCUAUAGAAUACCUGGUUAAAUUUGCAAAACAAAAUAAUUGUUACUUUCUUUUGCAAAUCUUUUAUAUUGUUCAAUAAGAAUGUCAUCUUCAAAGUUUCUAUUGAUAAUUAUUGGGUUUGGAUUUACUUGGUAGACUUCCAAAUUUUAUAAUUGCCUUAAUAAUUAGAAUACAUCCAAUGAUAGUGAAUAUAGCUACUAGUACAAAUGUCUUAUUGAAAUAGACUUUGUGCUCUUACAAAACUUUCAUUGUCAUUAGUCUUGUCUUUUGAUAAUUUAUAUCUUAUACAACAUCUUUCUUGGUCUUUAAAUUAACUUGUAAUUUAUAGUUUUGCAAUUAUUUGCAUCAAUUGGAUCAUUUUUGUCCUUAAGCUAGUCAUAACCUUUCAUUGUCACAUCUUUAUGAAUAAGAAUUAUUAGUGGUUUGUCAACUAUAGGCAUAUGAUUGCAAAUACUAUUUCUACUUGGACUUAUCUCUAACUCUUUUAAUGAUUUUAUUAUGUUUAUGAAAAAAUUCACUAUAAAAAUAAAUAAUUGAUUUAUUAUACAAACUUAUUUAUCUAUAUGCUUUAUAUCCUUACUAUAUACAAAAAAAAAAAAAAAAAAAAAAAACAAUUCAUAGACUUUGCAUAAAUUUAUGUUAUUUAAUUGACAUGUAGAUAUUUAUGGUUUAAUUAUGUUUAGAUAUUCAACUAAUUUUAAAGAAAAAUAAAAUAAAAUAAAACUAAUAUAUAAAAAAAAUUAACAUAAUUUUGAAUUAUUCACAAAUUUUUUUUAUUUGAUUAUUUUUUGUAGAAACUACAAUUUUUAAAAAAUCAAAAAUCAAUUUUCUUGGAUUAUGGAUUAGAUUUUUAUUGUUAUAUUUUUAUAUAUAAUUUUUUAAAAUUUAUAAAAUUUAAAAUAAAUUAAAUCUAAGUUAAAGAUUUAUUUCUUUCAUGCAAGGGUAUUCUUUUGAUACAUAAUUAUAUUACAUAAUUUCAAUAUAUUUUUACUUUUAUUUUAUCUUUUGAAGAUUUUAUUUAUUAUUGAAUUUAGAGCCAGCAAAGUUAAAAAUUCUCCAUAAAUGUUAAACACUUGUAGAUAAUUUUAAUAAUUAUCUCAGUUUGUUUUAAUUACAAAAAAAUACAUAUUGGUAAAAGUUAAAAUUUUGUUGGAGUUGUUUUCUUCUUUAUCCUUUUAUUCUUUUGUGGCAAUAACCAACAUUCAUUAUAUUGUUCAUUUUAGUUUAUUUUUGGUUCCAUUAGUUAUUUUCAAAAACGUAGGACAUAACAAAGUUGUUAUGUAAUACCAAAGACAUUAUAGCAGAUUACUUCAUGUGGUUUUUUUUAGAGGUUUUUAAAACUAAGCUUAUCAUCAAAUCAACAAGUAAUUUUCUUUCAUAAACAUAUGUAUAUAUAGAUAGAUAGGGGAUUUAUAAAUUGACCAAGGCAUUUACUAAAUCAAACCACCCAUCCUAAUCAUCAUUUAAUUUGUUUUUGUAUUGAUUUAAGAAUACAAAAUGAGCAUUCAUUGAAUUGUACUUAAAAUCAAUGCAGUAAAAAUAAAGCCAUCAAUCAAAAACAUAAUACUAAAGAAUAGAAAUGCAUUGCAUGUCUAUUAAAUAUUGUCAAAUUUAGAUACCUUAAGUUUUUGCACAUAUUGUAACAAGUUGAAUUUAUUUCAUUCAAUCAAGAAUAUAAUAUUAGACCAAUUCUAUUGUAAUCUAUGUAUUCAUACAUAAAUAUUUUUUUAUAUCAGUUGGAUGUAUCUUUUGGAAACUUGUAAUGAUAUAUUGUUUGUAUAUAAAUAUAUAUAUAUAUAUAUAUAUAUUUUGUGCAUGAAUAUGCAUGUGGAACAAUCUAUACGUAGAUUUUUGUAUAGAUAUAUAAAAAAAAAAAGAAAAAAAAUAAAAAAAAAGGAAGUUUACAUGAAAGAUAAGAUGUGCAAGAUAACAAAAAUAUCUUGCUGAGUGGCAAUUAUUUUUGCUAUAAUUUUUUGAUUAUUCUUCGUGGUUUUUUUAAGACUUUUAAUAGUACUAGGUUUUUACAUUGAAAAUUAUAGUAAUCAGUUGUUUUAGUUUACCAAUUGUAAAAUUUGUCACAGUCAAAAUGUUUUGAAAAAUGAGACAAGAAAAGAAAUGUUGCAUAGAGUUCUUAUAACCUUUUAAACAAUUUUUGAAGUUUAAGACCAAAAAAUCAACUUUAAAAACACAUCAUUAAUAUACAUUGCAGGUUUAGCAAAUACUUCUAGUACAAUAAUAAGUUUUUUUACAUUACAACUUAGAAACCUUAAGUUGUAAUGUAAAGCAAUAUAUCCUAUUUGAAAAUUACAUACUUUUACUUUAAAAUAUGGUUCAAUGUUUAGAAGAAUGUUAGAUAUCUUUGAAAGUUUUACACAUUUUUUUCGAAUCAUAUCAUUUCUUUGAGUAAUGAAAAGUUGUAUUAAAACAGCAUAGGCAUUGAUAAAUAAAUUAAUUAAUACAUUAAUCAUGUGUUUUAAGAAUCAUUAUUAUUGGUAUUACUUACACAAGGUUUUAAUGAUAUAUGUAUGUAUGUAUGUAUAUGUAUCUCUCUCUCUAUAUAUAUAUAUAUAUAUAUAUAUAUAACGAGGCUAUUUUUUUCUUUUUUUUAUUGAGUUUUACAUUUACUAGAUCUGAAACAAAAUGUGUGUUAUUUUCCAACAAGAUCAUUAUUUUUUAAAAGAAGCACAAUUAUAAAUUUAAACAAUGACAUUUAACAUGAAUUUUAUUUCAAAUAGUGUGUGAAUAUAUAUACAUAUAUAUAUAUAUAUAUAUAUCUAAUGCUUAUUUAUAUAUUAAAUACAUCAUAUAUCUUCAUAGCACUUUCUAACAUGAAUUGGUGUUAUGUAUAUAUCUAUAUAUACAUAUCCAUGUACAUACAAAUAUACUUAUUAAAUCUUUGUUUUGUGUUUAUUGUACACUAGACAUUGGUAUCAAUUUCUAUUAACAAACAAGAGUCUUUUUCCAAUUUUAAUUCAAUUUUUGAAAAUGAAACUUAAUAUAUAUAUAUAUAUAUAUAUAUAUAUAUAUAUAUAUAUAUAUAUAUUGUUGUUGUCAUAAAAUUCAUGUGGCAAUAUUAUAAAUAAAAUAUUUUUUUAAAAUGAUAAUUAAAAAAAGAUUAAGAUUAAUAUGAUUUCUUUUGAUAUUUUUUAUUAUUUAUUAAUAUCAAUUGAAUAAUAUAAUACUUAAAGAUAAAUAAAGAGUAUUACUAAUGCCACCACCACUUAUUCUUAUUAAUUUUUCAAUAAAACUUUGAAUAGAUUUAAAUUUAUUUUUUAUAUAAUAUAAAAUUAAAAAUCAUAUUAAAAAUAUUAACAAUUUUUUUGGUUUGAAUUAAAGAAAGACUAAAGAAAUAUAUCGAGUGGUUGGCAAGUAGUAGUCACAUUGGCAAUACCCUAAAUAAGUAUACAUAAUCUUAUUAAGUUUUUAUUGUUCAAUUGAACUUUUAGCUCAACAAUAAUUAAAAAGUUUAGAAGUUUGUGAAGUAAAUAUCAAAUACCUAAAAAUGUAAUUUUUAUACAUAUGUAUUUAUAUAUUCAUAUUUAUAUAUUUUAAUUCUAUAUUAUUUUAAAAAGUAUUAAAAUUUUCAAUAGAAAAUUUAUUUUAAGAUUUAAAUCACUUUAUUGCACAUUAAAAACUGCACCUCAUUUAAGAACAAUCUCAAAAUAUUCUAGAUUUGCUCAACAAUAUAAGUUUUUGUUAAUAUACAUGUAUCUAUCUAUAUAUAUAGACACACCUACUCCAAAACAACUAAAUAAUAUUACACAUAUAAUAUAAUUUCAUACCACCGUGAGGUUUAUAUAUAUUGGACUUUAUUGAACACAUGGAGGCUAGAAUAAAAAAUUAAAAACAUAAGAAUCCUAAAAGCUACCUAAUCUAGGAUUCUCUUCAAGAGAAAAAAAUGACUCAAUAUGGGUUAGGAUUAUCACUUGCCUGGGCCACGUAGGAUCCCCACUCCGCCAAAAAGUAAUGGGCAAGGAGAAAAAAAAGAAAAAGAAAAAGCUAACACGGUAAUGGGCCAUGCGCGGUGGACGUAAUCGUGGGAGCCUCUGCGAGGCUUCCGUUUGGGGGGGGGGGGGGGCUCGUUGCAUUCCCAGCUGGAGCUGAAAUUCGCGAAGCGUCAUGCCCACGGUUCUCCGUCGGAGCGAUCAAUCCAGUCCGUCUCAUCUCACCGUCGCGCACAAUUCUCUUCCUCACGCGGUCAUAUGCAUUCUGGGUUUGCCUACAAUCGUAUGCUGUGUUGGGUUUUUGAUGGGUUCCUUGUUUUGAGGUUGAAGCUCGCACCGAUUCUACCCUCGCAAUUUGUCGUCGUAGCUUGUUCGUUGACCGAGUUCUAGAGCAUUUCUGGACUUGGGUUUUCAGUUUUGUGAGACAUCGUUGAGAGCUUCUGAUGUUAGUAGACCAGAUGGAGUAUCAGGGGCAACAAGGGAGUGGAGGACCGCAGGACGAUGCCUUUUAUGAACUGCUCUCUAGCACGGCGCUGGCGAACGCGAAGAAGCAGCAACAGCAGCAGCAUCAGUUCGAACAGCAGAAUCAUCAGCAGCAGCAACAGCAGCAGUUUGAUUCCCGGAGCGAGGAGGGGCUCCCGAAUUAUGACUUUCAAUCUACUUCGAGCUCCUACGGCGGUGUCGUAGCCAAUGGAGAGGAUAUGCGCAAGGCCCCCUCGGUUAUGCCCGUCGUCGAGUCCUCUCAUCCGCCCCAUUUCCCGACGUAUCCGCCUGGAUCUUCAUAUUCGGUAAUUGCCUCUCUUUGGAUUUUUGCUCCGGGAAGUUUUGGUCGUGAUAACCCUAAUUUGCAAGAGGGUUGAUCUAAGAUGUGCUCAUGUCCUUGUUUCAUUUUGCAACAUCAUAACCACACGUUUGAAAUCAGGACUUCCGUAAGUUUUGAGAAUUCCCUUUUUCUAGAGCCCUAGAAGAUGAAGUUCUGUUUCUUGGAGCUCUGUCUCGACCUAGCAAGCUCCACUGAAAGUAAUUUUGUGUGUUUAAUGCUUGAUACCUUGCUUGUUAGUUUAUUGUGUCCUUGGACAUCAGAGUUAGGGUUUUGAUAAGUUUAUUAAUUACGAAAAAUAUUCUGAAAAGGAUUGUCUGCAUUGAUGCAGAAUGCGCGGCAACAUCUUCCUGUUCCAUCGUUUGUGGAGUCAUCGCCCCCUAGACAGGAGAAAGGGAACGCUGAAGCUGCUACUGUAGCUGCGGUAGAGCAGACUAUGAAGAAGUAUGCCGAUGAUCUGAUGCGCAUGAUGGAGUCCAUGGCUGGGCGUAUUGGUCAAUUGGAGUCGUCGACUCGACGCUUGGAGCAAAUAAUGACCGACUUCAAGGGUGGAUCGGAGAAGAGCCAGGGUGUUUCAGGCGGCAAGCUCUUACUCAUCGAGACUAUGCUCUCUGAAGUGCGUCAUGUGAAAUUAUACAAAAUUUGUGUGCAUUUUCACCAUGUGAAAUGGUUGUUCGAAUGAUAACAAUUUGAAACAUCAUGACUCACUCUUGAUUGUGACUGGUCUUCUUCGCAGGUACAACGUGGUGUACAGGAGCUACGCAAUAAACAGGAAGUUAUGGAUGCUCAAUCUACAAUUGGAAAGCUUCAACUGGGCGACGAGGGCGUUUCUUCCUCAGUCCACUCCCAAACGUCUUUGGAGCCACCACCGGCGCAAUCUCCGCGAGCUCCCCAAAUGCCAGAGACGCCACCUUAUCCGAUGGGACCGCUCCCUCAUGCUCCUCACCAUCCGCCCGGUCAUCUUCCACCUUACAUGGUGCCACCACAGUUGGUAGGUCUUGCUCCUCCUCCACCACCGCCUCCUGCGCCUGAGCCUCAUUACCAGCCUUCUCAGCAAGGCCCUCCUCCUCCUCCUCCUCCUCCUCCUCAGCAGUCUUACCACAGCCAGCAGCUGCAACAGCAAAGUACCCCGCCAUCUGCGCAUCCUCAUGGUCCAUUCCCUCAACCUCCUGAGCUUCCACCAUAUGGCGCAACACCACAAGGACCCUACAAGGGGCAAUCGGGGAGCUUCGGUCAGGAUGCUCCUCCACCGUCUUAUGGAGGUCGGCCGCACCAUAUGCCUCAGACUGGGCUUGGUGGGUCGCAAAUGUACGACCAGUCGGGUGGGAUACCACCCUACCAAUCUCAAGGUCGGCCUGCAGCCCCGGCUUAUGAUCAGCCAAUCGGGCUACCGCCUCCUGGAUACUUCAAUCCGGGGUACCGAAGUGGGCAGCAAACCCCGUCAGCUCCGAGUAGCGGAGCUGGAGGCUAUCCUCGGUUGCCAACAGCUCAGCCUGUGCAACACGCCAUGCCAACGGCGAGAGAGCGCGAAGGAGCUCAACCGUCUUCCGGUGCAACCCCUUUGUCAACAAACCGACUGUCUAUUGAUGAGGUGAUCGACAAGGUCGCAGUGAUGGGCUUUUCUAAGGACCAAGUGAGGGCGGUGGUGCGGAGGCUCACCGAGAAUGGCCAGUCUGUGGACCUGAACGUUGUUCUUGACAAGUUGAUGAACGGAGAUGGCGGAGCGCAGCCGCCGAAGGGUUGGUUCCAAAGGGGCUGAAAAUCUGCUUCUCUCUUUGGAUGCUAUUGGUCUGUUUCCAGUAAGUUGUAGGGGAUAGCAGUAGAUUUGUAGCAAUAGACUUCGAUUUUGUGUCUUUCAUGUAUAAGUCUGGUAUUUAUGUGUACAUACAUAAGAGGUGCUGGAUGCUCCUGUCCUGGAGUCCUCAGUUGAGCUGUUAAGUGUUAAUGUUGCUUGACAAAGUUGCUGGUGUACAUGGGAGUCUCUGAAACCUGCUAGCAUCAGUUUUCUGUUCACCUUCACAGAAUUUUGCUGAUUCGAGUCUUGUGCUUACAUAGUAAUAGAAGCCAUCGAAGGCAGCCAUGUGCGUUGUAACAAGACUGUUAAUCAAAGAGAUUUUUCAUGACCAUAUCUAUUGAAUCCCAGUGAGCACUUGUGCUUGUUGUGUAAUGGGGAAUUGUGCGACUCCGCGUAGGAUAAUGGGUGGCAUGUUCUAGUCACGCAGUUGUGAAUUUGCAUUGCAAUAACAUUCGAGUGUUGCUUUUGUCUGAAACGCCGACAAGCUUUCGAAGGAAUCAGGACAUUCACAUCCACUUACAGAAUUAUUUUCACAAGACGAUCUUAACUCCAAUUUCAGUAUAGCCGCAUGCGCAGACUCGGUUGCUCAGCCUAGAGAAAGGAGGCAGUGAAAUAUAGAUGCGAUUUCUAUCUAUAUCUUGUUCUUUUGUGUUCACAUUUGGAGUGAGAUUCACAUGCCAUAGAGGUGAGAUGUCUUCGCAGCUUUUCCGUCCGUCCUGGAUUGCAGCAUUCCUGCUCAUGGAAUGAAUUGCAGUCAGACUCCUGUUUCUUCUUCUGCUGCUGCUUGCAUGCUGCUCUGAAGAAGUUCCUGAAAUGUACUUUUCCCCUAGGUUUUUAUAGCAGCAGCUGCGGCCCAAUAUCAAAUGUGGGUAUUGAGUGCUCAAUCCAAUUUGUGUUAAUGGACCUUACUUCGGAGGAUUCAAUGUAGAAACCUAAACCUCAGCAAGGCACUCACAACUGAAAUUAGGGUACAUUGGCGUCAUCAUUCUGUUCAAAGAUUCAUAAAGAUGGAGACUGAGACCAUGGUUUAAUUGCAUUGUUGUAUCUGUCAUUGUGCGUUCAAUCCUAUCAAUCUGGGGGAGGCUUGAUCACGAUUGCCUUACAGAACCAACGUCGUAUACCCUUUAUUCAUGAUUCUGCUCUUUCAACCCCUAAAGAAUCAAAGCUGCACAUGAGCGAAAACUUUGGUUGCAAAAAUUGGGGUCACAAUGGUCGUUACAUGAGAACCACUCAUUAAAAGAGUGAAUUAAGAAUUGAAUUUAUUAUUUGCAGAAUACGAAUCUUCAGGCUUAAGGAGGCGAUUCUUCUGGUAAUGGGAUGCAGGUUUCGCCAGCAGAUCAUUAAGCAUAGACAGUGUUGAAGAUGGCUUUCAGUCAGCAACUAAGGUUAGUGCGAACACCAGUCUUUAUCCUGCUCCGAACGUUUAAUCUUUCAUUGGAACAUCUCCAUGUUCUUGUUUGAAGUGCCUGUGUUGGAAUGCUAAUUCUGAGGGAUCAAACUUCUGCCACAGCUCUACAGCUCUACAUUGUUGUAGAAGGAUCUAGAGAGAUGAUUAGCAGAAAAUAAUCUCAACAGUUAGAAAUUUUUCUCUCGAAUUGAAUGCUUUGCAAAGAACAGGCUUGGUGAUAAACUGGGUCAACAGGAGCAAGCUUGUCAUUCCCCUGAACUACUCAUUCUUGUGCACUCAGUCGAUUUCAAUGUUACGCUAUAAGAAAAUCGCAUCAAACAAGAAGGAAUUUGUGUGGUCUCGAUGUUCAGAUUGCCCUUGAUUGUCUAUCUUUACCUUCCUUUUGCGCAUUACUGCUCUGUCUAUUUCUUUCCGAUUAGCCCACAACUUCACAAUGUCUAAUUAGCUCUCAACUUCAAGUUAUAAAACGAUCCCUUCAGUUGUGUUUUUCUCAUGGGUUCAAACUGACAUUUUUGUGAGGGCUCUUUAUUAUCAUCUUCCUCAUCGUGUGUACUUGGCAGCCAAACCUCGACGCACUGGUUAUGCUUCUCGAGGACCCAAUCGGUGCAAUCAGACUAUGAAUCGUGUCUGUUUGAACGGCAGUGGACGAUCAACAUGGUUGAUACACACAGAAAUCAUGCCAGUGUUGAAUUCUGGUCUUAAGGAAAUGAACCCAGGGCAUGGACCACUGUGAAGUCUAUUCCCUUGAGUUUAUCAGGAUGCCCUUGUCUGCUUAACAUUUAGCUUGGGUUGUGUCUACUGCGCAGUAUGUUUGCUCAUACUAAAUUUCCUGAUGGUUUUCUCAUGUUUAAUCACAAGCUUAUGAAAGUCUGUGAAGAGGGAGUGAAGAACUGAGCAUAUAUUUUUGUAAUUUCAUUGUGACAAUCCUGUGUUCUUGCUCAUUUGCAGAUUCUUCCUUAUUUGUCAUUGUUGUGAUUGAAUUCUCUAGAAUAGCUGGACAUCUCUUAACAGACUUCAUAGAUGCUGCCUAUUCUGAAAACGAUUUUUUAAAUGCAGUCAUGCAUGCAGUGUGUGGUGCUUUGUUUCGAAAUUUGUUAUCCAAAUCUGUAACAAGGACCGUAUGCAAUAGACACAAUGGAAAUGCAUUGCCAGUAUUAAGAUUGAUGUCAACUACACGAACCAUUUUGGGUUUGGCGAACAUAUUUUAAUCUUCUCGUAACAUAUCAAGGCGAUAGAGACCUGCAACACAUUAAACGAGUAUGAUUUGUGAAAACAAGUAGCAAGUUGAUGAUGAACUGUUGAUGUCUAUUUUGCAAUAACUUGAGAAACCUACUUCUAUACCUAAUGUAGGUGUGGUUUUUUAAUUAUAGAGAAAGUGAUAAAUUUGAUAUGGAUUGCAAAAAAGCAGAUACUUAGUCUUUAUUGAUCUCCAUUUAUCCAUAAUUGAAAGAGUUAUUAUUAUUAUUAUUCACAAGAAUGACAUCCAACCUUAAACUACACUGUUUUGUGUUUUGAGUGUGUGUUUUUUUUUAAUCUAAAGUGUUAUUAGUAGAGUGCAAGGUGUUGUGUAAGUCAUAUGUGUAUUAGUAUCAAAUGUUGACAUUUAAACUAUACAUUGUAAGUAGAGGAGGAUAUUUUAACUCUUAAGUUUUUGCAAUGUUUUCAUAUGAGGAGACUCACAUCCAAAACAUUUAUAAAUAUAUACAUGUCUAUAUAUGUAUAUAUAUAUAUACAUAUAUAUGUGUGUGUGUGUGUGUGUGUGUUUAUUUUAAAGAUCUAUAAUAGACAUAAAAUUGCAUUACAUUACAUGUAAUGAGAUGAUGAGCUUUUUUUUUGAAAUAUCUAUAUGGUAUAUGUAUUAUUUUAUUGAUAUUAAUUUUUUUUAAUAAUCAUCCUACAAUGAAAAUAGUAAAUUUAUAAAGAAUAAAAAUACCAAUUAAUAUAUAUGUUAUUUUCUUUGUAAUACUAAUAUCAAUCUCUUCUUGUUUUUUACAAGCAUUUUGUAUUGUAUGUAGUUGGCACUUAUAUCCAAUUAUUCUAACAAAGUAUGCUUUGAUUAUAUACAUUAUAUUGCUUGUAUGUUCUAAUAACAUCUAUUAAAAAUAUAUUUAUUUUAUUGUAUGUACUUAUAGAUGAUAGUUAAUUUUUUUCACAUAAGUAAACAUAAGUUUAUGGAUAAGAGAAGUAAAUGAUAAAAAUGCAUGUAUGUAUUUGUUGAUAAACAUAAAAGCCUUGAGUAUAAACAUAUUUGAUUUUUUUUAUUUUAUCAAUGGCCAUAAAAUUUAAGGAUAUGAAUAUAAAUAUAUGUAAUAUUUUAAAAUAUUAGAAAUAAAUAGAAAUAAUCUUGUACAUGUGUUGGAAACCUUAAAGCUAUUCAAAAGAAAAUUGAGAUAUUAUAGUACAUCAAAUUUUUAAGGUUAUUUGGUCAUAAUUAUAUACAAAUACUUUCUAAUUUAUAUAGAAAUACUUUAAUGAUGUAAAAGGUGUUCUAUCAAAUAUGUUUGCAGGAUAUGGCAUUAGUGACUAGUUGCUAGAUUCAUGUUGAAAUACUUAUUCUUUUACUAUUGAUUAUCAUUAGAAUACUUAUAUAGAUAUGUAUAAUAUAUUAAAUAUAUAUAAUAUCAAUAAAAAAAAUAGAUAUGAUUAUAAUAGUUGUAGUUAUAUAAUACAUACAAGAUUAAAAGACAUAUUUAUAAAAAAAAUGUAAUCAUAGGUUUUAAUUUAAAUUAACAUUUUAAAUUAAUAUAAUAUAUAUAAUAACAUUUGACAAAUCAUUGCAAAGCAUAAAAACUAUCUUUUAGUUGGACUUAGCAUUAUAACCUAUUUUUAUUAUUAUUCAUAGUUGUAUUAGAUGUAUUAUUAUUAGGCACAUGUCUCGCAUAUAAUAUGUCUUGCAGUUUCCAUAUAUAUAUAUAUAUAUAUAUAUAUAUAUAUAUAUUAUCUAUGCAUAAAAAUAUAAGAACAUACAUUAUAAUAAAAAUAAAUUCAUGAAAUAUUUAUAUUAUCUAAAAUUAGUAUAUUUAUUUUAUCUAUAGAAGAUAAAAAUUAUAUAGGCUCUUUGAGGAAUUUUAAACUUUUGCAUUUCAUCUUCUAUAGUAAUAUAUAUAUAUUCUUACAUAAAUUUAUAUAUCUAUUUGACAAAAGUACAACAAAUAUUCUUGUCUUGUUGCAUUAUUGUUGCUUCACAAGUCACACAAUACAUGGUUAUAUAUUCUAUUUUUCAUUCUAUAUAUAUUUUCUAAAUUAUCUAUAUAUAUGCAAUGUUUUGCUAUAUAGAUGGAUAUGUGGUUUUAUUAUUGUAUAAAAGAAGAAAAUACACUACACAAAUAUUCCAUUUACAAAUAUAUAUAUAUAUAUAUAUAUAUAUAUUCUAUUUACUUAAUAGAUGCAUUAGAGGAAUUAACUUUCUUAUCAAUUAUAAUAAAAUAAUCAAGCACCAUUUCUACUAGAAUUCAUUAAGAUUUUUAUUGCUAAUUUCAAAAGAAUUGUCCCAUAUAAAUAAAUUACCUUUUAGAACUCAAUAGAGGUUUUUAUAUAUAAGAUGAAACACUAAUAUUCAUUUCUUCUACUUUUGCUCCAAUUACUAAAUACUCCAUUCAAUUUUAGCAAAGAUGUAAAAACAAAAAACAAAAAUAAAAUAAAAUAAAAUCUCCUAUUUACUACAUCAAGUUCCCAUUUGUUCCUUUUGCAUAUACAAGUAGUUUAGUAUUUGAGUCUUGUAUAGCCAUAAAUAAGGCAAAACAAAGUAGAUUAAAAAAAUAAAUAAUAUGAGCAUCUUUAGGAGAAAGUCUAAUCCUACCUAGAAUUUGCUAACAAAGAAAUUGACACAUAAGCACAACUAACAAACGAGCUUGUGUGCGAUUGCAAUACUCCCAAUACACCCAAUACCCAUGCAAUUGAGCAAGCAUAAGUUUUGCAGCAUUGCAAAGCCAAUAUUUGACAUUUUUUGCCUUUUGCUCAGAUUUAAUGUUAGAAUCGACCCACAAAAUUUUCCCUUUCCUACUCAAUGCAUGCAAAUAUCUCCAGCACAUGAAAACUGGUGGAAACUUGACGUAGUGAAGAUGAGGUUUACAGACUGCCCAUACGUAUAACGUAGAGUUUGAAAAUAAGUACAUUGUUAGUAUGUAUGUUUGCAUCCACGUUGUCCACACUUCAAGUGCCGUAUACGUGUGACCAUAUCCGUAUACCGCCGCGGGUGCAGCCUGUUACAAGUCUUUUCUAUCCGAUGAUGCUUCAUGUAAGACCCACUUUACAAAUGUCACGUUGCCAGGUUCGAAUUGUGAAGGCAGCGUCAUCUCUACUCUUUCCUUGCUGUGUGAAUCUGCUAUCCUCCAGUUGUUGGGUCCCUUCGACCCAAGAGCUGAUCACUGAGAUUGACAGAGCGAUGUUCGUUUCGCAAUAUUAGGUGUAGUUGUUGUUGUUGCUGCUGCUGCUGUGAUUUGUGAUUUGGGAGUGAGAAGUCAAGGGAUUUGAGGGUUGAAUUCAACAAUGCCUCCGUUGUCGCAAGGCUUGGCUCUGAAUUCGCAGACCUUAUCAGCUCUCUCGCUGAUUUUGGCGGUGCCGAAGGUGAUAGCCUCGGCUGGGUCGGAGAUGUAUCAAGACCGGAUGCUCAGUGCGAGUCUCCUGCAGCCUGGAGCGGUGAAUGUGAAGUCUAGACGUGGGUUUCUCAAGUUCUGCGGCACGUGCACGACGUGCAGGCGAAAUGUGAAAAAGAUGGUGUGCAAAUGCAUUGGUGAGGACCCUCAAUGUUCCAGGUGAGGGUUCUGUGGCUCACUGUGUCUUGAUUGGGUUCCAACAAGAAAAACCUAAUUGCAAGAAUCUAAUCUUGAGCUUGGAUUUGUUCAGUGCAUUCCUUAGUGCAAGCAAUAAGGUUUCGAAAGCCCUCGACGAAAGCCCAUGCAGCUCAAGAUUCUUUGAGCAUAGUGUCGUUUUUGUGUCUGCGUACAUGGCCUCGGCUAUCCUGUUUCUAAUUGAGAUUUCUGGACUGAAAAAUACGCUCUAAAGGAUGGCAAUCGCUGCUGUUACCAUUUUGUCGGGCAAUUGCAAAUGAUGUUGGAGAAGCUCUGGAUGGGGCGCAGAAACGGGUUUUAUCAAUCAUGUAGCAAUCUUUUAGCUCAAAUCAACCAGUUUUCAUGCCCAAAUCAAUCCACGAUUGAAUGUAUAAUCUGCAUUGCAGCUAUAGUCCCAAUCGUGGCGGGGAAACCUUAUUUCACAGGAGCUGGCUUUACAUGGAUUCUAGAGGAGGCAGGAUUAUUCUUUGUGAGCUUUUUCUGGGUUGUUAGCAAUCCCUCUAGAUGUUUAUUAUUUAUCAUGUUCUUAAUAAUCGAAGUCCUCAGUGGUGAAUGCGAUUUUGAAUUGAUAGGUCGAAUGCGUCUGAGCCACUUGAAAUGAGAAAUCGUGACGAAAUUGUGAGGGGAGGACGGAUGCGGAGGCGAACGUUUGGGACCAGUAUCUUAGGUGGUGCAAUAACCCUUCCAUUCCUUCAGGAGCUUCAGGGUAAGCUGCCACAGUCGCUGCUCUUCCAAGCUACAACAUCAUCAGUUACUGUACAUGUGCAGCCCAAGAAACCGUUUCCUACAGCUGUUAAAUCAAAAAAUAUAAAUAUUUAAAAGCACAAAGUCUAAAUACCAAGAUCGUUUGUGCUCUGCAUCAUUUACUUGAAGGUGUAGUAGACUUGUUCUUUGCUGGCACAAAGAACAACAUUCCCUCUCUCGUUUUCCUAAUAAUGUACGAGUCCUCGCAAGCAUCGCAUGAUCGCAACUUCACCUGUGAUUGUUUCUAUAACUGUGCGUUGGAUCUGGGAUGCUCCACAGCGCGAGCUCUUGGUGACCCAACUGUGACCAUUGAUGAGGUGACCCCUACGAUCGCACCUGCCGGUAGCCUACCCCCUGCAGAGGUGGGCUUAAUUCUUCACAAAGUUGAAUGAAUCGUACAGCUUUGCUUUUCUUGAUUAGUAUCUAGUGUUGAGUAUGUAUCGCCAUCAUGGCUAGCUUGAGUAUUAAAGAGGAAAGAGGGUAUUAUGGUUGCAACCAGGAACGCACAGUGGAGCUCUUUGAACGCAACACUUACUCAGUUGUGAACAUCUUCGAUGUCUCACUGCGCCCUCAAGUCAACAUGACGGGUUCUGUCGAGGUGCCUUUCUUCGACUUCUCCUUGGACUACUGAUUGCGUUGAAUCCAACUGGUCGUUUUGUAUCAAAGCUAUAUUUGUCUGUGUAAAUUUUGAUCAUGGAUUAAGGUGUAGCGGCUUUCUUGUGCAGGUCCCAGAAGGAAAUGGAUCGGGCUUCAUUUGGGACGAGGAAGGCCACAUUGUAACAAAUUAUCACGGUGAGCCAGUUUCUCGUACGUGCAUGGUUGCACUGAUUAAUGUGUAGGAAUUCCUUGCAGGUUGGCAUAAGGUUAUAUAUAUAUAUAUAUAUAUAUAUAUAUCGAGAGAGAGAGAGAGAGAGAGAGAGAGAGAGAGAGAGAUUUUUCAUAAUAUGAGUCAACCUCGUCUUGUAUGCUUGCGCAGUAAUUGGGAGCUCAUUAGCACGCAACCCUCCUCUUGGACAAGUUGUAGCGCGCGUUACACUGCUGGGAGCCGACGGGUAAAAAUCUUUUUGCUGCACAGUUGCUUCUUUCCGUAGCAAUUAGAGUGAUUUUGAAUUCUUGAACUGUGAUGUUGUCGAGGGUGCAGGAGUGGUGUACAGAGCAUCGAUUUUCUCUUGCAUUAAAUAAAGUAAACUGCGUAGUUUUCAUAUCUUGAAAAUUGAUCCUGUCAAUGAUCUCGAGGCUUAGUGGCUAUUUUUGGUGGUGGUUUUUGGGCAGGGUAGAUAUCAGAAGAAUUUUGAGGCAAAGCUUGUCGGUGCUGACAAGACCAAAGACCUUGCAGUGUUGGAUGUGCGUCUUUCUCAUUUAAUUCUGCAGAGAUGAUUAUACUAUGUCUCUUUUUAUUCAUACUAAGCCUCUUAAGUUACGGUGGAGGUUUAUGUCAUGUUCAUUGACACCUUGUUAAACUAUGUGGGCGCUUCAGGUGGACGCUCCAGUGGAGCUUCUCCGUCCCGUCAAACUGGGUCAGUCUUCCAAGCUUAGAGUUGGACAGAGAUGCCUAGCUAUCGGCAACCCAUUUGGUUUUGACCACACUCUGACAGUCGGUGUUGUAAGUGGUCUGAACCGCGACAUUUUCAGCCAGACUGGUGUCGUUAUUGGGGGCGGCAUUCAGACUGACGCAGCCAUCAAUCCUGGCAACAGGUAACAAGCACACUCAAAUACUGUUGUUAAGCUUUUGGUUUACUUCUUUCCCCUGAUUUCUAUCCACUGAUCUGCGACACGGUGUGUGGUCAUACAGUGGAGGUGUGCUCUUGGACUCAAAUGGCAACCUCAUUGGCAUCAACACCGCAAUCUUCACUCGCACAGGUGCUGAUGUCUUUUUCUCUUCAUGAGGAACAUUCCCUUUUUUUGUCUUAAUCCUGUUUCUGGCUAUCUACCGAGGGAUAUCGCUAACUGUGCGCUUUUUCCCUCCCCAUUUGUUUUACCCGCAAUCAUGUAGGCACGUCAGCCGGAGUUGGAUUCGCAAUUCCUAUUGACACAGUCGCCAAACUCGUGCCUCAGCUAAUCGCAUAUGGCAAGGUCUGUAAGAAUGUUCGAACUUCAUUGUUUCUGUUCGUCUCUGAGAAACCAUCAUCACCGAUUUCUAAAAUAUAUAUAUAUAUGAUCCUUCAGGUUAUGCGGCCAGGACUCAAUGUACAAUUUGCACCUGAGGCAGUGGCCAAGCAACUCAACGUUCGCAGCGGCGCUCUAGUGCUAACAGUAAGCUCCUAAACAACUUGCAAACAAAUUAGCAACUCUCGCUUAUUGUUCUUCCCGUGUCUCAUAUUUUCUUAUAUCUUUCUGUGAAUGGAACAGGUUCCAGACAAGAGUGCAGCUGCAAAGGCAGGGAUUAUUGCAACCAGGAGAGGGUUAACUGGAAAUAUCCUUUUGGGCGAUGUAAUUGUUGGAGUUGGCGAAACCACGGUGAGUAUACAACCUCUCCCAUGCCUUGAAUACUCUUGGUGAAUAUCUGUCACUGCCACUGUUCCAGACAACUCUUUUUCUGCAUUUAAGAUUGUCAUUUCCACUUGCUCCUCAUAGGUGAAGAACCCUCAAGAGCUCACGAAAGCAUUAGACAGUUACCAAGUCGGAGAUCAGAUUUUGCUUAAGGUCCAGAGGAAUGAUCAGAUUCAGGUGCUGCCAUUGACACUGGAAGAGAGCAUGCGAUGAGAAGAAGACAUAAACCACUAUUAAACAUGGGUCAGUGCUUAUCAGAUUCUUACCAGAAUUUUCCACAUUGAUUGCAGCACAAUAUGAACUAUUCAAUCUUCCGGCUCUGUAAUUACACACGAAAGAAUUGAGUCCCAGGUUCCAUCUGAUGCAUGUAUUGUCAUUGCCCUCUGCUUAGCAAGCUCUUUGUGUCUUCUCCUGUGAGCACCAUUGCGUUGGAUCAGUAUUACUCGUUGGUGUUUGUGAUGUGUUUUUCGAAGAUGGAUUUGAAAUGAAUGUUAUGUGUAACCAUUUUUUUAAAAUGCUCUUGAAAAAAAAUUAUCAAUAGCAGUGUAAUGAACACUACUAAAUACAAUGUCAUGAAAUACAGCGGAAUAAAAAUUACAAAAAAAAAAAAAAAAAAAAAAAAAAAAUCAUCACUUAGACAACGCUCAGAAUUGCUUAAAACACUUCGGUUAGGUGUCGUGUUCACACUAAUACAAACGAUAUAUAUAUAUAUAUAUAUAUAUGUAGAAGAGAAGAGAGGGUUUUAAUUCAUCCAUUCAUCCAUCCACGCUGUCAAGUUUCUGUCCAUCCACGCUGUCAAGUUUCUGUCCAUCCACGUCAGACCUGAGGGGGAUCACCAAGCCGCACCCCGCUUACUUCUAUCCAGUGUGAACGCAAACCAGUGCCCAUGUCCCAUCGAGAUUUCCAUAGCCCCACUUUUUUCUUUUUCUAUCUUUCCUUUCAAUAUGUCUUUAUCGUUUUCCUCCUCCUUCUUUGUCCUCUUUCCCUAUCUACUCCAUUUCUUUAUUCUUUAUAUAUUCUUAUUUUUUGGGGAGGAUCGUUUUCACAUGAGUAAGCACAUCGAGGCCUUUGCAAUUGAAAGGCCCCAUCUUAAUGGUCAAAAAGGGACAACUAGAAGGAGCCAAGUUUGCCAAUAUCAAGGGGAACAUGGCCCCACUCUGGACUUGGAAGGGCCAGACCCUCAUUAAUUAUGUGGGUGGCCCCUCUUCAACACAGGAAAAAAAAAAAAAAAGAAAAGAAAAGAAAAAAAAAACAACCUUUUUUUAUAUGGAACCCCACUGGGUAAUUCUCAAAUGCUAUAGAUCCUAUGUUUCUAGUUUUCUGGUUCCUUUUUCACUUUUCCCACUUUUUUUUCUUUGUUUUUCCUCCCUGCUUUCGGUUCAAGGACGGGUGACCGUAGAGCUGACGAACACCCCAAAGGUACAAAAUAGAAGACAUGGGAAGCCGUGCCCAUUCCUUUUCUGCACGCUUGGGAUGGAUGGAUGAACAGAAUCCUUCAUAUAAUGGAUGGUGGGCCACAGGUGGGUGAACCUCCAUCCAUCCAACUACCCUUCUUAUAGUUGCACAGAAUGUCUCCUACUUGUAAAAGUGUACUUAUCCAGCGCAAAUUGCUUUAGUUUCCCAAUGCAAGUGCAUUACCAGUGUCAUAUCUCAAUCAAACUCAUUAUCAAUUGCAUAUCUGAUGUGAACACACAAAUGAGAUGAAUCACUGUGAGAACAUUCACCACCAACGAUACGUAAAACUCAUCCGUCGUCUGCCGCGCACCUGAAGCCGACUCAUGGCGUACUACCCGAUGCCGUUUUUUUCUUGUUGUUGUUGUUGUUGUUCUGUUUUUUUCCAGUGAUUGCCAUCCAAAAAGGACUGGAGGGCAUGAAUUUCGACACGCACCCACCAAAACGUUAACGAAAUAUCCUUUCGCACCCAGGAAAACACUGAGAGGAAAUAUAAGGGGAAGUGGGGGGGGGGUAUUCGCAGCGCCAGUUGUAGUAGCUCUUUGAAGUCCAACGGAAAGCAGCACAAAAAAAAAAAACUCUUUUUUCCGCAAUCAAGUCAUCAUCUCUUCUGUUCGAAUCUGUGCGGCGCGUCUUGCACAUGCGCCCCUCCAGGGACUCCGCCGCGGCUCUGACUGCACUGCACUGCACUGGAUCUUUUACACUCCACACCUCAUAACCGUUCCAGAGAGUGACCAGAGCGUGUUGAUGACGAUGAUUCCAGCAUUCUCAUUUGUGGUCUCGCUGUAAACUGAGACCUCCGACGACUGCUCAGUUGGGUCAACCUUCCGCCACUGAAGGGUUAAGUCCUCUCCUGUUGUUGUGCAGUGUCAGUCCGCCCAGGAAACUGUGCAAAAACCCUGCAACUCCCUCACUCACUCACUCUCACUCAUUUGUGGACAAUUCGACGAACGGACAGAUGGACGGACUGCCUGACGGACGGACUGACUGCCUGACUUCCUGACUGACUGAAUGGGUGCAGUAGUUGCACAGAAGGGCUGCCUCCACGUGACAUACAGUAAGUACCGCAGCAACAGAAGCAUCAGAAGCAGUAACAGCAGCAUUUGCAGCACCAUUAGCACCAAAGACGGGGGAGUGGGCUCUCUCUGAUGGGUCCAGAUCCCGAGAAAACUCGAACCAGAUCGAUCGAUAGAUCGAGACAGAGAAAGAGAGAAAGUGGGCUCGUAUUUCCAGAAGCAGAUUCCAAGCGGUAAAAGAGGCGCUGCUGCUGUUCACCCUUUAAGAUCCACGUAGGAUUCCACCUAGGAUUCCACGUAGGUUGCCACGUGGUACCUUGGUUGAUGGCCGGGUCGGGCCGGGCUGGGUUGGGCUACGGUGGCCCCGUCCUUUGGCUGACCCCCCCCCCAGGCAGGUCCGACAGACUUCUUCUUCUCACCCCUUCCCUGUGUGUGACCCUACUCCCACCCUUGUCUCUCUCUCCAUAUAUAUGAUUAUUAUUAUUAUUAUUAUUAUUUGCGUACAUGAUUGAAGUUUUUCACAAAAAAUUAUACGUGUGAGUGAAAUUUGAUCUGAUAUGAUAAACAUUUUAAGAUUUUUACAAGGUGGAUUGUGUGUAGGUAAAGAGUUAGUUAGGAUGAAAACUCGGUUGGUAGUUAAAGUUUAAAAAAAUUGGUGUUUAUUUGUAAUUAUUUGUAAUUAUUUGUAAUUAUUUGUAAUUAUUUUUAAUAAUUUUGGCUUUAAAUGUAUAAAUGUAAUUAUAAUUAUUAAAAACUUAUGGCUGAUUUUUUUUUAAUGUGAAGUAAUCUAUUUAAUACAAAAUAUAUAUUUAAAAAAAUCUACGAGUAAAAAAAUAAAUAAAACCAUCAUUGGUUGAUUUACGUGAGGAAUAAAAACAUUAAUGUAUCAUUUUUUUAACAACUAAGUAAUUAAAAUAAAUUUUAAUUUCUUAAAAAUAGUUUACAACUAUAAUGUUGUAUCUUUAAUAUAGGUAUAUAUAAACUUAUAUAUUUGUAGUGCUUUUAGUUGAGUUAUAUUCAUAUUUAAUUUUUUUAUUUUCAUAUUUUUAAAAUAAAAAAUAUUCAAUAACUAUAUAUCUGUAAAUAUUGCUUAUUGUUUUAAAAAAAAACUUGCUCCACAAAGAUUCUUUUAAUGCAAAAAUUAAACAUGCAAUGAAAAUAAAUUACAAACACAAAAGAAAUAUAGAUUAAUUACAAACUCAAGUUUUAUAAAAGUUGAAUGGAGAGGAAAAUAGAAAAUUUAGGUAUAUAUCAAUUAAUUAUUUAAUUCACUUAAAAAUUAUAAUUUUAAAAAAUUAAACAUAAAAAUUAGAUGAAAAAUUAAUGGUGAAAAAAAAAAAACAAAAAACAAAACAAAAAAACAUAGUGGCUUGUUUUACAUUUUAAAGUUUUUAAUCAUACAUGUAAUUGAUAUGAACAUUAAAAUAAUUUUUUCUCUUCUAAAUUAUUAAAGUAAUAAAUUUGAGUAUAAAAAAAUAAACUAAUAUCUUUAAAUUUUUUAUAAUACUAUUUAUAGUAUUAUAGUAAAUAUAAUUACUAGAUAUUUAUUUUUUAUCAUAAAGUAAUUUCAUAUUAAUUUAUUUUUAAAAAAAAUACUAUGUAUAUAGUUGUAUAUUUGUAUAGGUGAAUUGAAGGGCAUUUUAAAGACAUGCAUACAAGCUAAAGUCAAAAGAUGGAUAAGUAGGUUUUCUUUUUUACAUCUACUAACAAUUUAUAUAUAAAGAGAUAAUUUUUUUCCUAAUGUAGAUUUACAAAAGCCAUUUAUUGGUAUUGUGUAGCUAUUAGAGCUCAUUAAUUUCACUAGAUCUCAACACUCAUAAUCAAACCUAAAUCCAAUGCAAUCCAAUAUUAGAGCUCUACCACCCUUAGAUUGUCAAGGAUUAGCAAAUUUUUGGAACAUGUUCCUUAGUAUCUAUAAAAAUGGAUCUAUUCAUGUGACUUCACUUCACUUAUUCUUUUUAUAAUAUUUUUUGUUAUUUGAGGUAGUAAUUUUAGUAACUAAUAUGUUAAUUUUAACAUUAUUAUAUUAUCAAGAAUAAAUUAGUAUUUUUAAAAUUAAAAACUAUUAAAAAAAUAAAAACUUAGGUUUUAAUAUUCUACAAUUAAUACAAACUUAAGAAUCAUAUGUAUUUCAAUUAUGAUCCAUAUUUCAUUCGAAAUCAAAGAAAUUUUAAAAAUAAACAAUGUAUUAUAUAGACUCAAGAUCUUUCUUCUACCUAUUAAUGAAUAUAAUCUAGAUAUUAUAUUUAAAGAAAGAUUAACAUCUAAAAAAACAUAUCAUUUUUUUUUAAAGUUGACUAUUAUUGAUUUAUCUAACAUUAAUCCAAUCUAUUCUAAAUCUUAAUAUUAAGUUCACUAGGUAAUACAAGUGCCAUUGUUUAUUUAGAAGUAGGUUCUUUUAUAAUUUUCUUUACAUUAAUUGCACCUCACUCUCCUACAUAUUAAAAUGUGCAACAUGUUUUUGGUUUAAUAAUAGGCUUGAAAAUUGAAGAAAUAAAAUAAACAAAGGUAAAAAGAAAAAGAAAAAUAAGAAAAAACUGAAGUCCAACUCAACAUCAGAGAUCCCUUCAACUGUGAAAUCGAGCCUGACUUUCCAACCUAACUCUGAUUCACGCACUCUCACUGCAACCAAUCCAACAACGCAGUGUGGAUCCACCCUACUGCUCAUCAUCGGGGAUGCCAGAAUGUGUCAGAAAAUUGAUACACACCGUCGUGGUCGCACUGCUAUGAUGAUGAUAGAUAGAUAGAUAGAAAAUGGAGCCUGCUGUACUGUAGCAGCAGAUAAGAGAAGAGAAAAGAAAAAAACAGCACAAAGGGUACUCUCCAACUUCCUUGCAACAAAACAAAACACGCACACGAAACUCGACAGUAGCAUGCAUGCUGCUACACCGGUGCCGAAGCGCCGAAUCUAGAACACCGGAUGGAUGCAGGCCGAGAAAACGAUAGAUAGAUAGAUAGCAUGGAAUAUUGGAAACAUGCAGCAUCGCACCUCGAACAUCCACACGGCUGAAUUGUGGUGGUAGUGGUGGUGGUGCAGAUUCGGGAGCGCAGAUAUGUCGAUGCCAGUCUCACACGGAGAUCCGAACUGGACAGUUAGUCGCGCUUUCUCUGCACUUACUGCUAGCGUUUUGUCGACGAUACGGGCUACGUGACACCGAUCGAUGCUUCGAUUCUCACGGUGUCUAUCGCUGUGUGUGUGUGUGUGUGUGAGUGUGUGUUGUUUUUUCACGGGGAUCCGCAACGACUUAAUCCAUCGCCGAACUCAUCAGCUGGUGGUGGUGCUCUUCCUGGUGCGUGAUCUUGUCGACGACUGUGAUUCUGAUCCGUCAUGAGAGGUUUUGUUGGAUUCUUGCUCGUUUUGUUUCGCUUUGGAUUCUUGGUUCGAUGAAAAGCUUCAGGAAAUGAUUUGUAAAAUGAUCUCUUUUUCAAAGUCCAAAAACUUUACUUAUUCAUUCAUGUGUGUGUGUAUAUAUAUAUAUAUAUCCAGGUAGGUAGGUAGGUAUACAAAAAUAUAAAUCAGUGAGUAAGCAAUUAUUCUGUAUUAAUAGGCUUAUUGAGGUAUGGGCUUAUAUCAUUCAUUCAUACAUGUGUGAGUGUGAAUGAAUGAUUGAAAGUGUUGGUUUUGAGCAAAACUUAUUUAGAUAUAGUUAUUAAAUAAAUGAUUUAAUUAGAACAUAUAGUCAUUGGCUUUAACAUCCAAGUAACAUCCAAGUACCAAGGAUUGUUGAAAAAAUUAAUGAUAAAAAAUAAAAAUAAAUAAAUUAUAUGUUUUUAUAAAAUAAUAUUUAUUAAUUAAUAAUUUAAUGUAUUAAUAUUGGUUUCUUUUUAUUUCAUGUAGAAGACCCAUAUUCCAUAUUUCUGACAUUGGUAACAAAUAAUAUAUGCAUUUGCAAAAUACAUUGUUUAAAUUUUGUAAGAAAGUUUUAUGUGUUAAGGUCAAAAAGAAGAAAAUCUUUAAAAUAUUUGUUGGUUUUUCUUGUUCAACAAGUAUUUUUCAACAUUAGAAAUACAAAUCUUGAAAAAAAAUUAUAUUUAAAAAAAUCUUGUUUUAAGAUAUUAGAUUAUUAUUUUGAGUUUAUAAAUUUUAAAUUUUAAAAUUUUAAAUCUUGAAUGUUACUUUUAUAGUUUUAAAUGCACUCCAAAAAUCGUGUAGUAUAGCCAAUAAUAAAUUAAAGUAUUAUACUUAGCAAACAUUAAAUUUAUAGUCUUAUUUCUUUAAGAAUUUAAUUUCUAAUUUUAAUAAUUUGAUAGAUAUGUUUAAUAUUGUUUGUAAUCAAGCAUUAUAAAAGACCUCUUGAUUAAUUUAUUAGAGAUGUUUUGUUAAAUAGUUUAUAAGAUUUUUAAUUUAAUUCCACACCAAUAUUAAUGUAGAUAAAUUUUACAAUAAAAUCAAGAUUUAUUUUUUAAUGCAAAAGUUUAUUAUUAUAGAUUUUAUUAUCUAUCAAAUUUAUAGUAUGAUAUUGAAUGAAUUUUCUAAAUUUAAAUACAACUUUAGAAUCAUUUUAUUACUCUCUAUAACUUUCUUUUGUUCAAACUAUCUUGAAUUUUAUUAGUUCAUACAAAAUAAUUGUCUAUAAAUAACAAAUUAAUUUUAAAGCAAAAUUUUGUAAAAGAAGCCAUACUUAAAGGGAUUUUAUACUUGUAUUAAAAAUAGAAAUAGAAAUAAAUAAAUAAAUAAGAAGAUGCUCUAGUAUUAUAUAACAAUAUAAAUAAUACAAUUAAGCUUAAAAAAAUUAUUAUAUAAUUUUUUUAUAAUUCUAACAUCUUUUUUAUAUAUUAAAAAGUAACUAUCAUAAUAAAAUGAUGUAGUUACUUUUAUAACUACAACUAUAAAUAUUUAAAUAUAAGUAAUAAAUAUAUAUUUGCUAAUAUAAAGUUUUAAAUUUAACUAAAGAUAAAUUAAGUAUACCUAAUUACAUGAAAGAAACAGAAAGAGAAAAAAAAAUAUAAUGAGAGAGAUAUAUUUUUAGAUUUAAAAAUAAUUCCAUGUUGACAAUUUAGUAUAUGUUAGUUGCAACAUAACUUAUAUCAUUUUUAUUUUUAAAUAUUUUAACAACAUCCAUAAAAUUUUAACAAACAAACAACUUUUUUUUUUGGAUAUAAUUUAUUAUUUUGAAAAAUAAAAUAAAAUAAUAUAGUAUAAUAUAGUUUUGUUAUGUACAUAUAAUUUAGAAUUGUCACAUUACAUUUAGAGAGUUGUUAAAGCCACACUCUAAUGUUAUUAAAACCACAUCUCAUGAUUGAUUUUGUCCAUCUUCCAUCCUGUUCCUUGUUCCAUGUCCCUCAUUCUCUAUUCCUUGCCUCUAUCUAUGUUCCCUAUCCUCCAAAAUUAAUCAUCAAAUAGUUUGGGAGAUGUGGCUUUGACAACUCCUUAGAUAUAUAUAUAUAUAUAUAUAUAUAUAUACACACAUAUUAAUUUAAAAAAAGAAAAAAGAGAGAAAAAAAUAAUAUUUAAGAUUUCAUUUUAUUUACAAAAGUUGUAAUUUUUACAUUUAACUAAAAGACCUAAUAUAUGUAUAUAUAUAUAUAUAUAUAUAUAUACAUAUUUCUAAAGAAGAAUAAUGUUUUAGGGUUAAAAGCCAAGAACCAUAAAAAAAGCACCAUGAAAAGAAGCAAGACAAAAAUAAAAGGUGCAAAAAUCUACACCUAAAAAAUUAAGAAGUGGAUGGAGCACUCAUUCAAGGUCCUAUUUGAAGGGUUGUCUAAUUCUUCUUCCUCCUCCUCCUCAUCCCUUUUUUAGGGUUAGGGCUAAAAAUGAGCAACAAGAAAGCAUCAUGAAAUGCGGAAGGGAGGCAGAAAAAGGGGGGGUUUGGACGGAGAGUUGCCCCUCUCCCUUGCUCCAUGUGGGGGGCGACAACCCUACUACUCUCACACACACCACUACUAGCAAGCAAAAGCAAAAGCAAGAGCAAGCAAGCAAGUAUGGUUCAGGGGGGAGGGCGUAGCUGCAGCAGCAACUCCACUCUCCUUCAUCACCCAACACGGUGGCCCUUUUCCACAAAACACCAACAUGAUGAUGAUGAUGCAAGUGUGUCCUUCCCCUGCACAAUGAAAUGCUACUUACAUGCUCCGGGCACCUGUGAUUACAAGCCCCACUCUCAUGAGAAGCAGGAAAAGAAGAAGAAUACGAAGAAGAGUAGUGACGCAUGGCUUCCUCCUCAGCAGACAACUUGAUUAACAUGAUCAACCUGAUCUCGACCAGAUCGAUUAUCGAGAAGCAGUGGAAGCUACAUUGAUCGAUCGAUAGGGAGACCGAUCCGGGAACGUGGUUGUCCUAUUUUUAUUUUUAUUCUAUUUUAUUCUUCUAGUAGUUGUUGUUGUUGGGAGGUGGUGUUAUAUUGAGUUCGAUGGGGUGUAUUUUUGUUUUUCUUGAAGAUCGGGUGCAACAGGGAGUGUGGGCUCCGACCACGGCGCCCGGGGUUCAGAGAUCGACGACCCACAGGUGGAGAGGGGGGCGGGGAAAGAAGGUGGGGGCUGCUGGGAAUGCCCAUGGAUGAUCCACGGCGCCCCAUCAUCCAUCCACGAUCAACUGAUCAUCGACUAAAUUUGGCCCCUGUAAUGCUCCGCAAAUGCGGCUGAUCCUUGUCCGCGCCAUCCGACUUCUCACUGGAUGCAUGAUCUCUCAAGUCAAUCAUCUCUCCAACCACACUCUUCCUCCUCCCCAACCCCCGCUUCCUAUUGCCCCUUCCUGCCUGCAAAUGGGCUCUCUUCAGGUCAAAUAUCUGGAAUAAGAAAUCGCGCAAUGAUUUUCUACAGCCCCAGGGAACGAUUCGGCUCUAGUGGGCAGCAGACGGCAUCAGCAGGAAGUUUAGCGUGUGAGAGCAGGAAGAGUGAGGGUUUCCGGAAUACAUUUCAAGACAGUGUCAGAGCCUGAGUUUUGGUUAUUUAAUCUAAUUUGAUUUUUUCUUGCGUGUUACCUGAAUUUUCAGUGAAAUAGUUACCUCAACUGUUACCGAUCCAGAGUGAUUUCGAACACGCUUGCGGUAACAAAAACUAAUUGUGGUAGAUAUCUUUUUACACAUGUGUGUGGGCACAUAUAUGUAUGUAUAUAUACGCAUAUAAAUAGAUAAAAACUUUUCCGGGACGAUGUUACGUCAUAACCUAAUUUUAAACACUGCCAUUAGCGGUAUCCCUGAUGUUCCGAAAUACAUUGGCAACAAGUCAAUAGUCCUAAAAUUAGUUCCAAAUGUCAUUCUCAUUUACGCAGCCGCCACAUUUAGCCAUCGGUAAAUAUAGUUCAAUUCUGACACCGUGCUUGACUCUUUCUAAAUAUACAGUUAAUUGAUCCGAGCUCAUUUAAUCAUUUGCACAUGUAUUCGAACCCGGAAUAGUAGAGUCCAUACCUUGGGUGUUACCAACAACUUUGCAGCACUGAAGCUGCAAAAUUUUCUUCCCUCAACAUCAACAAUUAUUAUAAAGUAUCUUUGAAUGAUGAAUAAAGAAAUGGGGAUUUAUUGGAGAGUUCCUGUACCGAAAAGGAUAGGGUAUUCUUUGUCAAACAUGGGAUUAUCACCCGAGGUUUCUUGUACAACUGAAUGAGCAGUGAUGAUGGUAACAAGAACUCUCUUUAUUUGCCAGUACAACACUGGCCUAGAUUCUGGACACCCUCAAAUCAUUGUUAUAUGAUCAGGGGGAUGUUGCUCUCACUGCAGCAUCCCAAGAUAAACAAUCUCUGUUUUCGCAAGUAAAAGAAUUCGAGAAAGGUCAGAACCCCAGAGGUGAAAACUGACGCAACUGGAUUGUAAAGCAGUGGAGUUGGCAGGAGAGGUUCAUACAGCCAGCCCUGCUCGGUCCUCUGCAGCUUUGUGAUCAACCGAUGAGGUCUGGGGACCACUGGCAAGCUUUUGCUCGCGGUAGUGUCCAUCGUCCAUUCCUACAUCAGUCCUUUAACUUACUUCCGGCUUUGGCAACCUGUCGAUCUCCGUCCCACUGUGGGUCCGACGCUACCCAGCUCAGCUUCUAAGUUUGUCACUGGUGUCGCAUGUAUAUGUACCUAGAAGGGUACAGGCGGGCUGCCUAUCAUGGCUUGGCUACUCCAAGCAUUUGAGAUUAAUUCUAAAUUCUGCAAACAAUCGAUCGCAAUAUAGUCUCACUAGAUUUGGGUAGGAUGGUUGAGUGUACCUUCAUCUUUCUACCUCAUCAUCGCACUGUAGUAGUGAGCGAUCGGGACAUGCAGCGAUCGUCGAGGCCACUGCUGCUCUGGCAUGUAUAGGUUGGAUGUCGCGUUCGCGGUUAGUUUACAGGCGGAGAUCUCUGACUCCAAGGCCCUGAGAGAGCCUCCUCAGUUACACGGUGGUUGUAUCUGCACGGAGUGGUUCCGGUGCUUUGCAUAAUUUCUCCUCAAGUCUGUUUCCUGUAGGUUUCUAAGAGACUUCUUUGAGACCACAUUCUCUCGCAUUCCUUGUGCCAGCGUCGCUUGGUAAUGAAGCACUUACUUGUUGCAUCUCGUCUUGUUAAGCUUGAACUUGUCUCUGUUUUCGAGCGCUGCACUUAUGACUUGCAGGGUCAACACGAGAUGUUCGAUCUAUUAGACAUUCUCAGGUGAACGAGUCAGGAGACUAGUGCCGGAUUCGUGUUAAAGUGUAACUUUUGCAGUUUUUCAUCAGUCAGCUUCUGUUUGCUGCACGCAAGUUAGUGUUCACCAGUCCUUAGACUUACGUCUGUUGGAUUUCAAAUGGUCCCAGUUGUAAUCCUGUGACAAGUGUAGACAUAGUCUCUAAGAAGCAAGCUACUCUCUGCUUGCGUUUCAGUUGCUUUGUAGCUGAUCAUUUCCCUCCGGAGUCUCCAACAGGAGAAAAAGGAAUUUGAAGUUUGGUUGUGCACAUGUCUGGGUAUGUGAAAAUCUUCAUUUGGGAAGCUCGCGACUUUGCCAUUUAACAAAAGACACUUGACACCUUUUUCAAUUUCCGAAAAAAUGACUGCCACUCACGUUGCAAGUAACAAGAGAUCAUCCACCUCAUUCCCCGAGUUCGUCACAGCCCCUUGUAAGCGAUGGAAAUCCGAAGCGGCCUGGCAUCACGUGGAAGAAAUAGUGCCAGAGCCACCGCCUGCACAGGAUUUUGAUCUCAAGGUAAAAACCUGCUAUUCAAAUAUGGUGCACCCAGAGCCCACGUCGGUGUUGGAUUUGCAAACCAGUCCAGGACGGUCUUGCUCGUCGACGAGCCUGAGCUCGGGGACGGACUCCCCUCACUCCGUCUCCACAGACUCUUCCAAUUUCUCCACCACUCUGCAACAAGUUGAGCAAGAUGACAUCGCUAACUGGGUGGACUGCAUGGGUUUGCCCGAAUUUGAAGAAUGUGGGCGUCCUUUGGAGGAGGUUCUAAAGUCCGACAUCGACUUCAAUACCACUGACAUCGACUUCGGCUUCGAGAUGACAAGUUUGGAACAUUGCAGUGCCGUUGCGGAGCAUGAUUUCUCCGUGAGCCUUUUGUCUGACUUCCUCGGGGAGCCCGAUGAGAAUCUCCUUCUCCCGGAGAGCUUCCACUAUGCAAAGAGGUUGCAGGAAUUAGACGAUUCACUAUCGUCAAUGUUGAAUGAGGUACGAUCGAGCGGCUCAGACUCGGAGAGCAGCAUCCCGACGACAGCCGAGCUCGUUAGACUUGUUGAAGCGCAGUCUUGCGAGGACUUAGGAAGACAAAGAGCUUGUGGCGCCAGAAACCACCACCACAGCCGCGCCGGGAGCUUGGGCUCGACGAGCGAACCGCAGACCUUGCAGCAGCCUGAAAACAGCGGACUGCAGCUGGUGCAUCUACUGUUGGCGUGCGCUGAAGCGAUUGACAAAUCCCACUUUCACAAAGCAAAUCCUAUUUUGGACCAAUUGGGCAGAUUCUCCAACGCUUACGGUGGCCCCAUGCAACGAAUCGCUCUCUACUUCGGAAACGCCCUCAGCAAUCAUCUCGCCGGGGUUGUCAGCCCCACUGAUCCCCACUCGCCCUCAGAUUCCAAGUUCGCGUACCAAGCCUUCUACAAAAUUCUUCCGUUCGCUAAAUUUUCACAUGUCACGGCGAAUCAGACCAUAUAUGAGGCAGUUCUGAGGAGCCAGAACGUUCAUGUGGUUGAUUUGGACAUUCAACAGGGACUGCAGUGGCCAUGCUUCAUACAGUCCCUGGCCAUGCGCCCUGGGGGUGCUCCUCACCUCAGGAUCUCGGCGGUCGGGAUGAAUAUGGAGAGUUUGCAGACAACCAAGCGGUGGUUAACAGAAUUUGCUGAAGACCUCAAGGUGCCAUUCGAGUUUACCCCAGUUCUCUCGACUUUGGAGAAUCUCACCCCAGCGAUGUUGAAUAUUCGGGCUGAUGAAGAUUUGGCCAUCAACUGCUCCCAAGUGUUGCACACACUCUCCGGAGACGAGGCCGUUUUAGAAAAGUUGCUGUGCAUGUUUCGUAACCUAAGACCGAAUGUGGUGACACUGCUGGAGGCCGAAGCUAACUAUAAUGCGGCCUCGUUCAUUACGAGAUUUAUCGAGGCACUGCACUAUUACUGUGCGCUGUUCGAUUCUUUGGAAGGAGCGUUAGGUCGCGACAGCGCAGACAGAUUCCAUAUUGAGAGCACGGCAUUUGCUGCCGAGAUUAAUGAUAUCCUCGCAAGUAAGGACAGUAGUCGGCGUGUGCGACAUGUGAGGUCAGAGACAUGGCGAGCCUUGUUUAAGAAAGCUGGAUUUCGAUCUAUGGCUUUCAGUUCGUAUACUGUACGGCAAGCUCAGAUGCUGCUGGAGAUCUUGACCUCGAAGCACUUGAUGCAAGCUAACUCUCCCAUACCGUAUAAACUUUCAGAGGAAUCAACAUCUCUGAUUUUAGGGUGGCAAGAAACUCCUGUGAUUGGUGUGUCUGCUUGGAGUUGUUGACACCCUCGAAUGGGAGCCCUAAACAAUUAGAUUGAAAAACUGUGCAUAAUUGUACCAGUACUUGUCAGUUAGGCGGCUGUCGUAGGUUUAGGCGGUGAUGAAUGAAGCUUGCGGUGGAAGCUCUGAGGUGGUGAGAUCAUACCGCCAGUGACGAGAUGAGCCUGCACCAUGCGCAAUCUUCGCUCGAGUAGUUGUUCUAGUAAAGUAUCAGUGUAUAUAAGUUCAUAUAAUCGUGUCAGACUGGUGGGAUCACGGUGCCAACUUUGUUCCAUCGCAGAUUUCUCUUCGCCCAUAGUGAUUUACAUGUUACAAUGCAUUAAGCAGUCUACGAAAAAAUUAAACUCAGUAAUGUUCCGUCAGGCUUUCAGCAUCAUUUCUUGUACACAAGCACUGAGCAAUUAUUAAUUGAACAAGCAUCCAAGAAUCAGUUCAAUCCACAUAAGCACAGGAAUCUAAAUAAGAUAAGUGGACCCUUGGCUACUUCAGAGUUGCUCUGAAAAUGUUCCUUGACCUGCCGUAAACAUUGCCUCCUCAACUUCUAAAACAUCAUCACUUGCCACUGACUCUGCAGAGAAUUCAUUACCAGCACUCAGAAUGUUAACACCAAGAAGAACAAAACACCGUCAAGACCCUGUUCAGAGUUGAAGCAGUACUAACAGAGAAACCUCACUUGCCUCCAAAGACUGUUCCUGUCUCAAUGCCCCCGCAACCACCUGAAAAAUUAAUCCUUAACUACAAUGCAGCUGAAGUCUCAGGCCUGCAAUCAGUGACUUCCACCUCUACAGCUGAAGCAUUAGUUUGCUGACCACUAAGUGUACUGCAUGUCAGGGUUCAUUAGCACGAAAUGAAACAAAGAAUGCAGUUGGAAACAUUUGAGGCAAACCGCAUCUGUACAGAAAAGUAGCUACAGUUAAUAACAUCAAACUCUUGAGGCAAACCCUGCAACGUUCAAUCACAAAAAUUCUGCCAUAAAAAGGGUUUAGUUCAAAGGGUUCAUCAUUCACAAGUAGGGUUUCAGCGCUUGGCACUGUUCCUCCUCGGCACCUGACUAUUACUGGGCAGUGUACCAUCCGCGAAGGGGUUUGGGGAGGAGGCCACACUGGGAGGUUUCCGUGACGGUGGGGAAUUGGGGCUGAGAGAUUUCUGGGAAAGGGGGAGACUGCCUCGCUUUGUAGAAAGGGAGUUGCUGCCUGAGGAAGGCACAUUGGUUGUUGGUGCUGAACCUGAUGAAGCAGGGGGUGUAAACCCACUAGUACCUAAUUGUGACUUGGUCCUGCUUAGAGUUGCCGACCUGGAGCUCUUCCCCGAAUCAGUGCCCUGCCGCGGAGCGUUUGUUUUACUAGUGGAUCCCUUUUUGGAAGCAUUGGAGGAGCUUGAAUCAGAUGCAGAUGUUGUCGAACCACUUCGACCUGUAGCGUCUGCACUCGACUUUCGCAGACUCUCAAUCUUGGCCCGUUGUAAGUUGUCAUCCAUCUUACGCUUUUCCUCCUGCCAGAGGAUAGUCCAACCGAAGGCCUCUGUUUAAUUUUUUAAAAUAAAAAGAAUGGACGAAGACAGGACAUCAUAAUCCUUUAGUAUUACAUGCGUGGAAACGGCAACAUUGUGCAUCGAAGGCGCCUUAAACUACAUAUCUGCAUGAUACAUGCAAAAGUUGUGAAGUCCCUUCCAGAUACUGUACCUGCUCUUCUUUGCUAAGCAUGUUCCAUUCCUCGUCCUCACGAAGUUUGUCCAUUUUCUCAUAUUCAUCCUGCAGAAGUUGGCACCCAAGUUUAAGUCCUCUAAAAUUAAUCAAUCUAUCUUAGGAAGUCAACCUUACUGGAGGCCCACUCUAAAACACAACGUACAGAGCUGCUAAUUAUGUUACCUGAGCAGAGGGGUGAUCAUGUGAUGGAUCCCUGUCGAGGACGAAAACUCGUUUCUGACUAUCAGAAGCAAUGCGUGCAGCCUCUACUACUUCACGAUCAGUGUCGUUCAACCUCUGGGUAGCCAGGUGGUUGAUUCUCUCAAGUAGAGCCACAUCAUCAGGGAGUCUUAUUACUGUCCUAAGAGGGUUGAUUAUCUGACAGGCUCUCAUUCGAAUGCUCGGCACUGGAUCCUGGAAUCCUCGCAUGAUCCACAACAGAGACGAAACAUGUCAACCUAGGGGGUAUUUGGGAUGCUAUCAUGUGGACUAUUUCCAUGAGAAACCACAAGGGAUACUAUGGUGUUGACAGACAAACCUGGAGGGCAUUGAUGGCCAACUCCAGGAAGCUCUCUUUGAACAUACGAGAACUCGCAACUCUGCAGCUCUACAAUAAAAAACUAAGUUAGCAUGUGAAUUAUUUGAUUUGAAAAAUACAGAAUCAAAUAAGCUAACAGUCUGAGCAUGGCGGUUUCAAUUUUAUGCAAGAUAGCUGCGGAGGAAUCUCCAACGUUAUUGAAUAAUGCGUAGAAAAGUUUCUGCUAUAGAAAUUCAUUUUCACUGAGGGGUUGGUUUACCUGAGAAAACUCUCGCAGAAGUCGAUGUAAAGCAAACGCGACCAAUAGCUUUGCCCUUGCCCAUACUCUUUCACCACUUUCUGUGCAAGUUCAUAACGCUGCUGAAUCUUGCAGUUAUUCCUGAAGAUUUGAUAGAAUAUUCAAUUAAUAACUCAGCUGAGCAAUACCUCUUCGCAUAACAUUCUAGGCUUAUAAUCGAAAGUUCCUCAACAGCAGUGAAAAGAGCCACGCAACAAAAAUAUGAAACGAAUCUCCAACCAAUCAUCUGAGAGAAGAAAACGAUAUUGUACCGGAGAAACACAGCAAGCGCUAAAGCCGCUGAAAUCUUGACCGGUGGUACACCAUCCGCCAUAUAACGGAAACAAAUAGGCACAAAAUUCUCGUAAAUCUGGUCACUGGUCAAGUACUCCUGCAGACAUCAACACGGGAUAAGAAAUCAUCAUUGGGCCCCAAACCUCGAGUUCUCUGAACACCAUAAAAGGAGAGUACAUGUACGUGUUCAAGAUGUUUUCGAGCAUAGAAGAGUAGAGAGAAGCUUUACUGCUAGUAGUGGAAAAGCUUGGAGGAGAGAGCGCUGCAUCCGCCAUUGAUUGGUGCCACUAACGCUCUUCUCAGCUUGCAGCAAUGAAGGAAUCAUGUUUGCGUAGGUUGUGGCUUUUGACUGUGUAUUCGACACACUGAAGUGCCCUGGUGGAAUCCAGCCCACCAAAUUCUAAUCUCUGAGUCAAAGUUGCGUUCACACGAAUUCAAUACGUAAGCCAAUGCGUGCCUGGCGAGCUUUAAGCCUAAAAAUUUCAUCGCCCCCUCGAUAAAGGGAGUUAUCAAACCUAAGACAACGUGAAGGAUGCCGAACAGCUUGGACUGCACAAGCAGAGCCGGGUCCUUCAAUAGACUGUAGAAGCUUUCUCUCAAGUAAGAAGCUGUACGCUCUUUACCAAGGAUCUUUGCCACCUGCAAAUUGAACAAUCGCAUAGAAUUGGUGUGCUAGAGAAAGGACAUCCACGGGUACAGAAGUGAAUGAGACCUCUCAACACGUCAAGACUACCAACAGACAUAAAGAGCCGAGUCCUUUAAUGAGUAAGAAACCGAUUUCACAGACAUGAUUGUGAUAAAAUGAAAUACAAACCUCAUGUAAGCAGGCAGCUGCGGUGCAGCGAACAAUUGGAGAUGUAUCUUGUAUAUAUUGGAGAUAGGUGGCAUGUAACAUAGUUGAGUAUUUGCGUGCACCAAUUGUCUUCAGAAUGGCAGGAAAGUUGUAAGCACAAAGCUGCAAUACAACACGAAUCCCUCAAAAAUUAGCGUGAUCAACCUAGCAGUGUGCAUGUCUUGAUUUAAAAACCACCACCGGCAACUUCAAGCGACAAUCACUUCAUUAAAAUCUUACGAAAAUAAACCAAACUCAAAUAUUGAUUGUUUCACAAGGAGAGUCUUCUAACAGAAGUAAAUCAGUGCACGCAAGUUUCCUCUGACUGUACCUGACGCACGUCCUCAUUGGCUUGCUGAGACAAUAUUUUAUACGCGUCCAGCAAGAGCGUCGCUUCAUCUUCUAAUAAAUCUGGCACCAUCUGCAAGCAUGUAACAACUAAGCUUCUCAAACAUUAAGCAGCAGAUGGGGUCUUAAAUGAGUACUGUCUUGGAAGCAAAAGUGUUUGCAAACCAAGAUACAACACAAAAGAAGACAAGCUGAAGCAAGAGCUUGCAAGGUUCAGAGUCCAAAAUGGCUUUUGUUUACUAUCAAAAAGUUGGAACGUGGUAGAGGGAAGAGAGUGCAUGAGAAUGGGCUUCUAUAAAAUGACAUAACUGUCUUGCUUGUGCCGGUCUGUUCUCAAAAUCAACCAGAGCAUUUAAACAUAUUCCGAAACGUGCAAACCUAAUCACAAGUUUUGUGUGGCUGACCUUUAUGAUAAUGUCUCCAAGUAAUCUGGCAAGGCAGACAUGCAUAGCAGCAUUCCCCUCAUCACAUAAUCUGCAGUAGGUAGAAAUCACAAGAAAGUAAAUAAAUAAACAAAGAACAAAAUAAAAACAAAACAAAAGGACAAAAAGACACAGUUCUUGAACAUUAUACUGAUUAAUCUAGCGAUAAUACAGUAACCUGACAUUGGUUUGGCCCACAAUAGUUCACGCGCAAGGACAGUUAUGACUUUGAUAGUACAAUGCAGAGGGUAGAAAUCGUUCACUUUCGCAACUUGUUAUGUGUGGUCCAAUACUCUGGAAGAGACCAGAUCUCUUAGACUUGUAUUGUAUGUGUAUUCAAGUGACGACAACCAAUAGGUGGGUUCAUUUUAUGUGAUUUCACAAGGGCGUUGUAACCAUUGCUAUCAGAUGUUAGUGUCGAAACCGUUGCCACUAAAAUCAACAAGGUGGCACAGGAUUUUGAAUUAAUUCGCAGGGGGUAUUGACGAGUCUGACCAGCUUGAGGGAGGCAAUAUACUGAGCAAGAGGAGUUGAGGGGCGCACGAACGGAGGAACGGCAACACUUGAAUCUGACGAAUGUCAGGGGGUAAGAACCCCAGCAACUGCACCAGACUUUCCACCGCUGCGGACUGUACCACCAAUUCUUCGUCUCUCAGCAAUUCAUUGAGCUCCGGAAAUACAAAUAUCUGCACGUAGAACAACAAAUUGUCGAAUCAUUCUGUAGAAGUUGAGUUUGUUCCAUUAAUAGAUGUCCUGAAAAAGAUUGUCUGAUGCGAGGAAAGAGACAUAUCAUCGUCACACAAGCACGAGGCUCCUACGAAUAUUAUGGUGCUACUCCAAUGAUAUAACUGAAGUUACUGGAUUGUGGUGUUACCAUGAAGGUGUUCAAACCAACAGAUCGAGAAAUGUUGUUAAGCUGCUCGCACAUGCACGUCCGCACUUCAGAAUCUGUGUCCUGUGACCAAGUCUCGUAUGAGUUUCGCAAUAAGGCUUGUUGAAAAUGGUGAAGAAUAAUGAUAUACAAAUACAGACGCAGAAGACAACUGGAAAAGUCAGCAUCAACCUGACAAAGGCCCAUAGCUUUGUGCAAAUACGUUUGCAAGAUAAGCUUCCCAUCAAGGAAGGGUGCAAUGGCUCCGAAUAUGCUGCUUGCAACAACAUGAGCCUGCUUACUCUCUUCUCCCUGCGCUCUCGCAAGCGCCAGUUGUAACAGGUCCUCGGUGAGCAUCUAUUACGCUCAAAAACAGAAACUACGAGUGUAAAUGCACGUUGGUUUUGAAGACUAGGGGAAACCAUAUAUUAAUUUAUUCGUAUUCCGUAAUUAAUAAACUAGAGUCUAAAUUAUAUAUAGGUGUCCGUGAGGGAUUACCUGUUGGGGUACCACCGGCACUAGAGCCCGCAUCGUCCCCAGCCAGGAUUUCAUGACUUCAGGGGUGCGAACACCAUUUAUCAUACGAAAAGCUAUGGGAAAAAACCAAUCUGGCGCCUAUGCUUCCAAUUCCACCAUGCACCUCUCCCACCAAGUCAGAUUUGUUUCUAUCGAUCGAUUCAAUUCCUCUCCAAACACUUCCAUUGUCACUCACCACAGUUUAUGAAUCAACAUGAAAUUUUUAACAGAAUUACUUGAUACAGAUAUUGGUGAUUACCUCUUUCGACAAGGAUGCAUCUAGCAGUAUUGUAGUAAGAGCCUCAGCUGCCUGAAUCUGCAGCAUUUGCAGAAUUGAAGAUCACGUUUCAGAACCACUUCGAAAUCUGUUGCUUCGAACCAAACCCCAAUCUCUGAGUAAAGGUGAAGAAUUGGCUUAAAUACAAACCUGGCAAUGUUCACUGUAUUCAUCAAGGCUUGCAGUGAGAGUAGGAAAUAUGGCUUCAUGCGCCUUUGUUCCAUACUCAUUGAAAAGGGAAGGUAGCUUCCCAAUUGCGCAGCUAUGCUGUAGCUGCGGAAAACCAACCAAACCAGAAUGUUAAGCUACUUGUUGUUAAGAUGAGCAUGUUUUUGUGUUAAAAAUAACCAAAUUCAAGAGCAUUUUUAUAAGUCGGGACUGUUGAAGGAUGUCAUAUCUGCAUUCUCACACCACAGAGAAUAUCCUUUCAAGCAUUGCAGCUUGGAAGUAUCCCUUAAAUGAUUUCUGAUCUUUCAACUUACCGGAUGCGCGUUUGAAGCCAGGAAUAGGCAGGCUCUUUCAAUGUCACCGAGAUUCUCAUCCACAGUGAGUCUCUCGAUCUCCUCCCCACUUCUCUCAGCAUCUCUUCGAUGCUGCAAGAUGAGAUGUGCAGAACCCAUUAAUUGCCAAACAUUGGAAGUAUGUGAAAAUCUCAAAAAAUAUGCGUCAAAUUUAUCUAGACUUCAUGAUGGAGAAAAGACAUGGUGUAUGGUACCUCUUUAGUGGCAUCUUCAAACGAAACAUCGACCGCCUCAUUCACCUCGUGCCACAUCACGACAUGUGAAAGCCCCUGGUUACUUUUCUGCCACGCCGGCUUACAUCUCCCCACCAUAGUGCAAUGUGUAUUAACUCACAGGCUGCGUCAAAGGCCAUGGCGUCCAUCCCGUCACUCUCACCCUGGUCCUCUCUGAUCGUAAUGCAGGCAUAUCUUGAACCACCACAUCUUCGCUUAUACAGCAAUUAGGGUACGAACUGGGUGCACUAACACAUCAAUAAUCACACAAUCUGCUUACCCUAAAAACAAUAAAUUCCAAAGAGGACGCGAGAUGCUACGGGGACCCUAAAAAUAGAGUGACGAAGUCGAAAUUUUCACAACGACUGCAAAAUCCCCUUCAUCCUACGAUAGCUCAAUGAUCAGAAUUGAAUUAAGAUGACCCCCCUCUCGUAAUCGCAAACGUUCUACGCGAAGGGUUAUGCUGAUACGAUCCACAGUCACGCUAGCAGAUGUUGUACGUUACAUUUUGGAUUCAUGGGUUGCUACACAUGACGUCUGGAAUGUUUAUGAGACAACAUCAACGGUGAGCCAAGGGGUGACAUAAUGCUGGGACUAUGGGCACAGAUCCUGGAACUAUACGUUAACAGGAGUUAUCAGACCAGAAACGAAAGCGAGCUUCAUUUGGCCCAUGUGCCUGCUUAGAGGAGCCCCAACCAAUGGCGGCGAGACUAAUUUCAUUGAAGGGCAUUAGGGCACACUCCUCACGAUCCAGUUUCCAUUCUUUUCACACCUCCCACACGCGGAAUCAUUUCCGCUCAGGGUGCAUCUCGCUCAACAUCGGUUAUUGAAACAACACAACCACUUACGUACGUCCCGUUUCAUACACCAACUGUCUACAUGGCAGUCCUACGAGUACCUUAGUUUUUUUCUAAGUGGAGGGACUAUUGAUCGUCGCUUCUCAGAACAUUGAAUCAGACUGUGAGCAAGAUUGAAACCUGAUCUUUCAAACCUUCGAAGCCAUUUGAGUUUUCUUUUCUAUUCUCUUACAUUUCAGUGCACAACAAAUUACGUAUCAGUUUCGAGAAAGUGGAAACCAAGGUGUAUAAAAACCACUUUCGUCUUCCAAGAAUUUACGUUGCCUUCGACCUUCCAAAGUUGACAACAAUGAUGGAGUGAGAUAGUAGGCCAGAAUGACCAGUUGCAUCGUCCUGGAAAUAGGGUCUAGCCAUGAAAGUUCUGAAACGAAUCGUCAUUUGAACAGAAUGCGGUCACUGACUCCUCCACCCUACUUUCAUCCUGAACUCAAACACAGGCACUUCAUACCCCAACCCACUCCACCGCAGUACACGAGACAAUGGUGCCUCCCUCCUCGCAGCCCCUCUUCGUUAUUGGACAACGGUUAAGCGUGUGCCGUGUAUCUGGCCAUAGGCACCAUUGACCUCCAUGUCCGCGCCUGACGGGACCAAACAUAGACCCGCAUUAACUCCAGUUCACCACUCCGGGCUUCGAAGCAUCGAUAUCCCUCCGACGGAUUGAUGGGUUUCAACGCGGUCGGAUGGACCAGGUCCAGCUGAGUCGCACUUCAAUGCGCACAGCUCAGAGGACGGCUUCGCGGCGUCCACCGAAGUAGUGGCGAUGGAGGGACGUAGCACUGUUGCCAUCGCAGAGGUCCCAAGGUCAGCUCUUUGAUUGACAGCUUAUACAAUUUUUUCCACCUCCAGUUCGGACUUUCGCUUUCUGCCAACCACUGUAGUUGCAACCGAUAAGCACCUUCGUACUCGGGGAAAAGCGUCUUCAGUCGUGCAGGCGAUCAGCGCGAAUCCCGAUAAGUACACGUGAAGGCAGCAGAAACACGGCGCGAGAGGUACUGCGCUGCACGAUGCAGCUUCUGUGGGCUCUCAUUUCGGCACUUCGAGACGGCUCAUCUCAGAGUCUUGGAGCUGAUCUCGUUUCUUGAGCUUUCACAACGAUGCCGUCUGGCAUGCCUUGCUGCAUGUUAUGUUUCGAAAAACACACACACACACACACACUAAUACAUGUAUGUAUGUAUGUAUUUAACAAAGAGAGAGAAGUUAGUACUGUACAAUGUGUAUUUAGUUCCAGUACAAUAUCUUUGUUUCUGUCAAGUUAUCUAGAAGAGCAUUUUACGUUUGAUCAUUCUAUCUUUGAGACAUUCAGAAGCUUUCCACGAGCAUUUGUGCACAUUUCGAUGAAUUCACAUUUCCGAAACAAAAUAUCUUUUCAUGUAUUGAAUGUGUGUUCACCUUCAUUUGCUUUAAAAUGACAAUAUUGAACGAUUUUAUCGUUACAACAAGCUAUUGUAAAGAUUGGUUGGGAUAAGAGAAGAAAACACAUGCACCUCCCAAACAUACACAAACAUGCUAUACUUGAAUAAUCACUUUAGACAACUUUGGCACCACAUUUUUGAGUUAGAUUCAAGAUUGUUGAAUGUUAUACAUGGGAUUCAAACUGCCUAUGCCCCACUUCUAUUGUGGGAUGUAAGAUAUUCGUAAUCCUAUCUAACACAAAAACAAAUGUAAAAGUAUGAUUGAUUAGGAACUGCGCUAUUUUUAAGCCAUAACAAACUGUAACUUCAAUGCUCUUCAAUGCAGCGUAAGAGGGAUAGAAAUCUAGAUACAGAAGGUGCAUUGAUUGUAGGAUUUCGUUGAUGCGGUUAAUUGAUUCAAUCAAUACCACUGGAAACAAAAGCGAAAGGCAUAUUCUUCAAUAGAAAACUCUGAACCAACUAUGAACUCUGAUCAACAGGAUUUAUAACCGAGGUUGUGUCAAGCCGCAAAUCUACGCACUGCCCCAGAGAUAAGCAUCUCGACAGUUUCGGGACAGCGAAGGCGUCGAUCGGAACUCGCAAUACGCGCAGUUGCAGCAAUAUACACUGUACAGAUCAAGCGCAGGAGUUCGUGUCUGGAGUCCCUCGUGGGUUGUGUAACGCAUAACGACAAGAACGUGCUUGUCAUAACCCAACACUCAAGGCAAAUGGAUCGGGAGAGCUAGGGAAGUUUAGACCCGCGAGUACUUGGCAAUCUGGAAAGUACAUCUGUUGAUUUUAUGUACACUGAACGCGGCGGUCGAUCUCGGCUUGGACAGUCACGCCCGCCAUGCACUGACACCCACAAGCGGCGUGUUGUCCCAACCGAGGACAAGAAUGCCAUUUUCAGUUCGUAGGUUGUAACCGCUCAGAGAGAAGUAAAUUUCGAGCAGAGCCCGCGCUUGGCUGAUGGCCCGGGUACUGAGAGGCAUUGGCCGAAACCCUGCCAGUUCCAUCCGUCGCGACCAGUUCUUCAUCGGCUCGUGCCGAGUUAUCCGAUCCUCGCCUUCGCACGCCACGAUGUUGCGGAUCUUCUGCCCCGUGAAGAGAUGCUCCACUUGUUGGAGAGCUGGGGAGCCAGAGGGCAGCGCAGCGUCAAGAGCAUCAUAGACCGCGGAGUAGUAGCGCAGGCACUCGAAGAAGCGGUUGAGGAAUUUCGGGCUGUUGUGAUCCGCAUCGUUUUCGGAGAAUGCCACUACGCGAGGGUUCAGCGACCGGAGAUCGCACAAGAAUCUGUGAAACCGCUCGUCACCCCAUGUAAGCAGCUGGUGGAACUGGUUGGCGCUGUUGAUGCAGAGCACUUCCCAAUCUCGCAAGUCCAGCAACCGCACGUCGAAGGACUUCAUGUCGACAACCAGAGGGCAGAAUUCGAAGGGAACUUGCAAAUUGCGAGCGAAAUCUUGUAACUUCUCCCUAGAUUGCUCAAGAUCAUCAAGUUUCCCGAUAGAAGUGAUCCUUAGGUGGGGUGGUCCCCCAGGCCGCAAGGCGAGAGAUUGGAUGACAGCCGGCCACUGCAUUCCCCGCCACCCGGUGUUCAAAUCGAUCACGUGAACAUGUUGCGCGCCUUCAACUGCGUCGAGUAUAAUCUGAUUCAGAGUCAGAUUGGGGAAUUUGAUGAAUGGAGUGUAGUCAUAAAUCACACUGAAAGAAUGCAGCAUGUCCAGAAUUGCAACAUCACCGUCCUUCUCCAGCCCCUUGUAACGCCCACUGUCAAUAGAAUUUGUUAUCCGUGCGUAUAGCGCAUCCACAAGCACAGUACCAAGGCGCUGCAUUGUGGUGGUACAAUGACCAAGCAUCCCAUUGAGCCGCCUCAGAAACACAUACGCCACGUCUAUCUGCUGGUUGGAAAUGGCUUCCGCGCAUGACAGAAGGAGUUGUACGAUCUGCAAUCCAGUGGCGGAUGUUGGCUGACUCUGUCUAUUAGACGCAGUGUCCAAAACUUUGAUUAUUCCUCCGUCGCCAAGGAAAUUCUGCUGUAAAAUUGGCAUGCUCUCAGCUCCAGAUGACAAAGAGUUACUCUGCACCUCCAUGCACCGACCUUCGUUGUAGACUUGGCCACACAGUAGCAACCCCCCCGUGUAAAGAUCUGCAACAUACUCCGGCCCCGACCUCAAUUCCCCCAGAGUGUCAGUCUGCAACUCCGUGGCGCGCUCGUCCACCUUGUAGAGAGUUGUGAUCGACGGCCACGUCGAGAGCUGUGGAUGUUCAAUAUUCUUACCACUUUCGACAAAUAAAGCCUGAUGCUGCUGGUCCGCACCGGCGAGUGUAUCCCGUCCGACUGGGGAGAUCCUUGAGAUAACCUCGGUGAAAGCAUUGCUCCCCGCAGCAAUUGUGGGCUGACUUCCUUGCAAGUGGAAAUCCGACCCUUGGUAGUCCCCUUUCGUGCCGACGAGCGCCUGUGGCAGAGAGUAUUGCACUAUUUGGGGAGAUACUGCAGGAAAAUUGAGGUGGUUCUGCGAAGGAAGAGCAGAGGGGCGAAGAGACGAGAACCCGGGGUUGUACGAUCCCACCUUAGCCUGCAACAUUCUGUUGCUCAAAUUCGAGUUCUGUUCCUGGAUGUCACACGGCGACUGCGGCGGCUGACAACUGGAAUAAUCCCGGCGCGCAUUAUCCAAGUCCUGCAACAACUGCGGAAACUGCCGGUAGUGCAGAAGCUGCUGUUGCGGAACCGCGACACCCCAGGGAUCCGAAAUUGGUUGAGUACGCUGGCUAAAGAUCGAGGUUAAGUCCCCAUCUGCCAUGUUCUCGUAAGAUUAGUGUGCACACUCAGAUUGUACGUCAGCCUAGUAUCCUGAGUUGGUGUAAUCGAGUGGGGUCUACUGUCAUAACAAUAUCCCCCGAAUUUCUACGAAGGAUUCAGACAAGUCGUUCAUUCCUUGGAACCUGUUAUUCUCGAGUCCGUGCCUGUGCCUGGUGCUGAGCAACCAGCCAGGGCACAUAGAACAAAUCUGGCCCAUUCCCAAGCCGCACGCAAUCAUCAUGCACUGAAUCAUUCACUAGAUUUGAAAGGUACAACCUUUUAAGGCCAAGCAGGACGUGGGAUUUCGAUGAUCUUUGCCCGAACUACUGCAAUCACACUAGCAAGAGUUAACAUCCAUUGAGGCCAACAACCACACCAGGUCACAAACGUUCAUGACAUAACCCUGUUAGACACAUUAUUCUAGAGAAAUUGGAUAGGAUUAGAAGAAUCGGGCAUACUUGCAUUGUGAAUACAGGAAAACUGCAAACACUCAUCUUGAAUCUAUCCAAAAUAUGCCCGAAGCAUUCGAAUAGAUUAAGAAGAUUGUCGACUGCAAAUCAUAGAACAGUGAGGCAAGAAUCACCAGAUGAAUAUACUUCUUUAAAAAAAAAAUCCUUUCGGCAGAAAAGUGUCCUCUACUGGUGUGUUAACUUGAAUGAGGAGACUGGAAAGAAGAAUCCCUUAAGAUUCCCCUGUCUUUAAGUUCAUCACCAUCAAUAGCAGCAUGCACACACCAAUGAGCAGGCCGUCGCACCGCCAAACCUUGACCCCCCCAUCAAUCUAACACUUCUGACAACGGCGAGGGAAUAUUUUCAAUUCAGUAAGCAGUGGAGUCAGACUCACACUGGAUGCCUAGAAUAUUUCCCAACCCUGUUGACCAUAACCUCCCCGACGUCAACUCUUCCAAACAAGAACCAGCGGAUCGAACUCACCCACACAUACCACACUCGACCCAACACACAGACUUCCAGGUACUGACUCCACCGUGCCAGAAUCAAGCCCGCGCCGAAGCCGAACCCCUCUGCGGCUUUCAUCUCGCAGUCGUCACCCAGACACAAAAACCCCGAGCAGAACCCCCUCUUUGUCGGUCCUGAACCCAAUCUCGUCUCAAAACCAGGCGACGUUACAAAAACUGACACUGAAAUUCGAACUGGAUCUCUAAGCUUCCCACAACAACCCUCCGAGAACAGAGCAAUGGAGCUCAGAACUCGGCACAAGCAUCUUCCGCUCGGGAAAUCUGUUGAAUGCUCGGCGCGAGGUCCGGCUGGUGGAGCGGGCAGUCCACAGUCAUUCCUCCCUCUCUGUGUCGUCUAUUUCUACCGCGAACGUACGACAGUUGUUUUAGAAAUCCAACGGAAUCGCAGCGACGGAACUUGGAACUAAACUAAACUGGGCUGGAUACAGUUACCGUGCACAGUGGCAUCUCCUGAUGUCGAACACUGUAUACUUGCUUGCACCGGAUCGUGCUGGACGCCGUCCGAUUGUUUUGGGGCUAUUUCUUCUUCUGCUUCGUCUGCCUCUCCUUCUUCGUCCUCGUCGUCAUCUUCGUCGUUUAAUUUGCCCAAGAUUCUAUUUUGUCCCUGCCAGUCGUGCAGUGUCCAAGACUCUGAGGAUGGAGAGCAGGAUCCGGCAAGAUUGUCCGAUUGUGGAUGUUGGGAAUUUUGCCACAUGUGCGAGGAAUGAUACCGGAUUUUUUACAGCAGGGCACCGUUUUCAUCUGCUCAUGGGGCGUAUCUACUAGGUUCUGAUUCCUGGUCCCGAUUUGGAUCAAAGGCUAUUCGACAUCCGGUGCAGGACAAUUUUCCCGCUGUGGAUGCUCUUCAUUUGAUUUUAUGCAACACCAAAUACUAAAGCAGCCUUUUUUUCUAUCUCUGUCAGGGUACUUCACAAUGGAAAAAUUAGAGAUUAAGAUGAAUAGUGUGAACUAGGGUACACAAAUAUAAAAAAAUCUCAUUUAUUUAGAAUAUACAAAGUAUUAAUAUACAAAGGUUUACGAUUUGCUGGUUAUUUCCUGAAACAAAUAUGAAUUCAAAAAGAAAAAUUGGUUGUUUAUAUAUAUAGAAGUGUGUACUUGACUUUUCUGGACAUGUGCAAGCAUUAGAGUAGGUGGUUUUGAUAAUGAAUGCAUGCGUGGAUGGAUGAAUGGAAGAACCGUACGUUUAGGCACCAAGAUUUUUUUUUCUUUGAAGUUUACAGUAUGCUAAAAAUACAAAGUUGCAUCCUUGUUCUUUUUAAAUGAAUCUGACUUACUGUCACGAUGUAUGGUUUAAAGAUGCUAUAUCAAAUGGUUUUUAAACUCGAUUCAUUGUAUGCAUGCCAUGUUAAUCACGUACCAUUGGUUUUUGCGGCAAAAAUAUAAGUAAUUUUAUCACUAUAAUUGGUUUCUAAUAACUUAUAAAAAUCGAAAUUCUUUUUUGUUAAAAAUUAUGUGUAAGAAUGAAUCUAUAUACAUAUGUAAGAGUUUUUUAUAUAUAUAAAAAAAAAAAAAAAAAAAAAAAUCAAUAUACAUACAUAUGAUUUAUUUUUUAAAAAAUGUUUGUUGAAACGUUCAAAAACCUCAUAAAGACAUAAUAAAGUGAAAUAAAAUAAUAGAAAAACAGCUUACAAUAUUUUUAUGUUAAAUUAUAAGUGGUUAUGAAGGAUAAAUGACUCGGAUCUCAAAUAAGUACAAAAUCUUAUCUAAAGCAUAUACACGCCGAACUCUAUAAAUAGACAAUGCAUACGAAGCAUCAAAAUCUGCCUGCCAAGGAAUACUUAAAAACAUGUCUAGGCAUGUCCUUCAAAACUACAAGAAUAAACAAACAAACGAAACCGAAGCACACCCCUAAGUAGGCCACAAGGCGCAGAAUAGAGAUCGGACACACCAUCGUGGAAUCAGGCUUUUCUCCCUUGCUUCAGCAUUCGGUAGAGACUCGGGCUUGAAAUGGAUCCCCGAAGCGAAGCCUACCCCCUGCACCACCGUCUUCUAAGUAGGAAAAUAAACCAGCUUUCUGGUGGACUUGGGGCACACAUCGGAGAUGCAAGAUGGGGAGUUCGUAGCCGGAAGGAUAGGUGAUGGUCGGAUGGUCCGAUGGUCCGAUGGUCUGAGGGGUCUGUCCCAGUUAACCGCAACGCAGGUCUCGUCGGACUGGCUGGCUGGCUGGGCUAGUGGCGAUGAUGCAAGCCAUACACGUCGCAGUGCCCACAUCGCCUUCCUGCCUGCCUGCCCAUCUACUUCCUCGUUUUUCUUUCUGUUUUGUGCUGUCUCGAGAACAUCGGCGGGUUUGUUUUGUCUGGUUCGGUUAACCGUUGGAGCCGCAUCUCCGCAGCUCCGCGGCUGGCUUCGGACAGUCCACUACUUGGGACUGUGCAACUGCUGCCAGCUGCGAUGUGCUGUGGGGUGCCCACUUAUCCUCGCCAUCGUCACUGUCGUUGAACUACUACGUCAGCAACGGCAAAAAGGGGACGGAACGGGACGGACAGAAAGGAAGGGAACGAACAUAAUGGAAGAGGACGGACGGAGCGGGAGGGAGGGAUCCGACGGAACGGGGGGGGGGACGAACGAAGCGAUGGAUGGCGGUGACGACGGAUGAGGAGGUUCCGUUUGCUGACUGGGAACGUACAUCCCACGAACACAGUUUCACGCAUUCGAGUAUUCAUAUAUAUAUAUAUAUAUAUAUUAAUAUCGUCAUUCAUUCAUUCUCUCAAGAUGUAUUAUGUCAGACGAGCGGAAGUCUAUUCUGCUGAACUGUUGUAUUCCUUAUUUGAUGUGUUGGUUUAUGUUUUUAUUUAUAUUAUAUUGUAAAGAUUUUUAUUCUUUUGUAUUUAGUGUGUUGACGUAUGGAUUUUGUUAGGAGAAUGAUUAUAAUUGGCAUGAUAAAUGUUUAUAUUACACUGCAUUUUUGUUUUUAUCAUUCGACCAUGCCUACCAAACAUGCAAGCUUUAAGGUACUGCAACCUAUUCUCAACAACCUCCUCCAUUUUGACCUAUAGGGUGGUGUAUUUUUUAUCAACUUGACAUGAUAAUAAUGACCAAUUUUGAUAUCUUAUGGUUUCACAUUACUUAAUUCACAUUUGACCUCAACUCUAUGGUUCCAUUGAAUAAGAAAUUAAGAAUUUCAUGCAAACUCAAAAAAAAUUGUCAGGAAACCAAGCAUUCUUGAUUUUAUAACCAAUCACUGGUUGGAAUUAGGUUGGUCUAUAUGUUGGAUUUGUGUCAAAUAUGAUCUUGAGCUAAAACAUUAAAAGUAAAUAUAUUUUUGAGCAGAAUAAUAUGAAAAUACCUAAAUCCCCCCGAUUUCUAUUUUCCUACACAAGAUUUUUUAGAAAACAAUUUCGUACACAUGCAACAAUUAUGCUAAAAUGCUUAAAUUAUUAGAAAUUGAUCAGUUGCCUUAAUCUUCUUGAAGUGUUGGUGAAAUUUAUUAGCAUUUAUAUUUUAUGCGGGCUACAAAAAUCAUUUGUCUAAAUAUUUCAUAGUUAACUUUAAUAUAUUACUAUCUUUAUUCUACAAAUCUAUACUAAGAUAAAAAUUAAAUAUUAAAUCCUUAGAUAGGGAAGAAAAACAAAAACAAAACAAAACAAAAUAUAGUUACGAUUUAGAAUUUGUAGAUUAAUAUAUAUAUAUAUAUAUAUAUAUAUAUAUAAAACAAGAAAACAAAAAAUAAUGAUAAUUAUUUUUAUAACUAAUUUUUUUUAUUUUUUUUGUAUAAUAGACACUUUUGCAAGAAAAAAAAUUACCACUCUAAAUUAGAUGAAAUAAAGCCAACACUUUUUUAAGAAUAAAUAAAAAAUAAAAAAUAUGUAAUCUUUAGUAAAUUUUAUAAAUAUUAUAACAACUAAGAGAUGAAAAUAAUAAGAUUAUAAUUCUACAAGACCAUGUUACAUAUACAAAUAAAUAAUAGUGAUAAUAAUAAUAAUUAGAAAUGAAUUAGAGCCAAAAUAAAAUGGAUUGCUAAAAGACAUUUAUGUUCCAAAGAGUUAAUUUAUAGAAUGAAAUAAAAGAGAUUAAACAUAUGAAUGUCUAGCCUUUUAAACAAUUAUGAUAUAAGCACAAAAAAUACUAAUAAAAUUUAAAAAAAUAACUUGGAAUAUUUUACAAAAGUGUAUAAGAAGAGAAAAAUAAACAAUCACAUAUUCUGUUUUAUAGAUACGGUCAAAGUAUUACAACCAAAGAAAUUUAAUUCGAAAACUAUAAAUUCUAUCUAAGAAGUACAGUUUAAAAAUAAAUUAAAAUAAAUAAAUAAAUAAAUAAAUAAAUAAAGACAUAAAGGCAUCAUAUAUUUGGUCAAGAAUAAGGUCAAUUAUUUGGUCAAUUAUUUUAUAAUCAAACUAUUAGAAAAACUACUCUAAUCAAUUAUUGGAGGCCUUUCAAGUCUCGUCUUCAAAAAAGAGGAUAGAAGACUAGUCAUAAAUUAAAUACUAAUUAUUCUUCUAAACACCACUUAGGAGAUGUUUAUAAAACUAUUACUACUUAGAAUCCAAACUAUCAUAUUUGACCUAAUUGAUCAAGUCUAAAAUUCUUUCAUGUACAAUAUAUAAUUUACAAUAUAACAUUAGUUGACAAAGCUAUAUAUUAAAUUCGAGAACUACAUAUUAGAAGAAAACAUUUCACCAUAAAAACAAUAAAAACAAUACAAAAUAAAAUCAGUCUCUUAUCAAAUUAAACUUUAUUAAAGCGUAUAACGGUAUUUAAUAGGAUUUUAUGUAUAAACCAAUAGGUGCACUAGGAUAUGGAGCUAAUUAUAUAAGAAUCACCAUAUAUAUAUAUAUAUAUAUAUAUAUAUAUAUAUAUUUUGUGGUGCCAAAAUAAUAAUAAACAUAAACGAUAUAAAAAUCUCUAAAUUGUUUCUUUUAAAAAGAUGUAAUAUAAGGGUGUCAACUAAUUCCCUAUUUAUACAUCAAUAUUAAUGAGGUAUUAAAUUUCAGAUCAAACUUGUCUAAAAACUAUUAAUUGUGAUAACUCUAAAACAAUCUAGAACUAAAAGUCAUUCAGUUGGUAGUCAAUAUAAUGGCAAUUCAACAAUCUUCUUGAAGGACAAUAAAACAAAUGUGAACACAAGCAUAUUGGUAUUGGAAACUUACUUUGCAUCCUAAAAUUUUAACAUAAAUUUUUAAAAAAUUAAUAGCCAUAUAAUAUUCAAAUACACUUUAAUUAAAGUAGAUAAACAAGUAUCAAUAGACAUAGGCUAACAAAAGCAAAAUACAAGCAUAACAUUGGUGAUAUUACUUAGAUAAGAAGAGAAUUCUUCUCUCAUUGGCAAACUUUUGAUAAAAAAAAGUCUAAAAGAAAUUAACUUAUGGAAUUCCAUAUAGUUUUAUUUUUUAAUAAAUAUUAAUUUUUAUUUUUACAUUAUUAAUUUUUAUUUUUAUAUUAUUAUUAUUUAUUAAAUACUUUAAAAAUUAUAAAGAUAAUCUAAAAAAUAGUUAAGAAUAUCAUGUAAAAAAAAUCAAGUUUAAAAUCAUAAUAAGAUGGCAUAUUAUUAGCUAAACUAUAUCCAAAAGCGGCUUAAAUCUUCUUGAUUUUAACCGAUUCCUAAAUACCUUAUCAUUUAUAUGGAUUUUGAAAGUACCUACGUUAUGUCAAUGUAAUCUUUUUGUAAUUUUUAAAUAUUGUGCCUAAUACACACACUUCUUCAAAACAAUGGCACUUGAAUGGACAUUGGAUAGUCAAUAAGAGUUGCCACAAGAUCCGAGAUAUAUUUAAGAAUUGGAAUUUUUUUAAGUUGUAAAAAUAUAUCUACUAAAAAAAAUAUAUUAUAAGAACCUAUUUUGCAUUUUCUACUAUGAUAUAAGAUAUCCUUCCAAUUAAUUAGACCUAUGAUCUCAACAACCCAUGCUAGGAAACUUCAUAGAGUUAAUUUAAGAAAAACCAAAAAAAAUUGUGCUUCAAAAAAUAAUAUUAUUUAAAAAAUAAAAUGAAAUUAAGAAAUAAUCUUAUACAAGUUUAAGUUUUAUAAUAUAAAAAUUCAUUAUUAAACAUAUCAUUUCACAAUAGAUGCACUUAAUAAAGCACAAUUUGUCUCUUUAUAAAGCCAAAGAAUUGGUGGGCACGUUUCUCAACUUACUCAUAUGAUUAUUUUCUUUUUAAAAAAAAUAGUAAUAUAAAUAAUUGAGAUAUAUAAAAAAAUCAAACUUUUUAAUAAAUUUAAUAUUUAUUUAUAGUUAUACAUUAUAAAUGUGAAAAUAAAAAAUAUAUAGAUAUUGCAUCAAGGUAUUUCAAUCAAACUUAUAUAUAAUUGUAAUUAAAUAGUCUAAUAAUAACUAUUAUCAUAAAUAUAUCUAACACAAUGUAAGAUGGUCAAAUGGCAAAAGAUCCUUAAUAGAAAAAGACAUCUCUUUUGAUUGAUUUUGGACAUUUUUACAAAUUGGAGUAUGACUUAAAUAACUUCUUAUGCACAUGAUUAUGUAUUAUAUACGAAUUUAUUUCUAAAAGAGGCAAAAUCCUACUACAUAAUAAUAAGUCUCUUACUCCUAGCUAAAUCACCAAAUAGAAUUACAUCCUACUAUAUCGCUUUGGCCUUAUUAAAAAGGCAUUUUAGAAAAGGAAUUGGUUCAAAAAAAAUACUAUAUAAUUUAAAGGAAAACCUUAAUAAGUAAUGGCAUUCAAAAAAUUAUAUUCUUUAUAUUACACAUUGGCUGAAAUUGUCAUUUUCAUGCUUUAAAAAAAAAUUAAAAACCAAAUUAAUCCAAGAAUAAAGAAUAAGCAUCAAAUAUCAAUUUAGUAAUCAUUAGACAUUCUAUGGUCCUUAAUCUUUGUUCAGUAUAAAAUAAAAACAUAUUUAGAAAAUUAUCAAUCUAACUCAAAGACAUAUAUAUAUAUAUAUAUAUAUAUAUAGUAGUCAUUACAAUAGAAUAAUAGAAAUUUUGGAAAAUAUGUAUAUGCUUUUGGAAAAUACAAAAAUAUACAAUGGCAUGAUCUUUUGAUAAUAUAAUAUGAUAAUGAAAAAAUUACAUGAUUAUACAUUACUUUAAAAAAAAUUCCAAAAAAAUAUAUAAUUUAUUUCAAAUUUUUAUUUAAAGAAAAACUAUUGAAAAGUUAUAAAUGUUAGAUUUGGAUGAUAAUGAUAGUUACAACUAUUCUCUUCUAACCAAGGUAAGUCUUUUGUAGUUUCUAUUUGCAUCUUAAAAGAUCAAGCUCUAGUCUAGUAAAAUUUCUAUUAUCCUAUUUGAAAAAUAUUUUUCUUUCUGUUUAAAUAAGUAAAUAUAUAUAUAUAUAUAUAUAUAUAUAUAUAAACACAUAUUUUGGUAAAUCUAUUCAUUUUCCUUAUUCAUAGUCUCUUCACACAUAUGAUUAGAAUGUGCUUAUAUUUAUUAGAGAGAAAUAGAAAAAAAAAUUAGGUUUUUAAAAUAUUAAUAAAAUUUAUAGCUAUUUCAAUCUAGAUCUAAAAAUACAUAUUUAAAAACAAUAUCAUAUUAAUUUUAAAGAUGUGAUUAUUAAAAUAACAUUAUUAGUAUAUAAUAGAAUUUUAUUUGAUUUAAUUUAAAUUGAAUUUUGCUAAAAUAUAUUAAUAAUUAUCAUGUAUAUUCAAUUUAUCAAUAACUAUUAUCUUGUUCUUCCUGAAAAUUGGUAACAAGCAUCACAGUUUGUUGAAAUAACUACAAAAACUAAAGUUACAAUGAACCUUCUAAAUAAGCCUUUAAUAUUGUCAAUGCAUUAUCCAAGUACUUUAGGAUGCAUUAUUAUUUUUUUAUUUACGUCACUUAACUAACUAAUUUUAGAGCCCAAGAUAUUAUUAUCCCUACACCUAUUAAUACCAAAUGCUUCUACUUCCAAUAAAAUCAUGUAUUUCAACUAAUAAAUAAUAUUUAUCAACUUAAAUGUUAAUUACAUUUUCCUUAGAGAACACUUUUUUUGUAAAUAGAAAUCUAUUAUUGAUUCAGUGCAUUAUUUCUUUGACUAUACAUUUUUGUUAGAUAAUGGAUCUUUGUUACUAAAAGUUUCUUAAAUAUAAAUGAUAAUUUUGGCAAUCAAAAUCACAGUUUUUGUUACAGAAAAAUUGAUUUGAAUACGAAGUACUAUGAACUAAUUUAAUUAAAGCAUAUUUGAGUUACAAAUUUUAAAAAUUUUAAAUACAUAUAUGUAUUUAUUUAACAAAAAAACUUUUGACGGUUAUUAUUAGGAAUUUAAUUUUAAUUUUUAAUUUUUUUAGGAUUCUUUAAAAAAAUUAUAAAAUUUCACAUUGCUUGCAUAUUAAUUAUAAUUCAUUCAUCAAAAAUUAUAUUAACUUAUAAAAACCAUAUCAAAAUGGUACAUUUAAAAUAUAUAUAUAUACAAAAACAUUAUCUACAUAAAAUUAAAAAACUAUUAAGAGAUGAAUUUUAUUUAUUAUUUUACUUAAUUUCUUCCAUUUAUUACUCAAAAUAAAAUUACAAGAUAAUUAUUUUUUAUCAAUGUUAAGUCUUAGUUUUUAUAUAUAUAUAUAUAUAUAUAUAUAUAUAAUCAAUCAAAUUUAAAUUUUAGAAACAAUUUAAUACUUAUUUUUAUAUUAAUUUUAAAAAAAUUAAAAUAUAAAAAUAUCAUUUUAAAUUUCAACUAUAAAAUCGUAUUAUAGAAAAAUCUUUCAAAAAAAUAAAAGAUUAUUAUUUGGAAUACAAAAAUAAUAAAAAUUUAAAUAACAAUAUUAGAACAAUACAUUUGAUUUUCAUUUAAUUAAUAGAGAUUAAAUUUACGAUUUUUUAAAAGUUGUUAGAAGUUUUAAAUUACUUUUAAAAUCAUACGGUUUAUCUUCAAUCUAAACAAGUAAAAUAUUAAAUUUUUGAUUUAAAACAUAAUAUCAAACUAAUUAAAAAGCACAUUCACAAAAUUAAAUGAUUUGUUUAAGAUAUUUAAAUUUAUAUUUAUAUCUUUUAACCCAAAAGACCACAAAUUGUUCCAAUCAGAAGCACAUUUUUACAAAGUCUGUAUAAGCUUUGUGCUAUUAUUUGACUUUUUUAAAGAAAUAUACUUGUUAGUCCAAAAUUUGGUAUUGUGCAAUGCUAUCUAUUUUUAUUGAAAAAUUAUUGAUUUUAAUUUCCUUACAAGAAAAAUAAAAAAAUUAUAAUAGUUAAUUUUUAAAUUUUAAUUUGAAUUAUCUCUAUAUAUAUAUAUAUAUAUAUUCAAAUAGAUUAAUAUGUAUUUAUAAAAAUAAAUAUAUAGAAAAAUAAAUUUGAAAAUAUAUCCAAGUUGUAUCUAUAAAUGUAUAGUUUAAUUAAGAAAAACUGAACUAUAAUAUUUUUUUGUAGAAGCAUGCUUUUUACAUCUUAUAAAUUAGGGUGUUUUUCCCUCAGCAUCACAGAGAAGAAAAAUUCAUAUAGAAAAGAGGUCGAAAAAAUGACCCUCGAAGAAAACUUACAAAAAUACAAAAGUAAUAUUGAUGUAAUUUGAUUUCACUAAAUUACUUGAAUCUAUUAUUUUAUAUUAUUUUGUUGUUGAAUAUUAUGCUUUUUUUAAAUAAAUUAUAUAUAUAUAUAUAUAUAUAUAUAUAUUCAAUUUAAAAAUUCAAUCUUUUAACAUAUAGUAAUAACAUUAUUAUUUCAAUAGAACAAAUUAGAAAAAAUAAAAUACAUGACUAAUGCACACAUUUGUAUAAUAAUUUGACUUUAGAUUAUUUUUAAUGUAAUCAUUUUCUAGUUUAAAAAUUGUAAGAUUUUAAUUUUGAUUUUGAUGAAUAUAUUUAUUGUCUAUAUUAAGAAUGUAAUAUGUUAUAUUUAAAAUUUAGUGGCUAGUAAUGUCAAUCACUUAGAUGCUGCUUAGUACUAUAUAUAUAUAUAUAUAUAUAUAUAUAUAUUAUAGAAAAAAACAUCUAUUAAUCAAGGCACAAUAGAUUUUUCUUUAAAUUAAAAUAUUUAAUAAAAAUGGUUUGUAAUUUUUUUAAACUGUUUAAAAAAUAAGGUUUUUGUAACACAACCACAAUUUUUAGUAAUGCCACUACAACCUACCUUCUACUCAACAUACUGUAUAGCCUUUUUAAUCCCAAUCAAGAACAAUUGUUAAUAUUUCUAAUAUUUAUAUUUUUAGUAAAAUAAAUAAAUAAAAAGUUUCAUUAAAAUAUAUUUUGCAGCAAUAGCAAAAAUUGUGGUUGCAUUAAGAACACCUCAAAGUAUUAUGUAAUGAUUUCAAAGCAAUGUAGUAUAGAAAGGUAUUACUCAUGUGCCAUAGCUCUUUUAAUUUUGUUUGUAAAAUAAAUCCUAAAUAAGAUUAUCACCAAGUUUUAAGUGCUACAAAUAUGUUUGGAUUGUGUUAAUAGAAGUGAAUUAUUUGUGGUAAUCUCGGCAUGAGAAGGAAAAGAUUAGUAAACUAUGGAAUGGAAUAUGUAAUAACAACGUAAAGAUUAAGAUAAUGAGUGAGUGAAGAGCAUGUAUAAAAAAUCAAAAAUGAACUUUGAAUGUUUGAUUCAUCUUUUAAGGGUUUAAGUAACAAUGUAAGAAACUUAUUUUAAAACCAAGAAUCAUGGUUUCCAAGCACAAAUAUUUUCUAAAUAUGGUUGAAUGUAAUUAGAGCAUAAUGUUGGGAACAAUAUGAUGUAUUUAGCUUUAGAUGAAAAUCAAUAAUAUUUUUUUGUGCUCGUUUAGAAUUUUUUAUUUUUAUUUCUACAACUCUUAAAUAUUCAAAUGAACCUCCUCUAAUUUAUAUCUGCAGUGGAUGUAAAUUUUAUAAAUUAUAUAAAGAAAAUUAAUUAAGGGAUAUAAGUUUGCAAUCUAGGAAGGACCUCCAUUUAAAUAAAUAUUAUCAAGUAGGCAAGAAAUAUUACUUGACGGAUAUUAAAUAAUUUGGGUACAUCUAUAUAUCAUUUUAUAUUGUUACCUAUUUUUGAGGUGUAAAGAUAUUUCUUAUCCAUUUUAAAGUCAUGAAAGUGACGUUAUAGAAAUCCUAACAUAAUCACAUUACCAAAUCAAAGAGAUUUUAAGUGCAACAAGAAUUGGAAUUGAACUCUUAGAGGUGAAAUGUAUACAAAAGUUCUUCUUUCUUCAAAAAGCUAAAAUUAUUAGGUUUAAUAGUAAAUGUAUACAGAUGUACCUGCAUUAUAUGACACCCCUUACCUAAUGUAUUUGUUGCUCACCUAAAAAUAUUUACUAGAACAGAGGACUUUACUAGGUCAUGAACUUUUGUCCUUAAAUUAAUAUUCCUCAUGUAAUUUAUAAGAUUUCCAUCUACCAAGGUAAAUUAGAAGAGGUACACAUGUACGUGUACAUAUAUAUAUAUAUAUAUAUAUAGAUACACUAAACAAUAGAGAAGUAACUUGAACUUGAUAUUCAAUCUUCUGGGAUUAACCAGAGUUCUAAAUCACAUGAACACAUUUUUGAUGAGCCAAUUUCACAAAGCAAAUUAGGGUUUCACAUAUUUUGAAACAUGAUGCGCCAUUUGCAGGAUCUGAUAAUUCAGUCUAUUCCCGAAUGGAUUCGUACGUUACAAUUGAACUUAAUUCUUUCUCACCGCAAUUUUACCUAAGAUGGCAUUGUUUUUCAAUUAUCAUUUCUUCACUACACAAUCACGUGUCUGCUUUUUCGUCCAAAAUUAUAUUUUCUUCACAGAGCACAAUUGAUUGUAUCAUUACUUGACUCAAUUGUUUGAAUUACUCGUUUCAAGUUCCUCGUUCUUACCAUGGGAGUUCGUGUCACUUGAAAGUGUUUUCAUUUCAGUGAUCAACAAUAGUGUCUUUUGCUCAUUUCUCCUUAUAUCAUGCUUACGUAACUUGUUUCCGGCAGCGAAUUAAAAUUCUAUCAAGUAACAAGAUAUUUGCCAAGCACCUUUCUAAACUAUUUCGACGUUCUUGAUUACAAUUGGCUUUAAAAAGACAUUGGACCAAUGCAUGGUACGUGGUAGGAACUCAAGUUCAUUCCUGAUAUUCCAAUCUUAGUGGGCCAUCCAAGCCCUGUCCAGCUCCAUUUACAGUUGUUGCCCAACAGCAACAAAGCCCUGAAAUCCUGCAGAAAUCACGUAAACGAACACACGUCUUUGUUUUUUUACACACUCCAAACUAGUUUAACGUCUUCUAAAAGUUUAGAUGCGUUCACAACAACCAAUUAUAAAUAAAGCGACACCAGCACGAAGGGGAGCAAAACAAAGUACAUAAAGCAUAAUCAAGCAGACAUGGACAACAAUUAUUCUCGUGUGAACCCAGUUCAUUUGAGGGAGCCUAGCUAUAGGUACAAACAUGUGACAAUUUUCUCUGUUUAUCUUGCAUGGAACCAUCUGUGGCAUUUCAGCUUUUCAAAAAAUGACUUGUCUAGUUUUUCCCAACUCUUCUACUCUACAAUGGCCUUUGAAACACCAACAACCAAUAGGUCCAACUUUUCCUCCACGAAUUGCUGCUGAUUCUACACUCCCAUAUACAGACGACCCGUGACCGCAACAGACGGCCAGACACAGGCAGCAGAAAUCAAGGCUCUGGAAAUCCAACUGGGUCUCACCACUCUCCACUGCUAAUUCAAAGAGUUACAGGGACGCUUCACUAAUUAAAUCCACGCUUCUUUUCAGUCCGUCUUGGGAACCUUCUCCUCCACAUAUUCGUAUUCGUGAUCGGCAGCCUUCAAUGCCUUCAGCUUCCUGUAUCCCUUGUCUGUGCCGAAUAUCCUGUUGCGAACAAAACCAACAGGUGAGAAAAUCCGAGAAUCACAGGUGUUCACAAAAGAUCUCUGUUCCAAUUUGCACGUCACCGUUUAGUUGUGACCCAGCGACCAUGACGAAUCUGUUCUCCCUGCAUGUACAUUAUGAUCACGCCAGACUAUGAUACACGGCAUCAACCGAUGCCACAGCUUCAGCUAUUUGGAGACUUCUGUUCAAAUAAUACUUACUUAAAUGCCCACUCAAGGAGAGUGAUGGGUAGAAAGCAUUACUUAGAUCGAGUUAAGAUGGAUGAGAAUUGAUGAAUAGAAAUUUCAGGAACAUUAAUUGUGCUGAACCUGGAGGUUCGGGCUAGAGAACUUACCAGUCCAUGUAGGUAAAUGUGGAUGAGUAAUUUCCAGACUUAGUGUACAGAAGACGGUGGUGAUAAUCAUGGAAGUCCGCACUGUUUGGCAACAUCCAUAAGUUAGCUAGUUGUACAGGAAAGACCACGAUGAUAAGAUGAUAAAAUUAGGGCCUCAAAGACAAAUUUCAAGAAACUAGAAAUAACGUACCCCCCGUAGAUCGGCAAGUAUCUGGAGAGACUCCAUGGAAAAUCAUAACCACAAUGGGCUUCCACGGUUUCAAUUACACGCAGGCUCAUCCAAAUCCAUAGAGUAAGGAGAUGAGGACCAGUAAUUGCGGGUCCAAAGAUUGUAGCAAAUCCAAGGAAGAGAAUCUCCGCAGGAUGGGCGUACUCAGAUGUCAAUCCGAAAGGAGUUGCAUACCUGCACGACGACAGGUGAGAAUUCACUAAUAGUGUUGUUGUUAUUAAAUGAUGGAUGUGAUGAAUAUCCCCGAAUACGAAACAGGAUGAGUUGUAAAUAACGACAGCAUUUUCCAGUCGAGAUUGGAAACAUUUCAAUGAACAUGUAUAAUAAUUACAUUCCAAUGCUCUUGAACACACACACUUCACACAACGUAUGUGAUAUCACAUAGCAUGUAUAAAAUAGACCACCUGUAGAACAUCCAACAAGCACUAAUUCUGAAAGACAUAUAACAAGAUUUGCAUCCAGGUUCAGGGAGGAGAGCACACACUCGUGAUGGACGCUGUGAACAUUCUUGUAGAGCCACUUAGUGUGCAGAAGACGGUGACCCCAGUAGAAGAUGAAAUCUUCCAAUAUGAAGUAGGACAAGAUCUGGAAGCACACAAUAUUCCUGCAUAGAACGUCCUCAUUCAUAAGGUGUACACUAACACUGAAGCACCUGGAUAUUGUUGACUGGUAAAGUAAUGAGAGAGGCAGAGAAUCUUUCAGCAGCAAACACCCACGAAAGCGUGAGCACGCACAAAUUAAGAGAACACAUGCUGCUAACUUACAAAAUGGACAGUCUUACCAGGAAGGUAGAGGUAACUGACUGGUGAAGCCCAUGUACUUGAAGACGGGAUAUGAUACAAUCAUGAGGGGCAAGUUGACACAGAUGUGGUAAAGCAGUAGCUUCAUAACACACUUUUCUUGCGCUGCAACAGAGUUCACCUUUCCCUGUUGUUCAAUAAAUACAGAAGAACAUUCAGAUGCAUUUCGUUAUUUUGUUCCAUUGAAUGAGAAGGACUUCCAGUUAGGCGCGAACACAAAGCCGCUUGCGUGAGAUCCAAAACGAGGUGAAUAAAAAAACAAAGUAAAAUAAUACAAGUUUAGAAUGAAGACUAGUAUGAAAGCUAAGAAUACAACACAUUAGCCAUGCUCGCUGUACCUGUAUCUUGUACUGCCGUUGAUAUCCCAACCUCUCCAUAACAAUGAAUGGAAGACCAGAAAGAAAGAAUACACUCUCGUGUAUAAUGAAGCUGCCAAUUGAUGCCAGCUGGAAGUCGGUGAAGUUAUUUAUUAGGUACUGCACCAACAAAACAUUAUGAUGUCAUCCUGAUCUUCCUCGAACAGACGUGGAAGCAAAGCUUUCCAUGUAAUAUGAUACCUUCUCUCAACUUCAGCGUUGCAAAUCAAUCUAACCAACUAGAAGCCAGCACCAUUGCGCCUGGACAAGCAAAAGAACCAUGUGUGUCUAGCGGCACAUGUCGGCAGUCGAUCACAAUGCCUGUAGUAGAAUAUGUAAUAACAACCCGUGCAAAAGAAGCACCUCGCUCGAUCAUAGAGUUGGUCAACUGAAACGGGCACAUAAGCGUCUAACCACGGAGACGAUAAGAUCUGAUGGCAUCAUCAUCAACAAAAUCCCAAUUCUGUACCAGAAUUGCAGUCUGAGGAAAACCUUUCUGUCAAAUAUGCACAAUUAGCGUACACAUCUCUGCUCCACGUUCCCAGGUGUGACUACGUACAGGUAGUUUAAUAUUCUAAUGGAACCCAGCGUGCUUCUGAAAAGAGAAUUAAUACAUCGUCCACUAUUUACUGAUUUCAUUGUGCACUUUCCUUAAACAAAGAGCACCGCACCAGAGCCCGAGUUUGUCGCUAACCAAAUCCGCUUCAUCAAGGAGAUUCUCUGACAACAAAAGUGCAUAACAAAGUCGCAGAACACAUCAUGGAAGGCACUACUUCGAAUUAGGGUUGAAAUUUUCAAAAAGCCUGUGUAAAAAGGCCGAUAAAUUUGUCGUCAGUGGCACGGAACUGACUGUACACGGCAAGCGAUGAAUUAGCUGGUUCACGAUCAGAGGAGCAACUCCAUAACUUCUCCCACCGUUGAAUUCCAGGACCGGUUAAUUGAAUGGGAAAGCGUGGAGCAUGUCGACAUCUACCCUACCACGAACUGAUACUUGUCGAAAGUUUCUAAAUGUAACCGUUCACACUAAAGAUCUGAUACUGCGUAGGACACAACGUUAUCUCAGAGCCAAGAUAUGGAGAAGAGAUACGUGGAACACUGAACAUCGGCGAUUGUCUGAUAAUGUAAGGACGCUUCAGUUCUUUCCCACCAACACGAUUUCUACGGGGAAAUGAAAAACCUCUCACGACAACUGCGCCUCCUCCAACAAGCUUCUACACGACCGAUACACCCACACAUUGCCGCAAUCGGGGCACCGACUGCUGAAAAAUACCAAAUGCUACACACCGCAAAAUGCUCCCACUUCAUAAAACGCCUGACAACCCACUCCAUCAAUCCACGCACGUAGGCUAACACAUCGACUCAAUCACCCAUUGAACCACACCCUCACACGCUGACAUUCACACACAUAUCCAAAUCAGGCCGACGUUCAAAAUGGACCUGCAGGCAACAGAACAACAUCCACCAGGCACCACGAUGACAUCCACUGGCGUCUUCGCACCGCUCACAAACCUCAGGAAAAAGGUAAGAAAACAGCGGCACGCAACCCAACAACAGACUCACCAGCCAUAUUUUCUCCAGAGCAGAAGCCAUGCUGGAUCGAUUUCCCUCCUCCUCGCUUUCUGAACACCCCAACGCAGGGCGCUCUAGCGCGCUUGCCCUCAAGAUCACUACCACCACCACGGGUCUUGGUAUCUACCCAGCGAUUUCACCACAUCCCAGAAGAGCCUGUCCCUCGCUAUCCUUCCUGUGCACGAUUAAUGCAGGGCCACCAUAAGGAGCCACAAUGGGGAAGAUCCGCGAGGAGAGUCGCGGGGGGUGCGCUGCGGGCACAGUGCAAUGCAGAGCGACUCGCAGAUGCGCGAGGGAUUUGAGAGAUUCAUGCAGCAGCGAGUGGAGCUCGGUGGCACCCCUUCGCCGCGCGGACGGUGUCAGGCAACGCGCGGCGACGACGACGACGACGCCUCCUCGCCCCGCCUCCCCCCUCGCCCCGCGCCCGCGCCUCGUAAGCUCGCGGCUGCUCCCAAACCCCCGCUCCUUCGACUCGUCACGCUCGCGCUCGCCGUUAUCAGACGCCACCAGACGCGCGUAACCACCGAGGCGGUAGGCGAUGCAACGCUCGUGAGCGGUCUUUGGUGAGUCAGCGGGCCACGUAGCCCAGUGGCAUAAAUAUCGUCGCCGCCUUGGCAGGAACUGGGAUGAGUGGGUGGGUGGGGGACGGGUGAGGGAGAUAUGGAUGAGGACUGAUUGGAUGCAUGUGGAUGAAUGAUGUCUCUGCGUUCCCAAGGGGGACACGUACCCAUGGGGCCUGGUCAUGUACUCAGCGUUGCGGGUACUACCGGUAUGGGAACCGUGUGACAUUCCCAGUCUCUGAUAAUAGCUGUUCGAUCGUGUUCCCAUGAUUGGGAACACACGAUAGUUGCCUUCGAACCAACGGGCUGGGUGAUGUUCCCUUCAUUCUUGACAAUGUGGUAGUUGGCAGCGAAUGGGACGACGACGAUUGGAUGAAUGUCUGACUUUGGAUAAAAUAGUGGAUGAAUUACUUAUUAAAAUACUUAUUAAAAUACGUGAAUGUGUUUUCGUGAUUUUUUUUAAAAAAUAUUAACAGCUUUGCUCAUUCAUUCGGUGCUUAAAAGUUUCGUCUCAAUUAAGCCAUUGCUAAAAGGAUUUUUACAUCCAGACGCUCCUUCGAAAGGCAUCUCCAAUUUUGUGUUUAUUACUAUUAUUAGUGUUUUCUAAACAAGACAUGUUGUAUCUUCAUAAUAACAAUUCAUACAAAUGCAUAAAAAUCAAUUAUGAAGUUUUAUAAUGAAAAGUUCUAGUGAUUUUCAACCUGACUACUUGAAUUUUUUAAAAUGCUACUGCAGAAGGGGGAAUAUAUAUAUAUAUAUAUAUAUAUAUAUAUAUCACUAUUCAUGCCAUGUAAAAAUAAAUUAAGAGUUAACAAAUUACAAGUUUUGAAAGUUACAACCUCUCACCUUCUCUCCUAAGCACAGAGCUCCCUUGGAUUUGUAAAGGUCGUUUAUUAUUAAAAAAUGAUAACUUUGGUAUGUAUAUAUAUAUAUAUAUAUAUACAUACAAAUAUAUGUGCAUCCCAAUCUAAUAUUAUUGAUAAUGAGUAACGUAUUUUUAGUUCGUUUUAAGCCAUUUUAUUAUUAUUGUUGUGUAGGGUAACCAUUCAAAUUAUAAACAGUUUACAGUUGUCAAUGAAAUGGUAUCAAAUGAUAUUAUAAUAAGUUUUAUAACAGAAUGUUCUAUUUGAAUAACAAAUUUAAUAGUACUAACAACAACGGUAAGUAUUUGAGAUUGGCAUGCAACCAAAGAAAGUUUAAUACUGGUCUUAUGCUCACAAGUAUACAAACUGUCUUUGCUAGAUUACACAAUUAAUAAUCUCCACCAAAAAGUAAGAUUAUUUCAAAAGAAUUUUUAAUAAAGUCAAAUAAAUAAAUAAGAGAAAGGAAAUAACAGUAUAACCUGAUUCCAAUUUAGAAAAAACAUGAAAAAUGCUUCAUCUUGAUUGUUUAGCUAUCAUUCAUCAGAAAGUCUUGGUGGUUUCCUAAAUUCAUUCUUUUUUCAUUUUGAUAAUGCAAACUUGCUUAAUUAAAAUAAAACGUGUAUAAUUAGAAAAAGUUUAAAAGCUGGGAAGAUGAAUCUAAUCUAGAGGGUUUAAAAUAAAAAUAAUGUGAUUUUGAUAAUGAAAGGUAUGGCAAAGUUUUGCAAAUUGGUGGAUUGUGUUAAAAACAAGAUACAAGGAAUAAAAAUAGUCUUUAUUCAAGGGGACAUUUAGGUUGAAAGCUGAAAAUUGAGCCUUGGAAGCCCAAAAUGCCAACAUGAUUAAUUCUUUUGACACUGCACUACAAGUUCAGAGUAGAAAUACAAAUCCAAUUUGAGGUUAUGAGUUUAGGGAGUAAAGGAUAUUGGUGGUUAAGACAAGCCAUUAUACAAAAAAUAUUAGUAACAAAAUUAAUGAAUUGUGUACUUGAAAUAUUUACUCGAUCAUUGAAUUGUUUAUAGAUUUGUAAAAGAUACAAGUACUUACUUAAGACACAACAAUUGUGCAUGUUAGUACAUGGAACAUAAAGCACAAAAAUAUCACAACUUGUGGGAUAAAUUGAAUUGUUGCUCUUUGUAUAUCAUGAUAUACAUAUAUAAUUACAUGCUGCAUGGUUCAUGCACAUAUUAUUUAUAUAUCUAUAUAUGUAAAAUAAAAUAAAAUGAAAGUUUUAAAGUUUGUAGCAUAAAAUGAUUUUGAUGGGAGUUGUAAAUUGAUUUGGGCAUAUGGUGCAAACUAUAUAUAUAUAUAUAUAUAUACCAGAGUACAGAAUACAAUCACUCUUUUUGUAUUGUUAUGCCUAUAUAUUGUUCUUAUAGAAUAGCAGUGCAAUAGACAAUCAAAUCAAAGUAGUUAGAGAAUUAGACUAAAUUCUACAAGAGUAAUAUAAAAAUUGUAAGAGAAAUUAAUUGAAAUAAAAAACAUAAGCAUUAAGAAGUAGUUUUAAUUUAUAAAUUAGUUGAAUUGAGAAAAACGUUUUUUUUUUUUUUUUUUUUUUUUUGAUGUAGUGGAGUGUGGAGCAUAUCACAAAGGAAGCACUUCAUUAUUAUUUUUUUAAAACAUGAAAUGACGAAAAACUAAUCAGAAAAAUAAAGGCGAAUGGGGGAUUCAAAAGUAUAAAGCCGCGCCAAGGGACGUGGACUAGUGGGGGGCAGGGUGAGCUGAUGUCAGAGCAAAUAGGGGUCGGUCAUAGGGUCCAGGUCCCAUGCCCGCUCAUGUGUCCCCGUCAUAGGCAAGACCUUUCGGUGACGGGUCCCAUCUGGGGAGCGUACUCUCUUCUCUCUUCCCUUCCCCGCAAGCCAAAUUGUUCACUUGGAGGGGAAUUCGCCACGUAGGCUCGACCACCUCGGAUGUGAGAGUUCCUUUUCCCGCCACGACCCGGUACUUCAAAGUGAGUGGGAGGCAGACGACCUUUUCUCAUAGAGGCUCCGAACCCGCCCCGUUCACACCGUGCCUUACAUUCUCCGACGUGGCAGUCGAAAAUGCCACGUGGAUUUCCGAUUCCUUACUGUUUCGAAAAUGCCAAGUGGUUAAUUUUCUUUUGAUUGAUUGAUUGAUUGAUUGAAUGAUAUAUUCAUUUAUUUAUUUAUUUAUAUUAACUGAAGCAAAUGAUUCUUUCACAAAUAAUUAAAUGAGUGAAAUUUUAUGAAUUACGAAUAGGUUGGAAAAAGUUUUCUGGAUCUUGAAACAAUUGGUUAGAAACAUCUUUGUUAUUGAGAAGAUUAGCCCUUUGUUCAAUUUAAAUGGAAUAUAUAUAUAUAUAUAUAUAUAUAUAUAAAAAUGUUGUUUUAAAAAAUAAAAGUAUAAAUAUCUAUAAAAUAUGCUACCAAAUAAUGUGAUAUUUUCUUGAAGAACAUUUGAUGAUACUUUCACACAUAUAUUGUAUACAAAUUUAAGUUCAGUAAGUUUAGUAAAUUUUUAUUGAUUUCUGAAGUACAAAUGUAAAAGAUGGUUCUCUGUGUUCUAUUAUAUAUAUGUCUUUUUAAGAUAAAAAUACAUUGCAAGAAUGAAAUUAUGUUCUAACGAAAAAGUUUAGAUAUUAUUAUUAUAAUCAUUGUAAAUAUUACAUGUAAUUUUUUUUUUACUUUAAACUUAUUUUCUAAAAAAAUAAAAAUAAUGCUGCUUCUAUUUUAAACACUAUCAUUGAAAAUAUUUCUUCAAAACACCACUAUAUCUCUACAUUUUUCUACAGGAACCAUUAGGUGGAGAAUCAUAUACAUGUUAUUCACAUGUAACUUAUGUGCUAUAUCAAGUUCAUAAUGAUUUUACAUUAGCAUAAAGUAAUAUUUGCUAGAAAACAUAAAGUAGUAUUUGCUAAGCCUUGGAAACAAAAAUUUAUGAUAAUUAUAAAAAACAAUUCAAUUGAACAUAAAAGAAGAAAGUUUUGGGUUGUUAAAGGUGGUAGUGAAUUCAAUUAACAAUGUUAUAUAAUAUAUUAGAAUAUUCUAAUUUCUAUCACAAUAUUUUUUUUAAAUACAUAUUACAUCACAAACAUAUAAUUUGAUUUUUUAUAAGAAGAAUAUUUAGAAAAUAAACAAAUAAAAAUUAUAUAAUAUAUAAAUUGAUAAUUUAAACAUUUGUAUUAGUCUAAAUAGAAAUAAAAAUAAGAGAUAAGAAAAUAAAUAAAAUAAAAAAUAAACAAAUAUACAUACUUUUCUCAUUUUGUAAGCUAUUAUGAUAAUUGCAUUUAGAUAGAAACAUCUUUGGCAAUCAUUAAUAUUAAAUAAAUUUUAAAAUAUUUAUCUUUUUAACAAUUGUUGUAUUUAUUUUUAAUUAAUAAUUUUUUUGAAUGAUAAUUGUUAUGAAGGUAAGACUAGUCAGCAUAAUAAAUUUCAAAAGAAUUCUUUUAAUUACUUAGCAACAUCAAGUUUUUAUUAUACAUAUAUAUAUUUACUUAAAUAAGAAGUGUUGAAUUGAAGGCAAAUAUAAGUAUAUUUAAUAUUAUCUUAUGGCAAAGCUUCUUAGAAGCUUUAUAGAAGUGUAUUUAACUUCAUACAUAUUUGUAAUUGAUUGGUAAGUUAAAAACUUGACUAACAAAUUAGCCACAUAUCACAUAUAUUGGUAGUAUCAUAGACAUACAUAUUUAUUCCAAUAAUUACCUAUAUAAUUAGAUAUAAAUAGAUAUAAAUAGAUUAAUUUCAUAAUAUCUACUUGAGAAGCUUCAUACUUUAUUAAAAAAUAAGAAAGAUUUGUAGUUGAAAAAAAUUAAACCAAUACAUAUAGAAAUUAUAGAUAGUUGUUUAUUAUCUUUUAGAAAUAUUAUCUAUGAAAUAAUUUUUUAAAAUAUAGCAACUAAAAAUCAUAAUAAUUUAAUAAUAUUUAAUAUCAUUAGAUCUCCUUCUAAUCCAAUUAUUUUAGGAUUAUUGUGGCUAGAGAAGUAUAAUCUUCAAAUAAAUUUGAUUUAUCAUAACCUUAUUAUUAUUAUUAUUAUUAUUAUUAUUAUUAUUAUUUAUAUAGUUUAGCUCAAGAUUUUAUUAGUCAAGUAGAAAAAUAUAAUUCUAAUAUAACCAAAAUUUUAUUGGUAGGUGCAUGAACUUUUAUGCAUGGUACAAGAUAAGAGUCAUUUUUUUUUAUAUAUGCAAUAACUAUUUUUGAUGGAAAAUAGACUUUAUGUGGUAUUUUAAGCUAUUAUUAAGAUUAUUAAGAUAUUCUUCAAAAGAAAAAUGUAAAUACUCUUUUGAAACAUUGCUCCUAUGAUUGUUCAAUUAAUCUUCAAGAUUGAGUUCAACUACCAUUUGAACCAACCUAUUAUUUAUUGCAAAAUAAAUUGACUAUGUUGAAGAAAUACAGUGAGAAGAACUUGGCUAAUAAUUUUAUAUGCCAUUCUAAAUCUCUGACAAGGACUUUUAUCUUAUUUGUAAAGAAAAAAGAAUGAUCUUUGUAGAUAUGUAUAGACUAUUGAAAAUUCAAAAUGAUCACCAUUAAAAAUUGAUAUCCUUUAUUUUUGAUUUCAAGACUUUUUGAUCAAUUCAAUUAAGCAUAGAACUAUACAAAAAUAGAGCUACAAGAAGUAUAUUACUUGAAACUAAUUAAAAAAAGAGAUGAAUGGAAAAUUAUGUUUUGAACUAAAUAUGAAAAUUUUGAAUAUAAUUUCAUAUCAUUUGGACUUAUAAAUGUACCAACUACUUUUCAACAUCUAAUGAAUGAUGUCUUUUGUGAGUUUCUUGGUGAUUUUUUUGUAUGUUAUUGAAACAACACUUUUAUCUAUUCUAAGAACAUAGAAGAGGAUGAACUUCAUGUUUGUUGUAAAAAUUGAGAGAUAUAACAUGUCAAGAUGAAAAAGUGUCUAUUUUAUCCUACUCAAGUUGACUUUUUAGAAUACAUUAUUUUAAACAAUGGCCUCAUAAUGGAUCUUAAAAAUAUCUCAACUAUCGUGGAUUGAAAGAUCUUGAAAAUAAUCAAAGAUUUGCAGUGUUUUUUAAGAUUUGUCAAUUACUACUAAAUCUUCAUGAUGAACUUUUCUCAAGUUGUAGCUUUUCUUAUACAUUUGAUAUGUAAAGACAAACUUAAGUAGAAUAAAGAAAUUGAGGCAUCUUUUAAAGCUUUGAAGAAAAUAUUUAUCAUUCCACCAAUUUUGUAUUGCUUUGAUUUUUUGAAGGCAUUCUAUAUGAAAACAUAUGCAUUAGACUUUGUUAUAGAUGCAAUGUUGGUCUAAAUGAGAGCAGAUGACAAGUUCUACUUGAUAGCAUUCUAUUCUAAAAAUAUUUCAAUAGCCAAAAUCAACUACGAGAUCCAUGAAAAAGAACUUCUUUCAAUUAUAGAUUCAUUUCAAGAAUGCAAUCAUUAGCUACAAGGCACUUCUAUUUUAGUCACUAUGUAUAUUGAUCAUAAGAACCUCGAGUAUUUUAUGAUAGAUUGUACUUUGAAUUGUUGUAAAGCUUGUUAGAGGAUGUUUUUAUUAAAAUUUGAUUCUUAAAUCACUUAUUGACUUGAAAAAAAACAAGAUUUAUUAGAUACCAUUUCUAGAAAUUUUCAUCUUAUACUUAAAAAAGAAGAUACAACCUUUAAUCAACAAAGAAUAAUUUUCUUGAAGUUGGAGCAUUUUCUUCUUUAAGAAAUGAAAUCAACAUUGAUUAAUGAUUCAAUCUUUCUCAAGUAAGUUCAAUCAAGUAUGUCCUAUGAUUCUCUUAUUCGAGAUAUUAAAAAUAAUUAUUUUAAAUAUCAUAAUAUAUUUAAGUUUAAGUUUUAAAAUAAUCUACUUUAUUAUAAGAAAAAAUUAUAUAUUUAAAAAAAAAUAGCUAGAAAUUUUUAGAAGUCUCAAAUAUGGAUGGCUUUAUAAAAUCAUAUGACAUUUGUUCAAAAUUAAAAACUCUACAUCAUCUAUCAUAUAUACUUCUUUAAUCAUUAUCUGUUCCAAAAUAAUUAUUGUCUUCUGUUUCAAUAGAUUUGAUCAUGAAUCUUUUAGUUUUAGAUUCUUAUGAUUUUAUGUUCAUGAUAGUAGAUUGUUUUAUUAAGAUGACAUAUUUUGUAUCAUGUACAAAAUCUAUCAUAUAUAAAGAAACAACUAAGCUUUUUAUUAAUAACAUCUAUUGCUAUUAUAGAUUAAUCAAAAAUAUUAUAUUAGAUAGAAUGACUUACUUUGUAUCAAAAUUUUGGAGAUUUUUUUUUUAAUUCUAAAAAUAAAUUUAAGACUAUCUCUAGAUUUUAUCUUCAAAUUAAUGGACAAACAAAAUAUGUAAAGUAAGUUUUAAAGUAAUAUUUGAGAUUUAUCAUCAACUACCAAUAAGGUGAUUGGAUAAUUUUUUUUUUAUCAUUGAUAGAGUUUGUUUAUAAUAAUACAAUACAAUCUUCUAUACAACAAUUAUCUUUCUUUAUUAAUUAUGAUUAUUAUCCAUGACUUCAUGUUUUUGAUGAUUCAAAAGUUAAUAAUCUUAUAGAAAAAGAUUUGACAAAUUGUUUAUAUAAGGUACAUAAAACUAUGAAGCCACAUCUAAAAGAAAUUCAAGAACAACAAAAGACCAAUUUGAAUGUCUAUUCUAAGGAGCAACCUCAAUUCUAUGUUGGCAAAAGGUAUGAUUACUUUGUCACAAUAUUAAGACUAGCCACUAUUAUGACAAGUUAGAUUAUUGUAGGCUUGAACCAUUUCCUAUUUGUAAACAAAUCGAUUCAAUCACUUAUUGAUUAUUGAUUAUGAGAGUCUAUAAUGAUCUAUUUUGUAUUCCACAUAUUUUUUUUGAGCCAUAUAGAAUAAUGAAUAUUUUACAAAAAAGACAAAUGCCACUUCACCUUAUAAAAGUAGAUCAUAAUGAAGAGUUCAAAAUUGAAGAAGUCUUAGACACUUGGUGGCACUGAAAUAAGUUGAAAUAUCUUGUUUAUUAGCAUAAAUAUGAUAUUAGUAAACAUACAUGAAAGUUUGUGAAGAAUCUUACAAAUACACCACAAAAAAUUGAUUCUUUUCAUCAACGAUAUCUAUCACAAUCAAGAUGAAGAAUAACAAAUCUUUUUUAUUAAAGAAAUGUAAUUUUGAAAAGAUUACAUCAUUGUUUGUAAUUUUUGUGUAUUUGUUGUAAUAAAGAGCUAAAAAAUCAAUAGUUAGUAAAUUUAAUUCAAGAGCUAUCAUUUAUUGAUUUACAAGACAAAAUAUUGUGAUUGUUAUAAUCUUCAAGUUGACAUCAUAGAUACAAAGACCUUCAAAAAUGACAUGUCCUUCCUCCAAUGAAUGACAAGAUAUAACAUAUUUGAUAUCAUGACCUUAGAAAAGACUUUUGAUUUUUGGUGAUUUUAUUAGAGAUAGAAAUGACUCCUAACGGUAUUUCAAAUGUUUUAUUUGAAAGAUGUUACAAAGACAUUAAUAAUGAUCAAAUAACAAGAUGGUUUUUUUGCCUUGAUAUAGGACACUUAUUAAUGAUUGAAAUCACCUUCAAAUAGAAAAAAAAAUAUGAUAAACACAUUUCAUUGCAUUUUGAACUUCUUCAAUAUUUGAUGAUUUCUCUUUGUAGAAUUUGUUUCUAAAAGGAAAAGAAAUAUCACAAAUAUAUAUUUUUAUUUAAUUAAAAAGUAGUAGGUAGAAUGUAAAUAUAAGUAGAUAUGAUAUUAUCUUAUAGCAAAGCUUCUUAGAAGAUUUAUAGAUGUAUAUUUGGCUUUAUACAUGUUUAUAGUUGAUUAAUAGAUUAAAAACAUAGCUAAUAAAUUAGCAUGUGUUAGUUGCUUGUGGUAAAACCUAACAAUUUGGCACACAUGUAGGAAACUUGCCUUGCAAGUUAAAACAUGUGAUUCACAAAUUGGACAUAUGUCAAAGAUCUUACAGAAUGUUGAUGCAUAACUUCUAAUUAGAUAGUAUACAUGGAGACAAGAGUGAAGCCUUUUUCAUACGUAUCUAUGCCUUUGUAAGCUUUAGUCUUCUUUCAAGACUUUCUAAUCUUCUUGUCUUUGGCAAUGACCAUUCUAAUUUAAAAUGAUUAAAAUGCCAUCUUUGAAUGAUUUUUUAGUCUUUUUGAAUAAUACAAGAGUGUGUUGAUCUUUAAGUCCUUUAAGAUUCAUGUCCUUGAUGAUUUAAAAUAUAUAUAUAUAUAUAUAUAUAUAUAUAUAUAUAUAUAUAUUACUAAAGUAAUAUCAUAGUUUUAAGAUUGAUUAAAUACUAAUGAUCAUAAUCUAUUUUUAACAUUUUAAACGUAACAAUACAAAGUUAUUGAUUUUUUAUUUUGUUAUUGUUUUAAAAAAUACUAUUAUAGAAUUUUUAAAUAUUAGAAUUUUAAAAAAUUAAAAUUAUAAGUUAUUCUUUAAUUUCUUAUAAAAUUAUUAUUUCUUUUUAUAUAAUAUAGAUUUUUAUUAAAAAUAAUUUAAAAUUUUAAUAAUUAUUAAAAUUUAUUAGUAGUUAGACAUCCAUUUUUGAAAUAAUAGCCUUGUAAUAUGUGCCAUUUGUAUAUAAAAACAUCUAAACUAAAAUAAAAUAAUCUAAAAUGUAGAUUGUUUAAAAUUAAUUUUGUUCAAUUUUUUUUAUUUUUUUUUAUUUUUUUUUGUAGUUGUUGUAUUUUAAAUUUUUUAUGUUAUAUUUUUAAAAUUUUACAUUGAUAUUUAGUUGGUUAGAGUUUAUGUUUACUAAAAUCUAAAAUUUUAUUUAUUAGAGUUAUGACAUUCAAGAGAUAUUUUAAACAUUUAUCUAAAUUGCUCCAUCUUUGUUUAUUCAUAUUAUGGUAAAUUUAAAAUUCAAGUUUGGCAAAAUAAGUGCUUUUAGAUAGUCUUAAGAAAUAGUAGUAAAUAAUCAUCUAUAAUUGUAACAAUUAAAAUGUACAAUAUAAUGAAAAAGAUAUAUUGAAUUAUUAAAGUGGUUAAAAUAAUAUGUUGUAUCAAAGAAAUUUAGGCAAGAUAGACAUAUUAAGUUUGAGUGGUUAAAAUAUAUGCUAAAAAAAAUACAAAGCAUUCAUUUGGUGUUUUAUCAAUAAAAAUUUACUAUGGCCAAAAAACACUAUCAUUUGAAGUAAAUUAUCUUUUAUAAAUUAUUAAAAAAUUUAAAUGUUUUAAAUGUUUCAAAUAAUAAUGGUAUUGUAUAUUAAAAAACAUACAACAUAUAUAUAUAUAUAUAUAUAUAUAUAUAUAUACUAAAACCAUAUUAGAAUUAUUGUUAUUAGAAUUUAAUAAAUUAAAUUAAAUUGCUCUAAUAUUCUUACUUAUUGAUAGUUAAUAACUAUUUCUUAUAUAUAUAUAUAUAUAUAUAUAUCAAUUAUAUUUUAAACUCAUGUAUAAAUAUGUAUUUUUUCUUAACAGUACCAUAGAUAAUUACAUCAUUACUAAUGAUAUAUUCUAUACAAUUUUUUUAAUACAUCAACACUGAAAUAUAUUUGUCCAUGGUUAUCUUACUUAAUAAGUAACAUGAAAAAUACAUGAGAAUAAAGGAAACCAUUAGGUAGACACUCCCCUUUUAUUGCAUUGACAAACCUCCCCCUUGUGUCAUGCACCCCUACAUACAAACAACAAAGCUCUUAUUUACACUCACAAUUUGUAGUCAAAUUUAGAAGAAAAUAUUCUCAAAAUGAAAUUAAUAAGGUUUUUAAAUUGAAAGAAAGAAUUAUACGAAAUAUAUUAUGAAAUUUUGUUAACUCAAAUAUAAAUGAAUAAAUAACUAAAAUCCCAGAAACUACUGCAUGCACAUUGUCUUAAAAAAUUAUCCAAUAGCUAUUUAAUGUAAAUAUGAGUUUUAUUAUGUGUGUUCAAAGAUGUGUGGUAUGGAAGGGGGGGGGGGUCCAUGCAAUAAAAGACAUAUUCUAAGAAGCGCAUGCAACAAAUGUUACCGACGCUACAUGUCUUUCAGUAGCAUUACUUUUAUACUUUUUCUACCCAACAUUCAUUCAUACUCUCCUGCAAUCUUUCUACACACCAACAUUGAAAACGAAAAAAUGGGUUCUUUCAAAAAAGAUAUUAACAGAACUAACAUGCUGUAUACAUACAUACAUACACACACACACACACGUAUAUAUAUAUAUAUAUAUAUACCAAAGUGGCACCGAAUACAAUCUGUCAUACCGGGGGCUCAAGUUUGGGUGCCCUUUUCAGCGUCAUCCAAACCCAAAGGUGGCAUCUUUGCCAAACGAAAAGCUUGUGGCACCAUCCGAACAUGGAAUUCAAGCAAGGCACUUGCUGGGGCUUUGAUCCACAUGAAUGAAUGAUCCAAGGGAGCUUUUUUCCUUCGAGGAGCAAUAAAUGAUCAACCCACAUCCCCACAAUUCUGAUUUUGGUUCCCCCAUUCAAACAAUUGAGUGAUCCCCCAGCCUCGGUCACUCCGCCCGCGUCGCACAACACAGUUCCGCUUUGUUUCCAUUCCUUGGAAGAGGCUCCCUUCUCCCUCUCUCUCUCUCUCUCUCCCGAGUGUGGUGGCAUCGGGAACUCCGCCAAGUUGUUAAUGGGGGGUGGGGGGGGGGGGGGAGAGAGGUCCUCAGAGCUUAAUCCAAACUUCGAAGCACGAACGCGCAGACUAAAAAAAUGUAUUCGAAUGCAUCAGAAACUGAAAGAAAUCACAAAGCGAACAGCUCCCCCACAGCGACCAAAAUCCCACGAGAAACCAUGACAUGGGAUACACACACGCUUCUCACACACGAAAACCAAAAAGGACCAAGUGUGUGAAAAAUUUGCAAUGCAACACAGUGCAGAAGAGAAAAACAGAGACGCAAUGGAAUGCAAAAACACGAUGACAAAAAGAGUGCAACUUCGAAGGAAGAAGACUACCUUAUUCCAAUCCCCUCUAAAGGUAUAAAUCUGUUUUAGAGGAAAAAAUAUAUGAAUUACAAAAAAUAUUGCACACCCGGAGAUAUCAAUGGGCAAGCAUCCCUCGACAAGUGAACAUGACGAUAUCCGCAUCAAUCACGUAAUCCCACUCUCAACUAUGUACUCAAUUUGAAUCCCUUGGUAGAUAGAUACAAAGUGCCUAGUAUAAGCGACCGCAUCCCCCACUUCUACAGCUCUAAACCCCCUAACAUGGAUAAUUAUACCAACCCACAUGGAUAAUUAUACCAACCCACAUGGAAAAUUGUGCAAUGCGGGUUCAGUAUUUUUUUGAUUUCAUACCUAUUUACCGUUUGCAGCGGGACUGUGCUCUGUCGUCGGAGGAGGAUGUGAGCUUACGCCAUUGGAUUUGGCGUGCUCUCUGGAGUUCGUCGGGCUCUGGGGCGUGGGGCUGCGCGUGUUGGGACUCCGAAGCGCGGGGCUGCGAGGAUGAAUUGGGCUGGCGGAUGUGCUCGUGCCGUUGCUCAUCUUUUGUGGGCCUGUCGACGGAGGGCCUUCAAUUGCGAGCUUGGGCUCGGGUGCGGGAAGCGCGAGCUUGGGGGGCGAUGGCGGGGUGAGGACGUAGUUGACGCGGGGUUUCACGGGCGGUAGGGCGGGGAGCGGGACCUCUUGAAUGAACCACUGGCGGAUGAAGCUCAUCGGGGGGCGGGCUUCUGGAUCAGGGUGGCAGCAGAAUAAGCCCAUCUGCAGCAAUGUGGUCAUCUUCUCGGGGUCGUGUGAGCCGUCGAGCUUCGGAUCCACAAUUGAUAGCAGCGUGUGCUGCUCGUGGGCUCGCCAUACCUGGUCGACCAAGCUCACGUUCUGAUUCUCGGGCAAGUUCUUGUCGAGCGCCUUCCUUCCCGUCGCAACCUCCAGAGCCAAAACCCCGAAACUGAACACAUCGGAUUUCGUUGAUGCUUUUCCCACCUGCGAGAGCUCUGGGGCUAAGUAACCCCGCGUCCCGGCGAUAAUGGUCGUCUGGACGUUGUCGGUAGUGUGAUGUAUCAGGCGGGCGAGUCCGAAGUCUGCGAGAUGCGGGUUGAAAUUCUCAUCGAGAAGAACAUUGCUGGGUUUCACGUCACGGUGGAGAACGCAUUGUUGGCAUUCUUCGUGGAGAUACGACAACGCGCACGCCACUCCUCGCAAAACCGAGUGGCGCAUGUCCCAUCCUGCGAAUUUAGCGUUCGUGUUGGUGCCGUCGAGGAGCUUGUCCAGGGAGCCAUUGGGCAUGUAGUCGUAGACCAGGAGCAGAUUGCCCUUCUCGUGGCACCAUCCCUGGAGCUGUACGAGGUUCCUGUGACGAAUGCGGCUGAUGAUGGACACCUCAGCGAGAAACUCCCGCUCUCCUUGAUUGGAAUCGUGCGCGAUCUGUUUCACGGCCACGAUAGAUCCAUCGCUCAACGUCCCCUUGAACACACUCCCGAAGGCACCUCGCCCAAGGAGCUCAUCUGCGCUGAACUGCUUCGUCGCCUGCGACAGCUCCCUGUACGUGAAGAUUCUUGGGCCAUAAAAGGUCGAGUCCGCAGGCUUCAGUGCUCCUGAGUUACCACUCUUCUUUGAUUUUGAUCCCGUGAUGGCCUUCUUGGAGCCAGUUUCCUUUCCAGGCUUGGCGGAACUCCCGAGGCAUUUUGCCCCACAGCACAAAAACCUCAACGCUGAAGUCAUUCAGAUAAAUUUCCCCUCCCCCCCCCCACCCCCCCCCGCACCUCCCUCCCUCCUCCCACAGUCUCUCUGCUGCACCAAACAAAUCUCUCGUGGAAGUCGAGCUCGAGCUCUGCUUUCGCCAGGCUGCCCAAUCACCCUGGCGCAUUCACACAAUUCCACACAAACCGCUGGCCCGGAAGCAAAUCCCCGCAGCCGAAUCGAUUCGGCGCAAUCAGGGUUUAAGCUCUCAUCGCUCCCUCACCUCCGAAGCUGCAACACACCACCAGACCCCAAGCCACUCCACCGAUGGUGACUUCAUACCACGCCUAGGUCAGGGUGCAGCUCGAUUCCUGCUGGCGAGUUGAAACCCACCACCCUACGAGAGAGGAUGGACGAAUUGACAAGAUUAGCCAACUCGUCACAUCCGCGAAACUAAGAUUCGUUUCCCCAGUGAUGAAAGUCGUGCUGCUCAUGCACCUCCAGCACAGGAGCCCUGCGCAAGAUGACGACGACUGCAAUCUUGGAAGCGCGCGACGACAACGUGUGGGAUAGUGCCGGAAUUGCACAAUUCCGCGUUGCCGCUUCAUUUCCACCCCAUCGCCUUGUGAAUUCCACUCAGCCCCACCCUACUGCAUGUCUAGGUUGGGUAGAUCCCCCCAUGUUGCGGUGCCAGGACGAGCGCUUGCUAAUAACGGCCCCAUUCCGGGGAUUCGGCCCCUCCACUAGUGGAUCGGGGACUGGUCACUGGCUGUCCAUCCCGUGCAGGCUAACUUAUUGAAUUGGGUGGAUUCAUUCCUCCUCGGCGAGCCCAGACUUACCAUCUCUGGCAUCAUCUGGGGCGUUGCGGCGUUCCCGGAGCGAGCCUCCACCAUCAAGUCGUUCGUGCUUCGACCAUUUCCGCCGGAUUUAGCAAGCUGCUUCUCUGUUUACUCACAUUUGUUGUUUCGGUUGCUCUUUUCUGUCACUUCUUCUUGCGAUCUCCCCCUCCCCCCCCCCCCCGCACAGUGAUCUCCUCCUCGAGUAGCUUCCCCAGCCCUCUCACCCACCGACCGACUUCACGCUACCUCUCCAGUGUCUGCGAAUGGCUCCCACCGAUUGUUGCUGCGCCAUUGCUGUUGCUAUUGCAAAUUGAUCGAUCGAUCGAAUGAUUCCGCUCUCGUUACUACUUACUGCUCAUUCAUAGUCCUCCUCCUCCCUGGCCCUGGACGAUCCACGGCACCUGAAAGCACCAAUCUGUGCUUCGAUAAUUUUUGGUCGAAGCGCCGUCCAUCACGAUCCUCUCAUCGCUCCCUCUCUCUCUCUCUCUCUCUCUCUCGCUACUUCCGUCGAAGUGUUUUUUUAUUUUUUUUUUGGCCUCGGUUUCUACGCCUCGUCGACAGUUUUUUUUUAGCUGUUUUCUCAUUCGACAGACAGACCGCUGCCUGUGCAAAGGUUUCAGAAUCGGUGUGAUUGAGAUUUGAUCAAAUUUAAGAUCGUUUGGUUUUAGUUUCUAGGAACUUUAGAAGUGGGUUUCACAUCAUGGAUUAUCAGAAAAAUAUAAAUAAAAUAAAUAAACACUCGUAUUGGUCAUUCAUAAAUAGAAACUAGUUCCAAUUGCACAAUUUGUUGUGGUUAUAAAGAACUAAUUCAAUCAUGUGCCAUUAUUUAUUGACUGAAUUAUUUUUAAACUAAAAAAAUUAUAAUUUAUCAUUGACAUGUAAGUAGCUGUAGCUGUACACCUCAUACAUUUUCAAAUGUUUUAAGACCCACCUAAUUCUAACACUGCUUUUUUGAGUAUAUAGUCAUAGCCCAGUGUAUAAUCCUGAGACUGCUGGUAAUGAAUAUGAACCACUUCUCUAUGUAUACAUAUAUGUGUGCCAAAACUGAAGUAAACAUGUCUACAAUUUUAGAAUUAAAACUCGUAUCAUUAAUAUAUAUAUAUUAAAAUUAUUCUUAGUAUUUUAAAUUUAAUGUCUAAUCCAUUAGUUGUCAAAAUUAAAUGUGUUGAAUAGACACGAUUUUAUGCAUACAUUUAAUGGCAUUUUUAUUUCUAUUUUUGAUUUAUUUUGUUUUUAAAGUCAAAUUCUAAUACAACACAGAAAAAUCAACAGUGCAUUGAGAAUUAAGAGUAUGAUGUUGAAUCAUUAUUUUAAGUGCAUCUUUUUGAAAGUGGUUUGAGAUAGAUUUGAGUAUGGCUUGUUAUUUUUGCAUUUUUGCAUUUUUGCAUUUUUUUUUUUUUAAACCUAAAUCACUGAGACACAGAAUUGCUCUUUUAUAGAUUAACCAAAAUGGUUUUUUUUAAACACAAUUGCAAUCAAUUACACAUAAAUAUCAAAUGAUUUGAAAUAUUUACCAACGACUUUUAUUUAUUAUUUUAUUUAUUUAAUAUUUGUGAUGACGAUAAGAUUGCAGCUUUGUUUUCAAAUAUUCAGUUUUUACAUCAGAGCAUGUUAUUUAAAAUAAUAAUAUUCAUACAUGAGAGAAAAAAACCAUAAAAAAUAAAAAAUAAAAUCUUUUGAUUUUGUGUUUCUAAUUCAGUAAAAGAGUUAAAUAUUCACAUAACUAAAAAUGUUGAUAAUAAAGGAAAGUUUCACAUUACAUCAAGGAAAGUUUCACAUUACAGCAAUUAAAUAUAAUCAAGGAAUCAAUAUACUGCUAUUUAAUUGUAUCAUGUAAUACCUUUUAAAACUUACUAUAUGUUUUUAUAUAUAUAUAUAUAUAUAUAUUGAAACAUGCAUGCACAUCAGUGAAUACUAAAAUCAAUAAAUUCUAAAGUUUGUUUAUUAGUAACAAAUAAAGUGAUCAUGGUUAUUAAAAUGCUUUUUUAUGGUUUUUAUUAAACUAACAAUUUGUUAGAUAUAACUUUAAUUAUUUACUUUUGUAUGAAUCUAUAAAAUUGAUAACUUUUUCUACUGCUCUCAACAACAUGAAUUUAUUCUAAGAGUUAAAGUGGAUGCAAUUGGAAGAGCGUUUAUUAUUUUAUUAUUUACAUGAUCUGGGUAGUAUAUUAGUACUACUCGUGUGCUCCACGACACAUGUUUCUAGUAGCAUACGUAUCCCUAUACAAUACUUGUCUUAGUCUAUACAUAUCACCAUUGUAAAAAAAUUACAAGUUUUGUUUAAGACCCAUUUGAACAAGCAAAAGUAGAAACAUAUGAAAUAUGCAAUCCCUCCAAUUAUCCAAGGUAUUACAGAAACAUAUACAAGUUUUUUAUCUUUACAUUUUUAUUAUCGAGUUGAAAAGAAUGAAUGUAGAUAUACGACACCAAAAUAAUAAACAGUUCCACAAUGAAAUUCUUGACUCUCAACCCAAACAACCUGGUUUUUUCAGCACAUAAUUCUACUUUAAAGCAGGAGUAUCCCCUAUUCAUCCGUAUUAAAACGAAGGAACUGAGAGCAAGUAAAAGCUUUGAAUUGAUGGGAGGAUGAUGAUUAAACCCAAUGGGGAAUUUGAUUUGCAAUUACAAAACAUGGGUCAAAUGAAAAAACAUUAUCAUCACGCACCAUUAAACUUUACACCACGAAGAGAAGGGGGGAAAAUAGACCCGUAUGCACUAGUCCACACCCGACCCCGAAGAACCUCGGGCGCCACGUGGCUUGAUCCUAUUCGCAGGAAUGUGCUUCUAUUUCACAUGGCAAUCCACGUCACGGGCGUAGAAAUUUCCUAACCCGGAAGGGGGAGUGGGAUUCGCACUUCCCAGAAGCUGACUUGGCAUCAGAGCACGGACCUCAUUUAAAUGGUAGAGUCCAAGUCAGCAAAUUUCGGGAGUCGUAACCAAUGAGAGAAACGCUUGGACGCGAAGAUUGGCCAAGAGAAAGACACGCAUUAACCAAUCGAGCGCCCGCCGUUCCCUUAACUGGGAAUGAUGACACGUGGCGGAAUAUUAAUGGACAAGAUCGGUGUGUUUCAGAAAGAGCACUAUCUGCAUUGAAUGCACUUGGGCGUGACCACAGAACCCGAAUUCAAACCCCUGGGAAGAAACUCGCUUUCAGGGUCUUGAGCCCCUAUCACCGGGACCCGCCCCUUUAUGACCUGCACCCAUCACCGCUUGUGUACUACCAAAGGGUCCAGUAGCUAUGGCCCACACUUAUUUCGGAGCCUCUUCACAUCGUUCCCCGUUGCCUUUUCGGAUCUAAAUAGCACAACUCACAUGGUGGUGUUCCCAAACAUGGCCACGAGCGGGCGAUUUUACACAUUUCAUUUAUGUAUAUGUAAAAUUUCCUUUACACGAAUGGAAUAGAGUGCUUGCUAGCGUGCGUGCGUUUGUGUGUGCGUGUUGUAUAUUUAUCCAUAUGCGUGUAAGAUCCAAUGCACAUUGAAUAUGAAAAGAAAAAAGAAAAAAAAGAAAAAAAAGAAGCACUGUAGGUUAGUUCAUCUUUACUUUGCUUUCUUAGGUUAACUCUUCCACAACGAAAGAAUUCGGCAGACAGGAACAUGAGGAUUCUGACAUGUUCUGGAUCGGAUCUGUUGUGAUGAGGAGGAGCUGCCGAGGAAUGCGUAGAGGAUCGAACAAGAGGGCUCAGGGAUGAGAUCGAAGAUGGAAUUGGAAAGCCAAGGUCCUUCGGGAUCGGAGCUUUCACCAUAUGGACGCUCUCUUGGUAACGUCGUUGGGAGCGACAUGAGGCCUGUGCGAGUUAUCAAACGGCGGGCUGGAUUAGCGGCGAGACGAUUUCACUGCGUGGAGCUUGGUUUACUUUAAGAAACGCAGACGAUGCCUUCAUUCUGUGGUGUGUUCAGCGCCUUUGCAGUCUCUGUCUGCUCGUACACCAGAUAUUCGAAUUUCCUGAUGUACGACCGCCUAAUUCAGGGUUCUCUGGGGGAGGUAUUCUGUGAAUGCUGUCGAUGCGCACGUAUCGCCUUACAACGAGCUGUUUGAUUUGGCAUUGCCAAAAUGACAAUUCAUCAGAUCUUCAUUUUUUCUCUGGAAUGUCUUAAUUUCUGACCCUAGAGGUUAUUUGUCUGUGGCACAGCAACAUGCGAUUGGAAGAAUUUGUAAUGAUUCAGAGUGCACGAUUAUUCUGUGGAAGAGCAAACUGUUGAUUACACAUGUUGCUCUUAAUUGAUCUUGCUACAUGGGAUGAGAGGCUUUAUAUCUGACACAAUCGUUCGAUACUCAGGCUUAUUUUGAUAGUGAAGUGCUUGGCAAGGUGAACGGAGCUACUUUUUGCAGCCUAUUGCGCAGGUUUGUGCAACCUGAUUGCUGAAGCCGUUGGUAUAUUCCUAUACUCAUGCAUCGCGGCACUGCUCUUGUUGCUUUGUACACUUGAGCUCGACAUUGCUUGUUAUGUUGUUAGCACAAAUGUAUAGCAUGCAACAAUAUGAAAAAAAUAGCCUUAACAGAUCUCUGUAAGCUCCAAGGUCGCACAACCUUCUAUGGACAAGGAACAUUUAUCACAGAAUGAACGUCGAUCGUAUUGUCACAAUAGCACCUAAAUUGCUGGUCUAUACUGCAUAUGCUACGUACAAAUUUUCUGUAACAUCUGGAGCAUUUUUUCUUUUUUAUAUUCAAAUACUCACAAACACACAUAUAUAUAUAUAUAUAUAUGAUCUUCUUUUCUGCCUCAGACGUGACGAUGUCGCUGGAGUGAUCCUUGAUCAUCACCUUUGAAGAAGCUGUUGAUUCCUCGAGUAGUUGGAAAACUGUUGGAUUUGGUGCUUCAGCAUUGUAUUCGAUGAGCACUGUCCGAUCUAUUGUCUCUGGUAGAGGAUCUAAAGAGGUGAUGUAGGUCUACGUAUCCAUAUCACUUCGUCGUCGCCGCUUGUCUGCAGAUCUGAGAAUGGACCCGUUUCUUUUUGCAUGUUUCUGUGCGAGUUGGAAUUUGUCCUGUAUUCAAUGUUUUAAAGAUCCGAAGACGCUUAUUACUCUUGUAGUUUGAGUUUUAUGCUUUAUGAUGACAAGCAUGUUUUUUGUUGCAAACAUGUACUGAAAUACUGCGACAACAUAUAUAUAUUUUAAUUUGAAAAGUUGGAAUUGUUCUACAAUACACAUGAGUUGUGUCAAAAAGUAGAUUUUAUUACUUUGUAGAUUUAAAACAAUCCGCUACAAUAAGAUAGAUGAAAAUGAUAAUUUUACAUCAUCAAUAAAAUAAAAAUAUGAUAUCUUGAUUGAUUGAUUGAUUUAUUUAUUUUAAAUUUUAAACACAUACCCCUUAUAUGCUUCUUCUUGCAUAUUUGCAUUCCAAAUUUUGUAGUGUGGCUUAGAUAGUUUUAUUUUUUAUUAGUUCAUUGUACUUUCUCUCAACUUUUUUUUUCACAUUAUUUAUAGAACAGUGAUAGACCUUGCUAACCACAUAUAACAACGCCAAUAGAAGUCAAAUUGACAAAAAAUACAAACGUAGUCCAUUUUGUUGAUUCAUGUAUACUCUACAUUAUUUUACUACAUUGCCAAUAAAACAUUUUGAUUUUCUGUAUGCAAACCUCAAUAACCAAAGAAAUAUUUGUCACAAAGUCAUUAAACUCCACAAUAUUUUACAAACAUUGACAACAUUAACUACCUUGAAAGCAAAUAUUCUUUCAAAAUAUUCUUCCCACAUUCUAUCAAAUUACAUCCUUCCGUUGAAAACCAUGUAAAUAGAUCUUGUUGGUUCUUUUUUAACUUCACCUUAUUGAUGGGUACCCACUGUUUUUAUCAAAGUCUUAACAUCAAUUGCCACUGUUUUUAUCAAAGUCUUAAUAUCAAUUGCAAAUACGAAUUAUUCGAACUCAUGAAAAACAACACCCAAAAAAAUAAAACAAAACAAAAUCGGAGCAUAUCUGAGUAGAAAUACAGAAAGUUAUUUACACCAAUAAACAAUGCAGGAUAAAGAGAAAAACUAUCUCAAAACUUUAAAAUGCUGCAAGAUGACGUGCCUCUAAUGCUUUCACAUCCUUCACUCUUCACUGAAGGGGUCGAGUCAGGAUUUGAGGGUUUGGGGUUUAGGGUUUGGAGACUCGAUACCCUUAUGAAGUAGAUCUCGGCAGCAUCCUCUGAAUUCUCUCUAGUCUUUCACAAAUCUCUGGAAAGGCUGGUCUUUUCAAAGGAUUUGUGUGCCAGCAUUGCUCGAUGAGCUCCUUCAACUCUGAGUUCAGAUCUGCAGGGAGCUUCGGUCGAAGCCCUUCUCUCACUCUGUGGUAAUCUUUUCGUUUUAUAUCCAAGAAAGGAGUUAUUCCUGUCAAGAUCUCGUACGAUGUAAUCGCGAAACUGUAAACAUCUGUUGCCUUAAGAUCAAGCUUUCCUCGUGUUUCAUCGCAGCCUGGGAGUAUUUCAGGUGCCCGCCAAAACCCAGUGCCUGCAUUCAUGUAAGGUCCUCGUGCUUGGCUUGAAUCCGAAGGCAGUUCGAGGUGAGAGAUGCCGAAGUCCACAAUUUUCACGUCUAGACUUCCAGCAUGUUCCUGAGCGAGCACAUUGACGGGCUUCAAGUCUCUGUGCAUCACCCCCUUAAAGUGCAGAUAGGCCAUACCUAAUGCAAUUCUGGUGAUGAUGAACACAGCCUCAUGGAUGUCAAAGGGCACAACAUCACAAGCAGGAAUCUUCUGUCCUGUCGCCUCUGAGAUUUUUUUCUGCAUCCGACUGUAAAUCAACUCAUGCAGAUUGCCUUUCAUGUACUCCAUCACAAUUGAGCACUUAUCUUUUGAGUCCACAGAUAAACCUACCAUCUGCACUAUGCAAGGGUGACGACUUAGGUUGAUCAAAAAAUCCACUUCAUGCUGCAGGUCUCGAUGAGAUGAGCCUGUUUUAAACCUCUUCACAGCGAAGGUGCAGCCUAACCAGGUUGCCUCAUAAACUUUUGCAGAAUUCCCGUGUCCAAUACAUCUCACUUUUUUGAGCUCCCCGGGCGGAAUCCUCAAAUACUCAGGCACCAUAAGCUCACUAGGACUGCGACGAAAAUGGGUACUAUCUUCUUCCUGCGCCUCCCACGUGCUCGACUGUUCUGGUGUUUGAAUUUUUCGCUUCCUUCCAAUCAAGCCGAAGACUGCCUCCCGAACUAUGGAUAUGCCCCUGAAAACACCCAACACGUCUUUCCCAGGCGAAGUAAUUGUAACAGGAGGCUUUUUGGACCUUGUUACUCCUAAAAGAUGACAGAUAUUUUCAAAACUCGGCCGGAUCCUAGGUUCUUUAUCCCAGCACGUUGUAAUUAGCCCCUUGAGAGACUUGUCUAAGUCCUCAGGCAACUCUGGCCUAAAGCCUUCUUCGAUCUGUUUUAGAAGGUGAUCAUCUUUUAUUCCAUCGAAGGGGUAUUUUCCUGUCACAAUUUCAUAGCAAGUCAUUCCAAAACUGUAAACAUCGCUCUUCUUCAAUGACUCCUUCGAAGGCUGUAAUCCACCAUACUCUGCAAUGGCCUCAGGUGCAGUCCAUCGAGGCCGUCUUGUCAAACUUGCUUGUUUGAAUGCUACAGGAUCCCACUCUUUGUCGAGUUUCUGAGACCCCCUGAGAUCAGAGAUUUUGACUUCAAGGUAUUGAUCACAAUUCUUAACCAAAAGAUUAGAGCACUUGAGAUCUCCGUGUACAUAUCCCUGUUGGUGCAUAUAGUACAUGCCUUUCGCAAUCUGUGUAAUGAUAUCGAGUUCUUCACUCCGAUUAAAGGGCCGAGAAUUUGGUGUCGGAGCAAACUGCAAUUUCUGUCUCAUGAAGUCUCUUAAAUCUCCGUCCAUUAACUCCAUCAAGAAAAUAGAUUUUUCAUUGUCCUGACCAAAACCAACAAGGCGGGUAAUAUGAGGGUGCCUCAAUCCUUCCAAACAGCCAACCUCCUUCAACAAUUGUUGCUUGUUCCACAUUGCACCACCAACUGCACCAGCUUUGAAUACUUUAACGGCAAAAUCGCAGCCAAGCCAUUUACCGGAAAAUACAAGCACCCAACCAUCCAUCUCCUUUGGAUCUCGCGUACUUUGUCUCCUAUACUCGCGCACAGGGCUGUUGAUUUCUAUAGCCGCCAAAUUAAUUUUAAGAUAACUCGGCAACUCGUCACUGCCCUUUGCAUGCUCGUUCUUCUCCAGAACUACGUGUGCUAUCUUCUCCGCAUCCAUACCCAUAUCCGUUGUUCGACUCAACUCCUGAAUGUUAGUAAAAAUCUCCUGCAUCUCUUUCUUGUCCGCUUCGGCAUCUGCUGUCAGUAUAUUGAUCCUCGUCUGGACCGAUGUGGACUCGAAGACUUCCGUCAAGCCCUCAAAGUCAAACUGCGCCUUCAUGGUGUCGAGUUCUUCAUGAAUCUCCUUAAAUGCCUCUCGAUUAUCAGUCCGGCUAAUAACAAUGCUAAUUCCUUUAGGAUCCUCAUAGUACGAUACCAAACUCUGCCCCUUCAAUAGCACUGUGAGAAGAUCGUCAAAGGCAGGAUAGUCCUUGUUGCUGCUGCUGCUGCCACCACCAAAUGCUUUGCCAACAGUAGAAUAUUUGUCGCAGCUCAUGUUAUUCAGUAACUCACUUAUGGCAAAGUAACGAUCUGCAACGCGCUUGCACUGGCGCUUGUUCACCCAUACAGUUUCGGAGAUUUUCCGAACAUUCGCAAUAAUUGCCAAGGCUUGUCGGACUUGAUCAAUUGGCUCAUCGACCAUUUCCCAACCAGAAUCUGUGUGAAGAGAGAAAUCUGUUUUUAGAAAGGGAUCAUGUCUGUCAACUAGCUUGAACCACAUACAUUACGAUGCCAGGUUGAUCGCUAAGAAAACGUUCCCAAAAUUUGUUGCAUGUAAGGAGAAGUUGACUGGCUGUUACACUUCCCAAUGUGACAAUUUCGGUUAUCUUAGAUGUUCACUAGCGGAUGCAACUGAAGAUUACAAAACCAUGUUGCCCCUCUUCAUCGUCAUUUAUGCAUUCCAAUAAAUUACAACACAUUGCGAGUCGAAUUUGCAAGACAACACCAAAAAUCUACCUGAUAAAAAGAGCUUGCGAUACCCUUGUUGCAACUUAGUUGACCCAUUGAGUUGGAAUACGGCAGGCUUGUCAAAAGAAAUAAAAUGAAAUUAUAUAUAUACGUACAUGUGUAAGUAAAAAGGAAAGAGAAAAUUAAUUCAUAUCUUACCUGGAUCCGAAGACGUAGGAAAUGCCAUACCGUGAAGUCGGUGCUUUUCUCCUCACAGCUCCACAGUGUUGAUGUUAAUAAAAACCACAUACAAUGGUGAUAAUUUGCGCUCUAUAAACAGAAAUAUUGUGGGUAUUUAGCAUCAUACCUCAAACCUAAGAGACAGACUUAUGUUAACAAGUAGGACAAUUCACACGGCACCUUCACAUCCCUUGGCAUGAGGCAAACAAAUAAAUUAUGAAAACGAGGCGACAAGUACCUAACCAAAUAGACAAUAACGCAAACAAGAACUCAAUAACGCUGAAAACGUGCCUGAAACUUCACACGUCUACCUAAUCUGUCUCCCUUGUUCACUUAGGCUUGUCUAUGUAGUCAAUUGCUUAAAUGUUUACAUGUGUCAAAUCCACGUCCUUUUAAAUUGAGACAGUAAACAAACGGGAAACAAAUUCUUAAGCUGGAAACUGAAAGAGCGUUGUAGACAAGAAAAAUAGCCAGCUACUCGGAAUUAGGUGCAGGGAUAAUGAUACGGCAGAUUACCGCUACGAAAACAACCCCUCAAACUCCACGCAGUUCUCACCCAGCAUAAACCAGGCCCAACAAAAUCCACCACAGCAGAUUCUGAAGGCACAAUGUCUAGCCUCACCACACAUGACGCCAACUACAGUGACAUCGCAAACUUUACAGAAUUGAAAGAAGCGGAGUCCUCUGCAAAGAAAUAAAGAUGAGCACGAAUCAGCAAGAUAUGCUUUCACAUCUUUGAACAAAUUUCUUCUACGACGAUGCUGACCUAGUAUUCUGUUUCUUUUUAAUGCAUUCGUGAGUUGCGUAAGGUACAUACCUAGAGCUUCAACAAAGGCGAAGAACGACAAUUAGCUCCAGUGAUCAGGAAACGUAACCCACCCACCCACACAACUUUGAAAAUCCACCUAAAAAAUGCAUUCCUACCUUGAAGUCUGACGUCUCUUUACACCGCACAAUUGUAUGUUGAAUUCGACCCUGUUCCGUCUCUGCUGAUUCAACCUCCGCCAAGUCUAGCCAAGGGACGCAAAACCAAACCCUCAGAUCGAUCAUAAGCACGCGAGUCCAAACACCUCCGUCGCCAACACACUGCUAAACUCCAUAACCUCCUCGAUCCGCUAUGAACAGAAUACAUGAAGCUCUUUCUGUGUCCCGAAACCACACGAAGUGCUGCUAGACGCAAAUUCGAUGCUUGUACAGACAUUGUCUGCAUAAAAGUCAACUAUGCUUUGGAACAUGUGAUGUCGGUGCAUGAAUCCGACAACGCCAGUUUAAAUUUUCAGACAGUGAGUUACUUUCCAGAAAGAAUUUACUGUUGGAUUCUCCAAAGUAUCUAGUGGAUUUUCCUGUAAAUCCGCCCAUCUUUCCGAAAAGAGGAUCGGUUGAACCUGCUGAAGGGUUAUGACAUCACCGCUUCCUUUCAUGCCUCCUCUCUUCUUAUCAGGCGUGCAAAUUCCAAUUUCUUUCUCUGUUUUGGGUAAAUCCACGAACCCUCAAUCGGAUAGUAUGAUUUCUCAAACGGACUCACUGAACUUCCGAUCACUUUGUGUUAGAAACUAAAACCAACAAAUCACAGAGAUUCUUCCAUGUCACGCCGAAACUCCACAACCAUGCGACUCACGAUAAGGCUGGGAGGGUUGUGACUUAUCCCGAAGUCGCUAGUCUGUACUGAACAACUUGGACGAGAGUUAUCACACCAAGAAUGAAAAAUAAUUGAAACAUGUGGUGGACUGUCCCACAAAUUUAGAGGCAAAAGCCAUCCUUCAACGUAAUGGUGGACCCAACAACAAGAGAAAUACCUCGAAAUUCCAUCCUCUUCAGCAAAUGCCGCUCUCCAGCAACCACCAAGAAUGAGACCAACCGCGACUGCAUGUCCAUUCCUACGCCCCUCAAUAAAAUCCUGCGUUCUGUUUCUACACGAGCGCAAUGUGCUGAGUUUUUAGGAUUUCCUAAGCGAAACUGAUGGCGACUUCAUGUGACGACAGAGUCGACAGCUCGAGAUUAAACGCAAUGCCAUCAUCCGGAUGACACGGGUAUAAUUGCACCUUUCUAGGCGAAACAUGAAUGGAAUUCCGAGAAUUCAAGGUGGAAUCCUUCCGGAUAUUCGGUGGACUUCAAGAAGGAUGCCGACAUUUCGAUCCGAGCGAUUACAGGAGGACCUAAACGGCAAAUCAAGACGUAGAGUGAAGUGUAGAAUCGUCGUCAGCGGCGGUCGUCACUUCCCUCGAGCUCACCGCCGCUUGUGAGGCCCUCAACAGCAACUCGACUUCGCUGUGCUGCUCAAUUUGGGCAUUUCUGCGCUCAUGCAUGACACACUUGUUCGAUCGGUGCCCCGCACAUCUGCGUCGCUCUGAUGCACAUCGCCACUUCUGCCAUCACUUGCACUGCGUAUUGACAAGUUGCAUUUAAUCGGAUCCUUAUCACUUUUUUUGCAAAUUGCUUUCAUGAGGAUUGGUACCAUAAGAUGAUUAUCAAAUGCAAAUAAUUCUGUUUAACCAGAAUGUUACGCGUAUAUUGUGUACUUCUACUCGAUGGUCCAUGUCCCUAUGCAAUCUUGUUGCACUCAAGUUUUCCUAGUCAAUUGUUCACACAUAUUGAGUUUGUAUUCAAUUAGGUUCUCACUGUGUGUACACGUUGAUUGGACAAUGCGGACCAAAAUUUUCAUAAGUACCAAAAUAUGCAUAUAAUAUUGUAAUACAGAUGACAAAUGAUAGGUAGUAACCUGCGACAUUGUAUGACAACCAAACGAUACAAUGGAUAAGUACUAAACUGCCGAGUAUAUUUUCACACUGAAUUUCGUAAUGUCGUGGAUUAGACCUUAUUGGAGGGUUCAACGUAGCCAUUUCAUUAAGAAGAGUAGGAUUUAACUAUUCUAUUCUAAAAAAAAGAACAACCUACAAAAUUUGUUAUCAUCGUAUUAAUGAAAAGAGAUUGAAAGCUGUGCUUCGGCCAAACUCAUAAGUCCAUAAUAUCUCCGGAUGCUGCGACGAAUCAUGCUUUCUGAAUCGUAUUCACCGACAAACUGAGAUAGUCCCAAACCAGGCAAGCUCAUUUUUCAAAUUCUGGCAUCCAGGACUCAGAGUUCUUAUCGUUUCGCCUGUGGUCUUAGGUCGUUAGUGAGUAAUAAGCUAAGCAUACGCAUAUCGCUAUCUCUGGUCAUUGAUUACUACGAGUAUGACUAACUCAACAUCAUUGUGCAAAAAGGAAAAGAUAGUGUGCUCUCCGCUUGUGCUUCGGAACGCUGGCUGCAUAAGAACGCAUCCAUGAUUCCAUACUGCUUGCUUGGUUGCCAGAUAUAUAAUUGUCAGAUUCUAACGUGGACGGAGUUAUACGAUGGCGAGCCCCUGAGCUUCAGAGGUGCUAUCAUAUAUGAGCAUUUCGCGAGCAUUAAGAGCUUGACAUACGUUGAUCAUAGCAUGUAUCGUUUGGACCCGCUUGCCCAACUGCACCAUCUGCACAGAAAGUCUCUUCCAGUUGGCCCACCACGUGAGAAGUUGCGAAUUGACUAAGUUACUAGAGUGGGAGUCAAUGAUGUUAAUUUAAACUGAUGUAACGAUUUCUCUGUAAUGUUUCUGACAUGAGGGCCGCUUUCCAUACCCGUUUGGUGAUUACUAGUCAGUGCCGCAAUGACCACAUUGCUCGUUCAUCCUGAGGUCAGAAUUGUUCUGAAUGCGUCGUGUUGAUACCCUGUAUCAUAAAUGGCAUUCGAUGCUAAGCACUGAAAAAUCUACUGGAUGCCCUUCUGAUUAGCUGCAAAUACGCUCGUGCGCAUAGUUGCAAGGAAAUGCUACAUCUCGCCAAAAGUGAAUACCAUGAUAUACGUCAAUAGUAGCACCAGCCCGUGCGCUGUUCAUACAAGGAGGCAGCCACGAAGGUCCCCGUGGCGGCCUCGCACUUCUUACAGCAAUACGAAAUGAAGAGUUCAAGUGACGACAAACCAAGCUAAACUCCUUUUUGGUUAAGAUCGCUCCAGCCGUUUUCUUCACCUUGGUUGACGAGGGUAAGACUCAAGAAUGAUGGAAAUGUCAAUAUAUCACGAAUGUUCUUACCAAAGAAAUACACAGCACUGGUCGUGGCACAACCAAGUCAAAUAAUAAGCCUCAGAGAGCAAUCAUGAAGUCGUAAUGAGAUCCUCCCCCAUUCCAGAAGUGGGCCUUGCAGAUGAUAAUAAAUCGGAGAAACCUUUUCAAAGGCCAAGUUCAUCAGCACAGGUAACUCUAGUGACAUCCAAUACUGAAUUGUGAGUAACAAUUCAAUAUUCAAUCGUAAACAACCGACACUUUUGAUAAACCGGGGCCAUGACUGGUCAGUAUCAGUAAUUACCACUGCACACUCGCUCUGUCCACCGUAGUCGAAUGAACGAAUCAAAUACGUACAAGGGUCCAAUAUAUUUCAAUAUAACAGUUCUAGCCGUGUUUGGAAGUUGCAACAAUUUCUACGCAAGUCAAGCUGCUCCAACGGGUAUCACUGUCAGCGAGUGUGGUACUUUGAAAGCAGAACCACUGGAAGAAGUAUGUAUAUUUAUGAGAGCUGAAACCCACGCUGCCAACACCAAUAUUGAAUUGUUACUCACAAGCAUGUCCAUGUGAUGAAUGCCAAAUCUUACCAGCUGAGUGUGAACAUAGCUUAGGGUUGCUUCGAAGGCCGUUUUCUGCGAAGGAAAGGCAGUGCCCGAAAUCCACUGCUCGCACUAGUAUGCAUUUCUUCAAUGGCUACUUGGGUUGCCGUCUGGAUUAAUUCCUGGUCUACAUUCGAUAAAUCUGGCGUAAUAUCCGCAUCCACUUGACCACUGACCAGCUCAUUGGGAUCACAUGGCUCAGUUACAUCCUGUUCAGGCUGAAUGUUGUCGUUCUGCUCGUGAUGACCUUCGAGACCUGGAACGACAUCUUCCUCAGGUACACAGAAACCUCCGCCACUAAAAAGAUACGAGGGCGUUGGCACGCUCCCCGUUUCAGCUGCAACAGCUCCCGUCUCUCUAUCUCUAUGGACGUCCCCAUCGUCCCUAAGGUGGCCUGCUCCAGCUCCUGCCUGAUAUUCAGCAGAACUGGAUUGAACAAAAUUGCGGUGAUCAAUAAUCUCUUCAGCGUGGUCUUCUCUGCUUGGAUUCGAAGUUUGGCUCCCAGUAGAAACAUCAUCUUCAUUCUCGGGGUUAUCCGCUGCGUCAUCAGAACCUGCUGGCUCAUUAUAAUUAGCUUCAUUCUUGCGAGCUCUGCUAGACUGCAAAAAAAUAAAAACAGUUGUGCGGUAUUAGAAUAAGUAAAAAUGCCGACCCUCGAGCAUAGAAUUCAUAUUAUACUAAUACAAAAAUAUUAGUACUACUCACCCUACGAAUUGGCAAAAGUUGGUCUUCCGCUUUCCUUUUUGGUCUGCCUCGUUUCGUUUUCAUCUCGAUUACUGUGUCGUCAUGGUCACUUUCACUAGAAGCAGUGGAGGCGCUAUCCUCGUCUGCUUUAGUAACGUCAGAAAUUCUACCUCCUCUACUUCCUCUUCCUCUUCCCCUUCCCCUUGUUUUAACAGCCUCUUUGUUGUUCUUUCUAUUCCUUCUUCCCCUCCCUCUCCUGUUUGCGUGACCUGAAGUAAGAUCUUCCGAAUCUGGGAGGCCUUCUGCAACAUCCACAUCAUAUCAACUUUAGUGAUUAUUGAGGGAUAUGCAGUUGUCAUACACAAAUUCAAAUACUCAGUUUCAAGUUGGUUAUUCUCAUGACUGAGUUGUACCUGUUAUAUUUCCUUGCACACUGUUCAAGUCUGCUUCUUCCACAAGUUCGGUUGCUAUUUUUUCAACUGACUUUUUGCUAGAGCCCUUUCUCUGCUUCUGUUUCUUAGCAGGGGGACCAUCCAAAGAGGAAACGUCCACCAACUCUUUAGAUAAUCGACCUGUGGUUCCCCGAAGGGCCUUUUGAAUGCGAGCACUCCUGACUUUAGCAAACCUUUGAUUGAAAGCGUAGAAGGCAUCCAUGCGAAGUUGUGUCUGCAGAAUCGAACAGCAGUAUAAGAUUACAAGCAUAAGAUGGGCAGAGACGACAUUAAUUUCUGAACUAAACACAAACAAUACCUCUUGCCGAUCAUACUCCUUCAAAACGGACAAGAGCAAUUCAUCUGCUUUCUCUUUGGGCCAAGAAAACCGCUCAAGACAAAACCUGCAAUACAACAUGGAGUUACUUCAGCAAUAAAAGAAAAACUGUACUUGCGAGCAAUAAAACCAUCCUUGAAUACCACAACAUAGGAAAGCAUAAUAAUCAAGCCAUCUAAAAGUAAGUCUCAGAUACUCGUAAGAAAAUAUUCCCUAAAAAAACCGCUUUCACAAUGGGGAAGCUGGAAUUACUUUCGAAGAGCCUCAAGGUCUGGUCGACCCCAUGAGAAACCUUGUUUUGAUUUCUCUACACGAGGACUUUUAUAUUCCGCCACAACUGCUUCACUUGGAAAGGAUUCUGGGAUUUUCCAAUUUUUGCUUACAGCCCUCUGCAACAAUCAGAUGUUAUCCUUGGAUCGGGAGACCAGCGUUUCAUCUUCAUAUAUUCCACAAGUGGCCAAUCUGCUCCAACGCAGAAACUUACAAAUAUACUGAAGCAGAUACCAACGGGCAGCUCGGAAACAUGAUUGUUAGCCAUCAAAAAAGGGCAAUGCUUAAUGAUCUUCCCACUCACAUGACUCUCCAUAAAUGCUUGCUGGCGGAGCUCUCUGGCAGCAUCAUCCUGAUCAUCUCCAUUGCUGGUUUCUGCAGCUUCAUUAGUGGCAUCAUCUUCACCCAUAUCGUCUGCUUUUUCCUUUUUGUCCUUAGCUUUGCUCCGUGAACCCUUUCUUUUAAAUCCAUUACCUCCAAGUUCAAGAAGAGACAAAUCUACAGACUCCACCAUCUCUUUGAAGUUUUUAAGCCCAUCGUCCUCGUCAAAUGCAUUAACUACCUCGAUAGCAUUAACUAUGCCAAUGCCACUGCACAGAUGCGAGCAAUUUAAACGGAGUUGCUAGUGAACUUCAAAAAGACGUCAAAAAUAAUAACCUCAUAAAAAAUUGUGAUACACCAAUACCUUUCUGUGUAAACAAUAAAACCCUAAUCCAACACAAAUUCACUCUCCCUUUCACACGCAACCGUAAAAAAUAAAAUUGUGUGUUUCGUUGACCUCGUCGACAACUCUUCUUUUUUAAUACAAAUUCAGCUAUCUGAACUAGGAUUUCAACCUGACGCCUUCCGUGUAGUCACUUCCAAGUAAUAGAGCCAUUCGUAUGAGCUUAUCUCGAUCCAACCCCAACUCAGUCUCAACAUCCUGCCACCAGACAAUGCACGUUUUAACAUGAGUGAAUGACUACGAACUGCGCUGCACAACUGAACACGAGUAACCCAAAAUCAAAUCAACGAUCAUGACCAUAAGAAGAAAUGGAACCUAUGCAUGCAGACUUUAACAUUCAUCAAAAAUUGUAUAUUACCUUCAUGUAGUACGUUUCCACGUAUUUACGGUCAUCGAAGAUAUUCUUGUACACAUUGCGGCCUCCAAACAGGAAGACAUCAACAUCAUCGGUCACUACACCAUCAACUAACUUCUCUGCAUCUAGAAACGCACAUUGUGCUUCUGCUUCCAUGGGAGCAAUCACAUAAGGCAACCCAAACAUUUGCAACAGCUCCUGCACAAUACAUAAAUGUCACUACACUUGUGUGGCAACAAGCAAGAGUUAAGGACCUAGUUCUAAUUCGAGGCAAAGUAUUUUCACUCAUUAAUCAUACCCGAACCCUUGGAAAAUUUUAGCGGUCAUUACUUACUUGGCACUCUGCAAACAUCUCCGAAGUAACAGAAUCUGCAUUGCGCUCGUUCUUUUUCUGCAAUUCGCGGAGCUCAGCUUCUUCUUCUAGAAGGAGCUCACGUUCUUUAUCUAUCCCUGCAAGUAGUUCUUCUUGUUCCUUCUCAAAUACAGCCUGCAAUUCAGCUUCAUCUCUUGAAAGUGCCUCACGCUCUGCCAAUAAACCGGCCUCAUGCAUCAGCAUUUCUUCCCGGUCCUUCGCCAGAUCCAUGUCUUCAGCGUCUUUCAGCAUUUCUUCCAUUGGUAACACACUUUCUGAGCCGGGUUUGGCAAAAUUAGGCUUCACAACUGUAUUCAACCCACCACUACACAUGAGGAGCAGAAUCUUAAAAUUUUACGUGAAUCCAGAACAUGCAUCAGCAAAAUCUCGAAUCAAAUAAAACCCUGCUCUUACCAAAGCAUUCUCCAGUGUCCAUAUAAGAGGCCAAUGCAUUGAAGGAUGGCUAGUAUGAAGACAUCAGAUGUACGAUUUAACUUCUAAGAUGUCGAAAACUCACAGUAAUACUUUAUUCUUAAUGUUCUUAGACAUCCAACACAAAAUUGGAUGCGUGCAAGCAUUGACAAACAGUACCUGACGAUAAAUUAUCAUGCUGAUCGGGCGUGGGUGAGCUUCCCUUUGGGCAAUUGUUCACGGCAUCAUGCACUGACUCCACUUCUUUAAGGAUAUCUGCCUUCUCGAUUCUUUCAGGAUUCUCAGGAACGUCAGUUUCAACAUCAACACUAAUUUCUGCAUUGCUCUUUGUCCCAUUCAGUAGUGCUUUUAAAUUCUGAUCAGAACCAACUUCUCUGUUUACAAGAUCAUCAAUUGCGAAUCCUGCAACACCAACAUUCACAUUCGCCAGAUUAUUCAGACGGGAUUUUUCUUCUUUUUCGUCAUCAUAUUUCGAUGGGUCCUGACGUGGAUUGUUGUUAAAUGCGACAACGGAACUGACUUGUGUUUCAUCCGUUGAAGGAAUCUCUUGAAAUUGCUGUCGGACCUCAGCAGCUGCUCUAAUCACACCAGCAGGAGAUGAAAUUAUUAGAUCUUCAGCAACAGCCUUUCCCUUCCUCGCCCGCUCUCGUGCAAUUCGAGCUUCUUCUGAGUCUACAUUAAGACCCUUAUCAACGGUGGCAAGAGACUCCUGCUCUUCAACUCUGGAUACACCCCCAGGCGACGCUUUAGCACCACCCUCAACAGGUUCUCGGAUGACUAGCUGAGGGAGAGCCCGCACGGGCGCUCUCCACACAUCAUUUAAACUCCGGCGUGUAGCUUCUUGAACCUCAAUAUCCUCUUGAGUCAGCCCCAAGCCUGAAAAAUCCAAAAACAAAUUUCAGAAAAAGAAAAAGCACUGAAACAUGGCUUCCUUGCUUCAUUCAUGAUAACCCCUUCACAACAGAGACCCAUAAACAAUGGAAAACAACAAUCAUACUACACAAGCAAUACAUCAUACAAUACAAAAAAGACGGAGAGGAUAAAACAACGUCGAAAAGAAACUUAGAAGUAACGAAAGAAGCGUGCGGAUUUGCAAAGGUUUGACCAACGCAACCACUGGAAAUAGGAUAAAUGUAGCAGCAAGUGGAACCGGACCUGCUGCGACAGUAAACCCAGCUGCUGGUACUGCAACUGCACCGCUGCCAUCCUCCCACUCUACUUCACUUUCACCACUCUCCCCUGUGUCACUGUCAUCACUCAGUCCUGUAUCUUCAGAGUCAGGAUAAACCCCAGGUUGAGCAGAUCGGAGUCUAUCAUGUUCCGCUAAGCUCUGCUGAAUUGCAAGGGCCAUCUCUGCAUCACUAUCACCGCCAAGAGUCAAAAUAUUUCCAGCUGGAGUUUGAAUGUGUGAUUCUGAAAGAAUGCUUUUACGAUGGUCGAGCUCUUGAACUCCAUUGCUACUCUUCAAACCAGGACUAGGUUCUUGUGCACCUUGUAAAUCGCCAUCUUCCCAUUCACAGUCAUCGUCGUCAUUCUCUUCUGCAACAGGCACCAGCGCCGAGGCAGUGCUCUGUACUAGUGGCUUUUCAAGGGAGCCCUGGGGUCCAUCUCUGACUAAAUUCUUGAAUAGAUCUAAGUCUUCGUCCUCGUCAUCUUCAUUGCUGUUAAAGGUGAUUUGGAUGCUUGGCACAUGCGGCAUACCAUCUGGAUUAGAAGCUACCUUAGGCCCUACACCUGCAGAUACGUCAUCGUGUAUAAAUUGAUCAGCAUCUACUUGAACUAGCACACCGGGACUGGUGGGAGGCCUUCCUGAGAGAGACUCGGAAAUACUAGGAUUGUCUCCCAUUAUGAGCUUCUGAAACACCUCGCCAUCUCCACUAUUGACUGCACUCUCUGCAAAGGCCGACACAUUGUCAUCCUUCAAUUCUUCGAGUGCUUGCCGCUUCUCCACAUCCUUCAUAAGAUAGAGAUUCCACUGCAAAUCUCUAGUCAUAAGGACACCCAUGCCCCGAACUCUACUCACUCGCGUCCUCCCUUUUUCGUCCACAUAUGUUUGCACGGUGCUAUCUGAAUUCUUGAUAACAUCCGAAUCUGUGCUUAAUGCUCCUCCAUUGAUUGGCAGUGACCUGCACGCGAAUAAAUUCAAAACUAAAAAUAACUUAGACUUGAUACAAAUACUAAAUAGAAAAAAGGUUUGAAUCUUAUGCUAAUUCACAGCUGCUAAAGAAAAUCAUCCUCAUCGCGCAUGCACAAAGCAGAACUGUACCCACAAUCGGUAAUCUAAUGAAUGAGACAUUUUACAAGAAAUUACAAGGAGAAACUCCCGGCACGUUAUUAUCCAACCUUAAACCUGAAUGCUCAAGAAACGUACGUGAAAUUGGUACAUAGAAGUGACGAUGAAGUAGAUGCAGGUGGUUGCACUUUCGGUUGAGGAGGUUUCAACGAGGUCAGUAUUGAGUUACCACCACCUUCUCCAGUCAAUGCCCUGUCAACUUCAAUAUGAGUUGAAACUUCAGAGUAAAAAACCUACAUAAUAGUCUCAUUAACAAAGCUCACUCAGGUUAUAUAAACAAAAUGACUUGUUACACUAAAGUGAUACCUAGCCUGCACAUUGAAGGCUGAUUGACCAAAACGUAAUUAGUUAACUUCUAUCCUUUCGCACUCACAUAUUAACCGACCUCUUACAUAUCCUAAAAUACAUGCCUCUCAUCAACAGAAGGAAAAAAGGCUCUUUCAAAAUUAUGAUGGCUAAAACACCCUGCACUAUAUACAAACAGAAAGCUUACGUUUUGUCUCCUUGAUAAGAAGUAGUGAAGACGAACUCCCGAUUUGUCUCAGAUGCAAUACGAGUGACAGGUACACCUCCCACACCCUUUACAGCAGCAGCUUUUUGUGCAUCCUGAAUUCCUCUGCGAAAUGCUACUGUCUUCAAAUAAGCAUCUAUUUGUAGUUGAGAAAAAGAAGAUGGAACCUGCACACAUUUUCUCAAAACCAAGUGUUAGGUUGCAUCUCUAAUAUCAAUAGCAGCAUAAAUAUUGAACCCGCUCAAAACCAAUAGUGAUACGUAACCUACGGGAACGGUUGUACUUUAGAAUUGAAAAUACUCAAGUCUGCUUAGACAGGACAUUUGUACCAAUCUAUGAAGGUUACCUAGAUCCUUGAGAUUAAAAGUAGCAUAUCUCCUGUGAAUCAGAUAAUGUUUUGCGACAGGGAUGGAUGCUCAACCUUGGCAACCUUCUGAAACUUAUGUCGAUUUUCAGCCACAAGCUGCUCUCUCAUCUGCAGAAAAAUACAAAUCAAUUACUGACACCGAAAAGGUGGGCGAAUACUCAUGAAUCACCAUGAAUCAUUCAAACUUCAAGCUAAGGCAACGUAAUUGUAAAUACGUAUUCGUCAACUACGGUCACAGUUGUAUCAUUCUUGACCAUCACACCAACCAAUACACACAAUCAAAUAUGAACUAAUCAUACCUGCACUAAAAGUUCCAGCUGCACUGAAGCAGGCAGAGAUGCCAAAACCUCUGGAUCCAACUUUCCUUCCGUUGAUGGCUGCACGAUCACGUACAUUUGUAUCAGUCGGCAAAUGAGACAUGGUAUUAACAUGACCUUAACUACCUCUUGAAAGUUUUGAGAGGUAUCACUGAACCCUGUAACAUCCAAACAAGGUUCCCAAUCUAAGAACCUCGCCAAUGGUAAAUCUGAGGCUUAGACAAAGUUAUUUAUAAUAAAAUAAAUAAAAAUUCAUCAUCUACAUAUCUAAUACCAGCAAAGAUAUUCAAGAACUAAGAAAGAAAAGAUUUGACCUGUAACCAAUAUCAAACGACACGCUCAAAGGACUCGAAAUUGUCGGCCAAGAGUAUUCUUACUGCAUCUUCUGGAUCUAAAGAACCAAUCCAAAAUCAAGUGAACAAACGACAAGGCCAGCAGAUAACUCAGAUAUGUGCGGAGAGCAUGUGUUUAAUAUGUCUCGGUAUUGUUCUUUUUCAUGCUACAGAUUUUUUUCAUUCAAACGACAUGAGCAUAUAAAGGAUGAGAAAUAUACUUACAAGGUACACAAGCUCUUCCUCAUCAUCCUCAUCCAAGUCCUGUUUCUCAACCUCGUCCCACCCGUUCAGUCCUUGCACUUCAUGUUCUGGUAUUUCAGUGUCCUCAUUGUCUUCCUUCUUAUGUCCUAUCAUUGAAGUUACCAGCCUGACACAUUUAUCAGGUCACACGAUCGAAAUUCAGUUAAUAAACUUACCGUUUCCAUUUUCCUUCACUUUUGUCACACCUAUGUUAGCCGCAUGAAGGAAGUCAUACUGCUUAAGGCUCAGCGAGGAAACUUACAAAUCAUCACUAGCUUCCUGCUUAAGCACAUCACUAUGUGAAGUUGCACCAGAAGAGGAAGGAAACCCUUCAGUGCCAUUCAUCCCACUAUCGACUGCAGCAACGUCAUUGCCAUUGUCGAUGUUAUUCCUCAUGGACGAUUUAUUCUGCGUGCCACCUCUACCAGCAAUUUCUUCCAACUUCCUAGUCCGUAGCUGUUCAAGACAUGAUGCAAUGUCAGCAGAGAUAGAGUGUGUAGCGUUGGUGACGAGAUAUUGAUUCAAAACUAAAAUUAUGAAAAUUAGUCUGGCCAUAAACCCUAAACCCAUGGAGUGCAAUGGCAACUAUACAGUCCCAGCAAAGAGUUCGUGGGUUCUUAAAAAAUCCUGACAUGUAGGCUAUUCAAUUUUUAAAGGAAAUAAGAAAUAUCUCCAGGUAGGAAGAGACCAAUCAAGCUCACAUGAUUCAAAAGCAGCUUCUCGGCAGUCUUCCGAAUUCUGGACUGAGCUUGCUCUCGCUGCCUCCGGCGAGCAAUUACGGUCCGCCUCUUCAGAGCAGGAGUACCUCCAUCAAACACAAAGACUGGCUUUACUCGCAGAAAAAGGAGCUUGCAAAUUCGGCGGAAGAACCCCAACAAGUGAGCAUUGCGGAUCAUAUCUCCACGAUCAUCACGCAUUGCCUUCAUAAAUUGGAUGAUCCAUAUACUUGCGUCUGUUGCAUCCACACGCAAAUGUUCCAAUUAGCCACAUCAUCAUCAUCAUCAUUCCACACAUCCAUCAUCCCUCAAGAAAUUGAUCGAAAUUCACCGUCUUGCUACUUCAUAUGAUUCAAAGACAGAUUCACAGCAAAUUGCACGCACCCUAAAAUGCGAAGAGUCAAGUAUUACAAGCAAUCUACGAACUGUCUGGGAUUUAGUCAAAAUAAUGGAUACACACCUAUAGCAAGCUUUCGACUUCCAAGAGACUCCACGGAAACUCGUCGCCCAACGGGAGCUAGAAGCUCCCACAAACCGUGAACUCCCAUCUCUCCACAGAAUCUUAACUAACCUUUUUAGUAGAUAAUUCAACUCCACUGAAUGGAAAAUCUCCGAACUACUAGCUGCUCAAUCCAUACACUCUCGAUCCUUCCUCUGAUUAGCUACAUACACAUGAAGACCUAACUCAUCAUCAACUACAAAACAGUUGCAUCAGACUUGAUGGUUCGUUUCAUACCCUGCAGUGCAAAAUUGAGAAUCUACCCAGAAGACUACCUAAUUACAACAGCCUUCCCAACAAGCAGCAUGGAAGCAUUAAGUCAUAAGUUGAGCUGCAACCGAUCAAUUGCAGGCACUGUUAGUAUAAGUUAAAGUCGGCACGCAAUGCCACUGCUCGGCGGAAACGGCACCGAGAAGCAGCGGCGGCAUUCCUUGACGAGUAUUAAUGAAGCUAUCCAGUGCUACGCAGAGUGAGAUGCAGCAAAUUGAUAGCGAGCGCACGAUACAGGCUCAUGAAAACCCUGACAGGGAGACUCUUCGUGACGAGAUGAGGCGGGCCAAAGCAAUGAGCUGCGUGGGACUCCCUGAGACUUGUGCUCUCCUCUCGAGUGAGACCCGGCGGCGGUCCGGCGACAACAAAGAAUCGUAUGCCCGGAUAUAUAUUCCUAUUUAUAUCCCAAUGUAUACUAAGACAAAUACCCUGAUUUAUAUCCUGAAUAGUACCCGGAUGUGGCACUGACCUCUACAGUCGUUUUGAAAAGUGUGUCACAGGGCAUAAACUCUUGCUCGAGCGAAAUAUCACGAUCGUGUGAACCGCCUAUUAAAAGCAUAGAAAUAGAAGAUUAGUUUCUAGAAAAAAAAUAAAACAAUGUGGCCUACAGAUGCUCUCAAUUCUUUGUGUUUUAAUUCUACAAAAUUAUAUUGACAAAUUUUUCGUCCUAGAAAGCAUGGAAAGUUUUGUUUUAUUUUAUUUAUUUAUUUUAUUGUAUCAUAACUUUUCAUAUAUAUUUUUUUUAAUAUAAUAAUGGUGGACAUAUUUGAGUGUGAUGAAUAAAACUUUUCAAGGUCAAUUCUUGUCAGAUUUUAUUUGAGGUACUUAUGGUAAUGAAAAUGAUUUUAAAAACAUAAUAUAAUAACAAUAACAUAUUUGAAAUGGUUUUUAUUGAAUGAAUCUUUGGAUCAACCUUGUUUAUUCAUAUUUUUUUAUGGAAAAUUUCUAAUAAACUAGUGAAAUUUUCUUAUUCUCAAAUUUUUUUGUUGUAAAACUAGAAUGUCAUGUGAUAUGGCAUUGGGUGCCAAAUUCCAUUGAAUGUACGUAGUUUAGUUUGAUUAGUGGUUUUUCAUCCAUUGAUAGUUUUUUUUAUUAGUUUACUUUGUUCAUAUCAAUUAGGAUUUGAGUACUUAAGUGGAAAAAAAAUCCUUAACUUAAUGUUCUUGUCUUGCAAGUGAUUUUGAGAAUGAAAGAACUUAUUGUAAAGGUUUAUUUGACUAUGGUGUUUUAGCCAUUUUAGUAAAGCUUUAGGAUUUCUCUUAUUUUCAUACUUGCAUUAUUGGAUUCCUUCUUUGUGGUGUGAGAGAUAACUUGACUUAGUUUGGUAUAGAUUUCUAAUCUUUUACAUGACAAGAAUCUUUCUUUUCCUUCAAAUUAUAGUAUAGCAAGUUAAAAUGAAGUAGAUUUAAAAUUUUAAAAAAUAAAUUAAAAAAUCCAUUUUUUUUUUAUUUAUUUUUGCUGCUAAGAUCUAAGCAUUGUUGUGUUGGGCACCAAAAUCCACUUGAGCUGCUUUAUUAGAAUGUAGUGUGAUAUAGGUACUAUAUUUACUAUGUGAAAUAUUAAUACAGAGUGCUAGAGCACAUGAUCAAAGUAGUGUUGCAAAAGUGCAAGGUUGCAAUGCUAGAUUUUGUAAGGCAAAAUAUUGUGAGGCAAGACUAAGUUGAGGUGCUAAAAAGUAGCGAUGAGUUUUUGAAUACAAUUAAAGUGGCUAAUGCAAGUCACGAAGUUUGAUUAUAAAGAAUAGCAUGUAUAAAAGCAAAAUUAGAGUCACGACACUAAACAAUAACAAGUUACAAUCUAGGAGCAUAAAGUUGCAAGAAGUUGCAAUUCAUGGAAAAUCUAGGUCACAAGUUUAUUGUAUAGACGAGGAUCACAAAGCUUACAAAGAAUAUUGCUAAAAGAAAUAGGAUUUAGUCACAAUGUAUUGAAAUUGUACAAAAGAGCAAGAUCAAAAUCACAAAGAUCAAGCUUGAACAAUUUUUAUUUUUGUAUUUUUGGCAUUGGAAGCAAUGUCGAGGUUAUUUAACAAAGUGUUGUCAUAUUACAUCAUGUUUAGCUUAAGAAUGGACUGGGUACUUGGAUAUGGAAGAUAAAGGAAAAACUACAACAACAAAUAAUCAAUAACAGUAAUAGUAAUCAAUAGUAUCAGCUUUAGUAAUAGUAAUCAAUAGUAGCAACCAAUAAUCAAUAACAGUGACCAAUAAUCAAUAGCAGUAAUCAAUAAUUAGUAAUAGUAGCCAAUAACCAAUAGCAAUAAUCAAUAUCCAAUAGCAUUAAUCAAUAUCUAGUAGUAGUAGCCAAUAAUUAGUAGCAAAAACCAAUAUCCAGUAGCAAUAAUCAAUAUCUAAUAAUUAUAACCAAUAUCCAAUAGCAAAAAUCAAUAUCCAAUAGCAAUAAUCAAUUUUCAGUAGCAAUAACCAAUAUCCAGUAGCAAAAAUCAAUAUCCAAUAGUAAUAACCAAUUUCCAAUAGCAAUAAUCAAUAUCCAAUAGCAAUAACCAAUAUCUAGUAGCAAUAAUUAAUAUCCAGUAGCAAAAACCAAUAUUUAGUAGCAAUAACCAAUAUCGAAUAGCAAUAACCAAUUUUCAAUAGUAAUAACUAAUAUCCAAUAGUAAUAACUAAUAUCCUUCAAAAAUACAAAACUUUAGCAUUCAAUUUCUUUAAAUUCAACUGUUGGAUUGAGCUCAAAAUUUUUGAAGCAUAAGAUAAUAUUCUUAACUUCAAAUGGAUGAUAAUUACAAAAAUGUACUUGGGUGUGGAUUGGUCUUCUUCUCCAAUCUAAAUGUUGAAUUUUCAGUACCAAUUUCUUCUUAUCAAACCAUUCAAUCAAUUUUAAAAUUCUUACAUACAAAGGAAAAUAAGUCUACUAUCUAAAAACUUAACUUUCAUUCCAAUCCAACUGAUAGAUUGCAAGAUAUCUUAGAAAUCUUUACUAGUCUUUAAAAUCCUAAAUUCUGAGAUCAUAACCUACAAAAACCUUAAUAACCUUCAAUCCAAUCUUUUGAUCAAGCUCUAAUUUAUAGCACAUAUUAAGUACAACUAUAACCAUUAACUUACAAAAUUUCACUUAUAGAUCUAUUAUAGAACUCUCAAAAACGCCCAAAACGUCAACCCUAUUUUAUUUCACAAAAAUCCAAGUCAUCCAAAAUAAACUUGACUUUCUAAAGCUCUUACAAAAUCAUUACAAAUCCAAAUCAUAAAAAAAUAAUGGUUAUAGAAAUCCUAUCUAGUCUGUUAUCAAAUCCUAGUCUCCAAUCUACAAAAGCCUCCUACUUUGCCCUAGGCAGUCGUUUUAGUGACUAGAGGUCUAAUUUCGACCCUAUCUCACAAAUAAUUGAUCCCCAGGUAUCAAUCUAACCUAUCAUAAGGAUUUUUUAGCCUAGUCCUACCCUUGACUUGAUUCUAGUAUCAAUCAUAUUAAUCAUUUACUUCUUCUAUUUUGAUUUUAUCAAUUUAUAGCCUUUUAAGGCAGUAAAAGAGUUUCUAUAUCCUAGAAGGUAAAUUACUAAUUAACUUUUAUCUACUUGCUAGUAAGACAAGAAAAUAGGCUAAGAAACUUUUAUAAAAGCCUUAUUAAAAUAUUAUGAAUUCUUGUUGAAUUAAUAUAAUAGAAUAUUAAUUAAAAAAAUCAUUUUUAAUCAUAUUUUUAUUAUAUAAUCAUGUUAUAACAUGAUAACGCUUUGCAUAAGAAAUACAAUGCAAUAAUUUGAUACAAAUUACUAUAAAAACAACAAAAACAAACAGUAACUAGCAGGGAUUAACAAUAGCUCUUGACUUUUAUGGCUUAAGAUAUCAAUCUAUAAUCUUAGGUAAGUCAUGAUGAUAAGACAUUGCAAUCAUAAGACCACAAUGAUAAGAUAUUGUAGUCAAAGAAUCAUCGCGAUCAUAAGACCAUAGUGAUAGGAUACCACAAUUAAAAGAAUCUAUGAUAAUAGGAUGAAAAUCACAAGGUUCCGCAAUCAUAGACCUAGUAGGAAAUUAUAGGAAAAAAAAAAAAAAAAAAAAAAAAAAAAAAUGUUGUCUAGAAUUUUUAAGUAUCAAGUUUAGAUACUCAUUCUAAAUACAUAUGGAGUCUGAAUUUGAUUAUUUUUUAGUCAAUUUUAUAUAAAAGAGACCUAAGAAGUUUAUUAGCAUGCUUAAUUAUUAAAGUGGCGGUCAUUUGGAGCAUUGAAGUGGCAUUCACUAAAUGUCAAUUACUUUCUAAAUAAGCUUUGAUUUUUUUUUCACUUCUCCAUAUUUUAUUUUAUUGCAAUUAUCUUAUAUUAUCACAUGUUCUAUGAUUUGUGACCAUCAAUUAUAGGCAGAUGCUAGUUUCAUUGGUUCACUUUUGAUUUUUGCUUUUGUGUUGUCAAAGAUGAAGAUCUAGUACCGAUUUUUAGAUUUUAUUUUUAGUAUCUUUUCUUAUUUUUGGAUAUUUUUUUAGAGAUUUUUUGUAGUUAUUUUAUUUUAUAUUUCUACUAGUUUGUAUUAAUAGGUGAAUUAUAGGAAUGAGGUUGAGUUGAUGGUCGGCAAGAUCUUUUUAUUUGUAGGUUUGUUGAACUUAUAGUGAUCUGGAGGUGAUGGCUAAUAAAUUAUAAAUCUUGGUGGUUUUGCAGGCAUAUGUUGUCCUUUUAGCCUUUCAAUAGUUGUAAGUAUUCAAGUAGUCUCUUUUAUAGUGCAUAUUAGGAGUUAAUAUUAUCAAUCACUUUCACUAGUCUACUUGAAUAGUGACUACAUUGAGGACUUUGAACUAGAUGUGGAUACUAAUGAGAAUUUUUAGCUUGUUUCAACAUUAGAUACUAUUCAAAGGCUUUGGAUGUCAAAGGUGGAUAUAUUUUAUAAGAUAAAAGAUGAUCCUUAUGACAUGGUAAUAGAUAGAUUCUUAAAAAGAGCUUAGGGCAUUUCUUUGUUAGAUUGGAGACUUUGAUUUCAAACAUUAAUGAAGGAGAAGCAUCAAAGGUCACCCACUUUUAAUGAGUGGUAUGUCUUUGAGCUUUUAUCACAAUACUUGGAGCAUGAAGUAUUCUAAACUUAUGAAAAAUGGAGUGAGGAACACUCAUUAGAGCUGUAUGAAGUGGAAUGUUAUUGGAAGGCAUACAUAGAGCUUAUUUCACCUCUUAAGUGGUGAUAUCUUAAGCUUCAUAUCUACAAUAAAAGAAGAAGAUCCAAUCCAAGAAAAAAUUGAUAUAUCUUUAAGAGAUACUAGAGAAAAAAAUGUAGCUACUUCCUUAAUCAAUACUCCAACUAUUUUGUUUCAUAUGGCUCAAGAAAUGAUGAUAUUUUUAUUUGAAAUGAAAGAGGUACCAUUAUUUGAACCUCUUCAAAUAUUUAUUAAACACUUAGAGCUCAAGUAUGGAAAUUUAAAACAAAAUCAAAUGCAAUGCAUUCAAGACUUCCACUAUGAAUAAAAAGAUACUUCAUGUAUUAUGUAUACUUAUUUGAUUUGGUUUGUAGUAGAAUUAGAAGGUGUAUUUGCUGAGAACCAACUUAUUAAGAUUUUCUUAUCGAAGAUUAAUAAGAGACUUUUAGAUUGAGAAAUAGAUUCUCAAUUAUGAUGGCAAGGCAACAUUGAUAUAAUCAUUUGUUAAAAUUAAAAAAUGUAAUAAGGCAUUUUAUCAAUAUCAUGCUACUUACAUAAUAGAUUGGAUAGUAGGUGUGUUUUAAGCCUAAGAAGAUGGCAACUACCACAAGUAGCUUGGCUGAAAUUCAACUUGAAAAGACUUCAUUGUGGUAAGCUUAAUUACAAUGAAGAAAAUUGUUCCAUAUUAUAUCCAUACUUAUGGCUUGUUUUGGAUAAGAAAAAGGCAGUAGAAGCUAAAAUUGCUAAGGUAGAAAAGAGAUUCAAUAAUUUGGCCUUAUUAAGCCAAAUGAUUGGAUUUCAUGUGACUUCUAGAAUUGAAACAAGUUUUUCUUCAAAAAACAUUAUAUGUUUGGUACAUGGAGACAAAUGAUAGUUAUAAUUGCCACAUGUGCUUAAACAACAACUAGGAAUAUGGUACCUAUAACAAGUGAAGUAUUAGAAUUUUAGUUUAGCUAUACAAAUAUCAAAGACAUAAAGUAAAAGAUGAUGCAUAAACUAAUGAAAUCCAUGUCAAAGAAAGAAUAACAAAAUAAAAAUAAGAAAACACGUAUAUUAAAAAGAAAUUAGAAUAGCUUAUUCCCAAAAGACAAGAAAAAUUGAAAUUCUUGAAACUAGACUAGAAGCAAGAAAAUAAUUGACAAGAGUGAAGGGAACUUCAGUCUUGUUUUUAUAUAUACUAUCUAACUAGGAGCUACGUGGCAAUAUUCUAUAAGACCUCUAAUAUGUGUUGACUUUAUAGGAUACAUGCCUUGACUUUUAAGGCAAUUUUUUCUAUAUUUAAGCUAUAUAGUUAGCUUGGUCUUGAAGCUAACAACAUCUAUGGUACAUGGCCAACUUGUUGAUCACUUUUUUAAUCCAAAAAGUCAAUUAUAGAUACCUAUAAAGUCAAAGUAGUGUCUAUGAAGCUUUUAGGAAGCUUCUAUAGAAGAUAUUAUAGAAUUAACUCAAUUUUACUUACUUCUAUUUACAUCUACUUAUUUAUACAAGUAAUUACUAGCUUACAUGUUUAUGUUCGUGAUAUUAUUCUCCCUUCUAGAGACAAGUUCCACAAAGAGCGGUCCUCAUAUGUUGAGAAAAUCUAUAAUGCAACAAAUUAUAUUUGCUACAUAUUCAGAUCUUUGUUCUCUUUGAAGAUGGUUGAUAGGACCUCUCAACCAUUGAUAAUGUCUCAUACAAGGACGAAAAGACUACCCUCUUAUUUGAUUAUUAUUGAGGCCUUUGUAACUUUCUUUAAAUAAAAUAUUUAAAAUACCAUUAAGAAUUGUUCCUACCUCUAAUAAAAUUACCAAACAUUGGGAGUCUCUUCUAAGGUUGUGAUACCAAAUGCAUUAUAUCUUGUCAUCUAUUCAAGAAAAAACAUGUUAUUCUUGAAGAUCUUCAUUUUGAUUACGUCAUCUUAAAGGUUGUGACAAUUACAAUAUCUCAUCUGAUAAGUCAGCAAAUAAAGGCUCUUUAGUCGAAUCUAUUGGUUGUUGAUUCUCCAUCUUCUUAGUAUCACAACUACAAAGAAGCUACAAACAAAGAUUGAAAGUAGAAUGUUAUUUUGUCUAGAUUUUGUUUCUUUUAUAGAAAAGGUUUUUAUCUUGAUUUUGAUGGAUGUCGUCGAUGAAAAGCCUCCACGACCUUUGUUGCAUUUACAAGAUUCUUUAUUAGCUCCCAUGUACAUACACAAAUAUCAUAUCCUCGCUAAUGGACAAGAUAUUUAAAUUUAUUUUGGUGCUACCUUGAAUCUAAGACUUCUUUGACUUUGAACUCUUCAUUAUUAUCGACUUCUAUAGGAGGAGGUGAAGCUUGUCUUCUUCUUAGUAUGUCUAGUGUCUAGCAUGGUUCAAAAAGAGAUAUGUAGAAUAUUAGAUGGAAUUUCAUUGACUCUGGUAAGUGUAAUGUUAGGGACAUAAUCCUUAGAACCUUCUAGAGACAAGUUUCUAGAACCUUCUAGAGACAAGCUUCUAGAACCUUCUAGAAGCAAGUCUCUGGAACCUUCUAGAAGCUUCUUAGUUAGUAGAAGAUGUUUGGGACAUAGUCCUUAAAACCUUCUAGAGAUAAGUUUCUAAAACCUUCUAGAAGCAAGUCUUUGGAACCUUCUAGAAGCUUCCUAGUUGGUAGAAGUUGCUUGAGAAGCUUCCUAAAUAGGAGUAAAUAUUGGAAUCGAGGCUGAAGAGUUCUUCAAUCUCGACAACACAUCUCUUGGAGCUCUAGCUCACCUCUCUGGUGUUGUUCUUGUAUUCAUCUGAUUAAUCUAGUUCUUGCCAGUUCUUCUUGAACUUCUUGGUAGAUAUCAAGUCUGUAUUCUGUGUCUGUGAUAGUUUGUCGAGACUUUACUCACCUCAGAUAUCAGAGCUAGUUUCUUCUUUGUUAGAGUGUGGAUUACCCCUCUGCUUCGAAGUGUACUAGUACUUUAGAGGUUGCAGAUUACCCUCCUCUAAACUGAUACUUCUUUUGUUACAAUAUUGGAGUCUUAUUCUUCUUGGAGAGAGUGGAUUAUCCCUUUUCUUGAAGCUCUUAAGGCAUUUUAGAGGUUGUGGAGUACCGUCCUCUAAACCAAUAUUGUCUUCUUGUAGAGUCAUUCCUGUCCUUCUCUUAGAAUGGUCGGGGACCAAGACAUUAGUAUGAUGGAAAGUUCAGAGUCCAAGUUAGAUGCUAUCAUGAAUGCCCUCGCUACGUUAUCACAAAGAACUGCAGAGAUUGAAGGAGUCAUGGCAAGGCUUCAUAAUGAUGGAGCAUCUGGAAUGGCACAAUUUAGGUUGCACCAGCUUCAAACUUCUACACUUGGAGAAGCAACUUUGCCUCAGGUUCAACAAGCACCGUUGGUUCUACAACAUAAGGAACCCCGAGUUAGCCUUCCGGACAAGUUCGAUGGUACACGUUCCAAGUUUCGAGGAUUCAUCAACCAAAUCAAGUUGAUAACAAUUUUACAGCCCGAAUGCUAUCCAACGGAGGAGUCAUGUGUUGGACUUGUUGGAACCUUACUUACAGGACAAGCUCAAUCAUGGUUUGCUCCUUUGUUUGAGAAACGAUCGUCCAUACUAAACAACUUUGAAACCUUUUUGGAGGCAUUUGCGGAAGCAUUUGGUGAACACGACAAGGUUCGAUGGGCUACAACAAAGAUCCUGUCACUACGACAAGGGAUGCGUUCUACAUCAGUCUAUGCAUCGGACUUCAGGCAAUUAGUAUGCGACAUCAAUUGAGAUGAAGAAGCGUUGAUGAAUCAAUUCUAUUGGGAUUUAAGGGACGAUGUGAAGGAUUUGCUGUUAACUCUUCCUGAUCCACAAAUGCUCAACGAAGCUAUUAGCCAAGCUGUGAAGUGGUAUAAUCACCUAUUCCAAUGUUGCCAAGACCAACGUUCAAGACAACAUACGGUUCGCCACACCCCAACUAUGUUGGCAAGCAGCGUGAAUUCACAUUCUGAGGUAGAAGACAUGCAAAUUGAUGCGAUACGUGUCAAAUCUCUUACUCUAAAAGAAAAAAAGCGGCGUAUGGAGGAAGGUCUAUGCUUGUAUUGCGGUGAAGAAGGCCACAAAGUUGGAAACUGCCCCAAGAAGCAAAAUCGACGUAUUAUCAAGACUAGGGGUGUGUUUAUUCAGGAAAACAAAGAUGCCCAGCCACAAUAGGAACCGUGCGGCUGGACAGUGAAAUAUCGCAACAACAACCAGGUUCCUUUCUUUCCGCUCAACCUGCCCUUUGUUUUACAAUCCCUUUGUUUAUUGGCCCUCAGAAACUGAGAACCUUAGCAUUAUUACAUUCAAGAGCAUCUGCUUGUUUCUUAGACGAAGAAUUCGUAAGGCAUCAUAAGAUCCCUUUAGUACAAAAAUCCAAACCUAUUCACGUUGAGGUCAUAGAUGGACGACCUUUAUUGUCUGGUAGUGUCACCCAUGAAUCAGAACCUAUAGAAGUGACGUUUAAGGACCAUAGUAGUCAUAUUAUUUUCAAUAUUAUUAGAACUCCAUCAAAUCCUGUUAUUCUUGGUCUUUCCUGGUUGGAAAAGCAUAACCCAUCUAUAGAUUGGAAGUUGCGGAAGAUGACCUUUCCCACAAAACCACCCAAGAGCAAGCCUAGUAGAAAACCCCGAAUAGAGAAAUCCUUAUUUAUUGGAGCAAGAGCGUUUAUAAGAUUGUCCAAGGGAGGCACACCGUUUGUCAUUUAUGCGGCUCCAACUACCGGGGAGAAGAUCUCGACAGCAAGUAUACCGGAGCAAUAUAAAGAUUUUAAAGACGUGUUUCAAAAGAAAAAUGCCGACAUGCUAUCGAAACACAGACCAUAUGAUUGCGCCAUAGACUUACAGGAAGGAGCACAACCGCCUUUUGGUCCAAUCUACAAUCUAUCGCAGAUGGAGUUGGCAGAGUUGCGGAAGUACAUCGACGAGAAUCUAGCCAAGAACUUCAUCCGUCAUUCAAAAUCAUCAGCUCGAGCACCCAUCUUAUUUGUGAAGAAGAAAGAUGGCUCGUUGCGGAUGUGCAUGGACUAUCGAGGCCUCAACAAGAUAACAAAGAAGAAUCGUUACUCGUUACCCUUGAUUUCUGGUCUCUUAGAACAACUUGGAUGUGCAAGGAUCUUUACAAAAAUUGAUCUAAGGGGAGCUACAACCUCAUACGAAUCAAGGAACGAGAUGAGUGUAAGACAGCGUUCCGUACAAGGUAUGGCCAUUUUGAAUAUAAUGUCAUGCCAUUUGGUCUUACCAAUGCUCCAGCGGUCUUUCAACAUAUGAUGAAUAAUAUUUUCCGAGAGUACCUUGAUGAUUUUGUUGUCAUCUAUUUGGAUGAUAUUUUGAUAUUCUCCAGAAAUGAGGAAGAGCAUGAAAAAUACGUUCGUUUGGUAUUGGAGAAACUACGCGAGCGAGGACUAUAUGCCAAGUUCGAGAAGUGUUUAUUUCACCAAAUAGAGAUGGAGUUUUUGGGGUUUGUUGCGACUACGAAAGGCUUGAAGAUGGACCCCAAGAAGGUGGAAGCAAUUGUGUCUUGGGAGGUUCCGUAGACGGUUAGAGACGUACAAUACUUUCUUGGUUUUUUUAACUUCUAUCGGAUCUUUAUCAAGAAUUACUCUCAAGUUGCUGCUCCUCUCACUCGGUUGACAUGCAAGGAUAAGCUGGAAUGGGGACCUCUAGCAGAGAAGGCAUUUCCAAACCUCAAGACCGCAUUUAUUACGGCUCCAAUCUUGGUACAUCCAGACUUUACAAAGGCCUUCUAUUUAGAAACUGAUGCUUCGGAUUUUGCUUUGGGAGCUGUACUUUCACAAAUGGGAGAAGAAAAGAAGCUCCAUCUGGUUGCAUUCUAUUCUCGAAAAUUCUCUGCUGCUGAAAUCAAUUAUGAGAUCCACGAUAAGGAACUUCUUGUUAUAGUGGAUUCUUUCCAAGAAUGGCGUCACUUUCUUGAAGGAGCUGCACAUCCAGUGAUCGUAUACACAGAUCACAAGAAUUUGGAGUAUUUUAUGUCGGCUCGAGUUCUAAAUCGACGUCAAGCUCGAUGGAGUAUGUUGCUAUCUAGGUUCGAUUUUAUUAUCACUUAUCGACCUGGAAAGGAGCAAGGACUAUCUGAUGCCUUAUCGAGGAGAUCAUAUCUUGUACCAAAGGCUGGAGAAGCAGCGUUUGAUCAACAAUGUACGACAUUGUUGAAGCUAGAGCAAUUUCAGCUUUGCGCUACUAUUAUGCCAAUUGAUGCUAACUUCCUGAAUCAGGUACAUGCCGUAACCAUUGAAGAUUCAGUAGCCAUUGAUAUUAAGCAGCAUGCCAAUGACGACAAGUUCAAGGUGGAGGAUGAUCUUUUAUACUUUGAAGAGCGAUUAUAUAUCCCAAAAGGACGAACACGACUUCGAGUUCUUCAAUCUCGCCACGAUUUUCGAGCUGCGGGACAUUUUGGAUUCAACAAGAUCUUGGAGCUUAUUUCUCAAGAUUUUUGGUGGCCCCAAAUGUGGAAGGAUGUGAAAGAUUUUGUCCUCUCCUGCGACAUCUGUUCAAGAUCCAAGAAUCCUCGGCAUCGCCUUUAUGGACUCCUACAGCCAUUGUCGAUUCUACGUCGACUAUGGUCUUCAAUUUCCAUGGACUUCAUCAUGGACCUACCAUCAUCGAACUCAUUUGACAGCAUCUUUGUCGUGGUAGAUCGGCUUACAAAAAUAGCACACUUUGUCCUUUGCAAGAAGACAUCGUCCAGUGAAGUCAUAGCAAGGCUCUUUCUCGAUAAUAUGUAUCGAUAUCAUGGACUACUAGAUGAUAUCAUAUCAGAUCGAGGAACCCAGUUCGUAUGGAAGUUUUGGAGAUCUCUCUUUGAGAUACUGAAGGUGGAUAUCAAGCUUUCUUCAGCUUUUCAUCCUCAAACUGACGAUCAAACGGAACGGGUGAACCAAGUCAUGGAACAAUACUUACGAUGCAGCAUCAACUAUCAGCAAGACGAUUGGACUACAUAUCUACCACUAGCCGAGUUUGCAUAUAACAACACCCUCCAUGCGUCGACUCAAUACACACCAUUCUUUUCCAACUAUGGGUAUCAUCCAAAGCUUGAUUUAUUGAGUCCAUCAACAAAUAACAAUCCAACAGCUGAAGGAUUUGGGAAACAACUAUCAGAGCUUCAAAAUACGUUGAAGCUUCAAUUACAAUCCGCUCAAGAAUCCUACAAGGCGUCUGCAGAUAGAUUUCGGAAUCAAGCACCUACUUUCAAAAUUGGAGAUAAAGCAUGGCUUCUUCGACGGAAUAUCAAGACCAAGCGACCAUGUGAUAAGUUGGGCUAUCGAAGAUUGGGACCAUUUAUCAUCCAAAAGCAAAUCAAUGUAGUGGCGUACCGUCUGGAAUUACCGGCUUCUAUGAAGGUACAUCCAAUCUUUCAUGUUUCUUUGUUGGAGCCUUAUCGAGAGUCAUCUUUUCCUGGAAGAGUGCAUUGUCCGCCACCUAGUAUUGAGAUCGAGAACCACGAGGAAUACGAGGUUGAAAAGGUGCUGGAUUCUCGGUGAAGGUGGGACAAGUUGGAGUAUCUUGUUCAUUGGUGCGGCUAUGACAUUAAUGAGCGAACGUGGGAGCCAGCUGAAAAUCUGACCAAUGCGCCAUAAAAGGUACAGGAAUUUCAUCAACAACAUCCUCAUAAACCUAAGUCGGUUCGACAAUAGCUUCUUUCUGAAGCUUGUUCACCCAAGAAUAUAAGAAAGGGAGAGAGUACCACCAAAAUUCAUAGUUGAUGUAGUUAUUUUCUCCAAGAUAAAAUAGAAUUUUUUCAGUAGCCAUAGUUUGGUCUUCUGAUAUGGAUAGCCAAGAGAUAGAUACUAUGCCACUCAGAUUAUCUCAACCAACUAGUUUACGAAGGCGACCCCGAGAUGAAGAACCACCUGCACCACGACGACGACAGAGGAUACCAAGUAACCGAUCACUGGUGAUUGUAUUUGAGUCCGACCCUACUUACGAUGGUCAACCAGAAGGCAUAUUUGCAGGACAAUUUCACAAUGAGGACACGGAAGUUCAUGCUUGGUCAGAAGUUGAAAGAGUGGGCCACUACCGUUGGCUUCAAGGGCCGAUGAACCACUUACCUCGUGAACAAUAGUUGGAGUUCAUAGCAGACGUUAUGCGACAGAUCUUCAUUUUCUUGCGUUGGUACUGAUUGAUAACAACAUUGCUUCUCAGAGACCUCGAAGCUAAAGGAAGGGGUGAUGUUAGGGACAUAGUCCUUAGAACCUUCUAGAGACAAGUUUCUAGAACCUUCUAGAGACAAGCUUCUAGAACCUUCUAGAAGCAAGUCUCUGGAAUCUUCUAGAAGCUUCUUAGUUGAUAGAAGAUGUUUGGGACAUAGUCCUUAGAACCUUCUAGAGAUAAGUUUCUAGAACCUUCUAGAAGCAAGUCUCUGGAACCUUCUAGAAGCUUCCUAGUUAGUAGAAGUUACUUGAGAAGCUUCCUAAAUAGGAGUAUAUAUUGGAAUCGAGGCUGAAGAGUUCUUCAAUCUCGACAACACAUCUCUUGGAGCUCUAGCUCACCUCUCUGGUGUUGUUCUUGUAUUCAUCUGAUUAAUCUAUUUCUUGCCAGUUCUUCUUGAACUUCCUGGUAGAUAUCAACUCUGUAUUCUGUGUCCGUGACAUGUAAAUGAUAUACAACUAGAUUGAUUUAAGUAGAAAAAGAAAAUAGUACAAGCGUACAAUAGUAUAACUUGUCACAAGGAUGAGUGGUCUUGAUAUUGUAAUGAAGUAAUCAUACCUUGUCACCCAUGUGGAAUGAUAGUUGUUCUUUUUGAUAGACAUCUGUAUUGAUCUUUUGUUAUUCUUAAACUUCUUUUAAGUGCUCCAUCAUUGUUGCAUGUAGCUUUGACAAAUGAUUUGCCAAAUCUUCCACUGUAGGAUUAUUAGCUUUGAGAAAGUCAAUCUAUUUUGUUACUCUUGUCAAUCUGUCAAAGACAUGAACUAAAAGAUGAAGCAUAAACCAAUGAAAUCUAUAUCAAAGAAAGAGUAACAAAAUAGAAAUAAGGAAGUAUGUAUAUUAAAAAGAAACUGCAAUGGCUUAUUGCCAAAAGACAAGAAAACUUGAGAUUCUUAAAAUUAGACUAGAAGCAAGAAAAGAAUUAAUAAGAGUAAAGAUGGCUUCACUCUUGUUUUUAUAUAUACCAUCUAAAUAGGGACUAUAUGGCCAUGUUCUAUAAGACCUCCAAUAUGUGUUGACUUUAUAGAAUACAUGCCUUGACUUUCAAGGCAAAUUUUUCUAUGUAUGGGCCAUAUAGUUAGCUUGGUCUUGAAGCUAACAAUAUCUGUGGCACAUGGCCAACUUGUUGAUCACUUUUCUAAUCCAAAAAGUCAAUUAUAGAUACUUAUAAAGUCAAAGCAAUGUCUAUGAAGCUUCUAGAAAGCUUUUGUAGAAGAUAUUAUAGAAUUAACUUACUUUUACUUACUUCUACUUACAUCUACCUAUUUAUACACAUAAUUACUAGCUUACAUGUGUAUGUCUAUAACACCAAAUAAUUAUGGAUAUCCUAAUAUUUAUGAGCAAUUGCCUUUAUUAAUUAGCUUUGCAAAUAAGUCAAGGAUAAGAACUCGAUGAAAAAGUAAUUCAGACAAGUGAGCCUUCACUCAAAGAAAGAUAACAAAAUAUAAAUAAACAAGUAUGUAUAUUGAAAGAGCAACUAGAAUGGCUAUUGCCAAAAGACAAGAAAACUAGAGACCCUUGAAACUAGACUAGAAGCAAGAAAGGAUUUGACAAGAGUGAAGAAGGCUUCACUCUUGUCUCUAUAUAUACUAUCUAAUUAGGGGCUACGUGGCAACGUUCUAUAGGACCUCCAAUAUGUGUUGACUUUGUAGGACACAUGCCUUGACUUAUAAGGCAAGUUUUUCUAUGUGUGGGCAACAUAAUUAGCUUGAUCUUUAAGCUAACAACAUGUGUGGUACAUGGCCAACUUGUUGACUACGUUUCUAAUCCAAAAAAUCAAUUAAAGACACCUAUGAAGUCAAAGCAGCAUCUAUGAAGCUUUUAAGAAGCUUCCAUAUUAAAUACUAUAGAAUUAACUUACUUUUACCUAUUUUUACUUACUUCCAGCUAUUUGUAUAUGUAAUUACUAGCUUACAUGAGUAUGUCCGUGACAUUAUCCCGCUUUUUAUGAAUGAGUUCCAUGAGAAGUGGUCAUCAUAUGUUGAAAAAAUCUAUGAUGCGACGAAUUAUAUUCGCUACAUACUCUGAUCUUUGUUCUCUUUGAAGAUGAUUGAUAGGGCCUCUCAACCAUCGGUAGUAUUCCAUACCAGCACAGGAAGAGCACCCAGUUACUUGAUCAUUGUUGAGGCCUUCAUAACUUCCUUUGAAUAGGACAUUUGGAACACCAUCAGGAAUUGUUCCUAUCUCUAGCAAAAUCACCAAACAUCGAGAGUCCCUUUCUAAAUCGUGAUACCAAACGCAUUGUAUCUCAUCAUCUAUUCGAGGAAGAACAUGUUGUUCUUGAAGAUCUUCAUCUUGAUUGCAUCGUCUUGAAGGUUGUGAUAAUCGUAAUGUCUCGUCUAGCAGGUCAGCAAAUGAAGGCUCUUGAAUCAAAUUCACCUGUUGUUGGUUCUCCAUCUCCUAAGCGUCACAACUACAAAGAAGCUAUAAACAAGGAUUGAAAGUAGAAUGUUAUCUUGCCUAGAUGUUGUUUUUUUUAUAAAAAAGAUUUUUUUCUUGAUUUUGAUGGAUGUCAUUGAUGAAAAGCCUCCACCGCCUUUGCUGCAUUUGUAAGAUUCUUUAUUGGCUCCCAUGUGCGUUUACUAAUAUCAUAUCUAUGCCAAUAGACAAGAUAUUCCAAUUUAUUUCGACGUCGCCUUGAAUCUAAGACUUCUUCUACUUCAAACUCUUCAUUAUUGUCUACUUGUAUAGGAGGAGGUGGAGCUUGUCGUCUUCUUGGUAUGUCCACUGUCUUGUAUGGUUCAAGAAGAGACACGUAGAAUACUGGAUGGAUUUUCAUUGACUCUAGUAGAUAUAAAGAAUAUGAAACUGGAUUGAUUUGUGCAGAAAUAGAAAAUGGUCCCAGCCUUCGAUAGUCCAACUUGUCACAAGGACGAGUGGUCUUGAUAUUGUGACGAAGUAGCCAUACCUUAUCACCCAAGAGGAAUGGUGGUUGUUCCUUUCGAUAGACAUCCGCAUUGACCUUUUGUUCUUUUUGAGCCUCUUUUAACUGUGCCUUCAUCGUUGCAUGUAGCUCUGAUAAAUGAAUCACUAAAUCUUUUGCAACAGGAUUAUUAACUUUUGAAAAGUCAAAAAUAUCAAGUCGUAGAUGAUAACCAUAAUUAGCAAAGAAAGGUAUUUUUUUUGUAGAAGAAUGUAUCGUGUUACUGUAAGAAAACUUUGCCAAUGGUAAAAGAGUUGUCCAAUCAUCUUGUUGGUAGUUAAUGGUACAUCUUAAAUAUUGCUCCAAAACUUGAUUAAUACGCUUCGUUUGUCCAUCAGUUUGAGGAUGGAAUGUCAAAUUUAGUUUUAUAUCUACUUUUAGAAUCUUGAAAAGAGUCCACCAAAAUCUUGAUACAAAUUGAGUUCUCCUAUCUGAUAUAAUAUCCUUGGAUAAUCCAUGAUAGCGAAAGAUAUUAUCAAGAAAGAGCUUAGCUGUUUCUUCACCUGUGAUAGAUUUUGUACAUGGUACAAAAUGUGCCAUCUUGGUAAAACAAUCUACUAUCACAAAUAUAGUCAUAAGAACCUGAGAUUGGAAGAUCCGUGAUGAAGUCCAUAGAAAUAGAAGACCAUGGUUGUUCUGGAAUGGAUAAUGGCUGAAGAAGUCGAAAAGGUCGAUGACGAGGAGUUUUUGAUCUUGAGCAAACAUCACAUGAUUGUAUAAAAUCUUUAACUGCCUUCCACAUUUGAGGCCACCAAAAAUCCCUGGAUAUCAGCUCCAAAGUCUUAUUAUAUCCAAAAUGUCCUACUACUGAAAAGUCGUGACGAGCUUGAAGAAUAUGUAAACAUGCUUCUUCUUUUGGAAUAUAUAAGCAUCCUUCGAAAUAGAAUAGAUUGUUCUUAAAUUCAAAUUUAGAGGGAUCAUGAGAUUUAGAAGAAUUAUUCUUGAUAUCAUGAACAAGAGGGUCUGAAGACAUACUUAAUUGGACUUGCUUAAGAAAAAUUAAAUCAACAUUCAAUGUUGAUUUUAUUACUCGAAGAUGAAAUUACUCCGACUUCAAGAGAACCGUUCUUUGUUGCUCAAAAGCUGCAUCUCCUUCUUUUGGUGCAAGAUAAGAAUGUCUAGACAAGGCAUCAGACAAACCUUGUUGUUAUCCUGGCUGAUAAGUGAUGAUGAAUUUGAAUCUUGAUAAAGACAUACUCAAACGAGCUUGACGACGAUUUAAUACGCGUAUUGAUAUAAAAUACUCGAGGUUCUUGUGAUCCAUAUAUAUGAUGACUGGACUAGAAGCGCCUUCUAGAUAAUGACGCCAUUCUUGAAAAGAAUCCACAAUUGCAAGAAGUUCUUUGUCAUGGAUCUCAUAAUUGCUUUCUGCUGCUAAGAAUUUUUUUGAAUGAAAGGCUACUGGAUGAAGUUUGUCAUCUGUUCCCAUUUGUGAUAAAAUCGUACCUAGAACAAAGUCUGAUUCAUCUAUUUCUAUAAAGAAUGCUUUGAAAAAAUCAACACAAUACAAGAUUGGUGCAAAAACAAACUCUGUCUUCAAAGAUUCAAAAGCAACUUCCGCUUCUUGAUUCCAUUGGAAUUUAUCUUUACAAGUCAAACGUGUAAGUGGAGCUGCAACUCGAGAGAAGUCCUUGAUGAAGAUGCAAUAGCAAAAAGCAUUGGACAUUUCUUAUCAUUUUUGAGAUCUUUCAAUGUAUAAUAGUUUGAAUUUUCUUAGGAUCUAUUAUAAGUCCAUCAUUUGAAAUGAUGUAACCUAAGAAAUCGACUUGAGUAGUAUGGAAUACAUUCUUUUUUAUCUUGGCAUAGAGUCUUGCAUCUCUUAAUUUUUGUAACACACGACGAACAUGAAGUUCAUGUUCUUCUAGAUUCUUAGAAUAGAUUAAGAUGUCGUCUAGAUAACAGACCACAAAAUCGUCCAAAAACUCUCGAAAGACAUCAUUCAUUAGAUGUUGAAAAGCUGUUGGUGCAUUUAUAAGUCCAAAAGGCAUGACAUUGUAUUCAAAAUAUCCAUACCUAGUUCGAAACACAGUCUUCUAUUCAUCUCUUUCUUUGAUGAGUACUAGAUUGUAUGCUCCUUCGAGAUCUAUUUUUGUAUAGAUCUUAAUUUGAUUCACUUGAUCAAGAAGUCCAAAUAUUAAAGGUAUUGGAUACCUGUUCUUAAUGGUAAUCUUGUUGAGUCCUCGAUAAUCAACACACAUCCACAAUGAUCUAUCUUUUUUCUUCACAAAUAGAAUUGGAGCUCCUAUCGGAGAUUUAGAAUGGCGUAUGAAAUUCUUGGCUAGAUUUUCUUCAAUAUACUCCUUGAGUUUAGUCAACUCAUUUUGUGAUAAACUGUAGAUUAGUCCAAAUAGCGAUUGUACUCUUUCUUGAAGGUCAAUUGAGUAAUCAUAGAGACGAUGUUCCGGGAGUGUAUCCGCAUUCUUUUUUUCAAAUACAUCUUGAAAUUCUUGAUAUUGAAUUGGAAUGCCACUUGAAGUCUUUCCACUAAUAGAAACAGGUGUGGCAUAAAUAAUAUAUGGAGAUUCUUUCAUAGCAGUAUGCAAGAAAGCUUUUACACCUAUAAAUACGAGUUUAAUUGAACUGGACUUAUGACUCUCUAUUUGAUUAACUACAUUGUUAGUUAUACUUUUAGAGAAAGUAAGAGUUCAGGAAAUCCAAUCUAUUUGAGGGUUUUAUUUUUCUAACCAUGAUAAACCUAAAAUGACUGGAUUAGAAAGAGAUCUAAUGAUAUUAAAUACUACAAAGCUAUUAUUACUUCUAUAGGGAGGGUUUUGUGAGUAAUAUCUCUCGAAGAUAAUGGACGACCAUCUAUGACUUCUACAUGAACAAGUUUAGUUUUCUUUACUAAAGAUAUGCUAUGUCUUUUAGUAAAUUCUUCAUCUAAGAAAUAUGUCGAGGCUCCUGAAUCUAACAAGGCAGAGGUUUUGUAAUAUUUAGGUCCUAAAAUAAUAUUUAAUGUAAAACAAAGAGAGGGCUCUGAAGAGAGAAUAGGACUUUUACUAGAUGUUGUCCAAGAUUUCAACCACACGGUCCCUAUUGUAGUUGAACAAACUCGUUUUCUGACAUAUUGUUUUCUUUUACAAUCAUACUCUUCAUUUUGUGAUUGCAUCAUUUUUUUUGGACAAUGUUGAGCACUAUGCUUUGGUUCUCCACAAUAUAAACAUAAUCCUUCUUGAUGACGAUAAGUCUUUUCUUGCUCAGUAAGAGGUUUGAAACGUACUACAUUAAUUUGCAUAUCUUCUACUCCAAAUGUAUGUGUUGAAGAGGUGUUGGUGUUGCCAUUGAAUUAUACUAACGUUGAGAUCUACUUGUACGGUUCUCAGAUCAAAAUUCAAAAAGGUGAUUGUCGCACUUCACAGCAAAGUCAAUUGCUUGACUCAAUAUUUCAGGAUUAGGUAAAUUGAGCAUUAAUUUUUUUACCUCAUAUUAUAAUCUGUUGUCACGGAUACAAAAAUAUAGGCUUGAGAUCUAACAAGAAGUUCAAGAAGAACUGGCAAGAAGUAGAUUAAUCAGAUGAAUACAAGAACAACACCAAAGAGGUGAGCUAGAGCUCCAAGACAUGUAUUGUCGAGACUGAAGAACUCUUCAGUCUUGAUUCCAAUAUAUACUCCUAUUUAGGAAGUUUUUCAAGCAACUUCUACUAACUAGAAAGCUUCUAGAAGGUUCCAGAGACUUACUUCUAGAAGGUUCUAGAAACUUAUCUCUAGAAGGUUCUAGAAACUUAUCUCUAGAAGGUUCUAAGGACUAUGUCCCAAACAUCUUCUACCAACUAAGAAGCUUCUAGAAGGUUCCAGAGACUUGCUUCUAGAAGGUUCUAGAAACUUGUCUCUAGAAGGUUCUAAAGACUAUGUCCCUAACAUACUCUACCAACUAAAAAGCUUCUCAAGCAACUUCCAUCAACUAGAAAGCUUCUAGAAGAUUCCAGAGACUUGCUUCUAGAAGGUUUUAGAAACUUGUUUCUAGAAGGUUCUAAGGACUAUGUCCCUAACAUCAUCCCCUCCUUUAGCUUCGAGGUCUCUGAGAAGCAAUGUUGUUGUUAAUCAAUACCAACACAAGAAAAUGAAAAUCUGUUACAUAACGUCUGCUAUGAACUCCAACUGUUGUUCACGAGGCAAGUGGUUCAUCGACCCUUGAAACCAACAGUAGUGGCUCACGCCUUCAACUUCUAAUCAAGCAUGAAAUUUUGUAUCCUCAUUGUGAAAUUGUCCUGCAAACAUGCCUUCUAGCUGACCAUCAUAAGUAGGCUCGAUCUCCAAUACAAUCAUCAAUGAUCGAUUAUUCGGUAUCCUCCGUUGUCGUCAUGGUGUAGGCAGUUCUUCAUCUCGGGGUCGCCUUUGUGAGCUAAUCAGUUGAGAUAAUCUGACUGGCAUUGUAUCUAUCUCUUGACUAUCCAUAUCAGAAGAUCAAACUAUGGCUACUGAAAAAAUUCUACUUUUUCUUGAAGAAAAUAACUACAUCAACUACGAAUUUUGGUGGUGCUCUCCCCCUUUCUUAUAUUCUUGGGUGAGCAAGCUUCAGAAGGAAGCUAUCGUCGAACUGGCUUAGGUUUAUGAGGAUGUUGUUGAUGAAACUCCUAUACCCUUUGUAGCGCAUUGGUGAGAUUUUCAACUGGCUUCCACGUUCGCUCAUUAAUGUCGUAGCCGCACCAAUGAACAAGAUACUCCAACUUGCCCCACCUUCACCGUGAAUCUAGCACCUUUUUGACCUUGUAUUCCUCAUGGUUCUUGAUCUCAAUACUAAGUGGCAGACAUUGCACUCUUCCAGGAAAAGACAACUCUCGAUAAGGCUCCAACAGAGAAAUAUGAAAGACUGGAUGUACCUUCAUAGAAGCCGAUAAUUCCAGACGAUAUGCCACUACAUUGAUUUGCUUCUGGAUGGUAAAUGGUACCAAUCUUCAAUAGUCCAACUUAUCACAUCGUCGCUUGGUCUUGAUAUUCCAUCAAAGAAGCCAUGCUUUAUCUCCAAUUUUGAAAGUAGGUGCUUGAUUCCAAAAUCUAUCUACAGACGCCUUGUAGGAUUCUUGAGCGGAUUGUAAUUGAAGCUUCAAUGUAGUUUGAAGCUCUGAUAGUUGCUUUGCAAAUCCUUCAGCUGCUGGAUUGUUAUUUGUUGACGGACUCAAUAAAUCAAGCUUCGAAUGAUACCCAUAGUUGGAAAAGAAUGGUGUAUAUUAGGUCGACGCAUGGAGGGUGUUGUUGUAUGCAAAUUCGGCUAGCGGUAGAUAUGUGGUCCAAUCGUCUUGCUGAUAGUUGAUGCUGCAUCGUAAGUAUUGUUCCAAGACUUCGUUCACCCAUUCUGUUUGGUCGUCAAUUUGAGGAUGAAAAGCUGAAGAAAGCUUGAUAUCUACGUUCAGUAUCUAAAAGAAAGAUCUCCAAAACUUUGAUAUGAAUUGGGUUCCUUGAUCUGAUACGAUAUCAUUUGGUAGUCCAUGAUAUUGAUAUACAUUAUCGAGAAAGAGCCUUGUUAUGACUUUACUGGACGAUGUCUUCUUGCAAAGGACAAAGUGUGCCAUUUUUGUAAGCCAAUCUACUACGACAAAGAUGCUGUCAAAUGAGUUUCAUGAUGGUAGGUCCAUGAUGAAGUCCAUGGAAACUGAAGACCAUAGUCGACAUAGAAUCGAUAAUGGCUGUAGAAGUCCAUAAAGGCUUACCGAGGAUUCUUGGAUCUUGAACAAAUAUUGCAGGAGGGGACAAAAUCUUUCACAUCCUUCCACAUUUGGGGCCACCAGAAAUCUCGAGAAAUAAGCUCUAAGGUCUUGUUGAAUCCAAAAUAUCCUACAGCUAGAAAAUUGUGGCGAGAUUGAAGAACUCGGAGUCGUGUUGGUCCUUUUGGAAUAUACAAUCGCUCUUGAAAGUAUAAAAGAUCUCCUUCUACCUUGAACUUAUCAUCAUUGGCAUGCUGCUUGAUAUCAAUGGCUACUGAAUCUUCAAUGGUCACGGCACGUACCUGGUUCAGGAAGUCAGCAUCAAUUGGCACAAUAGUAACACAAAGCUGAAAUUACUCUAGCUUCAAUAACGUCGUACAUUGUUAAUCAAAUACUCAUUCUCCAGCCUUUAAUACAAGAUAUAAUCUCCUCGAUAAUGCAUCGGAUAGUCCUUGCUACUUUCCAGGUCGAUAAGUGAUAACAAAAUUGAACCUAGAUAGCGACAUAUUCCACCGAGCUUGACAUCGAUUUAGAACUCAAGUCGACAUAAAAUACUCCAAAUUCUUGUGAUCCGUAUAUAUGGUCAUUGGGCAUGUAGUUCCUUCAAGAAAGUGACGCCAUUCUUGGAAAGAAUCUACUAUAGCAAGAAGUUCCUUAUCGUAGAUCUCAUAAUAUAUUUUAGCAAAAGAGAACUUUCGAGAAUAGAAUGCAACCGGAUGGAGCUUCUUGUCUUCUUCCAUUUGUGAAAGUACAACUCCCAAAGCAAAAUCCAAAGCAUCAGUUUCUAAAUAGAAGGCCUUUGUAAAGUCUGGAUGUACAAAGAUUGGAGUCGUAGUAAAUGCCGUUUUCAAGUCUUGAAACGCCUUCUCCACUAGAGGUCCCCAUUCUAGCUUAUCCUUGUAUGUCAACCAAGUAAGAGAAGCAACAACUUGAGAGUAAUUCUUGAUGAAGAUCUGAUAGAAGUUAACAAAGCUAAGAAAGCAUUAUACGUCUCUAACCGUCUUCGGAACCUCUCAGGACACGAUUGCUUCCACCUUCUUGGGGUCUAUCUUCAAGCCUUCCGUAGUCACAAUGAAUCCCAAAAACUCCAUCUCUAUUUAGUGAAAUAAACACUUCUCCAACUUGGCAUAUAGUCCUCGCUCGCGUAGUUUCACUAUGACCAAACGAACGUGCUUUUUAUGCUCUUUUUUAUUUUUGGAGAAUAUCAAAAUAUCAUCCAAAUAGAUGACAACAAAAUCGUCAAGGUGCUCCCAAAAAACAUCAUUCAUCAUAUGUUGGAAGACCACUGGAGUAUUGGUAAGACCAAAGGGCAUGACAUUAUAAUCAAAAUGGCCAUACCUUGUACGGAACGCUGUCUUCCACUCAUCUCCUUCCUUGAUUCAUACGAGCUUGUAAGCUCCCCUUCGAUCAAUUUUUGUAAAGAUCCUUGCACAUCCAAGUUGUUCUAAGAGAUUAGAAAUCAAAGGUAACGGGUAACGAUUCUUCUUUGUUAUCUUGUUGAGGCCUCAAUAGUCUAUGCACAUCUUCAACGAGCCAUGUUUUUUCUUCACAAAUAAGAUGGAUGCUCCAAUUGACGAUUUUGAAUGACGGAUGAAGUUCUUGGCUAGAUUCUCGUCAAUGUACUUCCGCAACUCUGCCAAUUCCAUCUGCAAUAGAUUGUAGAUUGGGCCAAAAGGUGGUUGUGCUCCUUCCUGCAAGUCUAUGGCACAAUCAUAUGGUCGGUGUUCCGGUAGUAUGUCGACGUUCUUCUUUUGAAACACGUCUUCAAAAUCUUUAUAUUGCUCUAAUAUACUUGCUGUCGAGAUCUUCUCCCUAGUAAUUGGAGCCAUAUAAAUGACAAACAUUAAACCUUCAUUGGAUGAUCUUACAAACGUUUUUGCUCUAAUGAAUAAAGAUUUCUCUAUGCGGGGUUUUCUACUAGGCUUGCUCUUAGGUAGUUUUGUGGGAAAGGUCAUCUUCCGCAACUUCCAAUCUAUGGAUGAGUUAUGAUUUUCCAACCAGGAAAGACCAAGAAUAAUAGGAUUUGAUGGAGUUCUAAUAAUAUUGAAAAUAAUAUGACUACUAUGGCCCUUAAACGUCUCUUCUAUAUGUUCUGAUUCAUGGGUGACACUACCAGACAAUAAAGGUCGCCCAUCUAUGACCUCAAUGUAAAUAGGUCUGGAUUUUUGUACUAAAGGGAUCUUAUGACUCUUUGCAAAUUCUUUGUCUAAGAAACAAGCAGAUGCUCUUCAAUCUAAUAAUGCUAAGGUUCUCAAUUUCUGAGGGCCAAUAAACAAAGGGAUUGUAAAACAAAGGACAAGUUGAGCGAAAAGAAAGGAACCUAGUUGUUGUUACGAUAUUUCACUGUCUAGCUGCACGGUUCUUAUUGUGGCUAAGCAUCUUCGUUUUCCUGAACAAACGCGCAUAUGGUCCUGACAAUGCGUCGAUUUUACUUCUUGGGAUAGUUUUCAACUUUGUGGCCUUCUUCGCCGCAAUAUAAGCAUAGACCUUCCUCCAUACGCCGCUUUUUUUCUUCUAGAGUAAGCGAUUUGACAUGUACCUCAUCAAUUUGCAUGUCUUCUACCUCUGAAUGUGAAUUCAUGCUGCUUGCUGACAUAGUUGGGGCGUAACGAACCGUAUGUUGUCUUGAGCAUUGGUCUUGGUAACAUUGGAAUAGGCGAUUAUCGGACUUCACAGCUUGACUAAUAGCAUCGUUGAGCGUUCGUGGAUCAAGAAGAGUUAAUAGCAAAUCCUUCACAUCGUCCCUUAAAUCCCAAUAGAAUUGAUUCAUCAAUGCUUCUUUGUCCCAAUUGAUGUCACAUGCUAAUUGCCUAAAAUUCGAUACAUAGACUGAUAUAGAGUGCAUCUCUUGUCGUAGUGACUGGAUCUUUGUUGUAGUCCAUCGAACCUUGUCGUAUUUACCAAAUGCUUUCAUAAAUGCCUCCAAAAAGGUUUCAAAGUUGUUUAGUAUGGACGAUCAUUUCUCAAAUAAAGGAGCAAACCAUGAUAGAGCUUGCCUUAUAAAUAAGGUUCCAACAAGCUUAAUACGUGACUCCUUCGUUAGAUAACAUUCAGGCUGUAAAACUAUUAUCAACUUGAUUUCAUUGACGAAUCCUCGAAACUUGGAACGCGUACCAUCGAACUUAUCCGGAAGGCUAACUUGGCGCUCCUUAUGUUGUAGAACCAACGGUGCUUGUUGAACCUGAGGCAAAGUUGCUUCUCUAAGUGUAGAAGUUUGAAGCUGGUGCAACCUAGAUUGUGCCAUCCCAGAUGCUCCAUCAUUAUGAAGCCUUGCCACGACUCCUGUAAUCUCUAUAGUUCUUUGUAAUAACGUAGCAAGGGCAUUCAUAAUAGCAUCCAACUUAGACUCUGAACUUUCCGUCAUACUAAUGUCUUGGCCUCCGACCGUUCUAAGUAAAGGACAGAAAUGACUCUAUAAGAAGACAAUAUUGGUUUAGAGGAGGGUACUCCGCAACAUCUAAAACGCCUUAAGAGCUUCAAGAAAAGGGGUAAUCCACUCUCUCCAAGAAGAAUAAGACUCCAAUAUUAUAACAAAAGAAGUAUCAAUUUAGAAGAGGGUAAUCCGCAACCUCUAAAAUGCUAGUACACCUUCAAGCAGAGGGACAAUCCAUACUCUAACGACAAAGAAACUAGCUCUGAUAUCUGAGGUGAGUGCAAUCUCGACAAACUGUCAUGGACACAAAAAUACAGGCUCGAGAUCUAACAAGAAGUUCAAGAAGAACUGGCAAGAACUAGAUUAAUCAGAUGAAUACAAAAAUCACACCAAAGAGGUGAGCUAGAGCUUCAAGAGAUGUAUUGUCGAGACUGAAGAACUCUUUAGUCUUGAUUCUAAUAUAUACUCCUAUUUAAGAAGCUUCUCAAGCAACUUCUAUCAACUAUGAAGCUUCUGGAAGAUUCUAGAGACUUGCUUCUAGAAGGUUCUAGAAACUUGUCUCUAGAAGGUUCUAAGGACUAUGUCCCUAACAUCCGUAGAAAAAUUGAAUAAUAAGUGCAGCAUCAUCCUACUUGAUAUCAGUUAUAAGUUGUCAAAAUUAUAAAGUGUACAAUAUUAUUGAUUGAUUGUCUUGUCGUAAAAUACAGAUCUUAUUGAUUGCAACACGAAUUACAUCAUGUUCUCCAUACAUGGAUUGAAACUUCGUUAGAAAAGCCUCUAGAUUAUCCAAUAUUGGAUCUCGUCGUUCAAGAAAAGAUGAAAACCAUGAUAGUGCUGAACCUAAAAGAAGCAUAUCAAUGAAUCCAACUUGCGAUCCUGGAGUUGGAUAGCUUUGGGGUUGAAGUUCAAUCACAAGUUACACUUGAUUGAUAAAUCCUUGAAACUUGGAUCUGGUGCCAUCAAACUUCUCGGGUAGGACAAUUCUUGGUUCUCUAACACUGAAAAGGCGUUCCACUAUAGGAGAAAGGAUAUGAUUUGGUGCAGAUGUUGAAGCAGCUCCAACCAUUUCUAUAUCUUUACUUCCCGCCAAUCUUGUUGUUCCUUGUGGUGGUAAAUUGAGUUGAUGCAUCGCAAGUAUUAACUCCCUCAAUUGCUCUUGCAUUUGUGCCAUUGCACUCUUCAUUUCAAUAAGUUCUGCCGUGAUAACACUUAGAAAAGAGAAGAUGUCUAAUAUUGCUCAAGACAAAUAGAAGAGAGAAUUUGAGAACAAAGAAAAUACUAAAGACAAUAUCAGUUUACAAGAGGGUAAUCCGCAACUUCUAAUAUGCUUAUAUCUUAUCAAAAAAAAGGGGUAAUCUACUCUUAAUCAAGAUUAGACAAAGCUCUGAUAUUGGAGGUGUACUCUUGUCAAUCUGUCAAGGACAAGAACUCGAUGAAAAAGUAAUUCAUACAAGUGAGCCUUCACUCAAAGAAAGAUAACAAAAUAUAAAUAAACAAGUAUGUAUAUUGAAAGAGCAACUGGAAUUGCUAUGGCCAAAAGACAAGAAAACUAGAGACCCUUGAAACUAGACUGGAAGCAAGAAAGGAGUUGACAAGAGUGAAGAAGGCUUCACUCUUGUCUCUAUAUAUACUAUCUAAUUAGGGGCUAUGUGGUGACAUUCUAUAGGACCUCCAAUAUGUGUUGACUUUGUAGGACACAUGCCUUGACUUACAAGGCAAGUUUUUCUAUGUGUGGGCCACAUAGUUAGCUUGAUCUUCAAGCUAACAACAUGUGUGGCACAUGGCCAACUUGUUGAUAACGUUUCUAAUCCAAAAAGUCAAUUAAAGACACCUAUGAAGUCAAAGCAGCGUCUAUGAAGCUUUUAGGAAGCUUCCAUAUUAAAUACUAUAGAAUUAACUUACUUUUAUAUAUUUUUACUUACUUCCACCUAUUUGUAUAUGUAAUUACUAGCUUACAUGAGUAUGUCCAUGAUAAGAUAUUAAUUUUGUAGUAUAGCCUUCUAUUUCAAGUUCAAUACAAGAUGAAGAUACUAGUAUCAAAAAUAUAGUAUAUAUUUUGAUAUAUAAAGUGUUGAAUAUGGUUGUAUUUUCUAGUGUUGAUUGUUGAUUUUAGAAUUUAAACUACUAGGAAUCUUUCUAUUGGCUAGUAAAAUAUUGAAAGGGAAAGUACCUAUGCUAUUGUUAGAUGGAACUCAAGUAGUUACAAAGCCUUUAAUUCAAAAAGAUUUAGCUAGGUUAUAAGCAAAGCUUGUAACUGAAGCUAUUGCCAUAUUUGAUGAAGGUUAUUCAACGCUCAUAAUUGUAAAUUCUUUAAGUGAGGUAUCAUUGGUUGUAGAGGUAGUAUUUUUAUUUGAUGUUGCAAGUAGACCUAUUGAGGAACAUCAAAAUUUGUGUCUAUGAAUUGUAUGGUGUCAUAUUAUGUGAAGUCUUAUUUGAAAAAACAUCAGAUACCUAAUUGUGAAAGAUAAAAAAAUUACAAUAAUAAAAUCUAAUAAUUAUAAUAUAAUCAUAUAUAAAUUGUAAUUAUGGCUUAACAAAUAUAAUCAAAUAUUGAUCAAGUUCAAUUAAACUUUUAAAUAAAUUAUAAAAAUUAAAUCCUAAUCAAAUCUCACACAAAUCUUAAUAAAAUCCAAGACAAAUCCUAGACAAACCAAGUUUCUAACUUAUCAAUCAAUUACAAUUACAUAUAAAAUCAAAACAACAUUUAAGAAGCUUCUAAGAAGCUUUCCUAGAAAAUAUUAUAAAAUUAAUCUAUUUUUACCUACUUCUAUCUAUUUAUAUUACCUAGAUAAUAAUUACAAUAAAUACAUGUCGAUGGUAAUAUCUCUAUUAUCUCAAUUUAAUAAGAAUUCAAGACAUUUAAAGAAGGCUUUAUGAAAGCUUUUUACUUUAUUUUUUUUUUCAAUAUCUUAUAGUUUGAAGUUAGCAAUUUUUUCUUCAAGGUUGCGUUUUUUAAUAAAAAUGCUUCUAUUGCAUUAAAAUGGCUCUCAAAUAGUAAAAAUAAAGUAGAUUAGAUAAAUCAAUGAUAUGAUUGACUAUAAAAUUAAGCCAAAUAUAGGAUCAUACCAAAAAAAUCCUUAAAUUAUUUAAAUUGAUACCUAAAAGAUGUCCAUUUUAAUCAUAGUGAAAAUCAAAUCUCAAUAAGUAGAAUGGUUGCUUAGGGCAAAAUGUGUGGGCUUUUGGAAAUUUGCAUAAAGGAUUGACAAGCUAACUUUGAGCUUAUUCUAGAAGUAAAAGACUUAUUUCAUUGGAGUUUAUAAUGUGUGAGUCAUGGAAUUGAUUCAUUUGUAUGUUUAAUACAAAAAAUGCACUUAUAGUGUUCAAAAUCACAAAAUUAGUGAAUUAGUCAAGGAACUCUUAAAUAAAUAGAAAAUUUUUUUUAUAAAUACAAGUACUAAAAUACAAUGUAUAGUUGAAUUUCUUAAUAUGGAUUUUUAAGAUGAAAAGAUUUUUUUCUCAAUUUAGCUUAUAUUAGAUUAUAGUCUAAUAAUGGUAGUUUUUAAUGUCAUUGAUUUUUUAUUAGAAUAGAAAAUUACAAAGGAAUAUUGGAUUUUAAAAAAUCCAAAAAGAAAAAGAAAAAAUAUUAAUAUCUUUUAACAAAUAAAAUAGAAUAAAAAUAGUUGAAUAGAAAAAGAAAAAAUGUUUGAGAGAAGGUAAAGAACUAGUAGGAAGAGAAAAGAAAAAAAAGAAGAGAAAACAAAAAAGUAGAGAAAAGAAAAAAGAAGCUUAAAGAAAAGACGGGAGAAAAAAAAAAAAAAAAAAAAAAAAAAAGAAAAAAAAAAGAGAAAAGGAAGUGACUUCCUUACCUUCCUGGAUUUUUCUAAAUAUGGAUGUUGAUCCGAGUUUUAAAGAUGGAGCUAUCGGGGCCUGGCAAAUUGCGCAGCCUAGUCUUAUUCCUCCCUCUCUCUCUCAUUUUUUCCUUGGUACUGUGUUCCUAAGUUCUGAAAAUUCGAGGCUUCCUUCUACAUUUUCUCUGCUCCUGAGUGAGAUGCUGUGGUGCGGCGCUCUCUUGCGGUGAAGCAAAUUCCUUGCUGCAGUGUGCGGGUGUCGGUGUUGCCGUUGCUGAUCCCGUCGACGGCGUCAGGUUCUUCCUUCAGCGGUGGUGCUGCCCAUUUUGUUAUGAUUGUGUGUUGUUGUUGGUGGUAAUAUUCUAGUACGGAAGGUCUCUCGUUGGUGUUGCUUCUCUUCGUUGGCUGUUUCAGUCUAGCGGUACUGGCCGCAUCGACGGUGGUUUCUUUUGUCUAGUUUUUUCUUGCGGAGCGGCGAGGUGUAGUGGUUGUUGACAAACUGAUGCUGCUCUUCAGUUUGUGCCGCUGCUGGGUGCGAGUGCUGUGCAACAAGAAAUUCCAGUUUUUUCUGUACUAGAGUGGGAGGUGCGGCAUCACGUGGUCGAGGACCUGUUGAGUUGGGGAUGGUCCAAGUCGGCGAGCUGCGGUCAAACUCUCCUUUAAUUGAUCUCUUUUCCUCUUCCGCACUGUGUCCGACAGCGUGCAGCAAUCUGUCCUGCUCCUGUGAAGUAGCAGCGGUGAUCAACAUUCCCUUAAUUUCUGUGGCAGUCUCUUCUCAACGAUUACUUGCGCAAAACUUAUGGUUGAUGUUGAAUGAAGUCGCUUCCAUAUUUUGGAAAUAUAGAGUGGCAUCAGUGUUGUUAGUGGUAACAUAGAACCUUAAAGGUGGCUGGAAAAAGGAUAUUCAAGACAUAGAGGUUUUCAAAUCCAGAAGGAACAACUGUUGGAGUGGAGCUUCGAAGGGAGGAGCUGCUUGGUCGGAGUAUAGGGAACAAACACCAACUUCAAGUAGGAUCGUUACGUGGAAAUAUUCCUUCAAGUACAAGGAAUAUUUCCACGUAAGAUAAUUGAUUCUAUUAAACAACAAUUGACUAGGGGAUGCUAGGGUUGGGAUGAAGUUAGGUUAGGGUUGAAGGAAUCCAAAUUGGAUGAAAUUAUUAAACAAGGAUGAUUAUAUAUUGCAAAUGAAUUUUGUGGAUAAAUUUUAUUAUGGAUGAAAUAUUAUUCAAGGAUGAGUUUUCAUUCUUGGAUGAAAUUUUAUUAAUGAAUGAAUUUUAAUAGCAAAUAAAAUAAAAUAAUAUACAUAAAAAAAUAAAAAAAUAAAUCUCAAUGCAUGAAAGUGGGUGGAUAACUUCAUAUUAUAAGUAUGAAUUGUAGUGAAGAUUUUAUUUCAUUAAUUGGAUUAAUUUUAAGAAGUUAGAGAGUGAUUUAAAUUAAGAUUUUAAUAAUAAAUGCAAUAGAUAAAAUCACAUAAUUAAUUCAUUUGUUGUGAAUUAGAAUAAAUUUUGAAUUAAUAGAGAUGUUUUUUUUGCUUAUAUAAUAAAUUUAAAUAAGCAAUUCAAAUUUAGUAUUUGUAUUGGCAAUUAGGAUUUUAUAAAAUAAUAUUAACACUGGCUUCCUUAUCUAAUUUAUGCAUAUUGAGGAGCAUCUACUAUUGGAAUUUCUUAAACAUAUAAUUAAUUGCAUUUAUUAGAUGUGUAUAAAAAUCCAUGCCAUUAUAAUGGAGCAAAUAGGAGAUAUCUAAUCAUAAGUACAAAGAUAUACCAUAUCUAAGGUAUUUUAGGAUUUGCAAUAUCUAAAGCUCUAUUAGUUUGGAAUGAGAUAAAACUUGGCAUUUAAUUACAAGCCUUCAUGACCAAACUACAAACCAAUUUUUUGAAGUAAAAUUAAUAAUUGAAAAAGUAGAAAUUGCUUCUAAAACUUCUUUAUCAACUUUCAAGCUGGCAGCCGAGAAAAAUUAGUAUAGUAUUUUGACUUUCCACACAAUUUAUAAGUUGGAUUGGGCUGAAUUUAAAUAGAAAUAUAGAAAGCUUAUAGCAAUAUUAGUGUACUAUAUUUUACACUAUUUAAACAAUCAAAUUAAGAAAUAUGCUUUAUUAAAGUUCGCUAACUAGGAUUUUGGUUUAUAAGAAAAAUUUAUAAGUUGCAAAAGAAUAAAAGUAACAAAAUAAUUAGAGUUUGUACAUGCUUAUGGUUAUCAAAAAGAUUGUUUGAAUACUUUGUAUUUACAUUAGGGUGUUGCUAAUUUAAUUGAUGCCAAAUCCUAAAUUCUAAAACCUACUCUUAAUCUUAAUUUUUCUUGCUUUUCCAUUAUAUUCGUAAAUAUUUUUAAAAAAAGAAAUAAAAAAGAAUUAAAAUAAUAUUAAUAAAUAAAACUAUUUAUUAAAAAAGAAAUAAAUAAAGAAUUAAAAAAGAAUUUACAAAAUAAGUAUUGUAAGUAAUUAAAAAAAAAGUUUAAACAAUUAAUUAAAGAAACUAACAUGUAAUUAAAAAAAAAUUAGAAAAAAUAGUAAAAGUUAACAAAAAAUUGAAAUUAGUGAAUAUGUGUUGAUAUAAGAUAAUAAGAAAAAAACAUAUCAACACUUUGCAAUUUUUGUUGAUAAAAAAUGUCUCAGCAAAAAAUUUAGAUUAGUUCAAAAAGACUUCUUUUCUACAAAGCGUUAGUAUUAUAGAGGCCCAUGAUUUGUUGAAUUUUAUUGAGUCAUCACAAGUAAAUGCAAAAAUUCAUCAUAUAUAUACAUUAUAUAAAUCUAUGUAAAAGCGCUUUGAGCUACUUUAUACAAUCUAAAUUUGAAAUGCUAUGAGCAUUAUUAUACAACCAUAUAUUUUUAAGAAAUAUUCAAUAAAAGACUAAUUUAUUUAUUAUGCUAAAUUAAUUAAUAUAUAGUGAUUUGAUAAUUGAUUUGCAUAAAGAAAGUUAAAUGAAUGAAUUCAUUCAAUAUAUUUUUAUAAAAGUAUUUGAUAAGAGAUUUAUUUCAAAAUCUAUUAGUAGAAUCUUUAUUGAAUGUUAAGAUUUCAUUAAGUUUUUAAGUUAUUACUCAAGCCUCAUAAUUGAUAAUUCAAGAUCCAUCGAAGAUAAUUUCAAUUUUUUUUUUAUCUUUUUUCUUUGUUAAAUAUGUAUUUGACUUAUCUUUAGCUAUUCAAAUCUCAGCUAUUUUGUAGUACUAGAAAGCAUCAUACUAUACCAUUUGUUUUUUUUUGUUAGUUAAUAAUAAGUUGCAUACUUCAUAAACAAAAUAAAAAAAAAAAGCAAAUCCAAGUGAAUCAAGUUUUUCUAAUCUCAAAGGCAUAUCGUUGGAUGGUAUCAAAAAACAACACUAUCUAGUUCAUUGUUUGGAUAUUUGCUAAAGCUUCAAAGAUAACUGCCACUCAUAUCUUGUUGAUGCAAUUGAAAUAGUUAGGACUAAAGACAUGAAUGAAGAAUUCAACGGUUUUUCUUUUCUUUACAUCCUAAAUGCAAUGAUACUUCUAAUUCUUCCAAAUAUUAUAGAAAUCUUUUUAAAACAUGAUCAUGGUCCCUAUAAUCAAGUAUUUGCUUUAUUGCAAGAGUCUACUCUCUUUGUUCUUAAAUCUGUAGAUUUUAGUCUAAAGAAUAGAUUCUACUUUGUAGUUUUGCUCCAAAUUGAAUUUCUCAUACCAAAGAUUUUUUUUAUUUUUUUUAUAAUCAUCUCUUUUAUAAACUCUAUAAGAAAUCAAGCAAAGUUUUGUAAUCAAUGCUUGGUUCUUACUUUCUUGUCUUCUAAAGUCUUAGGCUAAAUGUUCUUCAAAACAAACUUUGCAUUGAAUUUAGACUUUUUCAUCUAUCAACAAACUCAAAUUUUAAGUCCUAAGAAUUUAUACUAAUUAUCUAUUUUAACUUUAUAGACUUUCUUAUUAAUUAAUAUAUUUUUGCUAAUCCUCAAUCAAUUUAUUAAUAUUUGGAUGCUUCUCAAGUUGAUGUGAUUUUUUAAUUUUAUAGCAAUCAUUCCAAUUUUUUUCAUAAUUUCUAUUUUUGUCUAUUUAUUAUUGAUAUAAUGAAGAAGUGCUUGCUUUUGUAUUUUUCACUCUUUUUUUGUUGCAAUUGUAUAAGCAAGUGGCAAUUUCUAGAGUAAAAAUCAUUCUAAUAGAAAUCUCACAAUAAAUUAUGUUGUAAAUUCUUCAUUACUUUUAAUUGGCUUAUUUUCUAAUAUUGAUUUACUACUGAUUUUUCCGUGGAUUCUUUGUGAUUUUUAGUAUUUAAAAUGGUUUGAUUUAGUUUCUUUAUCUUGGAUUAAAUAAAGUUUAAUUUAAGAUUUUUGAUUGGGCCAUCACUUCUUUAGUGAUUUUGAAUCUAUUCUAUGCUAAUUUACUUUAAAAGUCCUUUUUUUUUAGUAGAUUUUACUUUUUACCUUGACAAGAUCUCUUUGAUUAUGCCAACUAUAAAGCCAAUACAUCCAAUAAUGACACUAGACCAUUCCUUCAAUGAUUUGAUUUAUUAAAUUAAAAAAAAAUCUAUUAUUACAACUCCUAUUUUUUGUUGUCUCUAAUCAUAAUAAAAAGACACUUGUUUUUUUAAGCUAGUUGAGAGAGUUAAGGACAAUGAAAAAUAAUCAUGUUUUUUUUUUUUUUUUUUUUUUUUUUCUACUUUUAAUUUAAUAUCUAAUUUUAAUCAAGUUUCUUUCUUGUAUGGUUAUAGCACCUCCGAAUUUCUUAAGAUACCUCAAGUUCUUUGACUCCAAAAGCUCAUCCAUCCUAAGAUUUUAUACACCUUAGAUUGUGACUACUUUGUAAGUCAAGUCAAAUUCUAGAAAUUUACCUCGCUUAUUAGUCUCUUUUAGCAAUGUAUUUAUUUAUUUAUUUAUUUAUUUAUUUUUAAUCUUUGUUUCUUUAAAAAAGAAGUGAACUUGGAUUAUUAUUAUUUUUUUUACUUAAGCAUUGGCAAUGGUAGUCAUUCUACUUAUUUAUUGAUAAUAUCUUUUGUUGUUGGUCGAAUAUGAUCAUCUCUUUGCUCUUUGACUUGCCAAAACCUUCCUUCUAGACUUGAUAAUUGAAUAUUAAGAAGAGAUCAAAGGAAGGAGGGAGAAUAUAUAGGCAUCUUCAUAAUUCUAAACAAAAGGUUAUAUACAAUUCCGUCUUUUAGAGUAAAUUAUAAAAAUAUUUUUCAUCCAUCUCUGCUAUUAUAAUAAGAAUCCAAUAUAAUACAAUGACAUUAUUGAGUUGGGACUUUUUUUAAAACAUCAUUAUUUUAGGUUUUUGUUUUUAAAUUGUGAUUAGGAUUAAUUUGUACCAAUUAGAUAAGUUCUUUAUUAUACUAUUAAUAAUUUUUUAGUGAUAUUAUAGCCAUAUAUCAUGAAUAUACAUAUUUAUUCGAAUAAUUAUCUAUAUGAUUAUAUUGAAGUAGAUUAAUUUCAUAACAUCUUUUAGAGAAGCUUUGUAAUAGCUUGAUAGACAUAGAUUUGACUUUAUACAUAUUUGUAGUUUAUUGAUAGAUUAAAAACUUAGUCAAUAAAUUAACCAUGUAUCACAUGUAUUGAUAGCUUAUAGAACAAGUUAACUAUGUGGCAUACAUAUAGAAAACUUGCCUUUUAAAUUAAGAUACGGAUCUUACAAAAUCAACACAUGUUAAAAGAUUUAUAAAAUAUUGUCACAUAGGUCCUAGUUAGAGAAUCUAUAUAAAGACAAGAGAAAGCUUUCUUUACUCUUAUUAAUACCUUUCUAGUUCUUAGUCUUUAUUAAAAACUUUUCUCAAGUUGUAGUCUUUGAAACACACAAUAAACAUGAAGUUUAUAUUCUUUUCUAACAACACAUCUUCAUCAAGAACUUUUUUCAAGUUGCAACUCCACUUAUUUGAGAUGUAAAGACAAACUUAAAUAGAAUAGAGAAGUGUAAGCAUUGUUUGAGGCUUUGAAGAAAGAAUUUACUUUUGCAUCAAUCUUAUAUUGCGUUGAUUUUUUUAAGGUAUUUUUUUAUAAAAAUAAAUGCAUCAAAUUUUAUCUAAGAUUUUAUCUAAGAUUUUACCUGAGAUAAUGGUAGAUAAUUUUAUCAAGAUGGCAUAUUUUGUAUUAUGUACAAUAUCUGUUACAAGUGACAAAAUGAAUAAGUUUUUUUUUAACAACAUCUAUUACUAUUAAAGAUUGUCCAAAGUUAUUAUAUCAAAUAAAAAGACUCAAUUUUUAUUAAAAUUUUGAAGAAACAUCUUUAAGAUUUUAAAGAUAGAUAUUAAACUCUCUUUGGCUUUUUGUUUUUAGAUUGAUAGGCAAAUAGAAUAGAUGAAUCAAGUUUUAGAGUAGUAUUUUAGAUGUACCAUCAACUAUCAUUAAGAUAAUUAGAAAAUCCUUUUACCAUUGAUAAUUUAUAUAUAAAAAUUUGCUAUAUUUUUCUAUUCAAUAUAUUUUUUUUUACUAACUAUGGUUAUCAUUUAUAAUUUGAUAUUUUUGACUUUUCAAAAGUUGAUAAUCUUUUGUUAGAAGAUUUGAUAAAUUAUUUGUUAGAGUUACAUGCAAAAAUGAAGGUGCAAUUAAAAGAAGUUCAAGAAUGAUAAAAGAUCAAUAUAGAUGCUUAUCAUAAGAAACAACCAAAAUUUACCAAAGGUGAUAGAGAUGAUUAUUUUGUUGCAGUAUGAAGAUUACUUAUUCUUAUGAAAAGUUGAACUAUUGUAGACUUAGACCUUUUUCUAUUUGUGAACAAGUCAAUCCUAUUACUUAUUAAUUACAUCUAUUGGAGUAUAUGAAGAUCAAUCCUAUAUUCUUUGUGUCUCUUCAUAAGCCAUAUAAGACUGAAUAUCUCAAAAAGAAGAUAAAUAUUACUUCUUUCAAAAAAAGUAGAUAAUAAUUAAAAGUUCAAAUUGGAAGAAGUCUUAAAUUCAAAGUGACACCAAAAUUAGUUGAAAUGCCUUAUUUAUUAAUGUAGAUAUGACAUUAGUGGAUGCACAUAGAAGCUAUUAAAGAAUCUUGCAAAUGCAACAAAAAGAGUUGAAGCUUUUUGUUGAUAACAUCCAUCAAAAUUAAGAUGAAGAAUAACAAGAUUUAUGAAAGAUGAUGGCCGCCCUUUAUGAAACUUAUCCUUAAAAGGAAGAAUAAUAUCACAAACAUAUAUAUUUGCUUCAAUAAUUACCUAUAUGAUUAGAGAGAAGUAGAUUAAUUUCAUAACAUAUUCUAGAGAAGCUUCUUAAAAGUUUUAUAGAUGUGGUUUUGAAUUUACACAUGUUUCUAAUUGAUUGAUAGGUUAGAAAUUUGAUCAAUAAGUUAAUCACAUGUCACAUAUAUUGGUAGCUUAUGAAAAAAGUUAACUAUGUGGUAUAUAUAUAGAAAACUUGUCUUGCAAGUUAAGAUACAUGUCUUCCAAAGUCAACACAUAUUAAAGAUUUUAUAGAAUAUUACGACAUAAUUUCUAGUUAGAGAGUAUAUAUGGAGGCAAAAAUAAAGCCUUCUUCAUUCUUUUCUAUACAUUUCUAGUCCUUAGUCUAGUUUCAAGACUUUGUAGUCUUCUUAUCUUUAGUAAUAGCUAUUCAAAUUUAAUAUAUUACCAUCUUUGAGUGUCUUUCUAAUCUUUUAAAGUAACACAAGAGUAUAUUGAGUUUUCUUUCUUUGAGAUUUUUUUUCUUUGAGAUUCAUAUCCUUCAUAAUAAGAGUAUAUUGAAUUUUUAUUCUUCAAGAUUUAUGACUUUGAUACCAUAUGGUAGUACCAACUAGCCUUUAUAUUAUUUUUUUAAGACUUCUUCUCUCUUUUGUCUCUUACUUUUGAUUUUUUUUAAAAAAAUUAUUAGAUUUUAUUCUCCCACACAAUACAUCUUUUAUUACUGUUCAACUUGCAAUCAUUAUUUUUUCAUGUACAAUAAAAUCUCUUAAUAAAUAAAAUAUAAUAUCUUUAGUUUUAUUCUUGUAAUUAAUUUCUUUCAAAUAUUAUAAAAUCAAGUCUCUUUCUUAUAGUUGAUUUUUAGCUUUAUUCAAUAUUAUGUGUAAUUUAUACAAAAUAGUUUCCUCAUCAAGUCAAUACUUAAUAAUUGGUAGUAUUAUUCUAUUUUGAGACUUCUAUCCAAUGAUGAAGUAUUGAAUACAAUAAAAAAUGAUUUAAAUUCAUUACUUUCACUCUCUUUUAAAUACUACUUUUAUUAUGGUCUAAUGUACAAGUGAAUCAAGUUUUGGACUAAUAUUUGUAAUAUACCAUCAACUACUAUUAAGUUGAUGAAAUAACUCUUUUGCUAUCGGUAAUUUUUUUUCAUAACAUAUUAUAUUUUUUUACUCAAUAAAUACUUUUUUAUGCUAGUUAUGGUUAUCAUCUAUAACUUAAUAUCUUUGAAUUUUUAAAAGUUAAUAAUCCUACAAUAAAAGAUUUAAUAAAUUAUUUAUUAGAGUUAUAUAUAAUAAUAAAAGCAUAAUUAAAAGAAAUUCAAGAAUGAUAAAAAAUCAAUGUAGAUACCUAUUGCAAAGAACAAAAUUUAUUUUAUGUUAUCAAUAAAGUAUAGUUACUUUGUCAUAAUAUCAAUAUUAGCCACUCUUAUGACAAGUUGGAUUACUAUAUACUUAGAUCAUUUCUUAUUUGUGAACAGAUUAAUCUUGUUGCAUUUUAAUUAUAUCUAAUGGAAUCUACUAAGAUCAAUCAUAUAUUUUAUAUGUCUUUUUUUGAAUCAUACAAGAAAAUAGAUUUAUUUAGAAGAAGACAAAUGCCACAGCCUCCUAUAGAAAUAGAAAAUAAUCAAGAGUUUAAGAUAGAAGAAAUCAUAGAUUGAAGGUGGCACCAGCUUAGGUUGAAAUAUCUUAUUCAUUGGUAUAAAUUUGAUACUACUAAGUGCAUGUAGAAGCUAGCCAAGUAUCUCACAAAUAAAAUAGAAAAAAUCAAAGAAUUUCAUUAAUAACAUCCAUCAAAAUCAAAAUAAUUAAUUAAGCAAUUUUUUGUUAUAUAUAAAAAAAAUGGUUCAAAGAAGCUUAUAUUUUAUUUUCUAUCUUUGAUUGUGGGUUUUUUUUUUUUUUUUUUUUUUUUUUUGUAUUACUGAAAAGAUAGAAAAUUAAUAACUAGUGAAUUCAACUCAAUAACUAUUACUUGUAGAAUUAGUAGACAAGAUAUUAUAAUUAUCACUACCUUUACGACAACAUAAUAGAGAUAAAGACUUUAAAAAAUGAUAUGUUCUUCUUGGAGUAGAUGGCAAGAUAUAAUGCAUUUGGUAUUAUAAUUUUAGAAGAGAUUCUUAAUGUUUGGAUAUAUUAAUCAAGAUAGAAACCACUUAUAAUAGUAUUUUAAAUAUUUUAUUUUAAAAAAAUUAUAAAGAUUUGAAUAAUAAUUAAAUAUCAAAGUGGUCUUCAUUUUUUGUAUUGAGUACUAUUAAUGGCUUAGAAAUCCUAUAAAUUACCUUCAAAAAAAAUAAAGAUUAGAAUAUGUAACAAAUAUAAUUUAAUGCAUCUUAGACGUCCUCAACAUGUGAUCAUUAUUUCUUAUAGAACUUGUCUCUAAAAAGAGGAAUAAUAUAACUUGUAUUCAUAUUUAUUCUAAUAAUUACCUAAAUAAUAUGAAUUAAUAAAAGUAAAUAAAUUUAAUAAUAUCUUAUAGAGUAACUUCUUAGAAGCUUUAUAAACAUGAAUUUUCCUAAAUAGGUAUUUAUAAGUGAUUGAUAGAUUGCAAACUUAACUAACAAAUUAGCCACAUGUUGUACAUGUUGGUAACUUGUGGUAUAAGUUGAAGAUAUGGCUCAUAUAUAGCAAACUUAUCAUGUAAAUUAAACACAUGUCUUAUAAGUUGGAGACAUGUUAGAGGUCUUAUAAAACAUUUUUAUGUAGUUCCUAAUUAGAGAAUAUAUAUAAAAGCAAGAGUAAGACCUUCUUCGCUCUUGUUAAUUUCUUUUUUGCUUCUAGUCUAAUUUCAAGGAUCUCUAAUUUUCUUAUCUUUUGGCAACAACUAUUCUAAUUUCUAUAUAUAUAUAUAUAUAUAUAUAUAUAUAUAUAUUUUUCAUCUUUCUUUGAAAAACAUCUCACGUGUUUAUUUGCAUUCAUUGAAUUCUUGUCCUUGACAAAAAGACACAUGUACAAUUUGUAUGGCAAGUUUUUGACAUGUGUCUUAUAAGACCAACUUAAAAUACAAAGUGGAUAAUGUACAAUAUUUAGCCAACUAAUUGGCCAAUUUUUUAACUUGUCAAUUACUUAUAAAUAUAUAUUAAGUCUAUAAAGCUUCUAAGAAGUUUUCAAAUAAGAUAUCAAUAAUUUAAUCUAUUAUUAACUUCCACUUAAUCCUAUUUAUUUAAAUAAAUAUAUUAAAAAAAUAUGAUUAUCUAUUAUAAUUACUCUUUAGUUAUUUUUUCUAAUUUCUUUCUAUAACUUGUUAAAUAGAUCUUAAUUUAAGUAUUUUAAUAUCAUAUAUUAUUAUUGCAUAAAGAUUUUAUUUUAUUUAUAUCUAUAAAAUAUGAUGCUUUCAUGGUUAUAUCUUUAUUUUUAUUAUAUUAUAUACACACUUUGUAUUUGAACAUCAAAAUUACCUCAUAUAUACCUACAUAUAUUUAAAAUUCAUCAAAAUAGUUCUUUAUCAAUAAAAAUAAUUCACAAAAAUAUUUAAGUAUAUAUUGAUAUUUUCUUUCAAUGCCAAAUUUUUAGUCUAAAGCUUGUUAUUGUCUAAACAAUCUUCCUAAGUUUUAAUUUUAAAAUAUAUUAAUACUUCUUGCAAUAAUUAGAAUUUUUUUUUUUGCUUCUUAUGAAACAAUGCAUUCAUAGAGAAAUAAGGAGAAGCAAUGGCAUAAUAUUGCAAAUGCUUAGUUGCACAAUAAGAGAUGAGAAAAAUAGAAGAAAUUAAAAUUAUGUAGUGAGUUUGUUAUGAAUAUGUAGAAAUGACAAAAGAAACUCUAUGCCAAAAUGUGAUAGAUUAAGAAGAUCAAACAAACAAGCCACAAAGGGCAAAGCCAUGUGAGCAAAAAAAAAAAAAGAAGAUAAGUAUACAUGUUAAUACAAGUUCUUAAUUGUGUGAUAAAAGAUAGAAAUAACAUGUGGAAUUGCAAGUGUGGAACAUAGAUUUACAGGUAUAGAUCAAAUUACAAGAUCAAUUGAAACCAAAAACAAGAUAGAAAAGUGAGGAAAGAUUUUCUAAGGUAAUCAUUUGUAGGUGUUAACAAAUUCUAAGUGAAACAUGGUUGAAAUGAGAGAGGGGCAGGGUGCUAUACAACUGGAAUUUGAAGAAGAAUGCUCCUUUCUCCUUAAAUGUGGACAGAGUUGAGGAGUGAAGAACAAACUUGAACAACACUGCAAAGAAAGAAACUGGUUCAGAAACUUCUGAAUACUAUAUUCAAUCAAGGCAUGGUUUUGGAACUAAGGGGCAGAGUCUAGGUCCUGUUCGUCCAAAUCGGUCUUGACCCACCUACCUUAAGCUCAUUUUUUCACUCACUUUAUCUGCUUGUCAGCAGAUAGCAGUUAAAUAUAAAAAAUAAAAGAUAAAUACCGCCUAAAGGUUAACGUCAGCAGCUCUCACUUGGAACCGGUGCAUGCAAAACCCUGCUCUCACGUCAAGAAAUCUGAGGUUGGCUAUGGUGCUGGGAUCUUGCUAUUCGAGUCGACUUGCUUCAGCUACACCAUAAUUGUAACAUUUGUCUUCGAUUGUCUGGAUAAAGCUCGGAAAAAUCUCGGACAUCCAUGCACAUUACGCUGUUGAUGCCAACACUGUCGGUUUUUGCAUGAAAGAUGGCCUCACAGAGAAACCUGGGUUCAAACAAACACAUUUAUCGUAACGACGGCAUUUUGACUCGGAUGAAUGACAAUUUAGCGCACUACGUGCCACAAACAUGGAAUCAAAUUCGAUAAAGUGAAGAUUUUUUGGCACCUGGGUGCUCUUUUUAGCUCGGCGUCGAGGCUUGGAAGCGAGAAUCUCGCCAAUGCUGAUGGAGUCUGUACGCAUACCUUCCUGUCAAACCGCUCUCAUUCCAAGUUGAUCGAGAAAUACGUCUCACCACGAUGUGCACGCACCUGGCUAUCCGCCUCGUUGGUGAGCAUGGUCGCCGCAAGACGACAAUCGAUGACAAUCGAUCUCAGGUGCCAAAACUAGAUCCUUGAAACUCGCUCGCAAUACAGGAGACUUGAAUUCAUGCCUCCAAACACCCCAGGCAGAUUUCAACCCAUAGAUGCAAGAAUUAUUCAAUUAUUCCAAAGGUCAAUACUGCAAGCAGUUGAUUCUCUUAUAGAAAAUAAGUGCAAAGAUAUUGAUGUAUAUCAAUUUGUGACCAUGCUAGAGAAUACUUGGUGUACUGAAAUUCCCACAUCAAGAAUCAUAAAUUUUUGGAAAUAUAGACAUAUUUUUUUGGUUCUUUUUGACAAUAUAGAGGCAAAGGAGGCAUUAAUGAAAGAUAGAGAAUCUCAAGAAGGAAUACAUAAGACAAAUUUGGAAGAAGUUACUACCUUACUAGAACAACUAGUAUCUAUAGAGAGUGAAAUUGGAUCCACUAUGAAUGUACAUGAGUUUAUUAAUUAUUCAUUGGAAUUUUAUCUAAACAAUCCUUCCAUACUUAUUGAAGGAAAAAUUAUAUGUAUGCUUGAUGGAAGAGACAAUACAAUCAACAAUGAAUCUAUUAAAAAAUAAAUAAUAUGCAAAUGGGUGAUGUGGUGGUAGAAAGAAAAAGAUUCAAAGACAUUGAAAGUGUAUUAAUAACCUUGAAACAAUUAUUGGAACAAAGAUCCAUUCGUGUUAUAUUUUUCAUCUUAAGCAUUUGAAAACUUUAAAAGAAAAUAUGAUCUUGAAUUGCAUAAGAAUUUCAUCAAAUUACUUUAGAUUUAUUCUUCUAUUAUGUUUAGAUAUAUAAUGCCAUUCAUAUCUUAUAUAUUUUCAUCUUUUAUUUAUAUAAGUAUUCAUAUUUUUAAUUCCAAAAUCACAUAAGUGUUAUUCAUAUGAAUGUUACAAAUUAUUGGAAUCCACAUUACAAAUAACCAAUCUAUUUGUAAUGAUGAAGAAAGUAUGAAGUGGUGCAUCCUACCAAAGAAGAGCGACCUUUUUAAUUAUUCCUUCCUUAAUAAGAUAAACAAUGUACACACAUUUUAUUAAAUAAAUAAAUAAUUUUUUUUAAUCAUUAUUAAAUUCACCUACUCCUAAUAUGAUAUUAAAAUAUAAUCUUGAGAAAUGUUUUUGAAAAAAAACUCAAAAAAAUAAUAAAAAUGAAAAAAAAAAAGAUAAUUUAUAGAAGACAUUAUGUAUAGAAAGUUGGAGCAUCAACAAAUAUUUUUUUUUUCUUAAAAAGAAAUUUAGCUACAAGCAACCUUGUUACAAAAAAAUAUCCCAAAUUUGAUGGCUUGUAAUACUCUAUUUGGAAGAAAAAGAUUGAGACAAAGUUUGAAAUAAAUAAUAAUUAGGAUGUAGCUUCAAGAAAAGAAAAAAGAACCAACACUAAUUCAAAAAGUGGAUACAAUAACAUCACCACUAACCAUUCAAAGUAAAAACCUUAUCAAAAAAUAAGAUCAUGUUUUUUUAGCAACAAUUUGAAAUUGUAUAAAAAAAUUGAUUUUUUCUUAUGACAAAGCAUUCAAGACAAUCAAUGAAGCAUAGAUGAUCCUUAAAAUACAUACUUCGUAAGUGAUAUAGUGUUAAAGACAUGAAUCUCAAAGAAAAAAAAACUUCAAUAUACUCUUGUGUUAUUCAAAAUGAGUAAAAAAAUCACUCAAAGAUGAUAUAGUAUGAAAUUAGAAUACCUAUUGUUAAUGACAAGAAGAUUAGAAAGUCUUGAAACAAGAAUAAGGACUAAAAAGGCAUUAAUAAGAGUGAAGAAGGCUUUACUCUUGCUUCUAUAUAUAAUCUUAAUUAUGAGCUUCAUGGCAAUGUCCUAUAAGACCUCCAAAAUAUGUUGACUUUGAAAGAUAUAUAUCUUAAUUUUCAAAGCAAGAUUUCUAUAUGUCUACUACAUAGUGAGUUUAUUUUAUAAACUAUUAAUACAUGAUUAACUUUUUGACUAAGUUUUUAACCUAUUAAUCAAUUACAAAUACAUAUAAAAUCAAAAGAGCACCUAUGAAGCUUCUAAAAAGCUUUUCUAAAAAAUAUUAUAAAAUAAAUUUAUAUUUAUCUAUUUUUAUUUAAUUAUAUAGAUAAAUAUUAAAAUAAUAUAUAUAUAUAUAUAUAUAUAUAUAUAUAUAUAUAUAUAUAUAUAUAUAUAUGUGAUAUUAUUCAUCUUUUAAAGAUGAGUUCUAUGAAGAGUGAUUAUCAUAUUUUAAAAAAAUCUAAGCUGUGAUAAAUUAUGUUUGUCACAUACUUUGAUCUUUGUUCUAUUUGGAGAUAGUUGAUAGGUCCUUUUAGCCAUUAAUAAUGUCUCAUACUAAGGUGCAAAGACUAUCCUAUUAUUUAAUUAUUGUUGAGGCCUUCCUAACUUCCUUCAAAUAAAAUAUUUGAAAUUAUAUCAAGAAUUAUUCCUAUUUUUAAUAAAAUCACCAACCAUCAAGAGUCUCUUUCAAGGUUUUGAUAUCAAACAGGUUGUAUCUUACUAUCUAUUUGAAGAAAGACAUAUCAUUCUUGAAGUUCUUUAUUUUAAUUACAUUGUCUUGAAAGUUGUGACAAUUGCAAAAUCUUAUCUAAUAAGUCAAUAAGUAAUUUUUUUUAGUUGAAUCUGUUGGUUGUUGGUUUUCCAUCUUUUUAGUAUCACAAAUAUACAAAAGUUACAAAUAAGAGUAGAAAGUAGAAUAUUAUCAUCUAUAGAUCUUAUUUCUUUUAUAUCAAAGAUUUAUUGUUUUUUUUAACUUGAUUUUGAUGGAUGUUGUUGUUAAAAAGCUUCAACAUUUUUUAUUGCAUUUGCAAGAUUAUUUGUUGGCUUUUAUGUGUGUUUACUAAUAUCAUAUCUAUACCAAUGAAUAAGAUAUUUUAAUCUAUUUUGAUGUCGUCUUGAAUCUAAGACUUCUUCUACCUCAAAUUCUUGAUUAUUAUCUACUUCUAUAGAAAGAUGUAGCAUUUGACUUUUUUCUAAUAUAUUUAUCUUGUAUGGCUUAAGAAGAAACAUAUAGAAUAUAAAAUGAAUCUUCAUAAACUCUAGUAGAUGUAAUCGAUAAGCAAAAAAAUUGACUUGUUUAAAAAUAAAAAAAGGUUCAAACCUAUGACAUUUCAACUUGUCACAAGGACAAGUAGUCUUGAUAUUGUUGCAAAAUAAUCUUAUCUUCUCAUCUAUAUUAAAUUGUGGUUUUUCCUUGCAAUAAGUAUCUGCAUUGAUCUUUUUUUCUUCUUGAGCUUCCUUUAAUUACACCUUCAUUGUUGUAUAAAGCUUUAAUAACAAUUUUUUAAAUCUUUUGCUGCAAGAUUAUCAACUUUUGAAAAGUCAAAGGUAUCAAGUUGUGAAUGAUAAUCAUAAUUGGUAAAAAAAGGUAUUUAUUGAAUAGAAGAGUGUAUCAAAUUAUUAUAUGCAAACUUUGCCAAUGGCAAAAGAGUUGUUUAAUCAGAUUGAUGAUAAUUGAUAAUAUACUUUAAAUACUACUUUAUAACUUGAUUCUCCUAUUUUGUUUACUCAUUAAUUUGAGAAUAAAAUUCCAAAGAAAGCUUUAUAUCUACCUUUAAAAUCUUAAUAUAAAUUAAAUCCUUCUAUUUGAUAUAAUAUCUUUAGACAAUCUAUGAUAGCAAUAGUGUUAUUAAGAAAAAGCUUAGCCAUAUUUUUUUUUAUCUGUAAUAGAUUUUGUAAAUGAUACUAAAUAUGCCAUCUUAGUAAAAGGAUCUACUACAAUAAAUAUAGAAUUAUACAAAACUAAGAUAAGAAAUUUUGUGAUGAAAUUCAUGGAAAUAAAAGACCAUAGUUAUUUUAGAAUAGGUAAUGGCUACAAAAGUCUAUAAGAUCAAUGACAAGGAGUUUUGAAUCUUGAAUAAAUAUCACAUGAUUGUACAAAGACUUUACUUGUCUUUCAUAUUUGAAGCCACCAAAAAUCUUUCAAUAUUAGCUCCUAAGUCUUGUUGUAUCCAAAAUGUCUAAUUGCUAAAAAAUCAUAAUGAACUUGAAGAACAUGUAAUUGUACUUUGCUUUCAAAAAUUUAUAAUUAUCCUUCAAAAUAAAAUAUAUUAUUUUUGAAUUUAAACUUGAAAGUAUCUCAAAAAACAUUGCAUAUUUUUAAUUAUUUUUAAAAUCUUCCAAUCCAUGAUAGUUUGAAAUUUCUUUAUAUCCAUCAUAAGCCUUUCAUUGAAAAUGAUGUAUCCUAAGAACUCAACUUGAAUAGUAUAGAAUAUAUACUUUUUUAUCUUAAAAUACAAUCUUAUAUCUUUAAAUUUUUUUAAUAUAGAACAAACAUGAAAUUUAUGCUCUUUUAUGUUCAUAGAAUAAAUUAGAAUAUUAACUAAAUAAAAAACAUAAAAUCAUUAAAAAAUUCACAAAAAAUAUCAUACAUGAGAUGUUAAAAAGCAAUUGGUGCAUUUGUGAGUCCAAAUGGUAUGACAUUGUAUUCAAAAUGCCCAUACUUAGUUUUAAAAGAAGUCUUUUAUUCAUCUACUUUUUUGGUACAUACUAAAUUGUAUGCUCCUCAUAGAUCUAUUUUUAUAUAGAUCAUUGCUUGUUUGAGUUGAUAAAGAAGUUCUAAAAGUAGAAAUAGGAGAUGUCUAUUUUUGAUAGUGAUCUUAUAAAGUCAUUAAUAGUCUAUGCACAUCUAUAAAGAUCCAUCUUUUUUCUUCACAAAUAAGAUAGGAGUUCUUAUUAGAGAUUUUGAAUAGCAUAUGAAGUUUUUAGCCAAAUUUUUAAGAAUGUAUUCCUAGAAUAUAGCCAACUCAUUUUGUGAUAUGCUAUAGAUUAGUCCAAAUAGUGGUUGAGCUCUUUCUUACAAAUCAAUUGAAUAAUCAUAGAAUCAAUGCUUUAAAAAAAUAUUUGCAUUCUUCUUUUCAGAAAAAAUCAUAGAAAUCUUAGUACUAGCUAAGAAUAUUACUUAAUAUCUUUGUACCAUCAAAAAUAGGCAUAUCAUAUAUAGCAAAAGAUGAUCUUUCUUUUGCUGCAUUAAUAAAAGCUUUUGCAUGUAAUAGUAAAGGUUUAGAUAUAAUAGGCUUAUGUAUUUUUACUUGACUAAUAAAAUUUUGGAUAAAACUACAAAGAAAUGUAAUUAAAUAUUUAACAUUUAAACUAUCAAGAAAUUAUUGUAUGCAAUAGCUCUAGUAGUAAAUUAUUCUAAAGAAUUUUUUUUUUGGCAUUGUCAAUAAUAAAUCUUUGACUUUAUCCUUUAAUUCAUAUGAAAAUUGAUUGAUAAGGAUUUUAUCAUUUCAAUCUAUGUUGUAAGUAAGGUUUUAGAAUUCAGUAGUAUAUAUGGUAUCUAAUUGUGAUUCUUGUUGUAAAAAUAAGAGUUAGAGGUGUAUUAUUCUUUUUCUAUCACUUUCUUUGAAUGUGGUUGUAAAAAUUUCUAGGAAUGAAUUCAAAUUGUAAAAGAGUUGUAAAUCUUUUUCUAUCAAAAGUAUAAACCAUGAGAAAACACUUCCACAUAGAAGUGUAUGUAUGAAUCCAACUUAAAUAAAUCCAUUAGGAUAUUGGAAGAAAUGUAAUUUUAAGUAGAGAUUGACUUAUUACAAAAAUCUUCAAAAUUUUAAUCUUGUUCUAUCAAACUUCUUGAGCAUAUCAAUUCUUGUCCAUAUUAUACUUGUAGAAGCAAAACUUCAUAAAUUUGGUUGUGAGGUUGAUUUACUUGCUUCCUUCAACUAUGCAACUUCUUGACAUAGACUUUGAACUUCUUCUAUAGAUAUAAGAGUAGUAUUUCUGUGGUUGGUACUUACAAUGCCUAAAUUUUUUAUCCUAAGACUGUUGACAAAUUUGUGAAGAUCAUCAAUUAUUGCAAAUCUAUUCUCACUUUUGUUAAGUAUAGCAUCUAUAAUUUUUUCUUCUAUUUCAAAUAAAUUAACAAAUCUGCAAGUCAAAUUAGAGGAAGUUUAUCUGUAAUUUCUAAUAUCAAAUGAAAAUUUCCACAAAAAAGAAUAAUUUUCUCUUCUUAAGAAAAAUAUCAAUGUUAGAAAACUAAAUAAUUUUUUUAAAGAUGGAUAAUUCACAAUCUUCAAAAUACAACAAUAGAAGUGAGAUAAUCUACUUACUUCUAAAAUAAGAUAAAAACAAUUAAUGCACUCUAAUCAAACUAUUAAGGACAUGAAUCUGAAAGAAAGAAAACUUCAAUAUACUCUUAUAUUACUAAAAAAGACUAAAAAAUUAUUCAAAGAUGAUUUAGUAUUAAAAUAGAAUAGCUAUUGCCAAACACAAGAAGAUUAAAAAGUCUUGAAAUAAGACUAAGGACUAGAAAGGCAUUGACAAGAUUGAAGAAGGCUUCACUCUUACCUCCAUAUAUACUCUUAAUUAAGAGAUAUGUGGCAAUGUCCUAUAGGACCUUCAAAACAUGUUGACUUUUUAAGACAUGUAUGUUAAAUUGCAAGGCAAGUUUUCUAUAUUUGUAGUACAUAAUUAGCUUAUUUUGCAAGCUAUCAAUACAUUGUUAAUUUGUUGACUAAGUUUCUAAUCUACCAAUUAAUUACACACACAUACAAAGUCAAAGCAACAUCUAUGAAGCUUUUAGAAAACUUUUCUAAAAAAUGUUAUGAAAUAAAUUUAUAUUUAUCUACUUUUAUUUAAUCAUAUAGGUAAAUAUUAGAAUAAAUAUACAUGUCUAUCAUACAUAAUCAUUAAAGCCUAUCUACAAGAAAAAUUCAUCAUACAAAAUAUGAAAGCCAAAGAUUUAAUAUUCUAACAUAUAUAUAAUUUCAAGAAUCUUCUUUAAGAAUGCUAAUCUAUAGGAGUUAUCAUAUCCUCUCAAAUAAAAAUCAUUGCUUUCAUGAAGUCUAUGCUAUUCUAAUAUAGUAUUAUAAUCCAAAUACUUUAUACAAUAGAGAUUUUAACACUUUUAAAAUUAUUUGCAAUCCUCUUAUAAAAAAAAAUAAUCACAAAAGGCUCCUUUUUAGAUUUUUAAAAUUCAAAAGAAAGAACAAAUGGCAAUGUUAUAAAUCAAUCCAAAAAGACCAUAGAUUUUAAAACUUUAUAAUAAACCCACUAUUUCUUUCUUCUAUUAUAAGAAAAUGAGACAUAGAGGAUCCAAGUGUUUUAAAAAUAAAAUCAAAGUUGCUAAAAAUUUAGCAAAAAUAAAAAAUGAAACUAGAAAAAAUAAAUAUAGAAGCAAGAACAAGUUAAAGAAUUAUCUUCCGCUUUCUAUACUCAUGUGUAUUUCACAUAAGUCUUUUGCUUGGAAAAUUUUCUUAAACUUCAAACCACAAAAGACAUCUACUGGUUUAUUAUUACAAGAGAUAUACAUUACUUGAUUGAUGAUAAAAAAAACAAUUUAUCAACUAUAAAUCAUUUUUAUAUAAUAAAGAUAAGAUCUAUCUUAGUAAGGAGACAAUAUUAUCCAUCUAUCACAAAAAAAAGUAGAAAUUUCUAUAAUUAAUGAUAAAAGACUUUGUCUCUUUAACACAAUAUAUAUACUAGAUUUACAUAAAAAUUUAUUCUUAAUAUGUAAUUACAAUCUAGAAAAAAGAGGUAUUUUAAUUAAAUAUCAAACUUAUCAUUUCUUUACAAGAGAUAAUAUUAUCUUUUCUUCAUAUCUUUUUCAAGCCAAUCUCUAUUAAUUUAGAUCCAAAAAAGUACAACAACAAAGAGUGGAGGUUCAUACCAACAUAAUGAAAGCUCUAUGGUCUUUGCCUAUUUUAAUUUUUCUAUCUAUAUCAUCAUCUUCUUUUACUUAUCUAUUGUUUCUUAUUGUUGACAUUAAAAUAGUUUCAAUUACCUCCUUAUAUAACUACCACCAUCCUAGUGGCACAACUACAACACAUUUGUCUUCAUCAAUAUUGCUUCUAUCAUAAUUGAGAUUCUUUGUCAUUGUGUAUGAUAAAGCUUAUUAGAUAAUUAGCUCGACUUUCCCUUCCACAUUCAACAACCAUGGUGUUGAAAUGCCCCUACUCAAAUCAUGUCACGGACACAAAAUACAGACUUGAAAUCUAACAAGAAGUUCAAGAAGAAGUGGCAGAACUAGAUUAAACAGAUGAGUAUAAGAACAAUACCAGAAAGGUGAGCUAGAACUCCAAGAGAUGUGUUGUCGAGACUGAAGAACUCUUCAGCCUCGAUCCUUAUAUACUCCUACUUAGGAAGCUUCUCGAGCUACUUCUAUUAACUAGGAAGCUUCUAGAAGGUUCCAGAGGCUUCCUUUCUAGAAGCUUUUAGAAACUUCUCGAGCUACUUCUAUUAACUAGGAAGCUUCUAGAAAGUUCCAGGGGAUUCCUUUCUAGAAGCUUCUAGAAAGUUCCAGGGGAUUCCUUUCUAGAAGCUUCUAGAAACUUCUCUUCUAGAAGGUUCCAGAGGCUUCUCUUCUAGAAGAUUCUAAAGGCUUGUUUUCUAGAAGGUUCUAGAAACUUCUCUCUAGAAAGUUCUAAGAAAUAUGUCCCUAACAUCACCCCCUCCUUUAGCUUCGAGGUCUCUGAGAAGCAAUGUUGUUGAUCAGUACCAACGCAAGAAAAUGAAGAUCUGUCUCAAACUUCUACUAUGAACCCCAACUGUUGUUCACGAGACAAGUGGUUCAUCGACCCUUGAGGCCAAUGGUAGUGGCCCACGCCUUCGACUUCUGACCAAGCAUGAACUUCCAUGUCCUCAUUGUGAAAUUGUCUUGCAAACACGCCUUCUGGUUGACCAUCGUAAGUAGGCUCGAUCUCAAAUACGAUCACCAGUGAUCGAUUACUCGGUAUCCUCCAUCGUCGUCGUGAUACAUGUAGUUCUUCAUCUCGGGGUCGCCUUCGUGAGCUACUCGGUUGCGAUAUUCUGACUGGCAUAGUAUCUAUCUCUUGGCUAUCCAUAUCAAAAGACCAAACUACGAUCUAUCUUGGAGAAAAUAACUACAUCAACUAUGAAUUUUGUUGGUGCUCUUCUCUUUUCUUAUAUUGUUGGGAGAACAAGCUUCAGAAAGAAGCUAUCAUCGAAUUGAUUUAAGUUUAUCGGGAUGUCGUUGAUGAAACUCCUGUACCUUUUGUGGCGCAUUCGCAAGAUUUUCAGCUGGCUCCCACGUUCGCUCAUUAAUGUCAUAGCCGCACCAAUGAACAAGAUAUUCUAACUUUUCCCACCUUCGCCGUGAAUCCAAUACCUUUUCAACCUCGUAUUCUUCGUGGUUCUCGAUUUCAAUACUAGGUGGCGGACAUUGCACUCUUCCAAGAAAAGAUGACUCUCGAUAAGGUUCCAACAGAGAAACAUGAAAGACUGGAUGUACCUUCAUAGAAGCCGGUAACUCCAGCCGGUAUGCCACUGGAUUAAUUUGCUUCUGGAUGAUAAAUGGUCCCAAUCUUUGAUAGUCCAACUUAUCACAUGGUCGCUUGGUCUUGAUAUUUCAUCGAAGAAGCCAGGCUUUGUCUCCAACUUUGAAAGUAGGUGCUGGAUUCCGAAAUCUAUCUACAGACGUCUUAUAGGAUUCUUGAGCGGAUUGUAAUUGAAGAUUCAACAUAGUUUGAAGCUCUGAUAGUUGCUUCGCAAAUUCUUAAGCUGUUGGAUUGUUAUUUGUUGACGGACUGAAUAAAUCAAGCUUCGGAUGAUACCCAUAGUUGGAAAAGAAUGGUGUUUGUUGAGUCGACGCAUGGAGGGUGUUGUUAUAUGCAAACUCGGCUAGCAGUAGAUAUGCAGUCCAAUCGUCUUGUUGAUAGUUGAUGCUGCAUCGUAAGUACUGCUCCAAGACUUGGUUCACCCGUUCCGUUUGGCCAUUAGUUUGAGGAUGAAAAGCUGAAGAAAGCUUGAUAUCCACCUUCAAUAUCCCAAAGAGAGAUCUCCAAAACUUUGACACGAACUGGGUACCUCGAUCUGAUAUGAUAUCAUCUGAUAGUCCAUGAUAUCGAUACACAUUAUCGAGAAAGAGUCUUGCUGUGACUUCACUGGACGAUGUCUUCUUACAAGGAAUAAAGUAUGCCAUCUUCGUAAGCCGAUCUACCACGAUAAAGAUGCUGUCAAAUGAGUUUGAUGAUGGCAAGUCCGUGAUGAAGUCCAUAGAAAUUGAAGACCAUGGUCGAUGUGGAAUUGGCAAUGGCUGUAGAAGUCCAUAAGGGCGAUGCCGAGGAUUCUUAGAUCUUAAACAGAUGUCACAAGAGAAGACAAAAUCUUUCACAUCCUUCCACAUUUGGGGCCACCAAAAAUCUCGAGAAAUAAGCUCCAAGGUCUUGUUUAAUCCAAAAUGUCCCAUAGCUAGAAAAUCAUGGCGAGAUUGAAGAACUCGGAGUCGUGCUAGUCUUUUUGGAAUGUACAAUCGCUCUUCAAAGUAUAAAAGAUCUCCCUCCACCUUGAACUUGUCAUCAUUGGUACGUUGCUUGAUAUCAAUGGCUACUGAAUCUUUAAUGGUCAUAGCACAUACUUGGUUUAAGAAGUUAGCAUCAAAUGAUACAAUAGUAGCACAAAGUUGAAAUCUCUCUGGCUUCAAUAACGUUGUACAUUGUUGAUCAAACGCUGCUUCUCCAGCCUUUGGUGUAAGAUACGAUCUCCUUGAUAAAGCAUCGGAUAGUCCUUGCUGCCUUCCAGGUCGAUAAGUGAUAACAAAAUCGAAUCUAGAUAGCGACAUAUUCCACCGAGCUUGACGCCGAUUUAAAACUCGAGCCGUCAUGAAAUAUUCCAAAUUCUUGUGAUCCGUAUAUACGGUUACUGGAUGUGCAGCUCCUUCAAGAAAGUGACGCCAUUCUUCGAAAGAAUCCACUAUAGCAAGAAGUUCCUUAUCGUGGAUCUCAUAAUUGAUUUCAGCAGCAGAGAACUUCCGAGAAUAGAAUGCAACUGGAUGGAGCUUCUUAUCUUCACUCAUUUAUGAAAGCACAGCUCCCAAAGCAAAACCUGAAGCAUCAGUUUCUAAAUAGAAGGCCUUUGUAAAGUCUGGAUGUACCAAAAUUGGAGCUGUAGUAAAUGCUGUCUUCAAAUCUUGAAACGCCUUCUCCGCUAAAGGUCCCCAUUCCAACUUAUCCUUGCAUGUUAAUCGAGUGAGAGGAGCAGUAACUUGAGAAUAAUUCUUGAUGAAGAUCCGAUAGAAGUUAGCAAAAUCAAGAAAGCAUUGUACGUCUCUAACCGUCUUUGGAACCUCCCAAGACAUGAUUGCUUCUACUUUUUUGGGGUCCAUCUUCAAACCUUCUGUAGUCGCAAUGAACCCCAAAAAUUCCAUCUCCGUCUGGUGAAAUAAACACUUUUCUAAUUUGGCAUAUAGUCCUCGCUUGCGUAGUUUCUCCACGACCAAACGAACAUGCUCCUCAUGCUCUUCCUCAUUUUUAGAGAAUAUUAGAAUAUCGUCCAAGUAGAUGACAACAAAAUCAUCAAGGUGUUCUCGAAAGAUGUCAUUCAUCAUAUGUUGAAAAACCGCUGGAGCAUUGGUAAGACCAAAAGGCAUGACAUUAUAUUCGAAAUGACCAUACCUUGUACGGAAUGCUGUCUUCCACUCAUCUCCUUCCUUGAUUCGUACGAGAUUAUAAGCUCCCCUUAGAUCAAUUUUUGUAAAGAUCUUUGCACGUCCAAGUUGUUCUAAGAGACUAGAAAUCAAGGGUAAUGGGUAACGAUUUUUCUUUGUUACCUUGUUGAGGCCUCGAUAGUCCACACACAUCCGUAAUGAUCCAUUUUUCUUCUUAACAAAUAAGAUGGGUGCUCCAAUUGAUGAUUUUGAAUGACGAAUGAAGUUCUUGGCUAGAUUUUUGUCGAUGUACUUUUGUAACUCUGCCAACUCCGUUUGCGAUAGAUUGUAGAUUGGGCCAAAAGGUGGUUGUGCUCCUUCUUGCAAGUCUAUGGUACAAUCAUAUGGUCGGUGUUUCGGUAGUAUGUUGGCGUUCUUCUUUUGAAACACGUCUUCAAAAUCUUUAUAUUGCUCCGGUAUACUUGCUGUUGGGAUCUUCUCCUCGGUAGUUGGAGCCGCAUAAAUGAAAAAUGGAGUGCCUUCCUUAGAUGAUCUUAUAAACGCUCUUGCUCCAAUGAAUAAGGAUUUCUUUUUUCGAGGUUUUUUACUAGGUUUUUUUUUGGGUGGUUUUGUAGGAAAAGUCAUCUUCCGCUGUCGUAUUACGUGCUUUCCUGCUUGUGAACGCGCCGGGCGUCUGGCUGUAGAAGGUAGUAUGGAGAUUUGCCGAUAGUCAAGCAGUCUAUCAGUUUUUGACUGCUGGAAUAUAAAUGACUGCAACAAUGUACUGUAAAUCUAUACGGAUGCUCUUCGACUGCUUGUCGAAGUCUCUUUUUUUUUUUUUUUUUUUUUUUUUUUUUUUUUUUUUUUUUUUUUUUUUUUUUUUUUUUUUUUUUUUUUCCAGCCGAUAGGUCUUUAGACGUUACAGAGAACCCCGAACAACCCAAACUGUUAAUCUUCAAUACCCCUUUGUACUUACGAUCUUGUAUCCACUGACUGUCCUGUUAGAUUAACCCAAUAAAUUUCAUUCACUCCGCAUACUCAAUCCUAUAGACAUCCCUUUAAUCCUUCAAUCACAGACGUAACUCGAUUUUACAAAACAGUCAAGAGUAUUCAAACCCACUUCAUUUAAAAAUCCCGAUUCACCAUUACAAUACUGACUUCAACAGCGAUUGCCUCAGUCUUCCCAAAACUCUACGAAGAAGAAAAAUCCAAAUUCUAUGUCUUUCCUUCCCCGACCCGAAGCAUGAAGCUCCUCUCUCUAAUUCCCUUGAUCUUUCAAAAACCUCCAAUGAAAAACCGAACUGGUAACCUUGCAAAAGCUUGAAAACUCGCUCUCCCCACCGAUUCCCCCGAAAAAAAAACCUCCCCCCUCAAAACUAUAUCCCCCCCUAACCUUAUCCUCUGAAUUUCUUCAAUCUUCCUUCUUAGAUCCGGAAUUGGCUCCCACCUCAAGCUUGGAUCCGAAAUUGGCUCUCGCCGUCAAGCUUUCUCCUCCGUUUUUACCUUUAAGAAAUCCAUUUACCGAAAACAACGUUCCCUGAAAUGGCACAGAGAACAGGACAGCGUGAAACAGAAUCGAACCCCAUAAUCGGGACCACAUUGAGUCGCCCGACCAAUUCAGGUCCUAUAUUGGGAAAGAUGCCCAUAGUAACCUUGAUGUUCCCGUAAUUGGGUCAAAUUGGUCCUCGCGUCAGAUUGGCUAAGACCCGUAGUAAGACCUGGAUUUUCCGUAAUUAGACUGCAUUGGGUUGACCGGCCAAUUCAGGUCUCAUAUUGGAUAAGAGGACCCAGAUUGGAUUAUCGAAAUUGGAUCCAAUUGGCUCCUCGAACCCGUCGUGUGAAUUGGUCCUUCUCUUCCUGCUGACUCCCGUUAUUGGAAUCGAAUGGAGCAUUUCAGUAUGCCCCGGCUGACUGUACCGGAGUGACUGAACUUGACCACUCAGUAUUUGUACAGGAGUUGGUUCAUGCUCCCAAUAUUCGAGGUAAUUGAAUAUUAAUAAAAUUCCCCUUUCUUUUUAUUUUCACUGUAUACUCGUGUUACAACACGACAUCCACCCCCUCUGAACCUGUGCAUCUUCCGGUAUGCACCAAUUUACCCAAUUGCUGUUUGAUUCAGAAUAUAUCCCCUAAGUCUUUGUCCAGUUCGUCUUCGUCACCUUCAUUAUCCAUAUCACUUUCAUCUUCUUGCUGCGGAAUCUCUGUACCUUCAUUAAGGUCUUCCAUAUUCAUCUCUGCGUAUCUUCGUUUAAAUAUUUUUACUCGCUUCCCUGCAAUUGCUAUUUUUAAUUUUAUACCAUCUAACUCCCGUAAUGAGUAAGUCGCAUUAUCAUGAACAGUUGUUAUAACAUAUGGUCCAAACCAACGUUUUGAAAAUUUCCACAAAGUACUAUGUUGAUUAUCUACACUAUUGUCAUAAACAAGUACCCAGUCACCUUCCUCGAUUGCCUUUGGUCUCAAUCGAUGUUGCUUAUCGAAUCACGCCUUGUUUUGUAACCUUGCUCUUUUUAACCUUUCCAAUGCUAUCUGGACAUCUUCCGUUCUUUGCUCCAAUUAUCGAAUCCUAAUAGCCAGAAGUUCUUCUCUUGUCAAUCCAUCUUCCCAUGGUAGCAUACUCCAAGUAAAUACCUUUUCUUCAAUCGGCAUAAUUGGUUUUUGACCUGUCAUAAGUUCUACUGGCAUAUAUCCUGUCACCGAACUAUGUGUUGUUCGAUCAGCCCAUAAUGCAAAUGACAAAAGCCGUGGCCACUCUUUAACCUUCCCAUUACAAGCUUUAACCAAUGCUUUCACAAUCGGCGGGUGACCGCGUUCGCUUUUCACAUUCCCUUCCGGAUUAUAAGCAGUAGUCAGUGAUAGUUUAACUCCACAUUUUUCAAAGAACUUAUGAGCUUUUUGUGCAUUCAAUUCUCCACGAUCUGCAGUGAUUUUUCCUACGCACCCGUAACGGCAAAUGACAUCUUCAAGCAAAAACCUACAAAUCUCCUCUGUAGAUUUUGUCCUCAAUGCUCUUCCUUCUACUAGAUUUGAUAAAUCUUCACGAGCUAAAACCAAAUAUCUCAUCUGCCAUAACCCAACCGGCAUAAUAACCAAAUCAACAACCCAUUUAAAAUGAAUAGCUAGAGGAUACAUAGGAUGAAGACCAUCUCGAUGUCGGAUAUUAGAAUACGAUUGACAGAUUUCACAUGACUCUACAAAUGAGAGCACAUCUCGAUACAUAUUUUUCCACCAAUAUCGUUCCUUGAGUUUAGCAAAAGUAGCCCAGAUUCCUCUAUGCCUUGUCCAUAAACUAUCAUGAAACUCCUUUAAUAAUUUUAGUUUUUCUUCCCUUUUGCCUAUCACUCGUUGUGGCAUCCCAAUUCCUUUCUUCGGUCUCUUCCAUAAGAAUCCAUCUCGAAGUAAAAAUCCAUAUGCUUUUUUUCUUAUUUGUUUGAAUUUUUCUGUAGACCAAUUCCCCUGCUUAGACAAGGUAUUCAAAUAAUGACCAAUAUCCAAUAAUUCUCCUUCAUAAGAUUCUUCAAGAAAUAGCUUGUCUUCUCUGUUGAGAUUCGAUAUUGAAUAGAAUUUCAAUCCGACAUCAUCAAUGUCUUCAACCAUUUUGUCCUCCCUCUCGUAUCUUACUCGAGAUAGCAUGUCUGCUACUAAAUUGUCCUUUCCAGUGAUAUGCUUAAAUUCUGGAUUUAGUGACUUAAUAUAAGCAAUCCAUCUCAACAUUGCAAUAUCUGGCGUUGAACAGUUAAUAAUCAUUCCAAGCAAUGGCAAGUAAUCUGUUUCAAUUACUACUACUGCCCCAAUCAAAUAGUCCUUUUUGAGCUUUCAUAGUCGAAACAACUCCCCAAAGUUCUCUUUUGACUUGCGAAUAUGCACGCUGACAAAUACUUAAAACUUUAGUCCCAAAUCGAACUGCAAAUCUACUUCCAUUCGAAUCAUUUUGACCCACCGCCCAUCCAAUGGCAAUUGGACUAGCAUCUAUAGUAAGAAUCACUGGUUUAUUGCACUUAUAAUCAACCUUCCUCAAUAUUGGAGGUGACAUCAAUAAUUUCUUCAAUCUUUACAUUGCCUGAAUAUGCCUUUCUUUCCAUUCAAAUCGGUAGUCCUUGCAUAACAGUUCAUAUAAUGGAUUCAUAUAUGUGAGCAAAAUGAGGGAUCCAGAUUCGCUAAAAUACACAUGCACCCAAAAACCUGCAAACCUCUGUUAAAGAACCACAAUCCUCUUUCAUCCUUCCAAUUGCAUCAACUUUAGUCGGAUCUGGUUUUCUUCCGUAAGAUCCGCAUAAAUGUCCAACAAUUACAACCUCUCGUACUCCAAAUACGGACUUCAUACCCGAUAAUGUAAGAUGAACUUCUCCAAGCCGAGUUAAAAUCUUUUCACAAUCUUGUAUAUGAUCAACAACAUAUUUGCGACACCCCCUCGUAUCUAAAGUUUCAUCCUUAUCUCCUUCUCUACACCCUUUUAUAGGAACAUCAUCCAGAAAAGGCAUAGUCUUUUCCGGAAUAAAAUCUCUCAAUACCUUAUUCAUCCCAUUCAUCAUAUGCGCAACCGAGUUGGUCGCGCCUUGAAGAAGAGUGCACAUUCUAACCAAUCCAAGCGGUGUCCUCAUCGUUGUCAUAUCUCUACUUCCUUCGGCAAGUUGAAAUUGAUCAUAACCUGAAUACAAAUCACCCAUUGAAUAGAUCGCCCUUCUAGCAAACGCCUCAGCAAAUUCAUCCACAAUAGGUCCAAUUCCUGCAUUCCUGACAGUUACAGCAUUCACCGGCUGCAUAUCUUGAAUAAACCGUAGUGACCCAUUCUUCUUAGGUACCGUAAACCAUCGACUAGAAUAUGGUGCAAAUGAAGAUUCUAAUAUUUUCAUCUUUAUCUUUUCUUUCAAUAGUUCGACCAAUUUAGGUAAAUGUGCCCUCGGUACUGGAAUCUGUCUUAGAUUCCAAGGUACAUGCGGUACACUGAAGAUAACCAUAGGUGUUAUAAUAUUUGGAUCCACACACCCAAUUUCAUGAGAUUCGAAGGCAAACGAUCUACCUUGUUUAGCCAACAUCUUUUUGAAGCAAGUAAUUUCCUCCGGCAAUAAAGAACCAUCAGAACCAAUCUUCAAUUCUUCAAAAGUCUCUUCAGUAAACUGAUGUCUAAUACUCAUUGGAUCUCUUAAACUUGUUUUUUUUGAUGCUUCUCCCAUUUGUUCUUUAGAAUCCUCUGGUAAUGGUCCGGCAACAGGCUUUACCUUCUUAUCUGCCGUUUUAUAUCUCGUCUCUACUGUGACUUCUGGUGCUUGAAAAGAUUCAAGCAUGGUAUAAACCUCUCUCGAAUGAAUCUCAACAAUCUUAUCAUUAUCCCCUAACCCAAUAGAUGUAAUCAAUUCCAAUGAAUCUUCCAGCCCAUUUUCUUCAUAAACACCCAAAAUCCUCUCAUCAUCUUGCAAUGUACCUAUCUUGCAUAACUGUCCUUCAAUAUCAUAUAAUCUUUUUCUUUCUUUUCUUUUAAAAUCAUCAACUUUCUUAUACAUAAUAUUUCCAUUCUCCAAUAUACCAAUAAAACUCGCAUCAAAGGCACCUUCAUCUCGCGAGAGUACCUCCUCUUUUGUACCUCCAUAAUCUCGCUUUACAGUAGUACCUCCCCAAAAUCCUUAAAUCCUUCAAGAAUCUUUGGCAAUGGUUUCUCCCUCAACCUAUCUCGAUUCCGUUCAUGGUUAAGAGGUACUGUUAGAAAUUGUACAGCUUUCCUCCCAUCUUCGCUCCGUACCCUUGCAUAAGCAGAACCAUCGUCAAGUACCUUUGUUUCCAUCUGUGUUGCCGUGAUAUAAGGUUGUCCUAAAAUCAACGGAUAAGACGUUGUAUCUUGAACGAAGAAAUGUUGCUCCGUCGCAACAUCCCCAAUCCGAAUUUUGACAUCUGGACAAGCUCCAUAUAAUUCGCCUCGUGUGUUAUUAGCUGCUUGUAUUGUCCAUCUAUGUUCCAUAUCAAUUGGUCAUUUUUGCUUCUUAUAAAGACCUUUAGACAUGAGAUUUAUUUCAGAACCAUGGUCCACCAAGGCAACUAUUGGUUCUUCUAUAUCUCCUACCUUCACCAAUACCUCAGUAGUUGCCCUUGUCCAAUGCUUUCGAGUAUAAUGGCUCAAAGUUUCCAUUUCCUUGUCACUAGAAUCUUCGAAACGUACUCGCUGAUUAUACCCAUUCUUUUCAUUUGUUGGUUUCUUGUAACCAAUAUCAACCUCUUCUUCAUCUCUACAUAUUCUUGCAUCAAUAGCAUGACUCAUUCCAGUUUCGCUCAUUAAUUGCCUCUUUCGCUUAAUGCUGUCAAUGAUAACAUCAUGAAACUCCUUCUUUGCAAUUCCCAAGACUUCUUUCAAUGUGAAUUCCACCUUAGCGUUUAAUAUACGUUCUUCCAACACCCCUUUCAAAUUUGUUGCCGCUUCAAUAUCAGAAAGUAGCUUAUAAGCAAUUGAUUUGCCCUUAUCUUUUGUCUCCAUUGUUUUUUCUCCCAAUGAUGCUGAGGUAUACUUUACAAGCAAUUCUUGUGAAGCUGCCUCUCGAGCCUUGUCUCCUCGAGUUUGCCUCUUAAAAGAAUUUCCUUCUCUAGUAUCAUCAAAAUUUCCUCGUCUUUUUUCUUCCAUCAAAGCUUCAUGUUGGCUCUUAGCAAUAUAUGCAUGAACUGAAAGAGACUCAACAGGAUCCUCCCAACCUAUUCUUCCUCGUAUUGUAGCUGCAGUUCUCAAUAACGCUUCUCGAGGUAAUUUCCCUUCUUGCAUUGUAGAAACGGCAGAAGCCCAAAACUCACUAGUUUCCGUACUUCCACCAAUUUCAUCAUCUACUCUAGCACCAUAACUUGCACUUUCUCGUACUAUUGUUUCAUGCUCUUUUAAGUAAUCUUGAACCAAUGCUCUCAUUCCUCCCUUGCCAAAAUUGGUUUGAAGAAGAUCCUCCCUAUCUUUCAAUGCUAUCUUCCCAUCUUUCCAGUAAAUAAUUCCUUGCCGUAUCAUAUUAUUAAAUUCAUUGCAAUCUUUUCUAGUGUGUAAAGCAUCAUCACACCAAAUGCAUCUUUGUACAUAUCCUUGUUUUAAAACAUUCUUCGAAUUAUUUAUAGAAGUAUUCUCUUCAAGUCUUGCCAAUUUGAUUUGAAGAUCUCGCAUUCCUCGUAUAAUUUCUUCCAUACCCAUAUCUGCUUUCUUUGACAAGGAUGUCGAAGGUUGAACUGUAGGCAUUGUCGGUGGUAUUGUACGUACUGGAGCUUUGGGUGCUUGUACUGUUUUCGAGAUAUUGCUCCUAUCCUUCCUCCUUUCUUUUUUUGUAAGCAACCCCACCGCAUCUUCAACGUUCUUCCACUUCGUUGUCAAUCCUUCAUCUUCUUCUUUGUCUUCAAGAAGGGGUUCUAAUUUCUCUUGCAAUUCUCCAUCAACAGCUUGAAGAAAUAGAUCAACUUUGUUCGGCUCCAAUGUCAAUUUUUCUACCUUCGAUAAUUGAGAGUACUGCCUCUCAAAUUCCCUUAGUAGCUCUGUUGCUUGCAAAUUCUUAUUGGGCCGUUCAAUCCAUUCCAGAAACAGCUUCUUAGUAACGCGAUCAGCAUCUUCCAAGAAAUAUUCGUCUUUCAAUGCAUGUAAAAAAAUCCUUCCAUGAAUUCCCACAACGAUCCGUAAUCGAUGUAAUGUGGUCCCUUAUCUCCGGUAUCGUGGCAAGUCCAAAUAGUGCAACCAUUUUCUUCUCAGAAACCCGAUUUAAUUCCAUUUCACGAACAUAACAUCUUAAAUAGCUUGAAAUAUUCCUCCCAUAAAAUUGAUCAAUUUUAUUGACCACUGCUUGCAAUGCUUUGGUUGCCAAAGCUUCCUUUCGAUCAUUGCUUUGUUGUUGCUGCAUUGACAAUGAGAAGGCUUGAAACAAACUAGCAAUAGAUAGAUCCAUGUGCAUACCUUGUCCUUUAGAAGACUCCCCACCAGAAACUUCUCCCAAAAAUCCUUCAAAAUUUUUAUUUUCGUUUUCCAUAAAAAUAAAGAUAAAAUCAACCGAAAUCCAAUACCUUCUACCUCAAGCUUUCACGUCGGGUUCACCACUUAUGUCGUAUUACGUGCUUUCCUGCUCGAGAACGCGCCGGGCGUCUAGCUGUAGAAGGUAGUAUAGAGAUUUGCCGAUAGUCAAGCAGUCUAUCAGUUUUUGACUGCUGGAAUAUAAACGACUGCAACAAUAUACCGUAAAUCUAUACGGAUGCUCUUCGACUGCUUGUCGAAGUCUUUUUUUUUUUUUUUUUUUUUUUUUUUUUUUCCAGCCGAUAGGUCUUUAGACGUUACAGAGAACCCCGAACAACCCAAACUGUUAAUCUUCAAUACUCCUUUGUACUUACGAUCUUGUAUCCACUGACUGUCCUGUUAGAUUAACCCAAUAAAUUUCAUUCACUUCGCAUACUCAAUCCUAUAGACAUCCCUUUAAUCCUUCAAUCACAGACGUAACUCGAUUUUACAAAACAGUCAAGAGUAUUCAAACCCACUUCAUUUAAAAAUCCCGAUUCACCAUUACAAUACUGACUUCAACAGCGAUUGCCUCAGUCUUCCCAAAACUCUACGAAGAAGAAAAAUCCAAAUUCUAUGUCUUUCCUUCCCCGACCCGAAGCAUGAAGCUCCUCUCUCUAAUUCCCUUGAUCUUUCAAAAACCUCCAAUGAAAAACCGAACUGGUAACCUUGCAAAAGCUUGAAAACUCGCUCUCCCCACCGAUUCCCCCGAAAAAAAAACCUCCCCCCUCAAAACUAUAUCCCCCCCUAACCUUAUCCUCUAAAUUUCUUCAAUCUUCCGUCUUAGAUCCGAAAUUGGCUCCCACCUCAAGCUUGGAUCCGAAAUUGGCUCUCGCCGUCAAGCUUUCUCCUCCGUUUUUACCUUUAAGAAAUCCAUUUACAGAAAACAACGUUCCCUGAAAUGGCACAGAGAACAGGACAGCCUGAAACAGAAUCGAACCCCGUAAUCGGGACCACAUUGAGUCGCCCGACCAAUUCAGGUCCUAUAUUGGGAAAGAUGCCCGUAGUAACCUGGAUGUUCCCGUAAUUGGAUCAAAUUGGUCCUCGCGUCAGAUUGGCUAAGACCCGUAGUAAGACCUGGAUUUUCCGUAAUUAGACUGCAUUGGGUUGACUGGCCAAUUCAGGUCUCAUAUUGGAUAAGAAGACCUGGAUUGGAUUAUCGAAAUUGGAUCCAAUUGGCUCCUCGAAUCCAUCGUGUGAAUUGGUCCUUCUCUUCCUGCUGACUCCCGUUAUUGGAAUCGAAUGGAGCAUUUCAGUAUGCCCCGGCUGACUGUAACGGAGUGACUGAACUUGACCACUCAAUAUUUGUACUGGAGUUGGUUGAUGCUCCCAAUAUUCGAGGUAACUGAAUAUUAAUAAAAUUCCCCUUUCUUUUUAUUUUCACUGUAUACUCGUGUUACAACACGACACCGCAACCUCCAAUCUAUCAAUGGAUUAUGUUUUUCCAACCAAGAAAGACCAAGAAUAAUAGGAUUUGAUGGGGUUUUAAUAAUAUUAAAAAUAAUAUGACUACUAUGGUCUUAAAACGUUACUUCUAUAGGUUUUGAUUCAUAGGUGAUGCUACCAGACAAUAAAGGUCGCCCAUCUAUGACCUCAACAUGAACAGGUUUUGAUUUUUGUACUAAAGGGAUCUUAUGACACUUUGCAAAUUCUUCGUCUAAAAAACAAGCAGAUGCUCCUGAGUCUAGUAGUGCUAAGGUUCUCAGUUUUUGAGGGUCGAUAAACAGAGGGAUUGUAAAACAAAGUGCAGGUUGGGCAGAAAGAAAGGAACCUGAUUGUUGUUGGGAUAUUUCAUUGUCCAGCCGCACGGUUCCUACUGUGGCUGGGCAUCCUCGUUUUCCUGAACAAAUACUCCCCUAGUCUUGACUAUGCCUCGAUUUUGCUUUUUGGGGCAGUUUCCGACUUUGUGGCCUUCUCCACCGCAAUACAAGCAUAAAUUUUCCUUCAUACGUCGCUUUUUUUUCUUCUAUAGUAAGAGAUUUGAUACGUACCGCAUCAAUUUGCAUGUCUUCCACCUCUGAAUGCAAAUUCACACCACUUGCCGACAUAGUUGGAGCAUGGCGAAUUAUAUGUUGUCUUGAGCGUUGGUCUUGGCGACGUUGGAAUAGGCAAUUAUCGCACUUCACAGCCUGGCUAAUGGCUUCAUUGAGCGUUCGUGGAUCAGGAAGAGUUAACAGCAAAUCCUUCACAUCAUCUCUUAAACCCCAAUAGAAUUGACUCAUCAACGCUUCUUCAUCCCAAUUGAUGUCGCAUACUAAUUGCCUGAAAUCCGAAGCAUAGACUGAUGUAGAACGCAUCCCUUGUCAUAGCGACCAGAUCUUUGUUGUAGCCCAUCGAACCUUAUCGUGUUCACCAAAUGCUUCCGCAAAUGCUUCCAAAAAGGUUUCGAAGUUGUUUAAUAUGGAUGAUCGUUUCUCAAACAAAGGAGCAAACCAUGAUAGAGCUUGUCCCGUAAGUAAGGUUCCAACAAGGCCAAUACGUGACUCCUCCGUUGGAUAUCGUUCGGGCUAUAAAACUGUUAUCAACCUGAUUUGAUUGACGAAUCCUUGAAACUUGGAACGUGUUCCAUCAAACUUAUCUGGAAGGCUAACUCGAGGCUCCUUAUGUUGUAGAACUAGUGGUUCUUGUCGAAUCUGAGGUAAAGUUGUUUCUUCAAGUGCCGAAAUUUGAGGCUGGUGUAGUUUAGAUUGUGCUAUCCCAGAUACUCCAUCAUUAUGAAGCCUUGCCACCACUCCUUCAAUCUCUACAGUUCUUUGUGAUAACGUAGCGAGGAUAUUCAUAAUAGCAUCUAACUUAGACUCCGAACUUUCUGUCAUACUAAUGUCUUGACCUCCGGCCAUUCUAAAAGAAGGACAAAAAUGACCCUAUAAGAGGCAAUAUUGGUUUAUAGGAGGGUAAUCCACAACCUAUAAAACGCCUUAAGAAUUUCAAGAAGAGGGGUAAUCCACUCUCUCCAAGAAGAAUAAGACUCCAAUAUUGUAACAGAAGAAGUAUCAGUUUAGAGGAGGGUAAUCCGUAACCUCUAAAAAAUGCUAGUAUACCUUCAAGUAGAGGGGUAAUCCACACUCUACUAAGAAAGAACUAGCUCUGAUAUCUCAAGUUAGUGUAGUCUCGACAAACUGUCAUGGACACAAAAUACAGACUUGAAAUCUAACAAGAAGUUCAAGAAGAAGUGGCAGAACUAGAUUAAACAGAUGAGUACAAGAACAACACCAGAAAGGUGAGCUAGAACUCCAAGAGAUGUCUUGUCGAGACUGAAGAACUCUUCAGCCUCGAUCCCUAUAUAUACUCCUACUUAGGAAGCUUCUCGAGCUACUUCUAUUAACUAAGAAUCUUCUAGAAGGUUCCAGAGGCUUCCUUUCUAAAAGGUUCUAGAAACUUCUCGAGCUACUUCUAUUAACUAGGAAGCUUCUAGAAAGUUCCAGGGGAUUCUUUUCUAGAAGCUUCUAGAAACUUCUCUUCUAGAAGGUUCUUGAGACUUCCUUUCUAGAAGCUUCUAGAAACUUCUCUCUAAAAGGUUCCAGAGGCUUCUCUUCUAGAAGGUUCCAAAGGCUAGUUUUCUAGAAGGUUCUGGAAACUUCUCUCUAGAAAGUUCUAAGGAAUAUGUCCCUAACAAAUCACCACAUAUUGUUCUUCUUUAUGUUGUAUCAUAACUAUCAUUUCUACUUGGUAUUCAUACUUUUUAGCCUUAUCAAUAUCACUAUGGUCAAUAUAUUAUUCCAUCGCCAAUUUUACUACAAGUAUCCUCCAUCUUAUCAAAUCAGCUAGUAUUCACCAAUAAAAAUUCAAUAGAAGCUUCAACUUUGCUUAAUUAGUUGAAUAUUAUGGCUAAUCUUUCCAAAAAUUUAAAUUUGACCAUGACAAUAUCUACCAAGUCACAUGCUACUACCAUCCUUUCAAAUCUGUUUUUGUCUUUGUCAACUUGGUUAUCCUAGUAAUGACCAUGUUAAGCAACUCAUCGAGAAAUCUGCUAUCAUUGGAUGAAAUAUUAAGAUUGUAUCCCAUCAUAUUUGCUCUACAUGCUUCUAUAGUAAAUAUUUGACUACAAAUAUUUUAAAACAACUUGAAAUAAUCCAUCUUGAUUUGAGUAAUUAUAUAGCAAUGUCAAAAAAAUUUAACUAUAAAUACUAUAUUAUAUUUAUAAAUAAUUUUUAAGGUACAUGGUACUACAAUUCAUAUAUCAAAAAAAUAAAUAUAUACACAUAUUCAAAAUCUUUCAUACAUGGGAUGAAAAUCAAACUAAUUAUAAGAUAUGUAUUCUUUUUUUUAAUCAAAGAAGAGAGUAUCUCUAUUCCAAGUUUGAUUAAUAUUUAAUAGCAUACAAAAUUAUGCGACAACCUAUCACAGCUUAUAUACCAUGCCAAAAUAAUGUUGUUAAAUGUAAAAAUCAAACUCUUCUCAAUACUAUCAAGUGCGUGCUUUACAAGGCUCAUUUAUCAUAUUAGAGCGAAGCAAUCAUUUGUGCAACUUAAUUUCAAAAUCAACUUUCAAUAAGAAGAAUUCCUUCUCAUAUCACACCACUUGAAUUAUGACAUAAAAAAAAUAAAAAUAAUAAAAAAAUAAAAAAAAAUUGAUAUAGUGCAUAUUCAUGUAUUUGAAAGUUGAUUUUUUACAAAGAUUCUUAAUCUAUUUUGAGUCAAAAUUUAUGGAAAAAUCUAGUAAUGUAUUUUUUUUUAAUAUAGUCCAAUCAAUACGAACUAUAAAGUACAAUAAGAUACUACUAGUGCCAUUCUUAUUUUGAAGGAUAUUAUAUUCUAAAAAGAGACUACUUCUUGCCAAAUUCAUGUUCUAUUCAAUCAUUUCCAUGAUAUUAUCUUUCAAGCCAAUCUGAGCUUUUUUUAGUUCAGUAAGUCAUUCUUCUUUGCUCUUUCUAUCCUACCACCACUUUUGUAUGUUGGAGCCAUUCCAUCACUGCCUUCAUCUUUGGCAAUAGCAUUUCUUUUCAUACUACACACCUCUAAUCCGACUGCUCUUACUAUUACACAAUCUCUAACUACUAGUCUUACUUCUCCAAUAAUGUCUUUUUACUUACAAAAUCCACUCCAAGCUAUUUGUUCUUUAUUAGCUUCCAAUGAUCUAAUAUUUUAUUUGGCCACUGUUGAAAUAAUGCUCCUUUUAUAUGUUAGGUCUUUUCUAAUAAAUCCAUAUAUUAUGCAAUCACCUCUUUUAUUAGCCAUAUUAUUUAUAAUUCUAUUUAAUGUAAGCUCUUUCUAUGCCAUGUAUCACGUCUCUAACUGAAUUGACCCUCAUGCUACACUUGAAGCAUCAUGUUCAUGCUCAUGCUCAUAAUUACCUUUUUGAUGCUCAUGCUCAUAAUUACCUUUUUGAUGCUCAUGCCUUUGAUUCUUCAUUGGUCGGUUUCUUUCAAAUGCUAGUUCAAUAGUCUUCUUGUAUUUACAAGGGUGUAUAACUUUUGCAUGAUCCAUUCUACAAUCUAUGAUCACUUUGCUUGUAAUAUCUAUCAAUUUUCUCUUUUUUAAUAAAGCGUGCUUUCCUUACCUUGGCUACUAUUCUAUUAAAAUCUACCUCCUAUACCAAAGUAAUGAAAUCAUUCAAUAGUAGUCCGCCAUAGUCAAAGAACUAAAUUUCCAUGUGAUUAAUUAAACAUUGAUAUUUACAAGUCUUCUUGUUUAUUAUAAAUGAAUCACAUGCAAGUAGAUUUUAAAAUUAAAACUAAAUAAUAGGAGUUUUGUGAAUUGCUAAAAAAUACGCCUUGUGGCUCUUGAAUUUAAUUACAUUUUAGGUUUAUAUUAUCACAAAAUACUCUCUCCAAUUAUAAGAAUCUAAUUGAUUUGAUUCAUAGUUACUAUCACAAUUUAAUUGGAUCUUCACAUUCAUCAAAUGAACAUGAAGACGACUUUUUUCAACAUAGUCUUGCACAAAAAAAUCUAUAUGUGGAUUUUUGAGGAUAACUUCUUUCUUUGUCUUAUAGAAGGCACACUGUCAUGUAGUAACAUAGCUAAAUGGUGAAAAAUAAAAAUAUAGAUGUUAUUAUAGAAGAGCCUAAUAGAAAGAUAUAAUAAAAAAUAAAGAUAAAUAAUAAGAAGGUAGUAAAAACUUAAGUCUUAAUGCUACUUUUUUAUAGAAGAAAUUUCUACUUACUUUGUAAAAGCAUAAAUGAGCCAAAUCAAAAUAAAUGAAAAAAUAAAUUAAUAUAGGCAUAUUUAAAAAAGUAUUUAAUAAUAGAUUAAAGUAAAAAUUACCUCAAAUUAUCAAAAAUUGAUACCCAAAGAAGACUAGUUGUAACUUAAAUCAAAAUUAGAGUCUAAGAUAUAAAAUUAUAAAAAUAUAGUAACUAUAAGAUUCUUUUGUAAUUCAAAGAGUAGAAUAUGAGAGAAAACUUGAAAAAAGAUUUUUUAAGUAUUAAUUUUAUAUCAUUUGGAUUAAUAUUAAAAUUUUGAAGUAUUUUCAAAGUUAAUAACGUACUUGGUGGAUUUGGAUUUUAUAAAAUAAAAAUAAGUUUACAAAUUUCAAGAUUUUGUAUGUUUCAUAGUUUAUUUAUAAGUGAAAAUUGAAUAAUUUUUUUUUGAUUUUUUUAAAUGUAUAUGAAAAAUUUAAAAUCAAUUGAAGGAUUAAUUUGAAGUACAUGAGGGUUUUUGUAGGUUAUGGUUUCGAAAAUUUGAAAUUUAGGAUCUAUGAGUGAUUCUAAAAUUUAGCAAUAUUUCCUGGUUGGAUUGAAGUGAAAUUUAGUGAGAGCAAUUAAGACUUAAAUAUCUACACAUAAUCUAAGUAUUAGAGUAAUUGAAUGGUUUGCCAAGGAGAAAUUGGUAUUGAAAGAUCAACAUUCAAGUUGAAGAAGGAGGGUGGUCAACAACUAAGAGGUUUUAAGAGCUUUUCUUGCAAUUGGUAAAUCAAAUUCUUAUCAAAUUUUGUAUGAUUGUUAAUUGCUUGUUGAUAGAAGUGUAGGUGAAAUUUUGAUUAAGAUCUAUAGUUUAAUUAAUAUUUAUUAAGGUUUCAAAUUGCUAUAGUAAUUAAUUAAAAUUUACUUGAGAUUUUUUUAAUUAUUUAUGAUUUAGGAUUUUAUUAGGGUGUGAUCAAGAAUUAAAGUUUAAGAUUUUUUUAGAAUUUGAUUAGAAUUUAUUUAAGAAUUGAUUAGGAUUUUUUAAGGAUUUGAUAGCAUUUGGCCUAAGAUUAGGAUUUAAAAUUUAUUUAGGAUAUUAUUAGGAUUUAUUUAAGAAUUGAUUAAGAUUUAUUUAAAAUUUAUGAUUUCAUUAAAGUUUGGUUGGAAUUGGUUUACAAUUUCAUUAGGAUUUUUUGGAGAUUACAUUAGAAUUUGAUUAAAAUUCAAUUAAAAUUUCUACUUUUUAAACCUCUACAAGAUUUUUUUAUUAUAUAUAUUUUAUUAAGAUUAAUUUGUGAUUUUUUAUAUUUCUUUUGAAAGUUCUUGAAAUUCUUUUUGGAUUUAAUUAAAAAUUGAUUAAUAUUUUUAUAAUUUAAUUUAAUUUUUUUUAGGAUUCUAUUAGAGUUGUUAAAUUUGUCUUAAUCCAAGUUCCAUUUUUCUUUCCACAAUCAAGAGUCUAAUACAUUCUCAAGUAGAAUUUAUGUAAUAUAACAAUGUCUUAUGAGAUGACUACUUCAAUCCAUAGAGGGUCUUGCAAAUAUCUAAUCUACAAAAACCUUCAUGCACUUCCUCUUAUAUAUAUUUAUAUUCUUUAUUUUUCUAAUCUACCUUGUUUUAACUUAUUUAUAGUUUUACAAAGUAAGUAGAAUCCAUUUUGAUAAAAGACAAUUCUAAUACUAUAAGAUUUUACUAUUUGUUUUUUUUUAUAUUAUUUUAUUAUAUCUUUUUAAUUAGGAUCUUCUAUAAUAUUUUUUUCUUUCACCUAAUGGUCAUAUUACUAUACAAUAUUAUUUAUAGAGGUUAUUAUUUAUAGUAUUUUUUUAAUUUAUUUUAAAGAUUAUUUAUAUAUAUAUUUUUAAGAUUUCUUAUUAUUUUUCUUUAGGAUUAAUUUGAAACUUCUUUGUGUUUCUUUUAUAACUUCUUUUAAAUUUAUUUUGGAUUGGUUAAAGUUUGAUUAGGAUUAUUAAGAUCUAAUUAAGGUUAUUUAAGAUUUUAUUAGAUUUGGUACAAUUAUUCUUGUAUUUCUACUUACCUUCUAGAAUUAGGCACUUGGUGCAUUCUCAAUCAAGUACAUACACAAUACAAUACUGAUUGCCAAACAUGGUUAAAAUCAGACCUUGAGGUACAAAACCAAGCAUCUAUGUUGUUUUUAAAAUCCUUUGGCCAAUCAAAUAAUGGAAUUUGAAAGCAAACAUAAUUAAGCUUCUUUGACCAUUAAUUUUGAAGAAUUUAAGUUUGAAAUGAAAAUGUAAUAGCUUUGCCAAAUCGUGGUUGUUUUGGAUGACUUUGGUUUCUAUGAAAUAAUUUAGAAUUGACAUUUUGGACAAUUUUGUAAGUUUUAUAAUAAAUCUAUAAGUGAAACUUUGUAAUUUGUGAGUAUGGCUAUGUUCAAUGUGUGUUAUAAAUCUAAUCUUAGUGAAAUAGUUAGGUUGAAGGUAAUUAAAAUUCAAGUGGAUUGAGAUCUUAAGAAUUGGAGUUAAAAGAUUAGUAAGAGUUUUUAAGAUCUUUAGCAAUCAGCUAGCUAGAUUGAAAUAAAAAUUAUUUGUGUAGAUAGUAGACUUGAUUUUUAAUACUUGUAUAAAUUUUGAAUGCAAUUCAACAAUUCAAGGAGAUAUUGGCACUAUAAACUCUAUACUAAAAUGAAUUAUCUUACAUUUCUCUCAAUUGAUAAGUGAGAUUGAUUUCUUUUUUCUUGUACUUGUUACGAGCUCAAUUGUACAAAUUUUAAAUUAAUAUCAAUAAUUCAAUCAUUAGUUUUUUAAGUUUUAAUCUACUAUAGGAUUUGAUUAGGAUUUGGUUAAGAUUUGAUUAAAAAUGAUUAAAAUUUGGUUUAGAAUUUAAUUAAGAUUUGAUUUAAGAUUUGAUUAGGAUUUAAAAUUUAUUUAAGAUUAAUUUAGUAUUUUAUUAAGAUUUUUUAAGGAUUUAAUUAAGAUUUAUUUAGAUUUUUAUUAGGAUUUAUUGAAGAUAAAAAUUCACAAAAUAAACUUCACAAAAUACAAUAACAAGCAAAGUUUACUACUUAUUAAAAGGCUUGAUAUUUUUAAUACUCAAUUUUUAUAUUAAUAAUAUGUUAAUUAUGGCCAAUUAUCUUAUAUUGCUAUACACAAUGAAGAUUCAAUUUUAUGCACAAUUUUUGGCCUUGAUGAAGUUUACAACCUCUUGAGCUUAGAAGUAAUUUGUAAUCUUAAUACUAUCUCAGUGCAAAUAACCUACGCUCUCUAUAUUCAACAAAAACUUGUAAAGUUUGGCUUUUUGGAUUCUAAGCUAAUUUUAACUUUGAUUGCUUUUAGAAUAUACUUCUUUAUUACAAAUUGUUUCUUUAAUUCCACCAAAAAACUACUUCAUGCUAAGUUUUCUUAUGCAAAUGUUAUUGAUUCAUUAUACUAGGCUAGCUUGUGUACUCACUCAAAAAUUUCCUUCUCCAUCAAUAUCCUUAUCCAAUACAUGCAUAAUCUUAGACAAAUACAUAAACAUGUUGAUAAAUAUACUUUUUGAUAUCUUCAUGGUAUUGUGGGUUUUUUUUGAAAUAUUAUAAGUCUUUUUUUAUUUUAUACUUCCUUCACAAUUUUAGCUAUGCCAAUUAAGUAAACAAAAUUGAUGAAUGCUACUCUAUGUUUGGCUAUGUCUAUCUAUUUUUUAAUAGCAUUGCAACGUGUUUUAGUUUUUUAAUACUCAUUUAGAAUUAAUUGCUUUAAAAAAAAUCUUAAUCUAUUGAUCUCAUUAACUCUUGUUUUCAUCCACCUAUUAAUCUUUGAUCCAACAUAUAUAAACUAUCACAAGUUUUACAACAAUCAUUCUUAAUUAAAUACCUUGAUUAUAUUUAAUAGUGAGAAUCUAUCUUUUUUAAGAAAAUUAAAUACAAAAAAUAUAUAUUUACUUGAAUGAUAAAACUUUUAUUAUGAAAUCUUAAAUUUAUAUCUAUUAUUUUAAUAAGCAAGCUAAUCAUUGAUUAGGUGAAGUGGUGAAUUCUUGCCAUGAAGUUCAUACCUCAUUUCAAGGAUCAAGAAACAAUCUUUAGAAUUAAAUCAUUCUAAGUUAGUUAAGUCAUCUUGAACUAACUUUUACAUGACUAAUUCACAUAAUUUUGAUUGCUGAUGGGAUGAAAAAUCUCUACUUAUGACAUCUCCUUCCAAAAUAUAGGUCAUGAAUUGGAGACCUAAGACUUAUGCAGAAAAAAGUUGUAAUUGGAGCUAAUAUAUCUUAAGCUUUGAUUCAUUGACAUGUUAAUCAAUCUUCUAUCUAUCCAAAGAGAUAAGUUCAUAAGUCCCAUUCUCAAAUUUCGUAUAUAACUGAAAUAAUUCUUUCCAAUUAGACUUAAAUUUUUUUUUCUUUUUACUUCAUUAACUAUCUAUCAAUCAAUAGAACUAAGGCUUUGACUUAAAAUUCUAUGACUUUAGACUUUGUAUCAUGUAUGAGUUUUCUUCUUCAUUGAAUUAUGUGAUUUGAAAGUAUUGUUUACUAUUGUCCUUCUUUGAGCCUUUCCAAUUAUAAUAAUCUUAGUUUGAAAUUCUUUUAUUUUUUCAAUCUGUGUGCUAAUAUAAGCUAUAUGGAUGAAAUUUUUAAUUUUAUGAAUAUGAUGAUCUUAAAACCAAAGGCCAAGUAGAAUGGAAAAAAUCUUGUGAUGUUUUUGUAAGCUAUUUUAUAGGCCUAAAAAGCCUUAUCAGCAUGAACAUCCUAUAAUCUUUAUUUAUCCAAUAUCACUUUUGCUAUGAUAUCAUAUAUUAUACCAUUUGCUCUCUCAAUCAAUUCAUUAGCCUGAGAUAAUAAGAGUUGGGCCUCUUGUAUUUAAUGGACAUCUUUUGAAGUAGAUUAGAGACUAAUAUAUUAAUAAAAUGGGAGCCUUUUUCAUUUACAAUCUCAUGUAGACACCCAUAUCUACACACAACUUAUUGAAAAUGAAGUCAGUUCAUACCUCAUGGAUGCACUUUUUUACGGCUAUCACCUCACACCAUUUAGAUAAGUAAUCCAUUGCUAUAAUGACAUAUUGAUGAUGCUUUGUGGAGAUAGAUAAGGGUCCCAUAAAAUCCAUUAUCUAUUUUUUUAAAACUCCAAUUAGCAUAAUAGGGUCAAAUUUGGUAUGUAAAAAUUAUUGCUAACUAUAGGUUUGAUAUAAAUAAUAAGAUUGGCAAUGAUUUUUAUUAUCUUAAAAUAUCUAUAGCCAAAAAUAUCAUACUAUGAAUAUCUUUUUAACUAUGCUAUUUUCUAUAAAGUCCCCUCCACAUGUUCCAUCACAAUACUACUAUAGGAUUAAUUUUGUCUUUGUAGGUCUUACAAUUUUUUGUAAGAUUUUGUCACACCUUAUUUAAUACAAUAUGUCAUUGAUCAAAAUAUAUUGCAUAUUUUAGCAUCAUUUUUUUCUUCUUAAAUGCAUUGUAGAGUCAAAAAAAAAAACCAUAUUUUUCUAGUACAAGAUUAUAUCAUUGAAUUGACUCAAGACUUUUGCAUUGGAUAUGAUUUCUUCUAAGGUGUAGCAUUUGGUAUCAUUAAACAAGCUAUCCUCAUGAAUUUUUUGUUGUUGAGCCAACUCUAAAAGAACCUUUGAUUAUAAAGUGCAUUAUCUUUUUAUUCUCUUAAUCAUUAAAUCAAACUAUUACAAAGUUAUCAACAAACAAGAUAUCUUACUUAUAGGAUAAGUUUCUAUUAUCAAUUAUUUUAUUCCUUCAUAGGAGCAUUGAAAAUUUAUAAUAUUUUUCUUAACAAUAAAUAGUAUUUAAAUUUCAUCCAUGUAAACAACAAAGACAUCAUGAGAUUUUUAGAUUUUAUUUAAUAUAUCUUGAUUGAACUUAGCACACAACUAAUAUAAUAUACUUGAUGUCUCCUCUCCCUUUUUAUUAUUUUUGAUGAAUAUACAAGCCACCAAAUUGGUGUUAGAAGAGGUAUUAAUGAUAAAAGCUUUGGUCCAAUUGGUAUUUUAUAUUAUCAAUCUUCUACUCAAAUUUUGUUUGAUAUAUGCUAGUACAUCUUUGCAUUCCUUUCUUCAAUCAAAAUCUAACUUAGUUAAGAAUAAGUGUGUUAUUGGCCUUUUCUUGCCUAUUAAAUUAUCAAUAAAUAUUUUAUUAUAGUUUAUCAUUCCCUAGAGUUUGUGGACCUUUGCUUAAUUCAAAUAUCCAUGGAAUUUGAGUAUCUUCUUGUCUUUAUCUUCAUUGAUGUGAAUUCUUUCUUUAAAAAUAAUAUGUCUUAAUAGAAUUCCUUCUUUAUAAUCAAAUUGAUACUUUAUUUCAGCUUAAACUUCUUUUAUGUUUGCCAAGCCUUUAAAAAACUUGUCUAAGCUAUCCCACAUAUUUGCUCAUAGGAUUGUAUAUUCAAAAAUUAUUCAAGUAUACUCUAAGCAACUUUCCAACUAGAAGAGCAAAGAUUUUUGUUUGUAUCCAUUGAAAUAUCCUUCUUGCAUUGCACAAAUAAAAUGUCAUUCUUUUAUAGGCAAAUGUAUUGUAAGGAGUAGUGAAUGUAGUCUUUAACAUGUCUUCUUCUUUAAUUACUACUCGAUGAUAUCCUACAUAAUCAUUGCAAAAAGAUACCAUAUCAUGCCUCAAAAUUCCAUUCAGCAAUUGAUUUAUAAAAAAAUGGAUAUUCUAUCUUUUUUGAUUAUUUAAUUUAGUACUUUAUAAUAUAUAGAUUUUCUAUUUACCACCAUGCUUCAUCACAAUGACAACAAGUAACAUCCAUUGUGUAUUAUUCAUUGGAAUAAUAAAUCCUCCUUUCAAAAGUUGAUUAAGCUCAAAUUUAAGAAUGGCCAUUUUAUUUAAUUCCAUUUGCUUCCAACUAACUUGGCUCUUAUUUCUAGCUCUAUAGUAUACAACUCUAAAUUAAUAGCAAGUAAAUCUAAAUAGCCAAUGAUAAACAAAGUGAAGAUGUCUUUGGCCAAAGAAUUAAACUUGUUUUUUUUUAGCUAUGUCAAAAUUCAUACCAAUCAAAUUAGGUGUCUUACUUCUUACAUUUUGGCCAAGGUUGCAAUUAGCUUUAAAGUAAAGCUAUGAAUUCUUUACUAGAGCUAGUGGUAUAAUUCGAACUUUAUAAUGGCCAAUUAGAUUUAUUAGAUGAUUCUUCUAAAGAAGACAAGUCAUUAGUGUGAGUGAUUAAAUAAAUUUACUAAUUAUUUUAGAAUAAAAUAGAUAUAUUUAGAGUAUUUAAAAUCAAAAUAUAUGAUGAGUAGUGUAAAAAUCGUAAAACAAAUAGAAAAUUAUAAUGUUAAUUAUAGAAAUGGAGUCUCAAUAAGUCUUAGAGAUAAUUAUCUUAAUUUAUUUAGUAUUUUUAUUUAUUAUUGAGUAUUAAGGAUUAAUAUUAAGAUAAAUAUCUAUAUUGGCCUUAUAUCUAUAUGUAUUAUUUAUUAAAAAACUAUAAAUAUUAGUAAAUAGUUAAAAGAAGCAUGAAAAAGAACCUCAUAUCAAUUUAAUUAGUUAUGUAAAAAGUAAGAUUUAUAGUGGAUUUAAAUUAAUUUUAUUAAUAUAAAAAUUUAUCAAUAUAAAAAAUUAUAGCCUCAAAUUUAUAUUAUUAUUAUAAAACUAUUUUAAGAUUUUUGAGGAUUUAUUUAAAAUUCAUUUAGGAGUUUUAGAGUAAUUUUUAAGACUUUGGUAAAAAUGAGUUUUACCACUUUGUGAGCCAUUAUGAAGAAAUGGAGCAAGAUUUGAAGGCCAUGCAAGAUUCUUAGGAUAAUUGGAUGUUUUUAAAUACCAUGGUAAAGUCAAAAAUACAAAAAAUUUGAUUUUAUUAGUAGAAAAUAGGAGAAACAACACAAUAUAGUCAUUGAAAGAAGAGAAGUACUUAAGUCCGAUAUGGAUUGUAGCACCUUGAAAGUAAUUAAGAAGAUAAGACUAAGGCCUUGUGGCAUCUUUUAGAAACCUAUACACACUAUAUGUGAGCCUUAGUAAGGCUCAAAUUCUUAAUUUAUAAACAAAUUAUUCUAAAAUAAAAUAUUUCCACUUAGUUUUUUUAUUUAUUUACUUGUUAUUUUUAAAACUUCAUAACUUACUCAUAAUAAUUUAGAUUUAUAUAUUUCUUAUACCAUUGAAAAAAAAUUAAAAAUUAAAAAUAUUUUUUAUUUUUAUUUUUUAUUAGAUAAAAAUAUAAUAAAUAAACUAUGACUAGUUUUGUGGUGUACAGUUGCUUGAUUGUACUUGUUUUACUUAUUUUGUAUUGUACUUCUUUUGUUCUUGCUACUUCUAUUUUAUACCACCAAUUACAAGAAUUUUUUAGUUAAGGACAUCUUAUAAUUUGAGUUGAGAGGUGAAAUUUACCUUCAAAAUUGGUGUUAUUAAAAGACUAUUUCAUUACUCUGAUAUUUACAUAAUUAUGCCUCUAGCCAAUUUUCAUUUGCCAAGCUUUCAGUAGUUAAUUACUUUGAUCUUGAUUAUCUAGGUUCAACUUAAUAUUAUUAUAUAACCUUUAUUUAAAUUAAUGAUCUCAAAAACAUGAAAUUCUAUAUUAACAAUUAGAUUAUUUACGGUUAUUAGGAGAUUGGCAAUUAAAUCUAAGAAUUUAAAACUUCUUUGAUCCACUACCUUAAGCCAUAUCAAUGAUGGUUGGAUCAAUUUUAAUCUUGCUUCUCUUAUAAACUAGCUACAUAUUGAUUGUUGUGCCUCCAUCUAUCAAAUAGUCCUUCACUAUAUAUCCAUUUAUAGUGGCAUUUUUUUAUAAUAAAUAUAGAUUGCCUAAAGAUCUCUUAUGUUUGAAAUCAUCAACACUGAUUUUUUUUGGCUUUUGAGUACUAAUAUAUGCUCUCAAUUCUCUAUGGAAUAAUGGAUAUUUUUCAACCAACUAACCAACUAUAAUAUUAGCAUUUUAAUGGCCUAAUAUGGCUACUUUUGAAUAUUCAUGAUGUUCCUUGAUUAAUAGCAAGUCAUGAAUUUUGAUCUUCCUUCUAAGUCUACAAGUUUUAUUUUUAUUUUUUAUGAUUGAGAGUUUUUGUGUCUAUAUUUUUUAGAAACUCCAUGUCUUGAUUCUUUAUCUUUUUGUAACCAUGAUCUUAGUCUUUUUAUUGGAAAAAAUAUCUAUCAAGUUUAUUUUGACUAACUUUCUCUUUGUAUCGAAAGAUAGGCCAUUUUAUUCUUUUAGAGUGAAAUUAUAUUGUAAGUGGUCUUUUUGGCCACACUUAUGACAUUCAAUAUGCAAAGGUGGUCUAUGAUGGUAUCUUGUGUCCCUACUCAUUGAUCUAUGCCUUUAUAAAAUAUUUAACUUCAAGUCUUGUACAUCAUUCUUGAGCUAGUUGUAAUCCUAUUUUAAAAUCAAUACAACUAAAGAUAUAGUAAAUAUUAAAGAAGGUCUCUUUGGAACCUUUUAGAAUUUUUAUUGUAUUUCUAUUUGAAUUAAGGUGGGAUAUAUUGAUAAGAAAUAUAUUUGAGAUAUUGAUAUGAUUAUUAUAAGAGGUUGGAUCAUACCUCUAAGACUUUUUUCUUUACAUUGAGCUAGCUACAAUAAUUCAUCAGAAAUAGUUGAUUUCUAAAAUGACACAAUCUCUUGAAUACUAGACAAUAGUCCAUAGAUAAAACUUAUAAGUAAUAAUUUAUUAAUCUCUAAGUAUACACGUAUCAUAUCUACUAUCUCAAAAUCUACUUCUAUCAUAAAGAUUCCUAAAAUAUAUCAUUUAAACAUUAUCUACAAUUUGCACAUUCUUUUACUUUAAGUCAUGUACACUUUCUUGAAGUAAUUUUAUCAUUAAACUUAAGGAUCCUAAUAGGUUUAUAUAUAUAUAUAUUUAUAUAUAUAUAUAUUUAUAUAUAUAUAUAUAUAUUUAUAUAUAUAUAUAUUUAUAUAUAUAUAUAUUUAUAUAUAUAUAUAUAUUUAUAUAUAUAUAUAUAUAUAUAUAUAUGUUUAAAUUCAAUGAUAAACUCUUUUUUCAACUCACCUUAAUUUGGAUAAAUUGCCUUUGUCUACUUCUUAUACCACUUUUCAACUAUAUAUUCUAAAAAAUCAAGAAACAACAAUAACCAAGACUCCUUGUACAUGUCUUGAUUUGCCACACAUGCUCCUUUAAAUUCAUAGAGAUAUGAUUUAAGAUCUUCAUGAUCCUCCCUAUAAUACACUAGAAUUGCCACUAUUACACUUUGUUUUUUGUUUAAUAUUGAUGUAGGUGCUACAACUUUUCUUACAAAGUUAUAAACUACUUUUUUGCUAUUCUUUCUAAGAGAUUGUUUUCAAAUUUUAAAAUGUUUCAAUUAUACUUCAAAGUUUAAUUUUGGCUACUUAACAAUUGGAUGUAGUGGUUGUAAGCCAUCAAACUUAACUUCCUAAUUUUCAAUCACAUAGUUGUAGACUAAUUUUAAAUCCUCUUCUACUAAUAUAUUUUUGACACUAAUCUAUUGGACUAUCUCUAAUCUACAUGCCAAAGUAUUAUAUUUGGCCUGAUUAGAAAUGUAUUUUCUUCUAAUUUUAUUAUAUCAUAUGUCUUUUAUCCUAAGGUCUCUAUAAAACUACAUGUAUAUCCAAUCUAUACUUUCUACAACUUGAUCUGUCAAAAUGUAGAUUCCAUAAAUAAGAAUCCAUUCCAUCACUUAGACUAUAGUCUAUUUCUUUAAGAAAGAUUUAAGUCCUAUGCAUCAUUCUCAAUUUUGCCACUAUAUUUUUUAAAUAGUAUUUUAUUAUCUACUAUUAUAUUAUCAUUUAUCUUUAUUGAUUGUAACCUUUUAUGAGCUUUAACAAUUAUGUAUCUAAUCUUGUCACUUAGAUUAUCAUAUGUUACUAUUACUCCAAACAUUUCACUAUAUAGAGAAUUCUUACUUCACUAUCUUAUAGUUCUCAAGUCAAUUUGAUUCAAAAGUUGUUUAAACUUUCUUGGAACAUGGUACACAAACUUUAAAAAUUACUUACAUCAACAAGGGUAGUAAGAUAGAAAAGUACUAGCCUACUUAACAUUAGAUUCUUAUGACCAACCUAUCAAAUAAUUUUCACAUCCAAUAAACUUAAUGUUUGUUAUUUCUAUUGGAGUAAAUUUUCUAUUACAAAUGUAACAAAGUAACUAAUGCCAAUCUUCACUUAUUUUUCUUUUCAAAUCACAUGCUAAUUCUUCUGAUUUUUCAAACUCCUUAUGAUCCUUUAUUGACUAAGUUUUAGUUUUGACCACUUUAAACAUACAAAAGAAAUAAGAUCUUUGCUUCCUAUUUUUUUCUCUAAAAUGAAACAAUUGUAAUCUUAAUAAUACCAAGUCAUGCAAGCUAUGCUUUCUUGAAACCACACUAUAGAGAAGCAUCUAGACACUUGACCAAACUUCUUUUCAUUGUUUGAUAUCAACAUCUAAUUAUGGAUGUCCUUAUAAGAUCAAAAUUAUUCCUAUCUAUAUCAUUGACUCUCCCAAGACAAAGAUAAAUUUAUGUCCUGUCAAUGGAACCAAAGAUGCAAUGCAUUUUAGUUUCUUGGAACUCAUUUGAGAUUGACUACUUUAAAAGAAAACCUUAUCCCAUUGGUCUCAUCAGCUCUUGACUUUAUCCAUCCAUUAACCAGCAAUCCAACAUACAUGAAUAAUCCCAAGUUUCACAAGGAUCAUUUUCAAUUAAAUACCUUGACCAUACUCAAGAACUAAAAUCUAUCUUUAUUAAGCAAAGGUGAUACAAGGGACUCAUGUUUACAUGAAUGCUACAACUCUUACCAUGGAGCACAUGGUCCACUGCCAAAUUUAUAUCUAUUGCCUUAAUAAGCAAACUGAUCACUAAUCAGGUGAACUGGUGAGUUCUUGCCAUGAUCCACUCCCCUUGCCUUGAGGAUUGUGCCUCAUGUCUAGGAUCAAGAAGCAAUCUUCAAAAUCAGAUCACCUCAAGUUAGUUAGGUUGUCCUGAGUUAACUUUCACAUGACUAAUUCAGAUGAUCUUAAUUGUUGAUGACAUGAAAAAUCUCUACUCAUAACAGCACCAUCAGCUAGGCCUUUGCAGACCAGAAGUCCACCCUCUGUCUAACACCUAAGCAGAGUACAUUGCCAAAGCAAUUACUAUGUUUGAACUUGUGCGGCUUUUGCUGUUGCUCCACUACCUCCACUGCACCAAAACCCUAAAAAAACCUACCUUCAUUUAUUGCGACAAUCAAUCCAUGUUGGCAUUAGUAGAUACAACCAAGUUUUACUCGAAGACGAAACACAUUUCCAUUCGCUAUCAUUUCAUCCGCCAACUUGUAGCUCACCAAAAGUGCCAUUCUAGUAUUGUCCUACCCACAAUAUGCGAGCAGAUAUUUUUACCAAAUUCCUCUGGCAGAAGCUUGCCCAACACUUACCAUUGCUUGGAGGAGAAAUUCCACCCUUGGGAUGACUUGGUUAAGCGGCCGUAUUGGAAUCUAGAUUUCAAGUAACCAACCCAUCUGUAACAGUCAAGUAAGAGUGAAACGGCGCACCCUGUCGAAGAGGCACGAUCUUUUCAGUCGCUCCUUCCUCGACAGGAUAAACAAUGUACACACAUUUUAUUAAACAAUUAAUUACAAGUUUUUCGAUCAUUCUCAGAUUCACCUAGUCCUAAUACAAAUUGUCUGUGCUACCCCCGGUAAGUGGUACGCUUCACUCUUACAAAACUUGGUGGGCCAAUGUUUUGAUCCUUCAAAUUGGUAGCCAAACUUAUUGUCUCAUUGUUGUUCUGAGAAGCAUUUAACUCCAGAAACUUGAAGAGAACUUUGUCAUCUUUCAUGUCUGACAUCUCCAUUGUCUGAUAUAUGCCAGAAGAAUGUGAACGUCACAGUUUUAAAUUCUCGGAAUUUGAGACAGACGGGUGAAUUUUUAGGGGAUUGACAAAUUUAAAGAGAAACUUGAUCAAGUUAGCUAGAGCCGCUUCUAAGAGGACUAGAGGAUAAACUCUCACGAGCCUGUAGCAAGUGAAAGGAGCGCAGUCUACAGCUUUAUUUCGUCUUUAAUUAGCACAUCAGAUCCUGUGUUAAGGUUGUUUUUGAUUGAAUACUGGUGGUCAAAAUUAUGUGUCUGAUUCUUCAGAGGAUGUAUACUCAUAUGGCUUCUCAAAAGAGCUUCAAAAAUUCAUUCAUAUUAAUUAGAUUUGACAUAUUCUAGACAAGUCUUUCAAGUUUUUUUAAAAAAAAACAUCGCAAUUAGUUAUUCUGGGAGCUUGUAAUGUGAACUUGAUUCGUUUGGUAUGGGGCACACGAGCUUGCUUCUCGUGGGUUGUACAGAGCAGACUUAGCGGUACUGGUGGCUAACAUAACGAUCCCCAAGUUUGAGUUCGUCCCACCUUAUAUUGUCGUAAUACUUUUUUCUUCGACCCCCUGCAAUUAGAAAUUCCAUGCAUGAGCUCAGAAUUUGAAAGCGUCGGCUGUAACAGGUCCCCUAAACUUUGCCAGCAGGAGUUUGAUAUCGCAGCUGAGUCAGACUUUGACUAUUAAUAGAAAAAGCAGCAGGCAUGUUCGAACCAGAUCCCAAUAGCAUGUGACAUGCAUGUUGUCUUAUCCACCACACGUACUGCUUUUGAUCUUUCUGGUGGCACUUGUCUCUCUUGUAUAUAACCAGCAGCAGUUAUCCAUGUUUGACACUUCGCAGUUGAUCUUUUGCAUUGCUCAUCGUUCGAGAUGGCCUACUGGGGUCGUGUUUUCGUGGCCUCAUUCCUAGCAGCACUGUUAUUGUUGUUGUCGGUAGGAAGCUCACAAGCUCUGGAGGUUGUCAACCAUUCAGGAUGCAAGGUCGUCGUCUUCGUGCCUCCCAUUUGCGCACCCUGUGUAUGCCCGGUGCAUAAUCCGAAUUGCCUCUGCCCGGCAGUGUGCAGAUUUCGGCCGGGUGUGACGAUCGACAGGAACGGGAAGGUAACACUGCAAGUGGACGGAGCGAAUUUCAAUCCGGAUCUGCAGUUUUUCAAUGUUGAGAUCAAAGGAGUUACUUUCGUCGUGUCAAAGGCUGAUCUGAAGAAAAUCACUAUCAGGGCGACGGUUAAGAUCACUUCGAAAAGAUGUGAGGGUGGAAAGGGUAUUCUGGUCACCAUUUACCCGAAUUCGAAGGCUGCCGCGGGCAAAGACAUCUGCCUCCUGCCUGGUGAAAAAUAUACAAGUUGAGAGGCGCGAGGGGUCGGAUAUUGUUCUGUGAAUAAGCUUCGGGUUUUUGAAAUUUUACGCAUAGAUCAUGAUUUCGCAAGUCCCAUCGCUUCAGGGGUUGGAGUGAUGCGAAUCGCGUAGAACUCCGUGUUGUUCCAUAGAGGUAUUGAGCUGAUAGUGCACAACGUGAAGGCCGUGAAUAAGACUAACUUUUGUAUAUACAACCGUGUAAGGUUCAGCCAUUUGUAUGAGGCUACUCAUAGUUUCACCUUGAACCGCAUUACUUAACGGAUCUUUUCAAGCGGUGUCCUGGUGAAUACCGAAAUUGCGCACAAUAAAUAGUGGAUGAAUGCAUCCUUCAUUGCAUGAUAUUCGACCGUCUCUCUUCCCACAUCCGACUAUUAUUCAGAAAGAAUCCUCCAGGGCGCGAUGAGCUAAUCUGUUCAGGCUUGGACGCGACAAUCAUCUAACAAUGGUGGUGUUACAUGAAAAUCAAUUCUGCAUAUCACAAGCCAUCAUUAGCUGCUGAUUUGCAGUAUCAACGGUCUCCAGAUUCAACCACCGAAUCGUGUCCCUAGGGAAGAAACAUCUGUUGCACAAUAAUAGAACGCGUGCGCACUGUAAAUCAACCACAUUUUUCAUGUUGCAGCUGUACCCACAAUCCGUCGAUGUGUGCAUGUGCAGUGCCGCAACUUGAAGAGUUUUCUAGUCAAUGAAUCCCCUCAAACCAUUCAGCAUUCUCUGAGCUUUGUUCGCAUCAGAAUUAUUUUCUACUAAUAUUCUAAUGAAUUUUAAAUAAAUAUGCAUAUUUUUGAGACAAAAUUUUAUUUAUUCCUUGCUUAUUACUAAAGAUAAGAAAUAAAAAAUAGAUAGGUAAUCAGUGGCAGUUUUACAAAAUUUGUAGUUAUCUUCUACUCUAAUGUUUUUAUUUCAUCCAUCCAACAUUCUUACGUACCCAAAGACAUAAAUGACAGAUAGUUGCUUCAAAUUUUGUAAGCAACUUACUAAUAAGCAACCAAAUAUUAGAAGUCAUUAAAAUAUUAGAAAAAAAAGUAUAGAAUUAAAGAUGUGGGCUUUUUUUAAAUAUAUGCAUAUACAGUGACAAACAAAACCGAGUACAAAAUCUGAAGUGCUAACUUUCAAGAGCAAUUACAGAAAUUUCAAUGAUUGCUUUAUAAAUCUGAAAGUUACAUGGAAUAAUACACACAGUCUUGUACACAUGUACAAAGUUGCACAUCAAAUUGAUAACUAAACAUCCUUCUACAAAGUCAAAUCAACAACUAUGUCUUGUACUCAGUAUUGUUCAAAGAAAAUCUUCAAACUUCAAUAUUUAAUCCAAUAACCUUUUGCUUCCAAAACAGCUGAAAUCCUUCUUGGCAUACUUUUGUAUAGUUUCUCACAAUCUUUUGCAUCAAAACUAGGGUAAAUACUACAAACAUUCUCCCACAAUUCUUGAACAUCUCUUGGCCUUGGAGUGACUUGGCUUAAAUGCUGUUUGAGAAGGGCCCAAAAAUGUUCCAUUGGAUUCAAAUCUGGAGAUUGAGCUGGCCAUCGAAGGAGCUGAAAUGGCUGUGAAGAGAGCCAAAACUGAACACUUUUUGCGGUAUGUUUGGGAUCAUUAUCAUGUUGAAAAACCACCUUAGUAGGAUCUAAGUUGUAAUUUUGUGUGGUACUUUGCAAGUAGGUUUCUAAAAUUUUUUUGUACAAGUGUUGCUCCAUUCUACCUUCAAUUUAAUACCAAGCACCCGGCCCAAAAGCAGUCAUACAACCCCAAAUCAUAAUUGAACCACCACCAUGUUUGACAGUUUGACUAACAUGUUUAGGUCCAGGUCGUUCUCCUUCUCUCAACCAACACCAAGACCUACCAUCUGAGUUGAUUAGGUUAAUCUUUGUCUCAUCACUGAAAAUAACCCGUCUCCAAUCAUCAACGGUCCAAUUUUUGUAUUUAUGAGCAAAACUCAACCUUGCAAGAACAUGUCUUUUGGCAAGUAGAGGCUUCUUUUGUUGCACACGAGCACCCAAACCAGCUUCUCUCAAACCACGCUUCAAGGUGAUGUCUGAGAAGUGUUUACUUGUUUUUUCUCGAAGUUGUUUUGCAGCUGCACUUGCCGUUUUGAGACAACCAGCAGUGACAAGGUGCACACCAAGUUGCUUCUCUUGCUCUCCUAAAACCUUUGGACGUCCUCCUCUUUGCUUUUCUAUUUCACCACUAAUCUCCCUCCUCAGAUGAGCUACUGAAGACUAACUCAUUCCAAGUGAGUCUGCAACUUUUCUUGUAGAAACACCACUCCUAAGCUGCAUCAAUGCUUGAUGCUUCAAUGAUUCACACAACCGAGGCAUAGAGAUACAAUUGACAAAUCAACUUUCACUAUAGAUAGUACACAACAAGAGCAACACAACAAAAAAAAAAUGCCCUCAAAUCUUGCAACAAGGAGUGUACAUUAAAAUUUCGAAAUUCAGCAAGAAGAAGCAACCAAAACUGAGUACGCACAUCUAUGUGCUUCUACAACACUUUUCUCAUAAACCCUACCUCAAAUGAUAAUGAGAUUUUUCAUCCAUAUAGAAGACUGGAUGAAUAUACAUAAUAAAGAAGUAAUUCUAUCAAUUGACUUAUGUGUCAGUUGGAAGGAUCAAUGAACUAUGAGUGUUCAAAUUUUGUACUCGGUUUUGUUUGUCACUGUAUAUUUAUAUAUUAUUUAUAAAAAAUUAGAAAAAGAUUAAGAAUCUAGAGUGGAUGAAAAUAUUCUUAUAAAAAGAGCCAUAAUUAUUUUUUUUGUUUUUGUUUUUGUUUUUUUUAUUUUGUUUUGUUUUGUUUUUUUUUUAAAAAAAAAAAUUUAGUACUAAAAACUAAUACAUGUUCUAGAAUAUUUGAAUACAUAUUCUACUAUGUCCAAUGAGUGGUAGGUAGAUGAUUAGACCUAUCAAUGAAAUUUUACUAGAUUAUAUUCAUCAAAUAGUUGUAAUUUGAGAGAUGUUUAAGCAAACUAAUUACUUAAUGGUUUUUGUAAAAAAUACUCAAAAUUAGAUUUAUUAAUAAAAACCUUUCAAUAUAUUUUUAUUAUCAAUAGAUCCAUAUUAUGUAGUAAGUGAAAUAAUCAAACUUUGCUUCUAAUGAAUAUUAUGAAGAUCUAGAAGUCACACAAUUUUGAAGUGUAAACUUUUUUUGAUAACAAAAGCUAUUCUUUUCACUAAAUUUGUUUCUAGAUCACAUUCUACCUAUAGUAUUUCUCCAUUUUUUUAUUUCAAAUAAAUUUAUAUAAUUAUUUUAAAAUAUUAUUUUAUUAAUAUGGCUAAUUUCUUUAAGAAAAUUUUAAAGUUUGAACCCUCUAGAUUAUUAAAUUAAUUUGAUAGCUUAACUAUUUUAAACUUAUUUUAAAUUCUUAUAUCGGUGAAAAGAAAAUUAUAUUUUCAUCCUUAUACAUUUAAGUGUUUCCUUAAUGUAGAUUAAUUAAAUAUGUAGACUAAUUCUUAGUAUAAGGAUAAAUUUUAGAAUUUUUUUGCCUUAAUAUUUCUUAAUUAUAAUCCAUAUCAAAUUUUCUAUUAAUUACUAUUCUUGCUUCUUCUUAUAUAAUUACCAUUAAAAAUCAUGGUUUAAAAAAGUCACUAAGAUUAAAAUCUUAUCUUCUUUAUAUUGAUUCUGGACAUUACAAUAGAUAUCAAUCUUUUAAAUUAAUUUCUUUGGACUUUCUAGCUUUGCCAAAUUCUAAUAAAGUUUUUAGCACAUUCACCUUAGUUUAUGUCUUAAUAAAAGAUGAAGGCCUAAAACAUUACAUUAUAAGAUGUUCAAUUAAUUUUAAUUGCUAACAUCUUUUUUUUUUUCUACAUUUAAGCUCUUAAUUUAUAAAAAUAUAUAAGCUUAAGUAUUUUCAAUUAUAAAUUAAAUUUUAGAUGUUAAUCUACAUAUUUAAUUUAAAGGCUUUUAGAGCUUAGCUUUGAAACAUAUUUUUUGAAGAUUCUUCUUAGAAUAUAUAUAUAUAUAUAUAUAUAUAUAUAUAUAUGUAUAUUUUUUUUAAUAUUUCUUCCAAUGUCAUCACUAUGUUCAUUGGAAGAAAAAUAUAAAGUAUAUUAUUUACUAAAUUACAAUCUUUGAUGUCUUUUGUAUAUAGCUAUUUAAAAGAGCUAAUUUUAUUGCAUUUAAUAGCCUUUUAUUUAUCUACUACUCCUUAAUUAUCACCUAUAUAUUAAAAAUAUAAUUUAAUACAAGUAUUAUAAUCUUUAUUAAUAUCCUAAGUUAUUUCUUUGUAAUAACCUUUAUAAACACUAUAAAGAACUAGCCUUAGAUAUCCUUCAUACAUCUUAAGAUUAGCCUCCAUGUUUUUUAAAUAUCACCUUUGAAAUCCUUAAUUAAUUUUCUUUCUUGGAUUUCUUUCUUAAUAGGAAAUUAAUUAUUAAGCAUAGACUGCCACUUAUGUUGAAAGACUUAUUUUGUGGUAUAUUCAUUCUAUAUAAUCAAACCACACUUAAUAUUUUCUCUCUACCACCAUUUAAAAUCUCUAUGGUGUAUUCAAAGCUAUAAAAUUUACUGUGAUAUAAACUUGAAGCUAAUCUCUUGAUUAAUAAUAUUUAUAUUAUACUAAUAUUUAGUUGUUCUUCUUGUAGAGUGAUUAUUCCAGAGUUUGACAAAGAUUUAAGAAUUAAUGUAAAGUCCCAACAUUAAUUCUACUAAUUUAGAACUUAUUUCAAUUACUAUCAAGAUAUUUAGGAAUAAAGUGAAAGACCACUUUUCUUUAUAGUAGUUUUUGUAGGAUUUAACAAGCACCUUAGCCUUGGAUUAACAACACCUUCUACAACCAUUUAAUUUUGAAGGACCACCCUUUUUCUUAAUGCUUUAGUUUCCAAAAGUCUCAAAAAAUGUCUCCAACCUUAACGUUUAUCUCAUCUACUAUAAAAUCCUAAAUUAUUUCAAUGUAAUAGACUGAAAUUUGUCAUAUAUUAUAUUAUAUGAUAAAUAAAUAAAAAAUCAUACCUUAUGUAUGUUACAAGUGUAUAUCACCAAAAUUCAUCAAAGAGAUUAUAAUGGAUUUAAAGAGUUUUUUAAAACACAAAAGAAUUAAAGUAAUUGGCUUACCUCAUGCUUCUUUUAAAUUAAUAAAAAUUCUUAUAUAUAUAUUUAUAAUAUUUUUUAAAAUAAUUAUAUUAUAUCCAAUUGAUAGAUAUAAAACAUUUAAGUUUUUUUUUAAUAAUAUGGAAGAAAAGAGAAGACAUUAAAAUUGAUAGAAAAAUAUUUUUUAAAAAAAUUAAUAUUUUUUAUUAAUAACUAUAAAUAAUUACAAAUUGGAUCUUAAUUUAAUCUUAAGAAACCAUUAAAAUUAUAUCCAUGAAAAAAUAAUUAUUUAUAGCUUAUAAUAGACUAAGUAGAAGAAAAAAAAUAGUUUAAAAGUAGAAUUAUUUUAAAUUAAAAAGUUAUAUUAUUUUUUAGAAAUUCACCAAUUUAAUACAUUAUCUCAAUUAAGAAUUCUAACUUCUUAUAUCAAAUAAGAAAAAUUAUUAUUAAAAAAAUUUAUUAAAGAAUUAUAUAAAGAACAUUUAUAGGAAAAUUUAUGAAUCUAAGAUAUAUAAAAUAUAGCUUUAGAUUAUAAAUACCAACGAUUAUUAGAGAAAUCCAAUAUCAAUAUAGCAAACAAAUGAAAGAAAAAAUCAAUACAUUAGGAUUUAGAUAAAUUAUAUGUAUUUUUUUUAAUUCUAUUUUUAUAUCAUGUAAGUAAUUUGUACCUUGGUUUAUAAUACCAAUAGCAUAUUAUAGAUGAUUGAGUAGUUUGUUUUACUACAAUAUCAAAUAAAGGUCUUAUAUGUUGUUAUCAUAAAUAGUUUCUAUCAAAUCUUGUAUUUUUGAAUGAUUUUAGGUGGUUAAAAAAAAUCUUUUAUAUAAAAGGUAAUAUAUUUUAGAUUUAUUUAUUUAGAAGAAAUAAUAAAAAUUUAUUAUAUGAUAUUAGAUAAUAAUUUUAAAAAAUUAUAGAUCUUCAAUUCCAUAUUAUAUUUAUUACUACUUUUAUGUUCUUCAAAUGUAAAGUAUAAAAUUAUAGGUAAUGGCUAGACUUUAAUGCAUUUUUAAAGUCAUUAAUAAUUUUCUUUGAUUUUCGUAGUUCAAUAGAGCCUUAAUCUUUAUACUACAUGUGUAAUAAAUCUUUGCAAAGAAUAGAGAAAUUAAAAGAGAAAAGAAAAGAAAAGAAAAGAAAAGUGUGAAAGAAUCUACAAUAGAUGUGAAAAUGAUGUGAUUUUUUUCUCUUCAUUAAAUUGAAGGUUAAUUGUUUGCAUCUCUCAUCUGUUCUGCUGUUUCUUUUCUCUAUUAAUUAAUUUGACUCAGCACAGAAAUAAAUUUUCACAAUUCAAUUCACUAUUAAUUAAUUUUACUCAGGACUAUAAAUUAUUAAUUAAUAAUAAAAUUAAUUAAUAGUGAAUUUGAGCAGGGCUCCUCUGUGCUGAGUAGAUUUGGCAUUAUGGGAAGCAGACUAGCAACAGAUUCUCUUACUUGUGACAUCUACGAUAGGAGCUACGAAGAUCCUAUGACCAUUAUGAAUCUAGUUAUGUUGCACAUGAGCCUUUUAAUUCAUUUUGCUUAUGGAAAACUUGCAUUAUUCAGCACUCCCUGCCAGAAAAAAAAGGAAUGAAAAACAUCAUGCCUUUCAAGCGUUGACGUUGCCUUGCCACGAUCACUGCACCAGAAUGGCGGCGGGAGGCGCAAGACGGUUAUUUUGUAAUCAAAAUGACCCUAGUUAUGAACAGAAGAUAUGUGCGAUGCUUAUAGAUUCUGUUUACGCUGUCGGAGUCAGAUAGAAAUGAAGAGGCUGAGAAGUAUGUCAACCAACACUGGAAGAGGGUGGGAUUUCCUAAAGCCGCUGGACUUGGUGCAGAAGUUUACUACCGCGUUUACCCUGAUCGAAACGCGAGCGCUCCGCGCUAUGUCAUUGCUUUCAGGGGUACCGUGCUGCGUUACUUGCUUGAUGUGAUUGCAGACAUACGAAUUAGACUUGGGAAUCACCAAAGCAAGUGGGUACAGGAAAUUCAGGCUCUGGUUCUGGAAGUGAUCCAAAAAAUCCGAUGUGAGGGUGGAAGAAUUGAACAGAUCCGCUUAACAGGGCUCCCCCUCGGGACGGAGAUUGCACUUCUGACCGGCAUCCAUUUCAAAAUCCAAGCACGAUAUCCACAAUGAGACCCUUCUCUUCAACCCUCAUAAGCUGACGCUUGCUAGCUUUAUAGCAAGGAAGUUUCGCCCUCCGCAGGUUACGAAUGAGGAGCCCUCUUCGGUUGGCACGAAAGCCACAGACCUUGUUGGAGAUGUGGGCACAAAGAGCUCGUCAAAACUGAAGGCAGAGUAGGAGGACUUUCAGAAGCUUCGGGAUUGGGUACCUCGCUUCUAUUUGAACUCUCACGAUCCCAUUUGCCCUCAAUACAUCAAGUUCUACAAGGAGCGGUACCAGUAAGCCACUAUUCACAUGCAGGACACACCACUUGCUUUAAACUUUUCUCCAUAAAAUCAUCAAAAUGUUAGUAAGACCUCCCCGAAGUUAACUGACGUGAAGAUGUGAAUGACUGAGUCCUUCGUCUGUAAACAGCACACCAACGGUUGGGAUAUGCAGUGCAUGUGCUGUGGUUGCUUUCAUAGCUGUUUCCUGAGCGAAUAGUCUGAUCGAAUAGCAAUGCAGUGAUCGAGAAGUUGGUGAGACGCAAGCAGGCAAAGGAAAAACAAAAGGUGGGGGUGUCGGGUUAAAAAAAGGUGAAAAAACGCAAGUGUGUGUUCUGCAUCAUUGGUUUACAAGGCCCUCGGCUGUAUCGUUUAAGAAAAAUACUUUACUUCUUACCAUUUGUCUAUCUAGGGUGCCUCUGUCCUAAAUUAAAGUAUUGUAGUCCAUCUUCUAUGAUCUUCACCAUAUAAUAUAUGUGGACCUUGAAGACCACCCUACUACCCUAUAUGUUUUGUCUACUAUGCAGUAGUCUUUUCAAAUCCUCAUGUGUGUAUGUGGCAAGGUUUGUUAUCUCUAUUGUAUUUUGUUCGACUUCUGUUGUGUUCUUAUUCUCUAUUUCUGCUUUUCUGUAGCUGUUGGCAUCUACUGCAACUAGUAGAUCAUCUAUUUCAUUCUAUAAUACUAUAUUAAAGAACUCAAUAGUGUACAAACUAGAUUGUCUGAUCAGUUGAGAUUUUGGAUGUCUUUGGCUGAUUUGGGCAAGAAAUUGCCUAUGUUGCUCCAAUUGUUGCUAUCUUAUGUCUAUAUAGUGCAGUUGCCUAUGUUGCUCCAAUUAUUGCUAUCUUAUGUCUAUAUAGUGUUGUGAUUGAUCAAGGAUUGGUCCUCAAUAUUCUUCUCCAUCAUAGUCUUCGCUUGGUGGUAUUGCUACUUGUUGUGAUAUGAUUUGCUCUGCUUGUUCUAUGUAAAUAUUUGUAUCUUAUAUUUGUUGUUUUAUGUCCAUAUGUAGUUGUAUUAUUGUCAUCCCUCUAUCAAGGAUUGGCCCUUGAUAUUCCAUUCUCUUGUUGUCUUCAUGGUCAGGUUCAGUUGUUGAUACUACUUCUUGUUAUAGUAUAAAUUAUUUUUCACAUCUUAUUUUGUUUUGCAGUGAGAUGCUUCUAGGGAUGGUUUUUUUGUUAUAUUUUCAAGUUGUUGCUAACCUCUUAGUUCUAGCCACACCUCUUAGAAUAAGGUGUCGAUAACUCCAUCCAAAUUUUGCAUGACUAUUGUAUCUUUUGUGCUUCUAGACAUGUUAUCUUAUGAAUACGCUUUAUCUUUCUAUGUGAUGGUGUAUUUGAAAGGGUUGAGUCUUUGACAUCAAUAGGCUGUAGAUCACUAGAUGUAAUAGAAGAAAUAUGUUUGAUAGAGUGAGGUACCAUUUGGGUUCUAAUCUAUUUAUUGCAAAGAUAUCUUUUGUAAUUCAAAUCUUCAUGAAUUUGAUAAUCAUGUUUGAUUUCCGUUCUUCACUUUGAGUAUGCUUGAAUAUUUCAUUCCUAAUUUCUACAUUCAUGCAUAUAAUUAUUUUUUAUGUAUUAUACAAAACUUUUCCAAGGUUAAAAUACUUUUAAUUGAAUUCUUAUACUCAUUUGGCAACCCAGAUGUUCCAUAGUAAGUUGCAUCUCAAAAUCUUCCAUGCCAUAUUAGUUGAGAUCAUAGAAUUCUUUGAGUCUCAUUUGGAUUAUUUUUCAAUGUCUUUAAUACUUGCAAUAUUGGUAAUUUCUAUUAGCACAAUCUACCAUGUGUCAUAUAUCUUAGAGAGGUGCGUAAAUUAUUGGAGAGCUUGUAAGUAAGUCUAAGCUUUUUUUACUUAUAUAUAUGCAUAUAGUGCAUGCGUGGCAAACUCCAGCUCAUCAAAUGGAUAAAGUUUGCACAUACUAUCCUCUCUAGCUAUGCUUCUUCACUUUCCUACUAGUAAUCCUCUUACCAUUGUUAGCCAAAUCAUUGCAAAUAUUUUUCUUGGUAGCUACAAAUGCCAUACUCUUUGUAUUAUUUGUUUGAUCUAUUGAUUUUGAUACACUUAAAUACAAAGAUGUGUAAUUCCUAACAUUAUGUUGAAUUAUUCUCUCAAGCCUAUUGAGUAUCUUGUUUGAUAGUCUAUCCAAAGAAAUAAUUUUUUUUGAUGGUGCCUAGUUUUUUUUUACUUACAAUCUUUUCGGUCCUAAAUAAGGUCUGCUACCUAAAUUGUGACUUAAUUGUGUCUCAAAUAGCCAAAUUUUAGAUUCUUGCCAUAAUGAAUUUGUUAGAUUGUAGCCUUCUAUGGUGUUUGCUAAUCCGCUUAUUUAAAUGACUCUGACUUAUUGUAGUAGACCUAUUGGUAGUUGAACUAGUAUAUCAUGAUUAAUUUUGAAUUCUUCAAAUCCUUAUUUCUUGUAGUUAAUUACAAGUCAAGAUCAACCACUUUGUCUUUGAGGUAAUAAACUCAGGUGAUUGGACCAAAUAUUUGUGUCAUGAUCUAAUCUUUGAAUUAUAGUUAUUGGUCAUUGAUAAGGUCAAAAUUCGUCAAUCUAACUUUAAUAAUUGGAUUUCAUUUUUAUAUUAAUUUUGAUCUAGUUUUGGCUACAAGCUCUUCUAUAGGCCUCUAAUCUUGUAUGUCUUUCUGCCAUAUAUCCUUCAUUGCAAAUACUUUAUUUAAUGUCUAUGUUCCAAAAGUCGAGUUGAAUUUGGACCUUAAUUGUUCUCCAUUUGACUUGUAGAUAAAAGAAUUGCGAAAUAAAGAUUGAUGGAAUUUUUAGACUUAUAUUAUUAGAUUGACUUAUUGUAGGUCUGUCUGAGUUUUUGUUUAAGAUUGAAUCACUAUUUUUUACAACAAGGUUGCUGCUAGAAGAGUCUUUUUUAUAUGUAAAAUCCAAUGUAAGCUUAUAGGCCAUUGUCUUGAUCCAAUUAUCCUUGAGUGAUUUGCUUUAUGUUGUAAAAAUAUUUUUUAAGGUUCAAAACAUGGUUUUAAGUCUCUCAUCAAUAAUUUGGUCAUAAGAGCUUCGACUUAGAUUUGUUGAUUGAGUAUCUUAAAUCUUCUAAUUGCAAACAAUUGAAUUACCAUGCACCACAUAAUCUUAGCCUGAGUAGUACUACCCACAACCUUAACUCAUACAUUAUUGUAUUAUAUGAAGUCUUGCUCAAGAAUCCACUAUGCAUCUAGCUAUAGAAGGUAGAAUGGAAAUUGUAACAACAAAAUCAUAAUUCUAAUAGAAUAUUAAAUAACUCUAAUUAAAUCUUUAAAAAUACUAACCAAGUUCUAAUCAAAUUUUUAAAAAAAUCUUAAAGAAAUUACAAAAGAUACAAUAAGAAAUCUUAAAUGAGUUUAAAAGAAAUCUUAAAGAAAUAUUAGAAUAAUCACAAAUAUAUAUUAAAUAAAUCUCAAUCACGUCCUAAUUUAAUUCUAAUUGAAAUCCUAAUGGAUUUCAGUCAAAUCUUAGGCCAAAUCCUAAAUCCUAAGCAAAUCUCAAAUUCUAAAUCAAACUCUAAAUAAAUCUUAAAUCCUAAAUCAAAUCCUAGACAAAUCCUAAAUCUUAAAUCAAAUCUUAAAUAAAUCCUAAAUUCUAAACUAAAUCUUAGACAAAUUCUAAACAAAUUUUAAAUAAAUCCUAAAUCCUAAUCUGACUUUAAAUCCUAAUCAAACCUUAAUCUUAAGCCAAUCCUAAAUCCUAAGCUAACUUUAAAUCAAAUCCUAAAUCCUAUUCUAAUCCUAAAUCCUAACCAAAUCUUAAUCAAAUCUUAAAUCUUAAUCCAAUCCUAAUCCUAAAUCAAAUCUUAACAAAAAUCUAACCAAUUCAAUCUAAAUUUAGUACAAUUUAGAACCUCAAUAUUUAUUGAUUAAACUAUCAAAAUUACUUAAAAUUUUAUCUGCUUUUUAAAAACUAAGUUAAGAAUAAAUAUAAAAUAUUUGAAGAUAAUCACACUCACCAAAUAGAAGAAAAAACCUAAAAUCCAAUAAGGUGUUGGCUGGUCUUAUACUCCAAUCUGAAUGUUGAAUUUCUAACACCAAUAUCUUCUUUUCAAACUAUUUAAUAGUUCUCAAAUUUUACAUAUGUGUAUCAAAUCAAGUCUAUUAUCUUUGUACAUAAAUUUCACUCCAAUCAAACUGGUAGAUUGCUAAAGAUCUUAGAAAUCCUAACUUCCAAUUUCCAAGACCUCAAGCUACUUAAAAUUCAAUAACCUUCAAUUCAAUCGUUUGAUUAAGCUCAAACUUAUAACAUAUUCUUCAAACAAUUAUUUACACAAGUCUUAAAAAUUUGAACUAAAGAUCUACUAUCAAAUUCAUGAAUUUUUUUAAAAUAUAAUAUGUUUUUUAUUUCACAAAUUCUAAAAUUAUUUAAAACAAUUGUAACUUUGCAAAGCUCUUACAAAGUCAUUGCACACUCAAAUCACUCAAAAUCAAUGUCCAAAAAAAUUCUAUCCCGUCUGCUUUCAAAUUCUACUCUCUAAUUUGCAAAAAAAAUCCCAAAGUUACUGUAGGUGUCUAGUUUUGUACCCUGGGGUCUGAUUUCGACCCAUGUUGAUAAUUGAUCUUGUGGAUAUCAAAUUUUAUCUUUUUGAGUUAAUUUUUACUAAAAUCAACUUCUAAAUUCUAUCUACAUAUGUUUAUAUUUUUUAUUUUUUUAAUCUAUCUUGUAUUACCUUAUUCAUGGUCUUACAAAGUAAUUAGAAGCCUACUUUAAAAAAGAUAGUAUUUACACCUUUAGUUUUAUUUUCUUUUGGACUAUUGUCUAUUUUUUAAGAUAAUUUGUUAUAAUAUUUGAAAUAAGUUCUUCUAUAAUAUAAUAAUUUCUUUACCCUUUUCACCUAUUAGUCAUGUUAUAUCAUGAUAUCUACGUCUGCUUAACUUGUGCAUCUUCUAGCAUGCAUUAAUGAUUCUUCAAUAUGUUGAUAUAGAGUAUUUUUUUUUUGUCUUGGUCAGAUUCUUGAUCUUCAAUGUGUUCUUCUUCUUCCAUCUCAAUGUCUUGUAAUAGAUUUUAUUUUUUUUAUCAAAAUGAAUGUUUUUAGCUCUUUGUUUAAAUAACUUAAUUCUCUUAUCUGCUAUAGGUAUCUUUAAUUUUUUACCAUGAAAUUCUUGUAAUAAGUAUGUUCCAUUGUUGUAUACUUGUUUGACAACAUAAGGUCUAAACCAUCUCCUUGCAAAUUUCUUUACCAUUUUAUACUGGUUGUCCAAAUUACUAUCAUAAAUUAAUAUCUAAUCACCAUUUCGAAUUAAUUUUGGAUACAAUCAAUGCUUUUUGUCAAACCUUUCUUUAUUUUUUUGCCUUACCUCUUUUAAUUUUCUUAUAGCUUCUUCAAUAUCCUUGGAUCUUCUUUCAAGUUGUUAAAUUUGUAAUGCUAAUAAUUCUUCUCUUAUUAAAUCAACUUCUCAAGGUAAUACAUUCCAUGUUGGUAUAACCUUCUUUAUUGGUAUCACUGGUUUUUGUUCAUACAUCAAUUCUAUUGACAUGUAUCUUAUAAUUUUACUAUGAAUUAUAUAAUGUGCCUAUAAUGUAAAUGAUAAUAAUUUAGGCCAAUCACCUAUCUUGCUUUUGCAUAUUUUAACCAAUGCUUUAAUAAUUGGUGAGUAACCACAUUCACUUUUGCUAUUUUUUUCCACAUUGUAUACAUUUGUUAAUGCGAGUCUAAUACCCAUCCUUCCAAAGAACUUUUGUGCUUCAUUUGCAUCUAAUUCUCUUCUAUCAAUAAUGAUUUUUUUAAUACAACCAUAUUGGCAAAUAAUUUCUUCCAAAAAUAGACUGACAUAUCCCUUUAGUAGUCUUUGUUCAAAGUACUUUCUCUUCUAUUUGAUUUGUCAAAUCCUCUUGAAUAAGUACCAAAUAUUUCUUUUGUCUAAAUCCCAUUGGCAUUGCAACUAAAUCAACUACCAAUUUAUAAUGAAUUUCUAAUGGAUAUAUUUGUUGUAAUCUAUUUCAAUGAUAAAUAUUUGAAUAUAUUUGACAAGUGUUAUAAGAUCCUACAAAAUUUGCCACAUCUUUAUAUAUGCCCUUCCACCAAUACUUUUCUUUUAUCUUUGCAAAUGUUGCCUAAAUACCUCAAUGUCUAGCCUACCAACUUUUAUAAAAUUCUUAAAUGAUAUUUUAUUGAGUGCCAUAAUUAUAUACAACUUGUUUUGGCACUCCAUCCCUUUCUUUUGAAUGAUUCUAUAAAAAUCUAUCUUGAAGAAAAUAUCCAUAGGCCUCUUUUUGAAUUUUUUUAAACUCAUAAUCUGUCCAAUCUUUUUGCAGCUUUAAUAUACUUAAGUAUUUUUUUUAUAUACAACUAUUCACCAUCAUAUAACUCUUUUGAAAAUAAUUCAAGUGGUGUAGUCAAACACAACCUAUCCUUUCUUACAUACAAAGUUGAAUAAAAGUUAGUGCUGAUAUUUACUUCAUCAUCAACCAUAUCAUAUUAAUCAUCGUAUCAUGCUUAUGACAACAUAUCUACAACUGCAUUGCCUUUUUCAAAAUAUGCUUAAAUUUUAGAUUCAUAAACUUUAUAUAUACAAUCCAUCUUAACAUUACUAUAUCUGGUAUAGAACAACUAAUAAACAUGCCUAAUAAGGAUUAAAAAAAAUUGUUUCUAUAACUACUGAUACACCAAUUAAAUAUUCUUUUUUAUUUUUCAAAGUUAUUACUACAAUUAUUCAAAAAAAUAUUUCAAUAUUGACAUAUUUUGGGAAUGGUAUAUUAUAGAUGAAUUAUAGCAAAUAAUAAUAUGUGAUUUAUAUAGCAAAUAAAGUACUAUUUUACCACUAUAAAAUGAGCUUAGGUUGAAAAGAAUUUGUUAGGUAAUUAUGGAGCUAUGACCAAUCCAAUUUGGAACAAUAUUGAAACAUUUUUUUGAGUGUAGUAUCCAAUUAUAUAUCAAUAUUUUGUAUGACCUUCUUUGGCCUUGAUAACUACUUCCAACCUCUUAGGCAUACUUUCUAUUAACUUUUGGCACAAAAUUACUUUAAUAUUAUUCUAUUCUAUAACUAUUCUGUCUUAUAAUUUCCAAACUCCUUUUGGUUUUAUCUUCCAAGUGUUGAGCUGGUGUUUAAGGUGCUCCCAAAGAUAUUCAAUAGAAUUAAGAUCAAAGACUAAGUUGGCUAAUUCAUUACUUUAAUUCCAUGAUGAUCAAACUACUUCCAUGUUAGUUUUGAGUUAUGCUUGGAGUCGUUAUCUUCUUGAAAAAUCACCUCUUCUUCAAAAAUGUCAAAUUCUUUAAUACUUGAAAGUAGGUUUUUUUCAAGAAUUUCCACAAAUUUCUUGGCAUCUAUUCUUCCUUCAACCUCUAUCAUCCUUCCAACUCCAUUCCAUCCCAUAUAACUCCAUACGAUUAUAUUUCUACUUCCAUGCUUAAUUAUUUCUUAGAACUUCUUAUUAAGUAAAGACUGACUUUUUUGUUUCUAUACCCACUUUCUACCAUCUCAUCCAAAUUUGUUAAUUUUUGUCUCAUCUGACUAAAUAAUCCUCUUUCAAUCCUCCAUAGUCUAUUCUUUGUACUUCACAACAAAGUUCAAGCAUUGUUUUUGAUGGCGGAUAGAUAGUAGUAGCUUUUUUUUCUUUACUAUAGCUUUCAUAUUUCAUUUAUUGAAAAUAUUUUGAAUAAUUUGGAUUGACACAAGAUUACUAAUAAUAUUAUUAAGGUUUUUAGCAACCUCAAUAAUAUUUUCAACCUUCUCAAUGUUGAUUUGGCAAAUGAUUGCCUUUCAUCUACUACAUUAAGUUUCUUUGGUUUGCCUAAAUUAAGAUUUUCCCUAUUAAAAGUGAUCUUUUUUGCUAGUAUAGAGAUAGUAGCUUUAUUACAACCAAAUUCAAAAGCAAUUUGACUAUAAGAUUUUUGAGAAUGAAGAAGAAAAGAGGUGAUUUUGUCUUGGAGAGAGUAGAGAAUAGAUCUCAUAGUUGUCUAAUGAGUUAUGAAAGACACAAGAAUCUAGUAAAGAAAUAUGUUAAGAUUAAAGACAAAGAAUGAGAUUGAUAGAAAAAGUGGUUCUAAAAUUUCCUAUUUAUAUUGUAAUGAAGAUUAUAAAAGUCUAUGGUACUUUCUAUGGAAGUUUUUAGAAAUCUAAAGAAGCUUUUAGAAGUCUAAAGAGGCUUCUAAAAGUCUAUAGAACUUUCUAAAAAAUUAUGGAAGAUUCUACAAAUAUCUAGAAGGUUCUAAAAAUUUGUAGAAGAUUUUAGAAGGUCUUAGAAUGUAGUAAUGUGGAACAUGUCGAUGCAAAAUUUUUGAUUAAGAAUGGUACUUUUAUAUUUAAUAAUAAGCAUUAAUGAUAAUAUUAAAUUAGUAUUAAUAUUAUCAUAAUAAAUCUGAUGAUGAUAGAAUGUUAUAAUGCUGAAUAAAUAAAAGAAUCCAAAAAUUAGAGGCCACAUUCAAAAACUUAUUUCAAUAAUACUCCAAAUUAGAUGGAUCAUAGCUCUACAAUUACCUAAUAAAUUCUUUUCAACCUAAGAUCAUUUGAUAGUUGUAAAGGAGUACUUUAUUUGUUAUACAAACUACGUGUCAUUAUUCAUUUCAAUUCAUUUGUAAUACACCAUUCUUUCCAAAAUAUGUUAAUAUUAAAAUAGUUUUUUGAAUCAUUGUAUACUCCAUAAUUUUCUUUUUAUUUGUGCAUAUGUCCUCUGCCUAGCAUUUAAAACCUUUGCCUUAAAUCUAACUACAUAUUUAUUCUCAUGUUCAUCAUCUUGUCUAACUAUCUAAUCUUUUCUAAUUGAAUUCGCAUCAACUAUUAAAAGCACCAAUCUUCUACAUUUAUAAAUUAUUUUCUUUAAAGUUGGAGGUGAAGAAAGAAAUUCUUUCAAUUUUUCCAUUGUUUUUUUUUUGUUCUUCUUUUCAAUGAAUUUUUUUACACUUUUGUAAUAAUUCAUACAAUAGAUCUUAUAUUGUGGUUAUUAUUUUAUUUAUUCUACAAAUUUCUUUCAGAAUAAACCUGUAGAGGGAGAUUCAAAUAUAGGAAAAGACUAUCGCAUGAGCUUACACAUUAAGAUCACACAAUUAACUAUAAUCCAAACCACUAAUAUACCAAGAAAUACUACAAUGUUUUUUCUUAGUAAUAAUACUCCUUCAUCAACUGAUAACAACAAUGUGCAAUCCUGCACUUUCAAAAGAUAGCUCAAAACACAUAAAUUCCAUCCAAUACUAGAAAUAACACACUUCACUUUAAUCAAUCUGAAUUCACACAAUUUUUGUAAUCACAGACUUCCUCUGUCAAAACACACACAACUUUCAAUAAACAACAAUCAUAAUCUUCUAUCCAUAAUCAAUCUUCUAAUAACUUCUCAUAUAAUUCAAUCACACAGUACUCCAAUUAUAUAAUCAAUAAUUCAUAAAUCAAUCUCUCACUUAUUCCAUAGAUUUAUUUCUCAGUAUUCAAAAACCAUCCAUUACUCUUCAACAACAAAGAAACAAAGAGGUAGCACCAAGCUUACCCUGACUCAUGGCUAUCACAGUUUGGCCCUUAUAACAUCUUCUUCAACUUACUUAUGCUUUACUUCUGAAAUUUCAGGUUCUAAUUUUCAUUCUCUACUUAACUAUUUUUCACAAAUAAUUCAAUCAUCCGUACUGCUGAAUUGACUAUCCUAAGAAUGAUUAAUCUACUUUACUAAUAUCUUAUAAAAAAAAAAUUCUAUCUCUUCUAUAGCUACAUGUGUAAAAUGAGGUAUUCAUAUAUGAUAGAAAAUACAUGUUCCUAAAAACCUUCAAACUUUCAUUGUAUUUGCACAUUCUUUCAUCUUUUUAAUAAUUUCAAUCUUUUCUUUACUUGUCUUGUGUCCAUAUGAUCUACACAUGUGUCAUACUACCAAAAAUUCUUUUACUCCAAACAUUGAUUUUGUCUCCAAUAAGGUUAAAUGAACUUCUUCUAAUCUUAUCAAAAUCUUUUCACAAUCAUCAAUAUGAUCUGCCGCAAACUUCUUACAUUCUUUUGAAUCCAAUGUCUCGUCUUUUCUUUAUUUUUACAUUUUUUAAUUGGCACUCAUCUAAAAAAGAUAUUCUUAUACUCAAAAUAAAUUUUCUUAAUAUCUUAUGCAUUCCAUUCAUCAUGUGUGGUACAAAAUUUGUAGCCCCUUGUGUUAAUGUACACAUUCUCACCAAUUCUAUUCUCAUCAUCAUAAUUGUGAAAUCUCUACUUUGCAUUGCUAAUUGAAAUUGAUCAUAUCUUGAAUAAAAAUUGCAUAUAGAAUAAAAUAAUUUUUUUACAAAUGCCUCUACAAAUUCAUCUAUUGUUAGACUAGAAUCCAUAUUUUUAAUAGUUAUCUUAUUUAUUGAAUGCAUGUCUUAAAUAAACCUCAAUGUUUUUUUUUUCUUAUGUAUUGUGAACUAUCGAUUAGAAUAUGGUGCAAUAGAUGGUUCUAAAAUUCUCAUCUUAAUCUUUUCAUUGAGUAAUUCAACAAGCUUAGCCAAAUAGGCUUUUGAAAUAGAAAUUAGCCUUAAAUUCCAUGAUUCAUGUAGAAUUGUGAAAAUAACCAUACGUGCCACUACACUUAAAUUCACACAUCCUAUUUCAUUUGGUUCAAAUUCAAAUGCCUUGUCAUGUCAAGAAAACAUCUCUUUGAAACAUCUUUCUUCAUCUUUCUUCAAAAAGUCCUUACAUCCAAUCUUCAAUCUAGCUAAUAUCAAAUUAUCUUUAAAUUCAUGCCCUAUUUUUCCUAGAUCUUUCAAAUUUGAUUACAUAGAAGCCCUUUCAAUCCUAUUCUAAUACUCCAAUGAUAGUGGCAAUGCUACUAGUUUAACAUUCUUGAUAAUAGUCUUGUAUUUAGUUUCCACCUUCAUAUUAUAUUUAUUAAUAUAUUCUUUCACUUUAUUCUAAAAUUCCUUAGAUUAUAUAUUUACUAACUUAUCAUCAUCCUCAAAUCAACUACAAUACAAAGAGAAGGCAUUACUAAUCUUUUCUACUAAAUCUUAGAGAAACAACACAUGUCAAUAAAAUAAUCAAUGAAAAUAACUUAGACAAUAACUUAUAGGAGGAGAUUUUUAAUUCUAUUAACUGAAUUUGUUGUUUACAUGAUGACAUGAUAAAAAAAAACAUCCCAAGUUGCACCAUUUUUGGAUUGAAGAGAUCCUAUAUUUAGCUUGAAUUAUAAAUAAGGUUGUUAGCAACAGUCAUGAAGAAGUGAAAUUUUGGACAUCUUCACCUUCAAUUAUGUGUUCCUUAUAUCUAAACAUGAGAAGAAAGUGCUUGAAGUCUAUCAAAAUUGAUAGCCAUUCCAUCUUACAUGGAGACUUGGAAUCAUACAAGCAUACAUAUAAAGCUAUCAAGAUGUACAACAAAAAGAUUUACGGUCUCAUGAGUUACACAAUUCACUAGUUUAAAUUUAGUGUUAAGGAUGCCAAGUUUAUCUAGAACUUUAGAGAAUUUGGGAGAAUUUAUGAUCCCUUUCCUUGGCUUCUGGCAUAUUUUAUUUGUAAUAAUUAUAUCCACAAAUGUUCUAUGGAUAUUCAUGAAAAAUUAAAAUAAAAAUAAAGUGAAGGAAAAGCACAAGUAUUAUUAAUGCCACCAUUAUGUGAUAUUUGUUCAAAAUGAAAAAUUCAUCAUCAUCAACUUUUGAAACAACUAUGGUUUUUUAUUUCUAUAGAUUUUAUUAAGAAUCUUUUAGUUUUAAGUUUGUAUGAUUCUAUAUUUAUGAUAGUAGAUCAUUUUAUUAAAAUGAUAUAUUUUAUUUUAUAUACAAAAUCUAUCACAGAUAAAAAAAAAUAGUUAAGUUUUUUCUUGACAAUAUCUAUUGCUAUUAUGGAUUGUCCAAAGAUAACAUAUUUGAUAGGAUAAUUGAAAUUGUAUUAAGAUUUUGGAGAAUCCUUUUUUUAAAUUUUAAUAGUAGAUAUAAAGCUAUUUUUGGCUUUUCAUCCUUUAUUUAAUAGAUAAAUAGACCAUGUAAAUCAAGUUUUGGAGUAAUAUUUAAGAUGUACUAUCGAUUAUUAAUAAGAUGAUUGAACAAAUCUUUUGCUAUUGAUACAGUAUACUUAUAAUAAUAUAAAAUAUUCUUUUAUGCAACAAACAUCUUUCUUUUCUAAUUAUGAUUAUCAUUUAUAACUUGAUGCUUUUUAAUUCUCAAAAGUUAAAAAUCUUGGAGCAAAAGAUUUAAAGAAUUAUAUAUCUGGGUUAUAUACAAAAAUGAAGGUAUAAUUAAAAAAAGCUCCAAAAAAAAAUUUAAAUAUAUAUAUAUAUAUAUAUAUAUAUAUUAAAAUAAUUCAUUCAUUGGUGUGGAUAUGAUAUUAGUAAACAUACAUGGAAGUCUGCCAAGAACCUUGUAAAUGCAACAAAGAAGGUUUAGGCUUUUUAUCAAUGACAAUGAUAAAAAAAAAAAAAAAAAAAAGAUAAAGAAUAACAAGAUCCACAAAAGAUGAUGAUUGCUUCUUAUGAAACUCAUUCCUAGAAAGUGAGGUAAUGUCACAAAUAUAUGUAUAUUUAUUCCAAUAAUUAUUUAUAUGAUUAGAUAGAAAUAGAUAAAAGUAGAUUAAUUUUAUAAUAUCUUUUAGAAAAAAAUUCUAAAAGCUUUAUAGAUAAGAUUUUGAUUUUAUACAUAUUUCUAAUUGGUUGAUAGGUUAGAAACUUGGUCAACAAAUUAAUCACAUGUCACAUAUAUUAAUAGCUUGUGGAACAAACUAAUCAUAUGAUACAUAUAUAAGAAACUUGCCUUAUAAGUUAAGAUACAUAUCUUCCAAAGUCAACAUGUAUUAGAGAUUUUAUAGAAUAUUAUCAUACAAUUCUUAAUUAGAUAGUAUAUAUGAAGGCAAGAAUAAAGCCUUUUUCACUCUUAUCAAUGCCUUUUUAGUCUUUAGUCUUUUUUUGAGACUUUUUAGUCUUGUCUUUGGCAAUAGCCAUUUUGAUUCGAUAUAUUAUCAUCUUUGAGUGAUUUUUUAGACUUUUCAAGUGACAUAAGAGUGUAUUGAGAUUUUUUUUUUUUUUUUUAAUUUAUACCCUUGAUAGUAAUUCAUAUUGAUGAAUAUGAGAAAUCAAAUAUUAUUAAAAAAGCCAUAAAUUUACUUUUUUGUAAAGAGUAGAGUGAUGCCAUGAAAGAAGAAUUCAAUUCUUUGAAAGAUCAUGGUAUAUGGAAUUUUUUUUUUAUCCAAUGGCAAGAAGGUUGUGAAUUUAAAAUAUGUUUUUUUAAAAAAAAUUUAAUAGCAAUGGCUCUAUUAAAUAUUUUAAAGCACAAUUGAUUGCAAAGGAUUUUAUUCAAUUAAAAGAUCUUGAUUUUUUAAAAAAACAUUGCACUAAUUAUUUUUUUCACAACAAUUUGCAUAUUUAUUAUAAUUAUUGCUAUCUUUAAUUGGAAUAUAUUGUAGCUUGAUAUUUUUUAAAAUUAUUUAAAUUAUGAAGUUAAAAAAGAUGACAUUUAUAUAAAGAUUCUAAAUUUUUUGGAAGUUUUAUCAAAAUACAAAGAUAAGGUAUUGUAAUUAAUAAAGACUUUAUAUGCUUUGAAGAAAUCUGAAUGUGGAUGAAACAAGAAUUUAGAUAAAUCUUUAUUGAAUUCUCAUUGGAAGCACUUAGAAUCAGACUCUUAUUUGUACACAAUAUAUAUUGAAGAAUUAGUUCUUGCACUAACUAUCUAUGUUGAUAAUAUAUUUAUUAAUAGUAAGAACUUUGAAAUCAUUAUAAAAUAUAAGAAUGAAUUACAAGAGUGCUACAAGAUGAAAGACCUUGAUGAACCUAGUGAUUAUUUUUUUCAUUGAUUUUUUGUAAGUUAAAAAAAAUGGUACUAUUAAUUUUAGUCAAACUAAGUAUAUUUAUUGAAAAUUGGACGAAUUUAAAAUGAAAGUUGAAAAAAAUAAUUACUACACCAAUGGUACAAAGUCAUGUCACUAAGCAUGGAAAUGAUGAUCUUUUUUAUACAAAAGAUAUAAAUUUUUAUUAAACAACUUUAGAUUCAUUAUUGUAUCUUGUAAAUGGUACAAGGUAUGAUAUUGCAUUUGCCUAUCAACACUAUGCUCAAUACAUAGCAUAUCUUUAUGUUUUGCAUUGAAAAGAAUCAAAUGAAUAUUUUGUUACUUGUAAAGAAUAAGGUAUUUGAUAUUACAGUAUAGAGAAAAGAAAGUAAAUUUAUUAUUUAUAGACUAUAUUGAUACAAAUAGAGCAAGUUGUGUAGAGAUGUAUCAUUGAGUAGGAGAUUAUGUAUUUAUAUUGAGUAGAUAAAUUAUCACUUGGUCAAACAAAAAAAAAUCUUUAGUUUCUAUUUUUCAACAAAGAUAGAGUAUAUAGCUUUGGCUGCUUUAAUAAAAGAAACUUUGUAGCUCUAUAAAGUACUUAGAAAUUAAGAUCUUCUUGAGCAAGGAAGGAUUUUUAUUUAUAAUGAUAACUACAAUACCAUUGUUAUUGCUAAGAAUCUAGGACAUCAUACUCAUGUAAAGCAUCGGGAUAUAAAAAAUCAUUUUAUUCGGCAACGUGUGGAGAUAGAAAAAAUUGGUUUGGAGUAUUGUUCCACAAAGGAGACGGGGUUAGAAAUCUUUACAAAACCUCUUUUUAAAGAUAAGUUUUUAUCUUUUAGGAUAUAUUAGGUCUUAUUUUAGUAAAUAAUUAAAUCUUACUUCUAAAAAAUGAGUGUUGAAUAUUCCAUAUUUUAUAUAUGAAAAAUUAUGACUUAUCUAGGUUUUAACAAAGUCAUCAAAAAUAUCCUUUUCUUGGCUUUUGGCACAUUUUAUUUGCAAUGCAUGAUAUCCAUCAUGUUUUCAUAAUAUAUUCUAUUUUUAUAACAAAAACUUCAUUACUUGAAUAUGCCCACCAGAAAAUAGACUUAUCAAAUUAUUUGCUACAAGCAAGUCUUACUCUCAAAAACUCUAACCUAACUAUUUCAACUUAAGGCGUGUCAUGUUGUCAUAUUGUAACACAACUAUAUAAUAAAAAUAUAAUCAAAAAUAAAAUUUUCAUUAAUAUUUACUUAUCUUGAUUCAAUAAUAGUCCAAGAUAUUUAAACAUGGCUUUUAUAAAAGCCUCUUAGUUCAUUUUUCUAUCUUAAUAGCUAAUAGAUUAAAAGUUGAUUAAUAAUUUUACCUUCUAGAUUAUAAAAUUAUUUUUAUUACCUUAAAAAGAUUAUAAAUUGAUUAAAAAAAAUAAGAUAGAAGAGAUAAAUAAUUAAUAUAGUUGAUACUAAGAUUAAGUUGAAGGUGGCAUUGAGCUAAAAAAUUCCUAGGAUAGGUUGGAAUAAUACCUAGGAAUCGACUAUUUGUGAGACAUGAUCAAAAUCACACCUCUAGCUACUUAAAUGGCUAUCUAGGACAAAGUAAGGAAGCAUUUAAAGAUCAGCAAUAGGGAUUUGUGAGCUAGCUUCAAGCUCAUUUUAAAAGUGUAAAGUUUGUUUUUUUAGGAUUUGAAAUGAUUUUGCAAUUGUUGUUCAAAAUAAGGAUUUGUAUUGAUGAUUUGGGAUUUAUGCAAUACAAUUAGGCCUAUCACUCUUGAUUAGUUCAUACAAUUGGUUUCACAUCUAUGAUUUAAAAUUUAAUAGUGCUUAGCUGAUUAGGUGUGCUAAGUAUGUAUAAAAUUUUGUGUUAAUCUAAUAGUGAAAUUGAGAGAUAUCCAGGUUUUGGUAUAAGAAGGUAUUAGAAGUUGGCAAUUUGGAGCUGGGUAGGAUUUCUAUGAUAUCUGAAGAUCUAUAAAUUGGACCAAAGUGAAAUUUGGUAUAACAUUAAAAGACUUCAAGAUCAAGCUAUAUACUAAUUUUGAGUUGAACUUAACAAUUAGAAAAGGAGAAAUUACUAUUGGAAUAUUUGCAUUAACUUUCAAGUUGGUAGCUAAGUGACAUUAGUGCAAUUUUUGGGCUUUAUUUUCACAAUUUAUAAGUUGAAUUGGAUUGAAUUUUUUUAAGCACAUAGAAGACUUAUAUUGACAUUUGUAUGCAAAAUUUUGUACCAAGUAAAUAACUAGAUUAUAAUUUAUAGCUCACCAAAGCUCACUAACUAGAAUUAGAACUUACAAAGAGAAAUCAAAAUUACCUAAUUAUAAAAGUAUUAUGGCAUUGAGAUUUAUGCAUAGUUAAAGUUAUUAAGAAGAGUGUUUUUGAACACUUUACACUAGCUUUAAGCACUUUUGAAUUAAAAUUCAAAUUACAUUUUUCAUAUUAAAUGAAACCUAUUAGGAUUUCUUGGAUAUUUAUAAAAUAUAACUUUGCCUUCCAUAGCCACAUGCCUAUUGCAUUCCCAAAAAAGACAACACAUAUUACAACAACAUUCUAUGUUCUUCCAAAUUUGUAAUACUUAGAAAAGAAGCAAUGCAUCUCUAGCAGUUAAAUACACUCUAUAUGAUCAUGUCCAUAUAAAUAAAUAUAAAAACAUAAUAUCUUGAUGUUGUUAUCUUCUAAAUCAUUGUAAUGAAAUAGUAUGAUAUGGAUUUGAGGCAUCAUGGUUCUCAACCAGUCGUCAUCAUUACCAUAUUAUGAUGCUAUACUAAUGAAUUUUAUUGAUUGGAAUUGCUAUCAAAAAAAUAAUGGAUGUCUGUAGAUCAUAUCCUCACAAACAAUUUUGGUCCUAUUUGGCCCUCCAAUUAGAAAUCUAUUUGAUUUCUCUUACCAAAGAUAUUCUAAAGAUUCAAAACAUUCAUGUUUUUUGUGAAAUAAAAUUGUGAAAUUUGAAGAAUGUUGGAUGAAAAGCCAAGUCUCUUUAAUGAUUUAUAAAAGAUUAUACUAAGUUGUUAUACUUACAUAAAAUAUGUAAUAAAAUUUGAUGAAAGGGAUUUCGUGUCCAAACAAUAAAUGAACAUGUAGAAAUUUCACCACAAUAUAUAAUUGCACAUUUCUAAGUAGAGCAAAAAAGUAAACAACACAAACAAAACAAAAACAAAAACAAAAAACAACCUACUUGUAGGUGAGUACCUACUUGUAAGCACCAUGGCUAUUUGUUCGGUGAUGAUAUGAGCAACAUCUAUUCUAAUUGCUAACUAUCAGAUCUGCAUGCAAAUAUGACUAGCAGCAUCCUUUUUUCCUGAUUCAAUUGCUUCAACUAGACAUGCAUAUGAAAGGUUUUCUGGUGCUUUUUUUGGUCAAAUCCUUUCUUUUCCUUGCAAUUGUGAAAUAGUGUGGGGUGGUGACUCUCUCUUGUCAAAGCCUGCAACCUAUGGUUUCCAAGAGGCCUCACAUUGCGGAUGUGCCAUGGUCAUUGUCUCCGUGUCUCAAGGUGUGCCCUUAGAUGCUUACAUGUCACAGACCAUUACAAGUUUGCCAGAAAAGGAUUAAAUGUUAAUUUUACUACAUUAGAAUGCAGUCUCAUGUUUUUAUGUUUUUGGGUAGUAGAGAUGGAACAACUAAGGUUGUAGUAUAUGACUAGUGUAUCUUGUCAAAUACAGACAGUCAUUGCUACUACUUUUUCUUAUAUUUCCUUUUUUAAUGUUACUGUGUGUGUGGCUCACACAACACUAAGUACCAUGGCAGAAUGUUCAAACUCAACAAUUUAUGUGUGAGAUAUUUGUGUGUAGAGAGAGAGAGAAUGUGUCAGCUGCAUAAAUAUCUUUUACUAUAUUAGUGAUAUGUAUGAGGUAAAGGUACAAUAAAUUAUUCCUUUACCAAUGCCAUUGCAUAUUGUAUCAUUCAGAGUCAAGUUAAUUAUGAAUACAUGUUUUCCAAUAGGCAUAGUCCAUUGUACAAUUGUCCAUAUAGUCCAUGCUGAUACAGUAUGGAAUACAAGUAUAACAAAAUAAAAUAAAAAUAAAAAUGCUAAAUGUAGAAAAUAAUAAUUGGUCAAAAUGCAUUAUGGAGUAGAAUUAUGCAAAAGAAAGAAUCAACUUAACUCUGAAUGGAUUAAGCAUAACAAAGAAUGAAAAGGAUAUUAAGAAAAUCAAUAAUAACACAAAUUGCACAAAUACUUUAAAACUGAAAAGGACAAAAGAAAUAUUUAGUACACACACAUCAACCAAAAGCAAAUAAAAAGUACUUUUAUUAUAUAGAAAAAUUAAUUUUUUACAUGUAGAUGUAUGUAUGUGUGUAUGUAUGUGUGUAUAUAUGUAUGUAUGUAUAAAUGUAUGAACAUAUAUUUACAUUUACAUGUAUGCAAAUCUUUCAACAAUUCAAGAUGUAUAAAAGACAUUUUUUUGUUAUGAACCUUGAUAUACUUUUUAAUCUCAGUAAUAAUAUUGUAUAAAAUUGAAUUUAGAUUAAAAUGAAAUCUUUCAUAAUGAAAAACCACAUAAAUAUCUACUAGAAUUUUAUUUGUUUAAAACAGUUUUGUGGUACUUUAAAACAAUACAUCUGUAUUGUUUUAGUUCAAAUGAUAUAUCUGAAAAAAUCAUUGUUCAUGAGUUACUUGUUAUAUAACAUUUUAGUUGUCACUCAUGUUUUCUAUAGAUAGAUUUUUUCUGUUACAUCAAUAUUUUUCAAGUGUUUUCAUUGUGAGAUCAACCAUUUAUUUUGCUUUUUAUUUUUUGGUUCAAUUUAAGCAAUCUUGUUUGUUGUUGAGAACACAACAUUAUGUUGAAGUAUAGUAUUUUAGAGGUCAGGUCAUUUACUGAACCUUUACUUUUAAACUUCAUCUGUUGGAUUUGAUCUUUCCUCAUAUUUGUUGGCCAAGUUGGAUGCAAAUGCAAAUAAGGAGAAACCAGAUUGGUUCAAAGAGUUAUAUGCUUGUUGCCUAUGUGAAGUAAAAGUAUGUUGGAAUUUUUGCCAUUUCUAUGAUUACUGUCUGCGUUUUGAAGAAGUAUACUUUCUAAAAGGCAACGUAAUAACUCAAGUAGGCAUUAGCUUUCAAUAGACAGAUAUUCAUAAAAAGUUCGACUCCUGUAAAGACUAGAGUUGAAAAUGAGUUGCCUUAGAUUGAAUAUCAAAGACUAAGUCUGCUAAAUCAAGAGAAAAUCAAAUACAAAACAAGUGGUGCAAACACAGGUUAUCCAUGUUGGGUUUUAAUUCGCUCUACACAGUUAAAUGAGCUCUUUUAUCACAAUAAGUAAAUGUAUUUCCAACAUGCGAACUAAUUCUUCAAGCAAAAAAAUCAGGAAGCCGUUCUCUCGUAAGAAUUAUUGCAUGUUUAUUGCAUGAUUAUACACAUGAAAAAUAUUUUCACUUUUCACUUCGACAAUCAGAAUUCCGAGAUAUCAGAGGCCUACACGAAUACCAUCAAACCAACAUCUGGGACUUUGAAGCGUUACAGACCACUAAGGGGAGAUGUCCAUUCUUGAUAGAGAUGAAGCGUUCCAGUAAAAUCAGUGAACAUACCAUCAACGCUCAUAUUGUGAAUCCAGUAUCUAUACUCCUGAUAAGGAUCUUGGUGAAAGUCAAAAUGUAAGAACUUAUUCUCAUUGCGGUAGGUGUACGGAUGUACCUGCAGCGGCAUCAAAUAGCUCACCAUCAGAACUAAAACUUUCGAUCAAGAAGUGCAGAAGCUGACAACAGAGCCAACCUGUGCAAACAGAAAACACAGCUUCAUAAUGGCUGAGUAAGAACCUGCAGAUUAUGAGCAUGAGCUCUUUUUAUAAGAUCGGUUGGUGUAGCCAGGUAAUUCUUCUCAUUAGGCGGAACAAUGGUGUCUUUCCAAGGCCCCAGGCCAACAACAUACUUGCUGAUGAACUUCAAGUACUCAUCCGACGUAAUUUCGGCGUAAGUCUGAGCGACAGGGAAUCAAAAUGAUGCUAUCGGGUGACCAUAUGCUUCGGAUGUAAGAAAACUAUACACGGAAAAGUUUGAAAAUAAACAGGAAUGCCCAGAAAAAUCGGACCUGAUUGGUGUCUUGAGUGUUAACGGUAACAUCAUCAAGAAGCAGAAUUAGAGGUGAAUCGGUAAGGUUGGAUGCCCGAAAGAGAGAAGUGGGUGCAAAUGACUGAAUGAACAACGGCUGCUUUUUCCACGCUUCCGAAAAGAAUUUCCCAGUGUAAUUAAACUUCAAAAGUGUCUCCACGAAUAUAUCCUCGUGUGUCUUACCACCAGGCCACUUCACCUAAAGUCGCAAAUUGUAACAUGGUCAUGUAAGCCAGAUUCAGGAAUGUCAAUGCUACCAACUCUACAGAUGAUCUCUUUUGAGCAAAGAACGUCGCAAGUACAUGUAGCAGCACACACAUACUGAAGGACAGUAGUUUACAUGUUUGUUCACAAAAACAGGGCUCUUGAUUUCUGGGUAGAUGCCAACGAUUCGCUCUGCAUUCAAUGCGAUUUUGAUGAACUCCUCGAAUGUGAUGAUCUGAUAUUUACCUGUAGAGGAAAGAAUCUGUUACAUGUUCGACGGUUCUACACAUAAGCACUGACCACCAAUGAAACAAAAUAAAAAUAAGACACACACACACAUGUAUAUAUAUAUAUAUAUAUAUAUGUGUGUGUGUGUGUGUAUGUAUACGAUGAGCAAGUUAUCGGCUAAGUGAGGGAAGAGGCUGCAGAACGAUGUCCUACCAUUAUAGGAUUGGUCGCGAAAUGGAAAGCGUUGGCGAGCUCGUAAUGUCUUGAUUUCCGCCAGAGUAAAGUCCACUGCAAAACAUGUUAAUUGAUUAAUUAAAUUAAAAUAUUUCAAAUGACAGAUACUGAUCUUUGAUUCAUGUACACCGCUUUUAGGACAGUCAAUUUAACGAGAAUCCCUACUAUUUUCCGCACAAAAGCACAACAAAUAAUAACCUGCAAAAUAUCCGGUAGUAUUUACUCCUUCAGCCUCGUAGGUUCGAAUACGAUCCUUAAACUCAGUGUGAUUGGCAACAUCGGUUACAUCGUCCAAUAUCAAAUCAUGAAAACAUAUAAGCUCUCCGUCCUUGGUGGCUGUGAUAUCGGACUCAAUGAAAUCAGCUCCCUCUGCAAUGGCUCUCUGCAGUAACAACUCACUUCAGAGAAGCAACAUUGAUUCCAAACCAUAUACCUUUAAUGUCUAAAAGAACUGGUCUGCAUGUCCAAUCAAUCGCAAGAAAAUGGGUCGAAUUUGUCAUAUUCCGGAGGGAGCUUAAAUAGACACUGCAGAGUCUGAGGAAAGAGACCAUGUAUGCCUCAGCAGUUUCCUCUGGGAUUUCGCCGUUGGAACCUCGAUGCGCAAUGUUGAAGGGACGCUGCAUUUGCAAGGGCUGCCGGCCAGGGUUCUCCUCCUGAUCUCGAAAGUAAGGAUACCGCCGAACCGCAUGUGAUAAUUGAGGCGCGGAUAUCCACAGGAGAAUCACCAGGAUAUAACCUUGCAUGAUUAUUCAGUACCACCGCCUCAGACGCUAUAUACAACCUCAUCCACAAACUGAAUGCAAUAAAUUUCACACUAGCUACAAAAAAUAAAAAUAAAAAAUAAAAAAAAUAAGAGUGAGAGAACUCACAGAAAGUUCGAAUUUGUAGCUUGAGGAGAGCCAUGGUGCUGAGAAAUCUCUCUUUUCGACCUUCAAAAUAUUUAUUUCACCUGCAAUUACCCCUGUCCCAAUUAAAGCUAUACACAAUCCUCUCUCACAAUAGAAUCAACUCUCAUCAAUAUGGAAGCUUCAACUUAACAAAUCAUCAAUUGCUUCAUCUCUACGAUCCUAACCUGAAAAUGGAAAAAAACUCUAUUAACAACUGUACCAUGUCCGACCAAGUCACGCAAUCUGCAUUCAGCAAAUACUGAACACAGCUUCUCUUGCUCCUACAAACUACAACACUCUUCGUGUAAUUCCUACAAAAUUCAAAUUCCCCACUCAACUCGAAGACAAACCCAAUUCCACUCUCUAAACAACCCAACUCCAGAGCUCACCUCAACCUCACUAGACCUAUCUACACCUACCCAUUCUCUCAUCAAAAAGGAGCACCCGAUGUGGACAAUGUCUUGUGUGACGCGCACAACACAAACAAUUGCACCUUCACUGCAUUCCCACCACAGCAAACGUGCAUUCUACUCAAUAGGGUCCCACGUCGGAGCCUCUACAUUAGAAUUAAGACUGUCUAGAAUUUAUGAUAAUUUACGUCGCGUUAGCUCACAGACAGACAGAUAUACACGGUACCAUGUCGCCAUUUCUGCACCAGCUUACAAAAAAUUGGCCGCAAACGAAAUACAUCUCGAGACACAGCUCGUCUUGCGACCAGUUCAGGAGCUGGUUCGCAGCACAGCGAGCAGUUCCUGAAUUCGAAUGAAUGAGCAUCACAGGAGCACGAAUUCCAUCGCAACGAGCGCAAUCUGCUUAAAUAUUCCAUCCAGGCAAGUAAACCCGAACUAAUUUCCUGGAAAGUUCGACGAAGAGGCACCCUCUCGCCCUGAUCCUUCCGCAGAAGUCUUCGGCAUAUUCCUUCGGAAGCUCCUCGAGAAACGGAUGUUUCAUCCAUGUGGUGGAUAUAAUAUCCAAGGAUGUGUGUUGUUUUCAUCCUUGAUUGGCAAUCCUUGGUAGUGGACAUAGGCAUCCAUUACCAUAAUUUUUGGAAUUUUUUUUGCCUUUUUUCCUUAUUUUGACAUUUACUUGUGAGAUUCAAAUUGUGAAAUUCGAAAGUUGUGGGGUGAACUAUGUUGUUAAAGACAAGAUCAGUUGAAUAUAUUGUAAAAGGUAUAAAAUUGAAAUACAUAAUUUUUUUAAUUGUAUAAUUGUUUUCAAACCAUUAUGUGAUGUAAAAUAUAUCAUUGUAUAUUGUAAAGCCUAAAUAUACACAAAGAAAUAAAUACAUCACUGCAUAAUGUCAAUGCAAUAAGCUAACCAAGCUCAUUGGCAAGUCCUCUCACCAUGUUGCAUCUUUAGUUGCUUCUAUAACAAUCAUCUAUUUUGCUUAAGUUGUUGAAGGAGCUCUAACUGACUUAUAUUUGCUGAAUUUUAAAAACUGCAUGAGAAAGAAAUAUUGUAUUAAAAUAAUACAUUAGUUAUGUGAGCAAUAAGAAAAAAAAAAAAAUAUAUAUAUAUAUAUAUAUAUAUAUAUAUAUAUAUAUAUACAUACAUAUUAAAACAUUAUAUAAACUUAUUUAAAUUACAGUACUAUAAAAUCAAGGUAACAAAACCAGCAUGACACAAAGUUCAAACAAAAAAAAAAUAAUUAUAUGUGAUCUACACUUAACAACAAAACAUUUAACAACCAUUAUUUUUCAAUUGAAAUUGUUAAAAUUGUUAAAAAAUUUGUGAUUAAAUACAUCAAAUGUUCUAAUAAUAACUAUUUAGAUAUUAUAACACUUAUUAUAGAUGCACUAAACAUAAUUUUUUAAAAUUUUUUAUCUAAUUUAAUACCAAAUAUCCUAUGAUAUUAUUUAAAAAUUUAUAUUACUAUGCAUUGACAUGAAAAUAAAAACUAAUAAAAAUUAUAAUAAUCACAAUAAUUAUCCUACCACCUAGACAAUAGUGAAAAAUAUAAAUGAGAUAUAGUACUUUAAGUCUAAAAAUAAAUCUAUACAUUUUUUCUUAAACAAUUUGUGUUCUAAAUACAUUUGAAAAUGAUAUGGCACUUGGUUAUUCUAAAUUUACUUAUCCCAAUUAUAGCAAUCUAUGUGAUAGAAUUUACAUUAAGUUAAUUAUUAUUGUUAUAAUUUGGUAUCUCUAUGAAUAGCUAAAUAUAUAAUUGAUACAUAUUUUAUGAAGCCAUCUUAACUUGAAUACAUUGAAGUAUUGUUAUUCACAAGAGUUUCAGAUUUAUAACCCACAAGUUGUAAAAUUUGUCUAAUUUAUCCAAAAGUUAAGAAUUGUUGUUGUUAUAGACAAACAAAACAUGUUUUAAAACUAACAACUUAUUUUUAAUAUAUAGAUUUUGUAAAUCCACAAUGAUAUUUAAUGGUAAAUGUAUUGAAUUUUUUUACAUAUAUAUUUUAUGUAUGUAUAUAUAUAUAUGUAUGUAUAUAUAUAUAUAUAUAUUCUCUUCCAUAAUUAUUUUUAUCAUAGUAAGAAAUAGCUCAAAGUUUUUAAAAAGAAAAGUUGACUAAGAGAAUAUUUUUUUAUAACAAUUUUUAAAAAUAUUUUUUUGCAAGAAAUUUUACAUGGUAUGUUUUUAAAUAGACAUUACAAUUAUAUUGGUACCAAACAAGAAGGUAAAAAAGCUUGUAACAAUUUUUUAAAGCCAUCACAUAUUAUCUAUGAAUUUUGUGUUAAUUAAAUUACUUACUCAAAUCUCUUAUAAACUUGAUUUUUAUCUAAAAAAUUUAUUACUUUUUUUCUAAAACAUACUUUAAAAGAAGUUGAAUCUUUCAAUGAAGCCAACUUAACCUGCUUUGAUUUCAAAAAUAAAUAUGUUGUUGCUUAAUGAAUUCAAUUAUAAUGGCAGCUUACACAAGUACGUAUUACAACUUUAGACUAAGAUGUAAGGUUGCCUUAUUUAUUUAGCAACAAUGUUAAGCUUAAGCAAUCAAUUAUUUCAAGUUGAAUUAAAGAUGUAAGAUUGCACACUUUAUUUGUCAAUGAUUUGAAUGCAAAGCAAAGCAAAGCAAAUAUGUAUUUGUUUUAGUUAAAAUAUAAGUUUGUCCAUUAUUUUUUACAAUAAUUUCAUACCUGUAUGUGUUUAUAUAUAUACAUAUAUUAAAAAAAUCCAAAUAUGUAACAUAGUUUAAUUAAUUUUGGAAAUGAUUUCAUAUUUAAGUAAUCUCUCAUAAUAAAUUCAAUCAAAGAUUGAAAUGUUUUCAAUAAAUUGGUAAUAUAAUCAAAAUUUUACAUCCUUACAAACUAAGUUUUUUCUUUAAAGUUAUAUUAUAUAUACAUUAUUUGAUAAUACUUCUAAGAAAUUUUAUCUUUAUAAAUCUAAUUCCAAAAAAUCAGUAAAAUCUAAAAAAAAAUUCAAGAAAUUAUUCAAAAAAAUAGUCUACUAAUGUUGCUUUUUAAUUUUAAGACAUUAAAACUCUUAAAUAUUUUUAAAAUAAACCCACUUGUCUAUAUCUAUAUAUAUACAUAUCAAGUCACUAGAUUUCCUCAAAAGAAAAAUUGCAGUCUACUUCCCAGGGUCCUACGUCGGAGCCUCCACACUAGAAGUUAGACUUCCUGGAGUUGAAGAUCAAUUACGUCGCACUCGCUCAGACAGAUAUAGGCUACCAUGACGCCAUUUCUGCUACAUCUUACAAAAAUCUGUCGAGAACGAAAUUCACUCCGGCUCAUCUUGCGACCGGUUCGGCAGCUUGUUCGAAGCGUAGCGGUUCUCGAGAUCGAAUGCAUGGGCGUCAGAGGUGCACGAAUUCCAUUGCAAUAAGUGCAAUCUGUAUUCACAUUUCUCCGAGCAAGCAAACCCUAAUUAUAUGCCUGGAAAGUUGGACGAGGAGGAGGCAUCGUCCCCUCACCCACUUCGAUACCUUGGAACGUUCUUUCGAUUGCUCCUUCGGGAAUGAUAUACCAUCCAUAUUCUGGAUGAAACGUCCCAAUAAUGGACAGAAUAUUCUAUUUGUGUAUGGAAUAUCCUAUCUGUUGGAUGGGAUAUCCAAGGAUGUGUGUUGUUAUUCAUCCUUUACGUGGCAAUCCUUGGUGGUGGGCGUAACUCUCCAUUACCAUAAUUUUUGGAUUUAUUGGAUUUUUUUAAUCUUUUUUUCUUAUUUUAACGUUUAUUUUGAGAUUCACCUCUUUGCUUUUAAAAGUUGUGUUGUUAUAUAUACUUGAAGUGAACACAACAUCUGAAAUGCUUUGGAUUACAAAUUAUGACUUGUAUGUUGUCUUUGUUUUGGAUGAUAAAUUCUGUGUUUGUUUAUUUCUUCUUUUUUUAUUUGGAGUUUGAUUUGAGAUGUGUGUGUUGAAAUAAAAGAAAUAAGUAAUGUUAUCAAAUUGUGAAAUUUGAGUGGUGUGGGAUGAACUAUGCUGUUGAAGACAUAAUUGGUUGAACAUUAUAAAAUAUCAGUAAAAUAAUUACAUAAUAAUGAUGAUGGUAUUAUUAUUGUUAUUCUUUUAUUCAAAAAUAAAUAUUCUUUAUAUAUGUAAUAAUACCGAUAUAAUGUGAUUUUUCUUUUUGUGAAAAAACAUAAAUUAAUUAAAUAUAUCACAACCAAUUCAUAGUUAGAAGACUAUGCAUAGAUAUGGUUAACAACAUACUAAUUAUAUUAUUCUAGAUUAAUAUGAUUAGUUUUUACUUGUUUAUUUUUAUUCCUAAUUUUAAAAAAUAGUGAUGUUAUUUAUUUGCAUAUGUAAACAUAAAUUAACACACAACGUAUCAAAUGAUGUAGCAAAUGUAAGUCUUACAAAAAUGUAUAUUUAUUAUAAGUAGAAUUCAUCUAUGUUUUGCACUAUUCCUCAACAUAUAUCCAUAACAUUAAGAAGGCAAAUGGAAUCAUAAAAUAAUACUUGUAAUACUUUAUUUAAUAACAUAUGAAGACAAAUAAUUUGUAGCAAUAAAAGUUUAGAAUACCAAAAAAUAUUUUAUCAUGAAACAUUUUAAAAGAUAUGAAUUCUGAAAUGAAAUAAUGACUUGAUAUGUUAAAUAACCUAAUGCUUCUACAAUUUCAGAUUAUUAGAGGAUCAUGACUUCUCCAUAACUUAUCAAUAGUAAGAGAAUGAACAUUUUUUUGGCAUUUAUUUUACAACCAAAAACACUAAUAAAAUAGUCACUUCUAUAAAACAAUAAAACACUAUUGUAACCAUAACUUCUAUUUAAUAUUCAUAUCCAAGGUAAUGUGCAUGAAGUAUAAUCCUUGCUAUCUCUACAAUGGUAAGAUUUGUUCUUUUAGCAAUUCCAUUUUGUUGUGGAAUAUAAAGAAUAGACGUUUGUCUUGUAAUAUCUUGAAUCUUCAAACAACCAUUAAAAUAUUUUUAUAUAUAUAUAUACUCUCAUUAUCUAUAUACAACAUUUUAAUCUUACAUUCACAUUGCUUCUCUAUAAGUGCCUUAAAAUCUUUAAAUCUUAAGAAAUAAUCAUUCUUAGCUCUAAGGAUGUAAAUUUACACCUUUUUUGAAAAUCAUCAAUAAAUAUGACAAAAUAGCUUAUUCUUCUAAUUAAUAGCUUCCACAUUAAUCUAUAUACAUCAAAAUAUACAAUCUCUAAUAAUUUUCUAGGACAUAUUACAACUCUACUUAGAAAUAAAGUCUUUUAUUGUUUAUCUUGGAUACAAUCUUCAGAAACAAGUGUUAUGGCAUUUGACUAAAUUGACCAAGUUUCAAACAAUUUAUCAUAGAUUGUAGCUUCUUCAUGCUUUUGGCAUUAAAAUAUCUAAGUUGUUAAUACCAAAUUCCAAACUUAUCUUGAUUUUGUGGAAAAUUAGCAAAUGCUACCACUUCAACUCUAUUGAACUUCUUACAAUUGAUGAAAUAGAGAUUGCCAUCUCUAAGGCCUUUGCCAACAUGUUUUCUAUCCAAUGUCUUUUCAAAAUAUCUAUUUAUGUCAAAUUGAACCUUACAAUCAUGUGAUAUAAGUUUGCUCAUCAAAAAGCCAUGUCUAAGAAAGAAUUGUAUAAAAUAAAUCAAGAAAAGAAAAGAUAGAGCUCUUAAAAUCAAUAAGAAGAUGUUGCUGCUUUAAAAAUCCAAAAUUCCUUCUUUAUGAAUAAACUAGUAAUUUCAUUCAUUAAUCAUUCUUUACUUUAUUCAUCAAACUUUUCAUAAGUCUUAUAUUCUAUCUAAACCUCUUGUAUAAGUUUUGCCACUCUUCAAUCACCUUUGAUAUCAAAUAAUACUUCUAAUCUCACAAAACAUUUCUUCUUAUUAUAAGAGGAUCUUUUAAAAACUUAAGCAUAUGAAAGUACAAUAUUAGUGUAUCAAUGAUGUAACUCAGCAAAGGAAUACAAAAUUAAUAUUUUAAAAUAUCAUUCUAGUAUCUAACAACCUCCAAGUCCAUGAGUGCAUUUAACAACAAAUAAAAGCAAAACUAUAUCAACAAUUAGAUGUAAAAGUGGAGUUAGAAGUUACCAAAUCCUAACAUCAUCAAUAAUCAUAAGAUCUAUUCCUCACAACAAGAAAGACUUCAAAUAACUUCAAAAUUCACAAGUAAAAGUAAAUGGACCCAUAAGCUAUUGAAAAAAAAGAACUUUAAAGUUAUAAUAUAUAACAUCAGCAAGAUUGUACACAAAGAGAAUAUGAAGUAAGAUGACUCUCUAUUCCAACACUCAUUACUUAUAAGUAGUGGUUGCUACCUUAAAAGAUAAAUUCCAUUCUUUAACUUUUAUAUACAUGGUCCUUGGAUCUUUAUAACUUAUCACAAAAAUAUCUUAUGAUUUUAAGAUCUUUUGGCAUCUUACUAAUUAUAAGGAUAUCCUAUGCUAAUCUUAAUUAUUCUUACCUAAUCUUCAAAUACAUUCUAGUUAGUAUUGAGAAGAAUUUUAUAAUAUAAUGUAGGCCAAAUAUAGAUGAGUUUGGCUUAUUUAUAUUAAGAUCAAGGAGUGCUAUUGGUCAAAGGACUUAUAUAAAGAUGUAGAGGAAUUUGUGAGUAUAAACUAAAAUAAACCUCCACUAAUUGGAAGCCUAUUCUAAUUCACCACAAUUUAAUUAUCUAAUUAAUUUAACACUUUUUGAUUAAUGUUUGAUUUAUGUCUAAUAGUUCUACUAACUCUCAAAUUGUGAGCUGAAUAAAUCCUUCUACUAGGUGGUUUAUUCUAGCUUACAACUAUCAACUAACUUAUGAAAUGAUUUAACAAAAUUUUCUCCUAUUUCUUAUUAAAGAAUUUAGAUCCUCUAACUAAUUUAAUUCAUACUCACACAACCCACCACAACAAUAGAAGCUACUUCAAAUAACUAUCAAGAAUUCCAACCUAAAAAGAGAAUUUUUUAUAUGAUUUUAUUUUAUGUUAGUUAAAUUUAUAAUUUUAUUUUCUAUCUUCAAUUAGUAAAAGUCAUUUAAGAUUAAAAUUCAUCUAAAAUAAUUCUUCAUCCAUGAAUAAGUUUUCAUCUAUAAAUAAAAAUUCAUCCAUUUAAUAGUUUUCAUCUACAAAAUUCAUCCAAGUUGAUUCAAAUUCAUCUUUGAUUAAAUUCAUCAUCCAACAUCUAAUAUUUUUCAUUCAAAACAGUAAUUUUUAUUUAGCCCUAAUUGAGUGUUUAAUUUUGACCUAAAUCUUUUCAAUAAUUUCAAAAUCACCUUGUGAUCUUCUAUUGAACUGAAUGAUGAAGGAGGUUACUAUUCUGGAUGCUCCUUCGCCAAUGACACCUUCAAAUGGUUGAGUUCAGUGCCUUACAUAGGUUGCAAUAGUAGCUCUCUGAUGAUGUAGUGAAGUCCUUAUGAAUGAUCAACAUUGACACCUUAGGCUCUGUCUAGGGCGCUAAGUUGCCGUUGACACAGCAACCGACUAAAGAUCCCUCGAUGAAUAGGUUGCGAAGUGUGGUGUGAGCUAGGAUGUAAUAAUCUCUAUUCCUUUUUUCAUUAAAUUGCUAUGGCAGAUAGCUCAACUAUACCUACUUUUAGAUUAAUUAUAACUACUUCCUUUGGUGAGUCAAUUUAGCUCUACAAAAUCUCUAGUUGAGUAUGUCGAUGAUGAUUCCGUCGCUGCGUCUCAUUCGACCUCUUGGUUAAUAAUCUUCAGUGAUGGGAGGCAACUAGUACUUGUUUUCACUCACCACUUUUAAUCCAUCUGGAAAAUUGGUGCAGAUCGAGUACGCCUUGAUGGCUUCAAGUACAGAUCAACUUCUCUAGGCAUCAAAGCUUCGAAUGGUGUGGUGAUUACAACCAAAUAGGAGCUCCCUUCAAUUUAUAUUGAUGAAUCGUUGAUUAACAAGAUUCAGUCGCUGACGCCAAAUACCAGAGUCUUCUACAGUGGUAUGGAUCCUCAUCCUCGUGUCUUAGUUUGCAAAAGCAAAAAGCGAGCACAAUUGGAACAGUAAAUUUAUUUAAAACCAGUUUUGAUCGUCUUGAAGCUAAGCACUCUAUAAUGCUCAAUAUUGGAGAGGAUAGCAAAACACAAAGAGCAAUCCACUAUAGUCAAUAGCACCCAAUUGCUAAAUGUCACAGUAUGGGAAUAUCGACCACCAGAGCGACACAAGAGAACUUUGUAAAUUCACGAUGCCGUGAUGCCACAACACCACAUUCCCACACCAAAAUCACAACUUGCAGAACUCUAGAAAACCAAAAUAAAAGAAGAGAACAGUCGAGAUGACACAUUCAACAACGUGAGGACAAAAAGGGCAAAAGUUUUCUUAGGCAUUGAAGAAGACAAGAUAGCGACGGUCGACAACUUGGGAUCUUCAAUACCGCAACUCCGAGGGGACGUAAAAUGCAUUGCUACACCACAGCUCCGCCUGUUGCACCAUAAUUAGCAGCUCUCACAUCGACUUUCAAAGACGAGAAGGAACAACAAUGAAAACAUGCCUACACAAACAUAGAGAGCUGCCACCAACAAUGCCAAUCGCAUAUGAAAGGCUUAAUCGGAGCACCCCGCUCCAAGUACAACCUUUGGAGAAAAAAAUUGGUAGCUGGCACCUUAGCACCACGCAGCAACAAUACUAACGACUUUCUCCAAAAAAACCACCAUAGACAAGAAAAAAAAAUGAAAAAACACCAAAUGUUGUCCGUCAAAUCUUGAGCCCUUCUUUGUGCACACGGAAAAAAUAAAAUGAAAUAAAGCGCAGUCCAGGGCAAUCCGGGCCCUUGUAAACAAAGAGGUCCUCCCGAAUUCGAGACUAGCUCCUUCUUUUUCUUUUCCUUCUUCUAUCUCUUUUUUUAUUUUAUUUUAUUUUUUCUAGUUUGAUGUUUUGAAUCAAGGAUUCUAUCCUCCUUUCUAAUCUAAUUUAAAUAUUUUAAUGAUAUUAAAAACUACUACUAUUAGAUUAAGAUUUAUAUUAGCUAAAUUGAAGCAAAUUGAAGCAAAUUAAGAUUUAUAUUAGCUAAUAUACUAUCUAUUUUAGAAUUUAUUUUCUAAAAAAUUUGCAAGAGAUCCAUUCUAACCACUAACAUUCUAUUAGUUGCUAUUUAUUUAAAAAAAAUUAUAUUAACUUCCUAAACUAGUGACUUAAAGCACCAUAAGUGUCUUUUUGUAUUAAAGCACCUCAAUGAGUCAAUUGUGUGACUCAUAGUGAGCUCUUAUAAAGAGUACCUAUUGUAAUCUAAAGUGACAUAUAGAAAUGGUUUAUGCCCUACCUAUCCACUUGCUAUUUAUUUUCAAUGGAUGAUUGAUUUGGUUACAAUGCCAAUAAAACUUUGAGGCAUGAAGUAUUUAGUUUUUGCAAGAAAAGAGCUCUCCAAUUAUGUAGAAGGAAGAAUAUUGAGAUUAAAGUCUAUAGAGGUGGUAUAUUAGUUUAUUUUAGACAAUAUUAUAUGUUGUUAUGGGAGCAUUGGAAAGAUGAGAGUAGAUUGGGAUAAGCUUGAUGCAAUUGACAUAUAUGAUUUCUUUACAAGAUAUGAGGUGCAAUUGAAAUUGACCACCUUCUAUAACGUUGAAGCCAAUAGUAAGAAUGAAAGAAAGUACCAUCCAAUCAUUCAAGCUUUAGUUAAGACAUGUAGGAAUCAAUCAAAGUAGUGGCCUACACUUGUGCUAUUUGUUUUAUCAACAAAUAUAACUAUUCAUAGCAUAAUUAUUGACUAUAUAUUGAUAGAAUUGACAUUGGAGCAAAAGCCCUUAAUACCUACAAAAAAAAUCUAUUCUUUCUUGGUUAUUUUUGUCUUGAAAAUAUGGCAUUGAUAGAAAGAGAUUAUUAGAGCUUCAAAUUUACUAAUUAAAGAAAUUAUUCAAGAAUCAUCAAAUUGCUAUAGAGAGGCUUAUAGCAGCAAGGUUGAAUAACAAAAAGAGAUUUGAUAAAACUCAACAAUUAAGGCCUAAGCCAAUUAAAGAGAGUGAUUGGAUUUUGAUUUAAGAUAGUUUGAUGCAUCAAUAUUUUACUCUUUGUAAGUUUUCAUGGCAAUGGUUUGGACCCUAUGUAGUCAUUGAAGUGCAUGAUAAUAUAACUUAUUCUCUUUGAAAGUUGAAUAGAAUACCAUUGAAGACUAGGAUUGUAGGAAAACAAAUUAAAGUCUUGAAGCGGCAAGAUAGGAUGAAUUAUAUAGAAGAUUUAGCAACUUUUGAGCCUCAAUAUUUUGAUCAACAAUUCAAAAGUGAUAUGACUUACAAUAAAUCUAAUUUUGAUGAAAGAAGUAUUGUAAUUUAAUUCUUUGGUACAUACUACAAUAUAUAUAUAUAUAGAUUUUAAAAAGAUAAGUAUCAUGAUGCACUUAAUUUGAGUACAUCAAAGUUAUUUGGAGAGCAAUUAAUUUUAUUUGUAAGAUAGAGGAAUAUAAUGCUAAUAUGUUUUUAAAUUUAGAUGAGAUUUAGAAUAGGAGAUUGAUGCCUUAGAUGGAUUAUUAAAGCUUUGAAGAUAUUACAUUUUAGAAUACAAAUUCAGCUUUAUAUGAGUUCAAGGUAGGUAUUAGAAGAAUGUUAAGGCAAGAUUAUUGGCAUCAAGUGGGAUUUUUUUCUCAAGGACUAGUGUGACAAGGAAGAAUAGAAGAGGAUCAUUGAAAUUUUGAACAACAAGAUUUAAGAGUAGUUUGGGUUUUUCCAUGCCAUUUAUUGUAUUUUCAUCUUUUUAUUUUAAAAAUUUGAGAGAAAUUAGAGCUUGUUGUUAACUUUCUAAUAAGCAUAAGCACACAAGAAAGAAAGUUUUGACAAAGGAGAUCAAAGCAAAUUUGUAGGAAGAAGAUUGCUGGAAUUUUGAGCAAUGAGAUUCAAGCUUAGAUUGAGGUUUUCCAUACCAUUUAUUAUAUUUUCAUCUUUUUGUAUUGAAAUUUUGAGAGAAGCUAGAUAUUAUUUUUAUCUUUCUAAUAAGCCUUAUUAUAUAAGAAAAUAAGCUAUGAUGUAAGAGAUCUAUGCAAAUUUGUGGUAAGGAGGUUACUGGAAUUUUUUAGCAACAAGAUUCAAGAUUAGUUUGGAUUUUUUUAUGUUAUUUAUUAUAUUUUCAUCUAUGUAUUUUGAGAUUUUGAGAGAAGCUAGAUCUUAUUUUUAGCUUUUCAAGAAGUCUUUGUAUGCAAGAAAAGAAUUUGUACAAAGGGAGAUCCAAACUAAUUUGUAGAUGGAGAUUUUAAUGGUUGUGGCCAUAGUAAGCAAUCAACUUUUUCCUUGGUUUGGCUCUCAUUUUCUUUGAAAUUUAUUUAUUGAAUUUGAUAUUUUGAAUUUUAUAGCUUGACUUAAGUUCAAUGAGCUAAAUUUAAAAUAAAUUGAAUUGAUAACAUAUAAAUUAUAGAUAUUUUAGAGAGAAGAGGUUUAGGUUUUAGAUUAAAGUUAGGAAUUGGAUGCAUCUUUGCAUAAAAAAAGAAUUAAUCUAAAAAUUAUACUUAGCCUUUAGGAUACAUUUUUAUAUUUGAAUUCAUUUGAAAAAAAUAAUAAUUUCUUACAACCUACCUGUAAUGAAAGACCUCAUAUUUUCUUGAGGGGACUUGCUCUUUUGAUAAUGUAUCUCUUCUUGAGCCAUAUAAGACAAUGAAUAUCUUAGAAAGAAGACAAAUAUCACUUUCUUUUAUAGAAGUGGAUAAUAAUCAAGAAGUUGAUGUAAAAGAAAUCUUAGAUUGAAAGUAAUGCCAAAAUAGGUUGGAAUAUCUUAUUCAUUGGUAUGGACAUGAUAUUAGUGAAUGCAUAUAGGAGCCAAGAAAGAAUCAUAUAAAUGCAACAAAGAUGAUUCAGGCUUUUCAUUGCCAAUAUCUAUUAAAAUCAAGAUAAAGAAUAAUAAGAUUCAUAAAAGAUGAUGAUUGCUCUUUGUAAAACUCAUUCCUAGAAAAGAGAGUUAUAUCACAAAUAUACAUAUUUAUUUCAUAUUUAUUUCAAUAAUUACCUAUAUGAUUAAAUAGGAGUAGGUGAAAAUAAAUUAAUUUCAUAUUAUCUUCUAAAGAACCUUCAUAGAAGCUUCAUAGAUGUAAUUUUGACUUCACAUGUAUUUCUAGUUGAUUGAUAGGUUAAAAACUUAGUCAACAACUUAGCCAUGUGUUGCACUUGCUGAUAAUUAGUGGAACAAGCUAACUAUGUGGCAUACAUAUAGAAAACUUGCCUUACAAGUUAAAACACAUAUCUUGCAAUUUAGAUAUGUAUCAAAGGUCCUAUAGAACAUUGUUACAUAGUUUCUAGUUAGAUAAUAUAUUUGGAAGCAAAAGUGAAGUCUUUUUUACUCUUGUCAACAUAUUUCUAGACCUUAGUCAUGUUUCAAGACUUUUUAGUCUCCUUAUCUUUGGCAAUAGUUAUUCUAGUUCAACAUAUUAUCAUCUUUGAAUGACUUUCUAACCUUUUUGACAUAAGUAUGUAUAGAGUUUUCAUUCUUUGGGAUUCAUGUCUUUGAUAUGAGCUAUAAUUUUUAAAUAACAAGAAUAUAAAUUUUAGAUUCAUUUUCCAAAGCUAUGUGAUUAUUUGAUAUUAGGUUCUUCUUAGAUUUUACAACUAUUAAAAUUAUAUAUUUUUUUUAAUUAUAAAGACUUAUAAUGAUGCAUGUAAUAUUCAAUUGUAUUUUUUUGUUUGAAAAAUCUAUAUUUUUAAUAAUUAUUUCUAAAAAUUAAUAUUACUAUUAUAUAAAUUAUUAUAUAUUUAUAUAUUUAUAUAUUUUCUAUAAUAUAAAAUAAAUUAAGAAUUAUUAUUUUUAUAUCUAAAAUUAUCAAAAAAAAAAUUAUUUUAUUAUCAAUUAAGAUUAGAUAUAAAUCUACGUACCUCUUUUUAUACAACUUUUUUCCAAAUUUUUCAAAGAUUAAUAGAGAAGUAACAAUAUAUAAUUUAAAGAAACUUAUUUAUUUAAACAUAGUCCAAGUGAAAUUAUUUUUUUCAGGUAUUCAAAGUGAAGAAUUAAAUAUAUAAACUAUCAAUGUAAAGAUUAUUUAAAUGUAAAUUUUGGGAAUAAAAAUUUAAACUGGACCAUCUAUACAAAAGAAAAAGAAGUGACCGAACAGAAAGAAAGAAAAAAAAAAAAAAAAAAAAAAAAGUAGAAACUGUCUUUAAAGUAGUGCGCUCACUCUCACACUCUCAAUGGAAAAGUCAAAUGCAUCCACUUCAUAAAACCCAUUUUCACAAAGUGCUUUUCAAAACCACAUGUGUUACGUUUUGGCGGUACAUCCAAUCCAAAAAUAUGUUUACUGCAUGAAUAGGAGUCUCUUAUCUGGUUAUUACAAAUAGAUUUCAUGGCUUUCGGAAUACCGCACUUGCUGCUUGGUUUCCACAAUUAGUGCAGCGAUGUUUCCCACCCAUGUCCAUAAAACAUCUUGCACGCUGGGAUGUUUCAACACAUCAUGAAUCCACGAGCCAUUCGAUGACAGACAAGAGCAGAUGAUUGACAUAACUCUCUCUCAAUUCAGCCAAACUAUACGUUACAAGUUAAAGCUUCUCUCUCUUUCAACCUCUCUGUUGCAUGUAGAUUAUAUCACAACAUUACAAACACGGUGGCAAUGUAUCAAGCACAUGAGGGUCAAAGCUAGCCCUCCGUUCCAAGUCUUUCAGCUGCAUUGGACAAGUCGCGAGAGAAGGGUUAUCGAGUCAUGGUGAUGAGCAACUGCACAACAAAAUAUUGCUAAAAAUAUGAAUGAUUUAUUGUAGAAACGAAAUCUCCUAUUCUAGGUCAUCGUGAUAUGGAUUUGAGACCAGCAAGCUGAUAUUUGGAAUUAUUCUAACGCUCUAAUUACAGCCGUGAUUGAGAGAACUAUAAUGCAGCUCAUCAAUUUUCGAAAAAUCCGUAGGCAAGUUUUGCUGAAUCAAGAGUAUUGGAAAGCAGCAUAGCAAUAGUCAUUGGUCCAACACCCCCCGGAACUGGGGUGAUCUGAGAAGCCACUCGACAGGCUUCUGCAAAGUAAACAUCUCCAACUACUCGAUAUCCAUUCUCAGAAUCAGGAUCCUGGAAGCAUCCGAAAAAAUAUUAAAUGCAGUUGGUACAAAAUUCGAACUUCUAAGCAACCACUAAAUUCGUCUUACUACACACCACUUAUAAUAAAAACAGUUCCGGGAGAGUAAAACCUUCUGGUUAGUUGCGUAAAAAGGAAACAAAACACUAACGAGUAUUCAUUUGAUUCUCAUCACGCGGGAUCUAGUGUAGCAUAAACGGAGGUGUGAGGGCCUCACCUCGAUGUGAUUGAUGCCAACAUCAAUAACGACAGCCCCAGGCUUCAACCAACUCCCCUGUACCAUGUAUGGCACACCAGCGGCAGCGAUGACUAUAUCAGCAUUCCUGGUGAGUUCUGGAAGGUUUGGAGUAUGUGAAUGCACCACAGUAACGGUUGCAUUUUGUCGCUGUAGGCACCAAACAUUUAGUAACUUGUCAGUGGUUAACUAGAUACCAAACAGAAUAACUAAGUUAAAAUAAAAGAUCACCACAUGACAAUGAUAUGUUCUCUUCUAUUAAAAUCUACUAAAUAGUUGUAUGUGAAAAUUAAAUUGUGGGACAGAAGCAACGUACUUGUAGAAGCAAAGCAGCUGGCAUGCCCACCACAUUACUGCGACCAAUAACCACUGCGUGUUUACCUUCUAUUUGCACUCCUGAUCGUAACAGCAACUCAAUGCAUCCUUUGGGAGUACAUGACACAAAGAGUGGAGCUCGACCUUGCAUGGCCAACCUUCCCACAUUCAUUGGAUGGAAGCCGUCCACGUCUUUCUGUAUGCUAACAGAACCCACAACCCUCUCCUCGCAAAUAUGCUGCGCGGUCAAAAACUCCAUUUAAGCACAUUUUUACAAAACCGAAGUUGCUAAAAAGUGGUUAUGUAGUUCAGUAUGUUAAAGUCAUUAUGAGUGCCUUUAAGCUUUGAAGGUAUAACUUCCAUGAAAAGCACCAGCAAGAGUAGUUACAAAAUAGUAAAUACUCUAUUGGGAAAGCACUCACGCGAGGAAGCGGAAGCUGCACCAAUACACCAUGAACAUUCGGGUCACAAUUAAAUCGUAGAACAGCUUCCACAAUCUCCUCUUCUGUGACGGUUUCUGGCAAAGAUACAUUGUAAGAGUUGAAGCCCACUUGCUCGCAUGCCCUCUGCUUACUUCGAACAUAUGUCUCGGAAUCCUUGCGUGACCCCACUAGGACCACUGCAAGGCCGGGAACCUUUCCAAUGGCAGAUCUCAUCCUCCCAACCUCUUCUGCGAUUUCACGUUUGACCUCCUGAGCAAUAGCUUUGCCAUCGAUAGUAUUGGUCGCAGGGUGCGAGAUGAUAGACGCUGCGUUGACUCAUUAGAGACUUGUCAGAGGGUGCCGAUGAUACAACAAACACCAAGGUUCAAAGCAAGCCCUUCUAUAAAACCAGGUAAGAAGCGAAAUUUUCAUUCUGUGAAAUUAUAGCUACAACGUGCUGCAGAGCUAGCAAAUUCUCUGUGGGCCCCAUGAAAAUAAAUGUAUCCAGCAUAGCAACAACAAGAAAUCAUAAGACAAAGAUGUGGAAGCAUUGACCUUCUUUUUUGAGAAUAGAUUCUGGUGGCCACAAAUCGUGGCGGCUUUUCCACUUAUCUAUAGUGUUCCAACUUAGGCCUUCAGCCGGUUUUAUUCGCUUCCGAAACUCACAUGAGCUCGAUUGCGAAUUGCCUGAAAACACCAACGCGGCAAUUCCAACUCAAUAAAAUACAACUAUGCAUCACAAAGACCCUACAACCCGUGCGAAAUAAUUCUCAAAAUCGCAGACCCAUAUCGAACGUGCCCUCCCACCUAUCCUCGCAAACGGACACACUUUUUAAUCUUAACACGAACCACAAGCCAACACUACAUAUAAUCUUCAUUUGUAAAAAUUAACCUUAAAUGAGUUAUUGCUUAUUCUAAUUUACUAAAACAAUUUAAGUUAUUAUGACAAUCGUAACAAACCUGAGGUGGUUGCUUGAUCAGAACUCGCGCAUUCAACAGUAGCCGAAUUCUCAAACAGAACGUCAGUCACAAAUUUCCGGUGGGAAGAGUAUAACCGCAAUGCUGCCUUCGGUACCUCUGCACGCCGCUGACAUACCCCAAACAUCUCUUACACUUUUCUUCACACUGCGAGUACCAAUCUCCCACUCCUCGGAAAUGAACGCAACACACCGCAAUGGACUGUCACAGUAUGUGCGUCCACGCCUUCAAAAUGCAACCUAUGCUUCAGCUUGCUAAUCCUACCAAACUCUAGCUUCUCAGCACGGUGACGCUCGUUGUUACCCGUAAAAAAACUAAAUCACACGAUCCCAGAUCACCAAUUUCUCAUUGCUGUGGUAUAUCUACUGAAUCCCAGCGCUCAAAACACACGCACCACAGUGCGAAGAGAAGAGGCAGCUUGGCGUUCUACCCACCACAACCCCACCUCCACGGCCGCCUCUCCCCAUUGCUACACUCUAUCAGUAACGAAAUCUUAUUCGAAAUCGGAAACUCACGACCAAUCAGCAGCAAAAUUCGACGUAGACAGCACAAGCGCAACGCAUUCUGGCCACCGCCAGAUCUCGCACUCUCAUUCCGUUGCUCGCAAUCGCUUCGCCAGCCCAAGUCCUCCUGCUCUCUCCGAUCAUCCUAGACAAAUCCUAGAUCUCACACGAUCUACUCUAACUUUAAUAUUCUUCUUAUAUCGUAGACUCUAUUGUAAAUAUCUAUAAAGUGGAUAUACGAAUAAAAACUUAAGCUCAUAAGGAUAGUAAUCGUUAUCUAUGUAAUGUGAACAUGCAUUGUGGUAGGGGGUGGUCACGGGGCCACGUCACUCGGCCACGUCGGCAUAACUUCUGGAGCCACUCUGACGUGGCGAUUUUUGAAAGGCACUAUGGCCAAUCCGAAAUGUUACUUUUGCGUUUUUUCUCAUUUCUUCGCUUUAUUUAUUAAAGUUUGGGGAAUGGUCUGACGAAAGUGUAAGAGUAAAAAGGUUAGUGGAUGGUGGUUCUUAGCUUCGAUUGAGUGACAUGUGUUGUGUCGUUGUGGCAAUCUUAUUGAUUUUUUUUCGAGAAAGGGGACUAAACAUUAAUGUUAUUGUUUAUUUCAAUUGAUACUGUUACUUAAAAAAAAUAAAAAUAUGUAAUAUUAAUACAUAUAUAUAUAUAUAUAUAUAUAUAGAGAGAGAGAGAGAGAGAGCUCUCAAAACACGGAUUUUUUUAUAUUAGAUAUUCAUAAACACAAGAUUGAUUUAUAUUGAAUCAUUUUCAAGUAGGUACUGAGUGAUAUCAAGGUACACACGUGAAUAUGUGGACAAGUUUACUCUUUUUUUUGCUUUUAAAAUUUUAAAAUUAGAUUCGUGUGCAUUAUAACUAAAGAUCAAGUACUGAAAUGGAUGAUAAAUGUACAAAUAUUUUAACAUUGCAGAAACUUUGAAAUUUCGGACCUUUAAAUAUUAGCACAAUCUUUAAAAAAAUAUAACUUUAAGUUGAAGAAUAGAUUUACAAGAAGUAGAGAACAUUGUGAUUUGUACAAAUAAAAGAUUGGUAUAUUUAUAUUUAGGAGAGUUUUAAUAAUUCCAUGACAGAAGCAACAAGAACCUUGGAACUUCUUUUAUUUUUAGAAAAACUUUAUACACAACAAUAUUGUUAGAUAAUAUUAGAUAUUUCUAAUAGUCAUUCAUCUCAUUCAAAUUCAAAUUAAAAUUAGAAUACUACAAUUGGUGAGUAGUAUUGGAAAAGAGAUAUUACAAUCAUUCUCCUCACAAGGAAUUGAACUUGAGGUCUUUAAUACCACAUCAAACUCACACACCUUUUAUACUGUAGGCUCAUGGUUAUGUUUUCUAGUGAAGAUUUGUUAUACAUAGAAAUAAAAAUAAGGACACUUGUUAUGAGUUCACUAAGUGUCAUGUCAAAGCACAAUAUAUACAUAAGAAAAAAAAUGAGUCUAAUUUGAUAUAGAUGUCUAGAAAAGGAUAAAUUAACAUGGUACAUUUAUAUCAUCAAUAAGAGUUUCAAAACAGCUCUAUAUUAGUAUUGAAAUAAAAUUACAAAUUGAAGAUAAGUUUGAUUUUAUUAUAGGCUUUCCCUCCAGAACCCUUUUAACUGUUUUUUCCUCUUUAUCUCAAAAAGAUAUCAUAUUAACCAUCAUUUGAAUGUCCUAAAAUUACCCCGUACUUUUUCUCAACCUUUGUUCAUGGCAUUAGCACUUCGAUAGCACAAAUUGGGCAUGAAAGAUUCCCUGCUUUAAUUAUUAAUAUUAUAGCAAAACAUUUUUUUUCCUUGGUUAGUAGUGAAUGGGAGGUUUCUAAGCAACUUAAGGCAAAGUCGGGAACCCUUUAAAACGGUUACCCACAUAGACUUGUUUUCCAAAGUACUGCAAUGCAUUACCAGGGCCUUACCAGAAGGUUACCAGAUAGUUACCAGGAGCUUAUCCGGAUCUCACCAGGCCCCACCGAAAGCGGAAGGGAGAGCCCACGUCGUCCUCCUGCGCCUCAAUCAAAACCAGACAAAUUUUUCGUAAUCCAGCAUCACGCCAUCGAACCACAUCCUUCAAUUUCUUACUGUCAGUGAGAAAAAAAACACGCAGCAAUCUCGCGAGGAAUGAUCCCACACAGCGAUACCAGAACCUACAAGGAUGUUUUCUGGAUAACAUUCCGCUUGUCGCAGCGUAAAUCUCAGCGAUGGUGGUAGCGCAAGCAGUUCACCAGCUUCGACACAGUUGGUCGUGUCCAGCUGAGGCCAGGAAUGUGUCACACGUCGCGUCGCUGGGAGCUGCACACUCUCGUGUGGGACCUCUCGAGAAGACGAGAAGGUCACGAGAGGGGUUGAAGGUGAGAUUUGGUGCGAGAGCAGCUGUGAAUGUGGACUCGCCGAACGCGUUGCCGAUUAAGAAGAGGCCCGUCGCACAGGCGAAGCGGAACCAGUAUGAUAUUACCACUUUCACCGCGUGGUUGGUUCGGCAGGAGAUAGAGGGGGCGAUUGAUGGGGAGUUGACCAUCGUGCUGUCGAGCAUCGCUCUGGCGUGUAAGCAGAUUGCGUCGUUGGUGCAGCGGGCUGGGAUUUCGAAUCUGACGGGGUUGCAGGGGGUGGAGAACAUUCAAGGGGAGGAGCAAAAGAAGCUGGACGUGAUCUCGAAUGAGGUUUGGAGUCCAUUUGUGUAAUUCUCGUGUCUUUGAGAAUGUUCGUGUGUGUUGACGUGCAUUAGGGUUUUUUCGAUUUUCGGAGUAUGAGACAAAUGGGUUGCGUUCCUCGAUGACGUUUCGUGUAGGUUGGUCAUUGGUGAGAGCAGGUGUUCUCGAACUGCUUGCGCUCCAAUGGCAGAACGGGCAUCAUCGCCAGUGAGGAAGAGGACGUCCCGGUCGCUGUUGAAGAGAGCUAUUCAGGGAACUACAUUGUGGUGUUCGAUCCUUUGGACGGCUCCGCCAACAUCGAUGCCGCUGUGUCUACAGGGCCCAUAUUCGGUAUCUACGCGAGCGAUCAGGAGUGCUUGACCAAUCUUGGAGGCGACCCGAGCGUAAGUCCUUUCCCCAGUGUCUUCCUGGAACCUAUUUGCAGACAACCACUUCUACGGCUUCAAUUUUCAGCUUGUCCAAGUCGCAGUAGCCGAAUGGUUUCCAUGGAUAUCAAUUUCUCCAACAAGCGCUGUCAGAGCUUCGUCUUCGUGUAGUAAUGUAUCAUAGGAGUGAACUAGGGUUUGGAUGAUUUGCACACAUGACGAGUCACCACAGGUUGAGUUUUUCAUUUCAAUUUGAUGCGAAGGAUUACAGUUUCUAAAUUUUAUCAUAAAAUGCUCUCGAAUCUGCGAUCGACUAGGUAGCACAGAACUGUGUGGUGAAUGUUUGCCAGCCUGGAAGCAACCUCCUGGCCGCGGGUUACUGCAUGUACUCCAGCUCCGUGGUGCUGGUCCUCUCCAUCGGCGAUGGCUUGUGCGCUUUCAGCCUGGAUUCCUUGUACGGGGAGUUUGUGCUCACUCACGAGAAGAUACAAGUCUCCACAAACACCAAGAAGCUGUACUCGUUCAAUGAGGGGCGGUACGAGCUGUGGGACGACAAGGUGAAGAGAUACGUCGACACCCUGAAAGUGCCAGACGGAUGGUGAGACGUACUCCUGCCGCUACCUGGGCUGCCUGGUGGCGGAUUUCCACAGGACGAUGUUGUAUGGAGGAAUUUAUGGCUAUCCUCGCGAUGCCAACAGCUCUAACAGCAAGCUUAGGUUGCUAUAUGAGUGUGCUCCGAUGAGUUUCCUGAUCGAGCAAGCCGGUGGGAAUAGCUCCGACGGCCAGCCCCGAAUCCUACACAUUCAGCCUGAGGAGGUACGCAUUGUCAAGCAAACUCUCGUCUCAGAUUUCCCACCUGCAAAGCUCGGCUACAAACAAACAAUUGUGGAAUGCUUGGUUUCAGGGUGUUGGACUCUGAGUACUGUAACUUUUAUACACACACACGUUAAUAUAUAUAUAUAUAUAUAUAUAUAUAGAUCGUGAGACCUUACACUCAGUCACCAGAAUGUGAGCCUGAAGUCGAUGUGGGUUGGUUGAUGUGCAGGUGCAUCAGCGAUGUCCGCUGUAUUUUGGCAGCCCAGAGGAAGUCGAUAAAGUAUUGAGCUUCUUAGCUUGAUAUGCACAUCCGUUGCCCUGCAGGUUGUGUGAAGGUCUCCUUUCAUUCAGGUCCUCAUUGUACUGCAAUUUGAAGCAAUGAGAUCACCCACAUCACUGCAUUCAUGAUAGAGAUCAACAGUGUGGCCAUCGCAUUACGGGAUUGAAUAAGCUCUUUUUUUUGUGGUGCAUUUACGUGUUGAUUUUGUCUAGAUUUCUUUCCUUGUUCAAUCUACUCUUCAUAACCUGCUGCUGCCCUUGUAGACAAUUCUGGUCAAUGAAAAACACUCUUCUGUUAUCUCUUCUCCUCGGAGGAUGUUUUCCCUCACGUUUUGUUUUUGUUUUUGGCUGCUUCUGAGGUUGUGUGACUUUCUUGAAGUUUUGACGCUCUUAUUCUGACUACAUCCCUGUAAAUAUAUUAAGUUUCCUAUUAUCUCAAACUUCUCUAAAGUUUCUUUAGUUCUACUGCUUAUAAACCGUAAGUCCAUCAAACUACUGUUACUAAGUUUCUUGUUAUGAGUGUGUUACCAUUAAGUUGUAUCAAUGAAUUUGCUAAUAAUUUGCAAAGAUAAAAUCAUAUUAUAUAUGCAUACACAAAUUGUUAAAAGUUUAAGAAAUCCAUUGAAACAAAAUUGAUUUAUGAUUUGCAAAGCAAUUCUUUAAAUCUUUUUUUUGGAUAUAUAUACAUGUACAAAUGGGUAUAUUUUUCUUUUUGGAAAGUGACUUGACAAGUUUAUAUCAAGUGUCUCGUCAACAAACAUCACCUUGUGACAAGUGGUUUACAAAAAAUGUUUGGUCAAGGAUAACACUUUGACUUGCAUCUAUUUCCCAAAACUUUUUUUUUUUUUUUUUUUUUUUUUUUUUUGACAAAGCCAAUAGUAGGUCAUAGAACAUGUGACGGCUGGGUGUAUUGUAGUAUAAAAAGCUGCAUACGUGAAUCUCUAAAUAAUUAUGAUUUAUAUUUCUUAUUGUUUCUGUUUUCAAAGUAUAUCAACUGUGCUCUUCUUUUUUUUUUAACAUACAAAUAUACAUGCAAGGUUUUAAAAAAUAAAUGAAUUUAAAACAUUAAUAUUUUAUUUUAAGAAUUGAAAAUUUAGGUUAAAAUUUUAAAAAUAGUAUUUUUAUUUUAAAAAAUAUUUAAGUUGUAAUCCCUACCUUUACUUGUCAUUCCUAGGCUAAUAAGUCAAGUGAGCAACAAAGAAGAUUUUGAAUUUGCUUACAUCCUCAUACAAAAUAAAUAUCUAAUAGAGAUGUUUAUUAUUAUAGCACUGUUGUUCAAUAUACACUCACUAGAUGUUUUUAUUUAUUCAUGUAUAGAGAGAAUUAAAAUAACUCCAUAAUAAAAAUUAUAAAUUAUUAUGUUUUAUCUUCGUAAAAUGAAAUUUAUCUGAGAUAUUAAAAGAAUUAUAAGUAAUAUUUAAUCUUUAUUUAGAUACAUAUUUGUAGACUUUUUUUUAUAGUCAAUAUGCAUUGCAUUUAACUUCCAUGUCUUUAUAAUUUUAAUAUUUUAAAUAAUUAUGGUUUCCAUAUCUUAUAUUAUUAUCUUCUUCACAUAAGUUAAUUUCUUAUCUUAAAUCAAUCCAAAACAUAAACACUUAUUGGUCAUAUGUUUGAUUGUUUGAUGUUAUUUGUAUUCAAUUGUAUAAUGUUUUUAAAAUGUAGUCUUGUUACAAAGUUGUGACAUUAAAAUAAAUAAAUAAACAUCUAAUAAUAGCAUGAUUCUUACAAAAACUACAUUCAAAAAAAACAAUGCAACUUUUCAACUUAUUCAAAAAUUCUCAUUUUUACAAUUUCAUUUGUUUAAUUGGAUUUAUAACACUACUGUUAUUUUUUUAUGUUAGGAUUGUUGUCAUCUAAAAAAAUAGCUUGUUAUAGAAUUAUAUUCUUAUGGACUAAAAAUAAUUUACAGAAAUUUACAAAAGUCAACAAUUGCAAUAUUUCCAGCACAUGUAAAUUUUAGUAUAGAAUAGAAUGAUGAUAAUUCUUUCAGAGAUCAAAUUUAAAACAGUUACUACAAAUAGAACUGAUGUAUGAGUAGUACAUUGUUUAAAUGUAAAUGUAUCUCUGUUUACAAGAUAAUAGUACAAAGAUAAAAACAAUAAAUGAAAUUAAAAUGAGUAAAAAUGAUACUUUAGCCAAAUUGAAAAAAUAACUAAAAUAAUUAAUUAAUUAAUUAAUUAAAAGUUGAAAAUGUAAAAAAAAAUUGAAACCUUAAAACAAAAAACAAUACAAAACUACCCAAUGUGAAAACUUUAUAAAGUUUUGACCAAGACACUUUAGUUGAAUAAACAUGACAAACAAAAACAGACAACUUACUGCAAGUAAGACAUUGUAUUAAGAUAUUGUAAUUAUUUUUCACGAAAGACCCUCUCUCAUUCAUUUUAAAAAAAGCUAACAAUGCAAAUAGCAAUAAUCCUUAUAUAUAAGAUUUCUACAUAAAUUAUAUUUGUACAUAUAUCAGAAAAAAUAAAUUCGAAUUACGUUAUAAUAUUAUACUUUAAACCACUAAUCUUUUGCAAUUGCAAACGGAUAGUUUAAGAAAUAAUAAAUCUACAUUAAUAGUACUCCAAGCGAAUAGCACUUUGGAAGAAGCAACUUUAGAUGGGGUACCCACCUUGACGUUCUAUAAAAUAUGCCAAAAAUAACAUAUAUCUUAAUAUACAGCACAUGUCUAUUCUCAUCAAACUAUUUUUUAUAACGUUUUUUUAGUACGCAUGCUAAAAAAUGGAACAACUCUUUAGCUUGAAGAGGUAUCGUAGCAACACAAACGCUUCAAACUUGUAUGUCGUAUAUCUGUAACAAUACAUUUAUGUAAAAAUAUGAAUUCGUGGUACCUUUAUGAGAUCCGUUAUAUUAUUAAACUCGGGGCCAAAAAGAUGAUGCAUCGGACCAUGCUUCAAGUGCGUGCACCUGACUCAAUUCGGACCACAUUCAUUCCCCACGAAAGUUUGAGGCCGAAGUGUGGUUUGUUGUGAAGAAAAAUUGGGUACCACCGUGUUCGAAUCUGUGAAAUUCCCCUAUUUUACAUAAUUUUACUCACACUCGCACAUUCUCCCGUAAACCUCUUGUGUAUAUCUCUACUUUCCAGGAGAAGUGGUCUGCGAUGUGAGGUGCAGUGUGAGUGUUUUAAAUGAAUCUUCGCCCACGAAAUUUAGUGUGCGAAGGUAAGGAUCUGAUCGAAACGCAAUGGAUUUGGAGUUGGAAAAGGAAUAUUCAGCUACGAGGCAAUGGUGUCAGGGAGCGGAGAUGGCUUAUCCGGGAAUGCAACAAUGGGCGGCAUUUGAUGAAAAGUGCGUGACUGUCCCUUUUCAAAUGAAACCAAAGCGUCCGAAUCCCCUAUUCUGGGUGCGCUUGAAGGACACCGCCGCCUCAAAGCGACUGCUGCAGAGAAGGAAGGCGGCCAGGAAUUUAGGGACAAAGUUACGAUAUACAUUGAGCAUGACCAUUCGACACACGCCAUCCAUUUCUGCACUGCAAGGUUUCAACGUUCGGGCAUCACUGCGCCUCCCUGGAACCAACUUAACAUACAACCUUUGCUUCGACUUCCCAGCAGUGAUCUGUAUCUCCAGACAUCAGUUCGGAAUCGUCUCUAGGAACUUGAAUCAGUCUAUUUGCUUGUCUCCCUGUCUCUCUGUCUGUCUGUCAGAGUUCAGAAGUCCUGGAACAUCACCACCCCUUCGCCGAUUAUGUGCUUUAUUAGGGGACUUUGACAGUUGGUCUGCUGUAAUCGCUAUGGUCAUCGAUGAACUGUUCAUACUCGAGUUGUCUAUCUCAUUGAGAAGGGGAUAUGCUAAAUAACGGAUCUACUGAGAAGGGACAUACUAAAUAAUGGAUUCAGUCCUCGGGCCGGUUUGUGCUAGUGCGUAACGUGUAGCAGUUGAGCUACACCUAGAAAACAAUAAUAGGUACUGGUGAUUAGGCUUAUCCUGUUCGGAGAAAUACACUGUCUAGUUGCUGCGUCACAUAUCCUUCCGCUUCUGGCAUUGGAGGAUGCGCCAACCAGUUAUUUCUUUUUCUUUUUCAACCUUUUUCAAACUUUGAAUACGAUUGUUUUUCAGAGGAGGGGCACACUGUGAUGUUUUCUGUCUGAAGUGUAUUCCCCUACACAACACGGCAGGUUUAUCUGACAUCUCCAACUAUUGAAGGUAUAAAAACAUGCAACAAUGACGGGGUAAGCUAUAAACCUUUCUGAUGCAUGUUUACCCUCUUGAGAUGUUUUUAUUACUUCGCAGUGGUCCGGCCAAACCUAGCCCCGAGCCGAGUCGGCAGUCCAGCUGCACUGCCACCGUGCAAAGCGCUGCUCUGCACUCUACUCUCGCGUAGUCUUCGUCGCGCUCACUCAUCUCCCCAUCCGACCUCGUCGCAAUCCAUCUCAUCUUCACCACCUCACUCUCAUACACUCUGCCUCUCCAUCACGGUCCACCUCUUACCGUUUGAGUCUCUCCCCUGAAUCUCCCGAUCUGUUACUAGAGUUCGUGCGUGUGCGAGAAGCUCAAUUGAUCGUUACUUUGCAUUGCCGUGCUUGACUUCCUCGAAAGCAUUGCCAGUUGCAGCGUAUGAAUGGUUGGAGUUGCAAUCGGAGUGCAGCGCGUGUGAUUGCAUAAGAUUCAUCGUAGGCAGUCAACCUGGGAUCACUGCGACUGGUGGUAAAGUUGCAGUGGGAUUUGACCUCUGGAUGUUGCUAUUCUGAGAGGUGAGAGAAGUAGAGAGGUAUUGUUUUUUGGAGGCUGUGGGGGCAGUUGUGGAGUUUUUGUGUUGGUUUCUGUGUGCUUGGGGUUUUGGAAGUGCAAGGUCGGAGGAGGAGCUCGAAGGAAGCUUAACGGGGUGUUAGAUUGACCAUGCUGGUGUACACUAGCGCGACGCGCCGUCCCUGCCGACUUCCCGGUGCGUGGAGGAGGCCUUGGGAGGAUUUGCACACUGACCACCUUGCGAAAACAAAGUUCUCCAUGGCACGUUAGACUCGCUGUUGAUAGUGCACGCAUGUGAGCUGUAUGAAAACCGCGCUAAGGUUUCAGGAAUCAUUGACUGUAGGCAGGUUUGGGUAGACUCCGGAAUAUUUUAGGUCGCUCCAGACGGUGAAUUCUGGGAUAUUAUUAGGGGGAUUUUUUGCGAUGGAAGAGUCAGACUCGCUCACGAAGAUGGCGAAGGCUUCACGAGGUGCCAAUAUAUCACCAAAGCAAGACAAAAAGAAGCAAGUAUGCCAGAAGAUUCUGCGGCAGCUUGCCGACAAUGAACAUGAGGCUGCUCAGAAACCUGAGUUUGUAGAAGAGCUUCAGGCCCACUUCAACCGUUUGCCAACCAGGUACAUUUUACGAAGGGCUUUUUUCGCCCUCUUGCGCUCAUCUGCUACAAUUCCUCACAGAAUGUAUGAUUGACUGUGUGCGUACAAGAUUUUGGAUGUGGUCCGUGGAUAGCAGAAGAUCGGUUAACAUAGACUGUAUUCAUGUCCCUCGAAGUGCAAGGUGCAUAUAACGAGGAGAAAAGGUCCUGUUAGCGACCAUUUUUUGCUAAAGUCGCAGAGGUCUGAGUUAGUAACGUUCUUUACAGCCCAGGAAGAUUUUAGGAGUGUUUUUUUAUUUUUUAUUUUUUAUUUUUAUCGUGCGCGACAAUCCCAUGGAUGUUUUCGUACAACUGAACGUGGAGGGUCAGAGAUUAUUCUGGUUUUUGGGACAAAUGCAUUCAUUUAAGCGCUUAAUGUGCUCUCAGCUUUAGCACAUGUGCAUCGGCCGUUAACUGUGAUCCAUUCGCAAUGGCCUCGUGUCCAUUUGCGAGUGGCAGUCGUGUUUGAGACGUGGCCAUUUUUCUGAGAUUUGGAACUUGCAGAUAUGCGUUAGACGUCCAUGUGGACAGAGCGGAGGAUGUUCUAACGCACAAACGGCUACUUGAGGAAGCCAAAGUUCCAGAGAAGAGGCCCGUGUUUCACGUACGAGCUGUUCAAGUGAGUAUUCAUUAAUCUGUACCGUCACCUUAGAUCCUAUUACGAUGUUCUACUGGCUGUUCUUAAGCAUAAUAGCUUCUCAGUUUUGCUAACAAGAUAAUGGGACGCUAAGGAAGAAAUAAUGGCUUGCAUGGACAGGUUCUUCCAGUUGAAUCUCAGGAUGAGCCACCGAGCCCAUCAGACCAUAGCACACUAUCGAAAUUCAGGUGCAUCUCUGAUUCCUAUUUUUUCAGGGUUUGGAACGCCACCCAGAUCACUGAUCGAGUCGUGAUCGACACUGUUGAAAUUUAUGGCUCUCACGUGUGCCAUUUGGUGGGUUAUAGAUUAGCGCCUCCAGUGUUUGGAUCCUCGGCGAAUUUAGAAGCUCUUGCAAUGGAUUUCAACAGUAAAUCUGUGGUUCACGGCGAAGAGAGCGAUGACAGCCACCACUCCGAGAGGUAAAGCCCACAAGCUCAAGCACGCGUGUGUUUGGGGAUUCUCAUGACUUAUGAUUGGACUUUCAGGUUUCUGUUAGCAAAUCGUAUGUUCUGCAGCUAACCUUCAAUUACUCUGUUUGUCAGUGCGAGUCACCUGCAAAUACCCAUGCAUGAAAUUACUUUCUCCACGAUUGACAAGCCGAAGCUUCUCAGUCAGGUGGGUGUGGCAUUGCUUGUUCGGUGAAUAAACUAGCGAAUUUUCACAAAGCCCAUUUCAGAUUACAAUUUACAAGUUCCUGCUAGAGUGAUUUUUUAAUGCGAGAGUUUUUUCACGGGUUUGUGAGUAUCAACCGCAUGUGGCCUCUAUUGGCGUGCAGAUGUCUGCUUUGCUCGCGGAUGUGGGGCUCAAUAUUCGUGAGGCACAUGUAUUUUCAACUACAGAUGGCUACUCCCUUGACGUGUUUGUGGUCGACGGCUGGCCAUCAGAGGUAUACCGAAUUUCACUUGUUUAGAGCAGGUGUGCGGUGAAACGCUCAAAGCUAAUCUUAUGUUAUUCAUUUGUGCAGAGAAAACGCACUUAAGUAGUUGCCAUUCUGGAUUGCAGGACACUCAUGAUCUGAGACGAGCACUUUUCAGUGCACUAUCAGCAAUGGAGGUAAGGGCUGGACUGUAACAUAUCACGGCAACCUUUACAACUUAAUUUGUAGUAUUUUCAAUUUUCUAAUUUUGUUUUUGCAGCAUGUAAUCAACGCCGCAACCUGAAUACAGUCAAUGAACCUACGCGCAGGAAGGAGUUUGGUUGAAAACUCCUGCAGCAACAGAGUCUCCAUCAUCACCAUCGUUGCAAAAUGGUGGGCAGAACGGUACACCGAGUUCGUCUAGGACCAGCGUGGAUGACUGGGAGAUUGACAGUACCCAACUUAAAUGCAACAAUAAAGUAGCCAGUGGCUCUUUCGGAGACUUGUGAGUGUUCCUUGCUCCUAGAUGAUUAAUAAGCUCAUGGUUUAUAUCUGACGUUAUUGCACGGACGAUCAAAAUUCCCUGAUUCUCUUGUUUCGUCAAUCCUUCUGUAGGUACCGAGGCACCUACUGCGGACAAGACGUAGCCAUUAAGAUUCUCAAACCGGAGCGCUUGAACGAGAACCUCCAACGAGAAUUUCAACAAGAAGUGUUUAUCAUGCGAAAGGUUAGACAUAAGAAUGUGGUUCAGUUCAUCGGUGCUUGCACCAUGCCUCCCAAUUUGUGCAUCGUUACCGAGUUUAUGUCAGGUGGGAGUGUAUACGACUACUUGCGCAAACAGAAAGUACUCUUGAAAAUGCCAAUGCUGCUUCGAGUGGCCAUUGAUGCCUCCAAAGGAAUGGAUUAUCUCCAUCAGAACAGCAUCAUUCACCGAGAUCUCAAGGCUGCUAAUCUCCUCUUGGACGAGAACGAAGUAAGUUGGACUUUUAUAUCCGUCUGACCUCAAACCCUUCACAUCAAGCCAUCAUCUUGUUUUAUUGGUUUCUGCCUAUGCAUAUUUUUGUUGGAUGUACAUGAAACUGAUGCUGAUUUCUGUGCUGCAGGUGGUCAAGGUAGCCGAUUUCGGAGUUGCAAGGGUGCAAUCCCAGUCAGGUAUCAUGACGGCAGAAACCGGCACAUACCGUUGGAUGGCACCUGAGAUUAUUGAGCACAAGCCAUAUGACAAGAAGGCUGAUGUGUUCAGCUUCGGAAUUGUGCUCUGGGAGCUUUUAACUGGAAAGGUUCCUUACGCAGAUAUGACUCCACUUCAAGCUGCCGUGGGGGUUGUACAGAAGGUAAUUUUGUUUUUCUGCACAGCUCUCGGUUGCUGCAUUGAAUGUCGUUCGUUUACUUCUUUUGUUAUGAUGCACUUCGAUGCACUUUGAGUAGGAAGUUGUGGAGUAAAGCAUGUUGUAGGAAUUUGCUGAAAGAUGUGUCGUGUUCAUGUUUUUAUUUUUUUGAUCAGGGCUUGCGACCUACUAUGCCUAGGAACAUUCCUGCAAAGCUGGUGGAUCUUUUGCAACGUUGUUGGAAGACUGACCCAUCAGAGCGCCCCGGAUUUUCUGAAACUACUGUGAUUCUACAAGAGAUUCUUAAAGAGGUACUUAUCUGUCACUCAUGGUUAGUAGAGUUCUAAAAGAGGUUCUUGUCUACCACUUACGGAUUGUUGAGUUUCCAAGGCUGUUGUGUGUCUACUCUACUUUCCUGUUUUCCAUGAGAACCUUUUUUUCUGUUUAUAAUCAACGAGGUGGGGUCUCUCAUUGUGCAGGUGAAUGAAGAGUUGGACAAUGAGAGUAAGCAGCCCAGGGACAAAAAGUCGAGUGGGUUGUUUUCCUCCUUCAAACGCUCCAUUGUUAGUAAAUAGCAAUUUUGAUAGUUCUUUAGGGUUUGUUUGUGGCAGGAGAGUUCUAGGUUGCUCUAGUGAAUCCCUUCUUUUAAAUUCCUUAGUACUCUUUACAGGGCAUCGCCUCUAGAUUUGGUGGAUACACUUUUGUUUCGACCUCCUUUAAAGUCAUUGUGGCUAUGCAAUAUUUAUAUACAAAGUAGAUGGCAUUUAAUUUAAUAUAAAAAUAUUUUAAUCAACUACAAUAUUUGAAAAAUAUAUAUAUAUAUAUAUAUAUAUAUAUUUGUACAUACAUAUUUGUAAUUUUUAUAAUGGUACAAUAAAAAGAUUAGUAAAAUUCCUUUACAAAACUCAUCUUAGACUUGUAUAAACUAAUAAUUAUCUUGACCGAUUCUUUAGUAGGUUAAACUUCACCAACUCUUAACAAAUAUUAAUGGCAUUAGUUGCACUAAAGAUUGUUGAAGUAUUAUUUUCUAAUGAAUCUUAUAUCCAAAUUAAUUUCUAAUAUUAUCUAGAUAGAUUAUAAUAUCAAAGAAAAAAUCAACUUUAUAUUUUAUUUUAUUAUUAUCACUCCUAUGUUAUAGAAGAAAACAAUUGAAGUUUAAAAUACUUCUUUAUAGAAUUAUUGUCUUGCAAUAUUAUUUUUGUAGUUUAACCUACUAGAUACAAUCAAAUUGUAGCAUUUUAUUAUAAUUAAUAAUAUAAGAGAGUUUUAAGAAAACCUCAAAGCCAUGUUAAGUUGCUACUUAAUAUUUUUUCAAUAGCAAACUUGUAGAAAGUUAUUGCUCCUUUAUUCAAAAAAGAUUGCAUUUCUAAAUCUUGUCUUUUUAUCUUUAUAAAUUUCAUCUUAUUAGACAAUAUUAUUGAAUGCAUAAUACAUUUAGUUCAUUCAUGUAAUUUUAAUAGUAGUUCUUUACAAUAUAUAUAUAUAUAUAUAUAUAUAUAUAUAUAUAUAUGUAUAUAUUUUAUUAUUAAAAUUAGGUAAGUUUUAUAAAAUUAAAAUGAGUUUUAAUUAUAUUUUUAGUUAGCUAGCUACAACAUAGGAUUGUUACUAUAUUUUAGUAUAAGUUUUAAUCUUUUUGUAAGCUAUAAACUUUUGAAUGAAGUAUAUUUGUAAAGAAGAUCUACAGAUAUCAAAUACAAGAAAUUUGUUUAGAAGUAAUUAUUCUUUGAUUCAAGAAGUUAUAGUUUGCUAUAAAUAAAUAUAGGUUUUAAUAAGUAUGUUUACUUUAAUGUGUCUUUCAAAGUAGAUCUUGUAAUAAAGUGGAGUUUUUAAGAAAGGUCAUUAAAAAUCAUAUAUUAUAAUUGUAUAUAUGUAAAUAAUUUAUUGAUAUUCAUAUUAGCUAGGAGGCAAUAAUUUAUGUGUGUUUUACUUAAAAGUUGUAAUAACCAUUUGGAUGUUCUAUCUCUUAUUUGUUGUUCUUACACAAUAUCUAUUUAUACAAAGAUACUUGUUUAUAUGGUAAGUUAGAAGUUAGUUUUUAGUUUCUUAUUUGUGGUUCAUUUUUUCAACCUCAAUAAUUAUAGAUUAGUAUUUCUUUGGCACAUUUAUCCCAUAUUCAUAAAGUCUAUUGUAAUUCAUUAUAAAAUAGAUCAAUUUUAAGUAAGACCAAAAAUAUAAAUAGACUUGCAAUGUAUUGGUUUGUUGAUGUAUUAUGUGUCUUGACUAAUUCUCAAUCAUUGGUGACAUCUUAUAUACUCAAUAGUUAUAAUCUAAGUAGAAUAAAAUAUUCUUAUUAUUAGAAUUCUUGUAUGUUUCAUUAAUUUUGUUUUGUUUUGUUUUUUGUUUUGUUUUUUGUUUUUUGUUUUUGUUUUGUUUUGUUUUGUUUUGUUUUUGUUUUUGUUUUUUUUUUUUUUGUUUUUGUUUUUGUUUUUUUUUUUUUUUGUGUUUAAUUGUAGGUCUUCUUUCCAUGGCUCUUUAGUAUUAAAAAGAGAUAUUUUUGUUGCUAAUAAUUUUUUUAUUGUUAUGUUGAAAUAUUGAUUGAUUGUUAUCAUUUAAUAUGAUUUGUAGCUAAAAUAUAAUUUGGAUGAAGCAAGUUAGAAUGAGACAAUCUUUAAUUAAAUGUGAAUUGAAAAGAUGUUUUUUUUUGUAAUUGAUGGAAAAUAAAUAAAUAAUUUUUUAAUUGGCUAAAUUUAUUUUUUCUACUUUUAUAUGUAAUAUUUUUUUUACUUCAUAUUAAUAAAAAUAAAAAUAAUAUUGAUUUGUAUAGAAGUUAUAGCUAUCUCUUUUUUAUUUAUCUUUAAAUAUAUCUCAAAUUAGCUUAAUUCUUCAUUCAAAUUUAAAAUUGUCAUUCAUAGUUGCAUCACACAUAUAUUCUAUUUUUGGUUUUAAAGAGAUUUUAGUAAGGCCUUUUGGAUUAUUUUAUAGAACUUGUUUUAUAAAUUCUAGUAUAGAACCAUCCUAACAUAAAAUUCUUUGGAUAUCUUGAAGAUAAUGUUUAUAAGCCAUAGAUUUAUACCUUUUGGUAAUUGUCUAGAUCCUAAAAGGUAUACCAUAAUAACACAUUUGUUUUUCAUAAAGCUUUGUUUUGUUUAUGAGCGACACAAGAUCCAACUUUAUAGAGACAAUUUUUUGAUUAAAAAUAAUCUAUUACAAUUCUAACAAAAGCCUUCAAAUAACACUUCUUUGCAUUAAGCUUGUAUGGAAAAAACAUCAAUAUAUUUCUUAAAAUCUGUUACAAUUGUAUUUAAUUCAAAUUUAUUGAUUCCAAUUUAAAAUGCAUAUUUCAUUCCCUUCUUACACUUCUAAGUUUCUUGACAAAAUAUGAGUAAAGACAACUAUAACUCCAUGUGAUUCCAAGCUUGUUAUCCCAUUGUUACUAAUAGUAUUGUUGUAACAUCCUUGGUGCAUUCUUGGUGCUAAUGUUGGACAACGAAUUAGUGUUACACUUCACAUGUAUAUCUCCAAACCAAAAACCUAAUGUUUCCAAAGAGUGGGUGAAUCUUAAAAAAUAUUCAAGGACCAAAGAACCCUAACAAUGUGCUACGACAGAACUUUCUUGUAAUUUUUUCUUUAACAGAGAAGGAAAACACCCCUUUUGUUUCAAAAUAAAGAAAUAAAAUAAAUCGAAAUAUGAUUGCUAUUGCUAUUGCGACCCUACCACACAAGUACAUUUCUUGGUGUAGAAGUUGUGUUGCUAUUUUCCGGUCGCAUAGGACAGGGAUCAAUCAGUACGUAAAAAUAGAUGCUAAAAUCCAGUUUGUGGCAGUGUAAAUUGGGAAUUCCUAUACUACUUCAAGGAGGAUGUGCACGUUGCCAGAGACAGCUUAAGUCAAUCCCUUCAUCAAAUAUCCUUCAAACUAUCUAUCUCUCUUUUUGAGGAGUACAUUCUCAGCAAGUGUGCUCCACGAACAGGGCGACUACAGAGUCAGCACCAAGAUAGAAAAGCAACCUGUAGUGUUCUGCUUCGUUGCGUAUACCCAGUUUAGUAAAUCUUCUUAUGUCAUUGCUACUCAAACUUAAGAAGGACGACACACUUGAAGGUAACCUGUAGAACACUUAAUCCUUGACAGGUUUUUGCUCAAAGAAAUUGCGGAAGCUGAAAGAAGUAUUUUCUACCUGCUUCUCCUUUUUGUCAGGAGUAGGCUUGGGAGGGUCAGUCUUCUUCUUGCCGUCCGAGUCCGGGAGAAUUGAGGGUAGCUCGAUUUGCUGAAGCUUUUCCAACAAGUUGGGGUUUUCAGCUGCAUCCCCGAUAGACUCUUUGUCCUUCUCUUUCGGCUCCUCGUCCGAACUGAAUAGCUCUCCCACAUAUCCAAACGGAUUACUUAGCUUACCUGCAACUCUUUUCGUCACUUUUACCACUUGAAACCUCCAGACCAUGGUGGUGACCGCCAUGAAUCCUAGUAACCAAUGUGUAAUUCUGUUGCUGUUCACGAUAGCUUUGCGCAUGCUACUAUCAGAAGACGCAGGGUUAGUCCUCGACUUCCUCCUCUUCUGUGAAGACGACUUCAUUGAUUUCAGAAUGAGCUCCAUUGCCUCGGUGUUCUUCGUCAUCGACACCGCAGCAGCCUCAGCUGCAUCUGCUGCUGCUUUGGCAGCCAUAGCUGCCGCUUCCAGGACCAUUCUCAGUUCUUCAUUGGUUGAGGACGAUGGUUUCUCUCUACCACGUCUUCUUUCGAAACUCCGGCCUCUGGCAGGUUUUGGAACUCUCUGAACUUCCGUUCCGAAUGCUUCAGAAGGUAUCUUGGAGCCGGUGGUCUGAUUUCUCCUCAAAUCAUGCACCUGAACAUUUACAUAAGGAUUUAGUAGAGUGCACCAAACUCAAGAACUUCUGUUACAUUCUUUAUGAAGUCCAAUGUUUACUUACGACGAGGAUGCGUCAUAUGAUACACUGCACGCACGGAAGUUGUCUGUAGUGUAUUCUAGAUUACCUCCAUGUGCUUAGAUUUACCAUUAUACUUGCACGGGUUUCCUCGAUUAGCUUUACAGGAUUUUCUUUAUUAAAAUCAAUUCAUAAUUCAUGAUUUCCACUUGUAAUAUUUAUGCAGUAUUUCAUUGAACCAAGUAGAAAUAUAGACAUCCACUUAUGAUCAGUUAUUUAUAAAGAAUGUAUUUACCAUAAGGUUAGAUAUCCAUAUGUAGUAGAUGAAACCACCCAGAACGACUCACAAAAAAAUGCAAUUCCUAAGAGAUAUAUAUAUAUAUAUAUAUAUAUAUAUAUAUAUAUACACACACAUAUAAAAGGACCACUAGAACAUUCUGAGACAAAGCUCGAACACAGACUAUCCUAGCAAAAUUGCAAACCAAUUUUAUCAUCCUACACACAGAUCACACUAAUGUAGAGAUCAAAGAAAGGAAAAAUAUCCACGGACCUGCUCCAACAACUUUGUAAGCAACGCUCUGUCUUCAGAGUCCGUGACCAUGGCUGGCGGAGCAUCUCCCAGGUCAGCCGAUGGGUUCUCCUCGCCUUCUGCAUUGAGGGAACCUCCUCGGAGUCUCGUCUCUACAACCGCCUUCGCAUCUUCCGAAUCAGCUUGUGAAGAAUAUUUCUUCAGCGUCCGAAGAAUCACGUCUUCCACUAAAGUCAAAAUAUCUUCACUACACCCCUCGCUGAGAGUAUCAUCAUUCUCCGUUUGUGUUAACCCAGCAGUCCCCGAAGCCGCAGACGACGUAAACUCCGUCCUAUCCAUCACUUCAGCUUGCCAUCAUCUCCAGUGAUAUUGGCGCUACUCAUCGCAGUCUCAAAGCACGUCUACGAGUACCCAUUUCCUUGCAAAAUCUAAUCACCUAUCCUAAUAGAUGAUGUAACUCGCUCAUUGCACAAUUGAUAAAACUAUCUACUCUUAACUCGCUCACUCUCUCUCUCUCUCUCUCUCGCUCUCGUUGUGCCCAUACUCUAGUAUUCCAUUUUCACCAUAGCCUAUUUCACAGAACUCUCAUAUGAUUCCCGUGUGCGCAUUCUGCGUGCAUUGCGCCAAGGAUUAAAGCCAACGGCACCAGAGUAAUACUCGUCCACAUAAAACUAUCUUAUCCACAAGGCUAAAUGCAAAACAAGGGGUGACACUAAGCCUGCAGCAAGGUCCCUCAAGCAUCAAUUCGGUGCCCACCUCCAACUCUUCUUGCCAUUGUCAAAUCCUCCAGAGACAUGAAACCCUCGCAGCCCACAUCCCUCAAUACGGAUUUUACUGCAACGCUGAUCCAUGUGCACAGGAAACACUCACCCACUGGUCGAAGAAUGCAGAGAUGUGGGUCGACACUACCUUUUGGAGUGAUGCCAGCUCUGCUGCAUCAACCUAAUUUAGCAGUCCCUUCGAAUUGGGUUUGUUGCCACAACCUGGUUUUGUUCAAAAAACAUAUUGACUGUGCUGUGUUUUGGAAGUCGAAAAUCAAGGUGAGGGCACUAAAGGUGGGAGUUUUCAUUUUAUCAGUAGCUAUUCCUUCUUUUGUUCCCUAAUGAGUAAUAAGGAACUUGUUGACAAAUUCUAUGAUAGAAUGAUAGAAUUAUCAAAAAAAUAAUCUUGUAACACAUCAAAUCAUAAUUUACUUUAUAUAAUAUUGAUUGUUUUUAAAAUUUUAAAAUUAAUCAUUGUCAUCGAUAUAUAUAUAUAUAUAUAUAUAUAUAUAUAGAUGUCAAAGAUAUGAAUUUCAAAGAAAGAAAAUCUCAAUACUCUUUUGUGUUACUCAAAAAGACUUAAAAAUCAUUCAAAGAUGGUAACACAUUGAACUAAAAUGGCUAUUACCAAAGACAAGAAGACUAGAAAGUCUUGAAACAAGACUAAGGACUAAAAAGACUUUGACAAGAGUGAAGAAGGCUUCAUUCUUGCAUCUAUAUAUAUUCUUUAAUUAGAAGUUAUGUGACAAUCUUUUGUAGGACUUCCAACAUAUAUUGACUUUGUUAAAUACAUGUCUUAACUUACAAGGCAAGUUAGCUAUAUGUAUACUACAUAAUUAGCUUGUUUUAUAAGCUAUCAAUACAUAUGGUAUAUGAAUAACUUGUUGACCAAGUUUUUAACCUAUCAAUCAAGUACAAACAUGUGUAAAGUCAAAAUUGUAUCUAUGAAGUUUCUAAGAAGCUCUUCUAGAAAAUAUUAUGAAAUUAAUUUAUAUUUAUCUAUUUUUAUUUUAACAUAUAAAUAACUAUUCAAAUAAAUGUGUAUGUCCAUAAUAUAAUCAUUAUUUUUAAGAACAAAUUUUUUGAGUAGUGGUCAUCAUCUUUUAUAUAUCUUACAAUUCUUCAUUUUGAUUUUAAUAGAUAUCAUUGAUGAAAAGCCUCAAUCUUCUUUGUUGCAUUGGCAAGAUUCUUUGUUGGCUCCUAUGUGCAUUCACAAAUAUCAUAUGAGCGCCAAUAAAUAAGAUAUUUCAACUUAUUUUGGUGUUGCCUUGAAUCUAAGACUUCUUCUACUUCAAACUCUUCAUUAUUAUCUACUUCUAUAGGAAGAAGUGACAUUUGUCUUUUUUCUAAGAUAUUCACUGUCUUAUAUGGUUCAAGAAGAAAUAUGUGGAAUAUAAGAUAGAUUGUCAUAGAUUCUAAUAGAUGUAAUAAAAAAGCAACAAGAUUGACUUAUUGACAAAUAAAAAAAGGUCCAAGCCUAUAAUAGUCCAACUUAUCAUAAGAAUAAGUAGUCUUGAAAUUGCAACAAAGUAAUUAUAUCUUUUUAUCGACAUUGAAUUAUGGUUGUAUCUUGAGAUAGGCAUCUACAUUAGUCUUUUGUCAUUUUUGAGCUUCGUUUAACUAUGCCUUCAUUAUUGCAUAUAGCUCUAACAAAUAAUUUCUCAAAUCUUUUGCCACAUGUUUAUCAACUUUUGAAAAGUCAAAAGUAUCAAUUUGUAGAUGAUAACCAUAAUUGGCAAAAAAAAAAAAAUUGUUGAAUAGAAGAAUAUAUCAAAUUAUUAUAUGUAAACUUUGCCAAUGAUAAAAGAGUUGUCCAAUCAUCUUAAUGAUAGUUGAUGGUAUGCUUCAAAUACUAUUGUAGAAUUUGAUUCAUUUCUUUUGUUUGUCCAUCAAUUUGAGGAUGAAAAGUCAAAGAAAGCUUUACAUCUACUAUUAGAAUCUUGAAAAGGAUUUUCUAAAAUCUUAAUAUAAAUGAAUCCUUCUAUCUGAUAUAAUAUCCUUAAAAAAUCCAUGAUAGUAAUAGAUAUUGUCAAAAAAAACUUAGUAGUUUUUUUACUUAAGAUAGAUUUUUUAUAUAAUAUAAAAUGUGCCAUCUUAGUAAAAUAAUCUACUUUUAAAAAUAUAAAAUCAUAAAAACUUAAAAUUAGAAGAUCCAUGAUAAAAUUCAUAGAUACAAAAGACCAUAGUAGUUUUAGAAUAUAUAAUAGCUGAAGAAGUUAAUAAGAUUAAUGACAAAGAAUUUUUGAUCUUGAAAAAAUAUUACAUGAUUGUAUAAAUUCUUUUACAGCCUUACAUAUUUGAGUCUAUUAAUUUUUUUUAUAUUAGUGCCAAAGAAUUAUUGUAUCCAAAAUAUUUAGUUGCUUAAAAGUUGUCACAAGCUUAAAGAAUAUAUAAUUGUCAUUUAUCUUUUGGAAUAUAUAAUUUUUCUUCAAAAUAAAAUAGAUUAUCUUUGAAUUUAAACUUAAAAGUAUGAUGAGACUUAGAAAAAUUAUUCUUAAUAUUAUGAAUAAGAUGAUCAGAGGACAUACUUGAUUGAAUUUGCUUAACAAAGGUUGAAUCAAUAGUCAAUAUUGUUUUUAUUGUUCAAAAAUGAAAAUGCUCUAGCUUCAAGAAAAUUGUUCUUUUUUGGUUAAAAGUUAUAUAUCUUUCUUUGGAUGUAAGAUAAGAAUGUCUAAAAAAAGUAUCUAAUAAAUCUUGUUAUUUUUUAAGUUGAUAAAUAAUCUUGAAACCAAAUCUUGAUAAAAACAUGAUUUAACAAGCUUGGAAAUGAUUCAAAAUAUGUGCUGACAUAAAGUAGUUGAGAUUCUUGUGAUCUAUAUAUACAAUGACUAGAUUAGAAGCACUUUUUAGAUAAUAAUGCCAUUCUUAAAAUGAAUAAGCAAUUGUAAGAAAUUCUUUGUUGUGGAUUUCAUAAUUAAUCUUGAUUGCUAAAAAUUUCUUAGAAUAAAAAGCUACUAGAUGGAGCUUGUCAUGUACUCUUAUUUGUCACAAAAUAAUACUUAUAGAAAAGUCUAAUAUAUUUUUUUCCAUAAAAAAUAUCUUAAAAAAAUUGAUACAAUAUAAAAUUAAUACAAAAAUAAAUGUUGUCUUUAAGGCUUCAAAAGAUGCUUCAAUUUCUUUGCUCUACUUAAGUUUAUCUUUACAUGUCAAGCAUAUAAGAAAAGCCGCAACUUAAAAAAAGUUUUUGAUGAAGAUCUUGUAAUAAUUAGCAAAUCUCAAAAAUCAUUAUACAUCUUUGAUUGUUUUUAAAAUCUUUCAAUCCAUGAUAGUCUAAAUCUUUUUUGGAUCUAUUAUUAGUCCUUCAUUGAAAAUGAUGUAUCUUAAGAGGUCAACUUAAGUAAUGUAGAAUACAUACUUUUCUAUCUUGGCAUACAAUCCUAUAUCUCUAAGUUUUUGUAACACAUGACAAACAUGAAGUUCAUAUUUUUUUAUAUUCUUAGAGUAGAUCAAAAUAUUGUCCAAAUAAUAGGCAACAAAAUCAUCAAGAAAUUCACAAAAAAUUUCAUUCAUGAAAUAAUAAAAAGUAACUGAUGCGUUUGUGAGUUCAAAAGGCAUAACAUUAUAUUUAAAAUAUCUAUACUUAGUUUGGAUACUAGUCUUUUAUUCAUCUCUUUCUUUCAUAUAAAUCAGAUUAUAUGCUUCUUGUAGAUUUAUUUUUAUAUAAAUCAUUGCUUAAUUGAAUUAAUUAAGAAGUCUUAAAACCAGAAGUAGGAAAUACCAAUUUUUGACAGUAAUUUUGUUAAGUCUUUGAUAUUCUAUGCUCAUCAGCAAAGAUCCAUCUUUUUUCUUCACAAAUAAGAUAGGAGUUAUUGUUGGAGAUUUUGAAUGGCAUAUGAAGUUUUUAGCCAAGUUCUCGUCAAUAUAUUCUUUUAGUGCAACCAACUUAUUUUGCGAUAAGCUAUAAAUAAAUCCAAAUAGUGGUUGAACUCCUUCUUACAAAUCAAUGGAAUGAUUAUAAGGUUGAUGCUCCAAAAGAAUAUAUAUAUUUUUUUUUUUUUCAAAAAUAACUUAGAAAUCUUGAUAUUAGCUAAAAAUACUACUUGAUGUCUUUCUACCAUCAAAAAUGGGCAUGACAUAUAUAGUAAAAGAUGAACUUUCUUUUGCCACAAUGUUAAAAGUUUUUGUACAUAUCAAUAAAGGUUUGGAUGUAUUAAACUUCUGUCUUUCUAUUUGACUAACGAGAUUUUCAAUCAAACUAUAAAAAAAAUUAAGAUUAUAAGAAAUUCAAUCUAUCUAAGGAUCAUAAUUUUUUAACUAUAAUAAUUCUAAAAUAAUUGAAUUAGAUAGAUAUCUUAUAACAUUAAAUAUUACUAUACUAUUAUAAUCUUUAAUUGUUACAUCUAAAGAAAUAAUCUUAUAGAUAUCAUCUCUAAAAGAUAAUAAAUAACCAUCUAUGAUUUUUAUAUGUAUAGGUUUAGUUUACUUAAUUAAUAAUAUUUCUUGUUUUUUUGACAAAAUCUUCAUCUAUUAAAUAAGAUGAGGCUCUUUAAUCUAACAAGGCUAAGACUUUGUGAUUUUUUGUUCACAAAUAAACUUCUAUUGUAAAACAAGGUGAAAAAUUUGAAGAAAAAGUUAGACCUUUAUUAGAUGUUAUACAAGAUUCUAACUGCACGAUCUCUAAUAUAGCUAGAAAAACUCAUUUUUUGACACAUUAUCCUCUUUGGCAACCAUGCUCUCUAUUUUGAAAUUGCAUUGCUUCUUUGAGUAAUGUUGAAUAAUGAACUUUGAUUUUUUAGAAUAUAAGUACAAAUCUUCUUAAUGACAAUGAAUCUUUUCUUAUUCAAUAAGAAAUGAAAAACAAACUAUGUCAUUUUACAUAGGCUUUGGCUUGAAUAAGUAAGCUUUUGAAAACUUAGAAGAUGUUUCUAUGGCUUGACUUCUAUUUCUCCAAUCAAAUCUUUGUUCUUGGCAUCUUUCAAAAAAUCAAUUGUUACAUAUAAUGGCUUAAGCAAUAAUUUAUUUUAACAAAUUUUCUUUUGAUAUUGUUAAUAAUUAAUCUUUGAUAUUAUCUUAUAAUUUAUAUUAAAACUGAUUGAUAAGGGCUUUGUCAUUUCAAUCCACAUUACAAGCAAGAUUUUGGAAUUUAAUAGCAUAUAUAGUGACUAAAGCUGAUCUUUGUCAUGGCAAUACAAGCUAAGUCUUUGUUAUGUUUUUUUAAUCAUUUUUUUCAAAUAUAUCCAUAAAUACUUCAAAAAAUAAAUUCAAAUUAUAGAGUAGUCGUGAAUCUUUUUUCAUCAAAAAUACAAACUAAAAGAAAAUACUUUUUGAAAGAAGUGCUUUUAUGAAUCUUACUUGAAUAAAUCUAUUGAAGUAUUGGAAAGGAUGGAAUAUUAAAUAGAGCUUAAUUUUUUAUAAAAAUCAUGGAAAUUUUGAUCUUAUUCCAUCAAACUUCCUAGGCAUACUAAUUCUUGCCUCUCUUAUGCUUAUAGAAGCAAAACUUUGUAAAUUUGGUUGUGAUGCUGAUCUACUUGUCCCCUUCAACUACACAUCUUUGCAAAGACUCUAAACUUCUUUUAUAUAUAUAAGAAUAAUACCUCUAUAAUUCACAUUAAAAAUACAUAAGAUUUUUAAUCUUGGAGUGUUGAUAAACUUGUGAAGAUCUAUAGUAGUUGCAAAUCUAUUGUCACUGUCACGGCCAUAAUCAUGUAAGCUAAUAAUUACAUAUAGAAAUAGGUAGAAGUAAGUAAAAGUAGAUAAAAGUAAGUUAAUUAUAUAAUAUUUAAUAUAGAAGCUUCCUAGAAACUUCCUAGAUGCUGCUUUGACUUCAUAGGUGUCUUUAAUUGACUUUUUGGAUUAGAAACGUGGUCAACAAGUUGGCCAUGUGCCACACAUGUUGUUAGCUUGAAGAUCAAGCUAACUAUGUGGCCCACACGUAGAAAAACUUGCCUUGUAAGUCAAGGCAUGUGUCCUACAAAGUCAACACAUAUUGGAGGUCCUAUAGAACGUCGCCACGUAGCCCCUAGUUAGAUAGUAUAUAUAGAGACAAGAGUGAAGGCUUCUUCACUCUUGUCAACUCCUUUCUUGCUUCUAGUCCAGGUUCAAGAGUCUUUAGUUUCUUGUCUUGUGGCAAUAGCCAUUCCAGUUUCCUUUUAAUAUACCUACUUGUUUAUAUUUUGACUUAUUAUAUCGAGAUAGCCUUUUGGUGUAUAUUUUUUCUCAUCGAGUCUUUGUCCUUGACAGAUUGACAAGAGUACACUUACAAUAUCAGAGCUUUGUUUUUUCUUGAGUAAGAGUGGAUUACCCCUUUCUCUUGACAAGACAUAAGCGUAUUAGAAGUUUGCGGAUUACCCACUUCUAAACUGAUAUUGUUCUUAGUAUCUUCUUUAUUAUCAAGUCUUUCUUUUCUUUUGUCUUGAGUAAUAUCAAACAAAUUUUUCUUCUUAGUGUCAUUAUGGCAGAACUUGUUGAAAUGAAGAGUGCAAUGGCACAAAUGCAAGAGCAAAUGAGGGAGUUAAUGCUUGCGAUGCAUCAACUCAAUUCACCAACACAUGAAAGAACAAGAAUAGCAGAAAGUGGAGAUAUAGAGAUGAUCGGAGCUACUUCAACAUCUACAACAAAUCACGUUCCUUCUCCAAUUGUACAACACCCUAUAAGCACUAGAGAACCAAGAAUUGCCUUACCUGAGAAAUUUGAUGGUACGAGAUCAAAGUUUCGAGGGUUCAUCAAUCAAGUACAAUUGGCAAUUGAACUUCAACUGCAAAGCUAUCCAACUCCAGGAUCACAAGUCAGGUUUAUUGGCACUCUACUUUCUGGUUCUGCAUUAUCGUGGUUUUCGUCUUUUCUUGAACAACGAAAUCCAAUAUUGGAUAAUUUGGAAGCUUUUUUGGCGGAGUUUCGAUCUAUGUAUGGUGAACACGAUGCAACUCGUGUUGCAACAAAUAAGAUCCGAAUUCUGCGACAAGGAAAUCGCUCAGUAACAGUAUAUGCUUCACAAUUUCGACAACUUGCAAUUGACAUCAAGUGGGAUGAUGCUGCACUCAUCAGUCAAUUUCUUUAUGGAUUGCAAUACGAAGUAAAGAAAUUGAUGCUCAACUUACCUGAUCCUCAAACUUUGAGUCAAGCAAUCGAUUUUGCGGUAAAAUGUGAUAAUCGACUUUUUGAAUUUUGAUCUGAGAAUCAUUCACGGGAACCUCAACGUUAUUACUCAAUGGCAACAUCAACAUCUUUGCCAAACGUACAUUUGGAAGUAGAAGACAUGCAAAUUGACGCAGUACGUUUUAAACCUCUAACUGAGCAAGAAAAGAUUCGUCGUCGUCAAGAAGGAUUAUGUUUAUAUUGCGGAGAACCUAAGCACACUGCUCAACAUUGUCCAAAGAAACGACGCAACUAUAAAAUGAGGGGUACGACGGUCAAAGAAGACAACAUGUCGGAAAACGGAUUCGUCCAGCUACAAUAGGGACCGUGCAGCUGGAACCUUGUACAAUUCCUAAUGAAGGUCCUAUCCUCUCCUCAGAACCCUCUCCUUGUUUUAUAAUAGACUUAUAUUUAGGACCUAAGAAUUACAAAGCCUCUACUUUAUUAGAUUCGAGAGCCUCAGCAUGUUUUUUAGAUGAACAAUUUGUUAAAAGUCGUAAAAUACCCUUUGUACAGAAACCUAAACCAGUACAUGUAGAAGUCAUAGAUGGUCGUCCCUUGUCUUCUGGAGAUGUCACUCAUGAAACUCAUCCUAUAAAAGUAACAAUAGAUGGUCAUGAUAGCUACAUAGCUUUUAACAUAAUUAAAUCUCCGUCCAAUCCAGUUAUUUUAGGUUUAUCCUGGCUAGAAAAAUAUAACCCUCGAAUAGAUUGGAAUUCGCAUAAACUUGACUUUUCCAAAAGCGUUAUUAAUAGUUCUACGAACCAAGUAAAAAAUUAUAAGUCUAGUACAAUAAAACCCGUACUGAUAGGUGCAAAAGCAUUUAUACACGCAGCAAAAGAAAGAUCAACUUUUGCUAUUUAUGCUGCACCUAUUUCUGAAAAUGUAAAGACUUCAAGUGGCAUUCCAAGUCAAUAUCAGGAGUAUCAAGACGUUUUUGAGAAAAAGAAUGCAGAUAUUCUUCCUGAGCAUCGUCCAUAUGAUUGUUCAAUCGACCUCAAGGAAGGAACUCAGCCACCAUUUGGACCAAUUUACAGUUUAUCGCAAGAUGAGAUGGCUAAACUCAAGACAUAUAUUGACGAGAAUUUAGCGAAGAAUUUCAUACGCCAUUCAAAAUCUCCAGCAGGAGCUCCAAUUCUAUUCGUAAAGAAAAAAGAUGGAUCUUUACGAAUGUGUGUUGAUUAUCGAGGACUCAACAAGAUCACAAUCAAGAACAGGUAUCCAUUACCUUUGAUAUCAGGACUCCUUGACCAGUUGAAUCAAGCUAAGAUCUAUACAAAAAUAGAUCUAAGAGGAGCAUAUAAUCUAGUACGGAUCAAAGAAGGAGAUGAAUGGAAGACUGCGUUUCGAACCAGGUAUGGACAUUUCGAAUAUAAUGUCAUGCCCUUUGGACUCACGAAUGCACCAGCUGCUUUUCAACAUUUCAUGAAUGAUAUAUUUCAUGAAUUCUUAGACAAUUUUGUCAUCUGCUAUCUAGACGAUAUCCUGAUCUAUUCUAAGAACGUCGAAGAACAUGAAAUACAUGUUCGUCAAGUAUUACAAAAACUUAGAGAUGCAGGAUUGUACGCCAAGAUGGAAAAGUGUGUAUUUCACACUACUCAAGUUGACUUUUUAGGAUACAUCAUUUCAAAUGAUGGUCUCAUGAUGGAUUCUAAGAAAGUCCAAACAAUCGUGGAUUGGAAGAUUCCAAGGACGAUAAGAGAUGUCCAAUGUUUCUUGGGAUUUGCCAAUUACUAUCGGAUCUUCAUCAAAGAUUUCUCACGAGUUGCAGCUCCACUUACACGCUUGACUAGUAAAGAUAAAUUUCAAUGGAAUCAAGAAGCGGAAGCAGCAUUUGAAGCCUUGAAGACAUCGUUUGUCUCUGCACCAGUCUUAUAUCGUGUUGACAUUUCCAAGGCAUUUUUUAUGGAAACAGAUGCAUCAGAUUUUGCCUUGGGUGCAGUUUUAUCACAAAUGGGAACAGAUGACAAACUCCAUCCGAUAGCUUUUCAUUCAAGAAAAUUCUCAGCAGCCGAGAUCAAUUAUGAGAUCCACGAUAAAGAACUUCUUGCGAUCGUGGAUUCCUUUCAAGAAUGGCGUCAUUAUCUAGAAGGCGCUUCUAGUCCAGUCACUGUGUAUACAGAUCACAAGAACCUCGAGUAUUUCUUGUCAGCACGCGUGUUGAAUCGUCGUCAAGCUCGUUGGAGUAUGUCUUUGUCAAGAUUCGAGUUCAUUAUCACUUAUCGGCCAGGAAAACAACAAGGUUUAUCCGAUGCCCUAUCUAGAUGUUCUUAUUUUGCACCAAAAGAAGGAGAUGCAGCUUUUGAGCAACAAAGAACGGUCCUCUUGAAACCGGAGCAAUUUCAUCUCCGAGCAAUGAAAUCAACAUUGACUGUUGAUUCAACUUUUCUCAAGCAAAUCCAGUCCAGUAUGUCCUCAGACCCUCUUGUUUAUGAUAUCGAGAAUAAUUCUUCCAAGUCUCAUGAUCCUUCUAAGUUUGAGUUCAAGAAUAAUCUAUUAUAUUUUGAAGGACGCCUAUAUGUUCCAGAAGGAGAAGCACGUUUACGUGUUCUUCAAGCACGUCAUGACUUUUCAGCAGCAGGGCACUUUGGAUAUAAUAAGACUUUGGAACUCAUAUCAAGAGAUUUUUGGUGGCCACAAAUGUGGAAGUCAGUCAAAGACUUUGUACAAUCAUGUGAUAUUUGUUCAAGAUCAAAAAUUCCUCGUCAUCGACCUUACGGACUUCUUCAGCCAUUACCUAUAUCAGAACAACCAUGGUCUUCUGUUUCUAUGGAUUUCAUCACAGAUCUUCCAAGCUCAAGAUCUUAUGAUUCUAUAUUUGUAAUAGUAGAUCGUUUCACCAAGAUGGCACAUUUUGUGCCAUGUACAAAAUCUAUCACAGGUGAAGAAACAGCUAAGCUUUUCAUUGAUAAUAUCUAUCGCUAUCAUGGAUUACCUAAAGAUAUCAUAUCGGAUAGGGGAACUCAAUUUGUGUCAAGAUUUUGGAGGACCCUUUUCAACAUUUUAAAAGUGGACAUAAAGCUAUCUUCGGCUUUCCAUCCUCAAACUGAUGGACAAACAGAGCGCGUAAACCAAGUCUUGGAGCAAUAUUUAAGGUGUACUAUCAACUACCAACAAGAUGAUUGGACAACCCUUCUGCCAUUGGCAGAGUUUGCUUAUAAUAAUACGGUACAUUCUUCCACGCAACAAACACCUUUCUUUGCCAAUUAUGGCUAUCAUCCACGACUUGAUACUUUUGAUUUUUCAAAAGUUGAUAAUCCUGCAGCAGAAGAUAUGGCAAAUCGGUUGUCAGAGUUACAUGCAAUAAUGAAGACACAAUUGAAGGAAGCUCAAGAACGACAAAAGAUAAACGCAGAUCUAUAUCAUAAGGAGCAACCACAAAUCAACGUGGGUGAUAAGGUAUGGCUACUUCGUCGCAAUAUCAAGACUACUCGACCUUGUGACAAGUUGGACUAUCGUAGGCUUGGCCCCUUUUCUGUUUCUGAACAGAUCAACCCAGUUGCAUAUCGGUUACAUCUACCGGAGUCAAUGAAGAUCCAUCCUGUAUUCCACGUAUCUCUUCUUGAACCAUAUAAGACAGUGGAUAUACAAGGAAGAAGACAAAUGCCACUGCCUCCUAUAGAAGUAGAUAAUAAUGAAGAAUUUGAGGUAGAAGAGAUAUUAGACUCAAGGCGGCGCCGAAAUAAGCUGGAAUAUCUUGUUCAUUGGCGCGGAUAUGAUAUUAGUGAAUGCACAUGGGAGCCAUCCAGGAAUCUAGCAAAUGCAUCAGCUAAAGUCAAAGUUUUUCAUCAACGACAUCCAUCAAAAUCAAGAUGAAAAUCUCUCUUAUAAAAGAGACAAGAUUGAGGCAAGAUAACAUUCAAUUUCCUAUCCUUGUUUGUAACUUCUUUACAUUUGUGAUGCUAAUUAGAUGGAGAGCCAACAACCAGCGGAUUCAACUCAAGAACCUUCGUUUGCUGACCUACCGGAUGAGACAUUACGAUUGUCACAACCUUCAAGACGACGCAAUCGAGAUGAAGAUCUUCAAGAACGACAUGUUCUUCCUCGAACAGAUGGUGAGAUACAACGCGUUUGGUAUCAUGAUUUGGGAAGGGACUCCCGAUGUUUGGUGAUUUUGCUAGAGGUAGGAACAACUCCUGAUGGUGUUCCGAAUAUUCUAUUCGAAGGAAGUUAUGAAGGCCUCAAUAAUGAUCAAAUAACUGGGUGGUCUUCUCGCCCUGGUAUGGGACACUACCGAUGGUUGAGAGGCCCUAUCAAUCAUCUUCGAAGAGAACAGAGAUCAGAGUAUGUGGCGAAUACAAUUCGUCGCAUCAUAGAUUUCCUCAACAUAUGAUAACCGCUCCUCGUGGAACUCGUCUCUAGAAGGGGGGGUAAUGUCACGGCCAUAAUCAUGUAAGCUAAUAAUUACAUAUAGAAAUAGGUAGAAGUAAGUAAAAGUAGAUAAAAGUAAGUUAAUUAUAUAAUAUUUAAUAUAGAAGCUUCCUAGAAACUUCCUAGAUGCUGCUUUGACUUCAUAGGUGUCUUUAAUUGACUUUUUGGAUUAGAAACGUGGUCAACAAGUUGGCCAUGUGCCACACAUGUUGUUAGCUUGAAGAUCAAGCUAACUAUGUGGCCCACACGUAGAAAAACUUGCCUUGUAAGUCAAGGCAUGUGUCCUACAAAGUCAACACAUAUUGGAGGUCCUAUAGAACGUCGCCACGUAGCCCCUAGUUAGAUAGUAUAUAUAGAGACAAGAGUGAAGGCUUCUUCACUCUUGUCAACUCCUUUCUUGCUUCUAGUCCAGGUUCAAGAGUCUUUAGUUUCUUGUCUUGUGGCAAUAGCCAUUCCAGUUUCCUUUUAAUAUACCUACUUGUUUAUAUUUUGACUUAUUAUAUCGAGAUAGCCUUUUGGUGUAUAUUUUUCUUCAUCGAGUCUUUGUCCUUGACAGUCACUUAUGUUAAAAAUAGCAUCCAUAAUUAUUUAUUUAUUUAUUUAUUUAUUUUUAUAGAAAAUUCAAAUAAAUUUAAAAAAUUAUAUUAGAGGAACGUAAUCUACAACCUCUAAUAUCAAAUGAAAAUUUCCAAAAAGAGGAAUAAUUCACUCUCUUUAAGAAAAAAAUCCGUGUUAGAAAACUAAACUAUUUAUUUAAAGGUACAUAGUUUAUAAUCUUUAAAAUACAAUAAUAGAAGCUAGAUAAUCUAUUCACUUUUAAAAAAAAUAAAAAAAAGAAGUUAACACUCUUAUUAAAAUCUCAAAAAAAAAAAAAAAAAAAUCAAUACAUUCUCGUGUUAUUCAAAAAGACUAAAAAAUCACUUAAAGAUGAUAAUAUAUUGAAUUAGAAUGGCUAUUGUCAAAAACAAAAAGAUUAAAAAGUCUUGAAACAAAACUAAGGACUAGAAAGGCAUUGAUAAGAAUGAAGAAGGCUUUAUUGUUGCCUCUAUAUAUACUCUCUAACUAGAAGCUACAUAGCAAUCUUCUAUAAGACCUCCAACAUGUAUUGACUUUGCUAGACAAAUGUCUUAACUUGCAAGGUAAGUUAUUUAUAUAUGCACCAUAUAGUUAUCUUAUUCUACAAGCUACAAAUAUAAGUGGUAUGUAAUUAAUUCUAACUUAUCAAUCAACUACAAACAUGUAUAAAAGUCAAAAUUAUAUCUAUAAAGCUUCUAAAAAGCUUUUUUAGAAGAUAUUAUAAAAUUAAUUUAUAUUUACUUAUUUCUAUCUAAUUAUUUAAGUAACUAUUGGAAUAAAUAUAUAUUUCCAUGAUAAUAUAAUUAUCUAGAUAAAAAAUAUUAGGUAAAAAAUAAAUACAGAAAAAUUUAAUAAUAUCUUAUAAAAAAGCUUAUUAAAAGCUUUAUAAAUAUAAAUUUGACUUUAUAUGUGUUUGUAAUUAAUUAUUAGGUUAGAAACUUGGUAAAAAAGUUGAUCUUCCAUUGGAUAUGUUUGCAACGUGUAGUAUAAGUUAACUAUGUGGCAUAUAUAUAUAUAAAAAAUAUUUUUCAAGUUUAACACUUCAUUGAGAUCAUAUAAUAUGUUCUUAUAUAGCUCCUAUUUAGAUAGUAUAUAUAGAAAAAAGAGUGAAGCCUUUUACAUUCUUAUCAAUAUCUUUUUUAUUUUUAAUCUUAUUUUUAGAAUCUAUAGUCUUUUAAUCUUUUAGCAAUAGCUAUUUUAAUUUUAAUAUUAUAUUAUAUUUGAAUAAAUAUCUAUUCUUUUCUAAUGACAUAAGAGUAUAUUUAAGAUUUUAUUAUUUAUAAUUCAUAUCUUUGAAAGUUUGACAAUAGUAUUAAUUCAUUAUUCUUAUUUUAUUUUAGAAUUGAAUAAAUUAUUCUACUUUUUUGUUGUAUUUUAAAGUUUAUAAACUACUUUUAUUUAAAUUAAUAUCUUUUAUAUUUUUUGAGAUUGAUUCUUUCUUUAAAAAGAAUAGACUAUUAUUUUUUGUAGAAAUAUUUAUUUGAUAUUAAUAAUUACUAAUUAUUUUCUUUUAAUUUGACUUAUGGAUUUGUUAUAGUUUUUUGCUAUAGAAAUGAAAGAAAAAAUUAUGAAUGCUAUACUUAACAGAAACAAGAAUAGACUUGUAACUAUUCCAAAUCUUCAAAAGCUUAAGAAUAAUUUUUAGAGUAAAAAUCUCAUGCAUUAGUCACACCAACUAUGAAAGUAUUAUUUUUUUGCAUAUGAAAGAAGUCCAUAAUAAGAUUUCGGAGUAACAUCAAGCACUUGUAUGAUGAAGAAAAGCAAGUAGAUCAACUUUGCAAAUAAAUUCAAGAAGUCUUUGCUAUUACAAGUAUGAAAGAAGCAAGGAUUAUUAUGCUAAAGAAGUUUGAUAGAGUAAUAUUAAAUUUUAAUUUUUUUUACAAUAAGUCAAGUUCUAUUUAAGAUUAUAUUAUCUUAAUUAAUUUAUUCAAGUUAGAUUGAUAGAUGCACUUCUAUUUGGAAGUGCUCUCUAUUAGUUUGUAUGUUUAAAGAAAAAAUAAUCACAACUUUUUCAUGAUCUUAAUUCAUUCUUUAAAGUUUUUUUAGUCACAUUUGAAGAUGAUAAUCAAGAAAAGAUAAAAAAGACCAAAGUCCUAUCUUUAUGACAAGAAUCAUAUUUAGCUACCAUAUGUACUACUAAAUUCCAAAAUCUUGCUUACAAUGUGGAUUGGAAUAACAAUGCCCUUAUUAAUUAAUUUUAAUAUAGAUUAAUAAAUAAUAUCAAAGAAUAAAUAUUAAUAAUAUCAAAAAUAAUUUAAUAGAUUAUUUUAUUACUUAAGCCAUUACAUACAAUAAUCAUCUUUUUAAAAGGUACUAAGAACAAAAAUUUGGUUGGAAAGAAAUAAAUCAAGUAAUGAAAAUAUGUCCUAAGUUUUUAAGAACUUAUUUAUCAAAUAUAGAACGUAUAAAAUUGAUAUAAUAUAUUUUAAAUCUCCUACUAAGCAUUAAAAGAUUUGAUGUUGUCAAGAAAGAUUGUAUUUGUAAUAUGGAGAGUCUAAGUACAUUGCUCAACAUUCUCUAUAGAAGCAACACAAUUGCAAAAUAAAGAGUAUGAUUAAUAAAGAGAAAAUGUAUUAGGAAAAGAAUUUCUAGCUAUAAUAAGAAUUAUAGGGCUAAAAUCUUAUACAACACCUAAUAAAAGUUAUGUUUUCUCCCUAGAUCUAUCACUUUAUUUUACAAUAGAUGUUUAUUUAGAAUCAAAAAAUUACCUCAUCUUUGUCUUAUUAGACUUAUAAGCUUUAACUUGUUUAUAAACAAAGACUUUGUUAAAAAAUAAAAAAUAAUUUUAGCCAAAAAAAACUAUGCCAAUGCAUGGAAAAAUCAUAAAAAAUUAUUUUUUGUCUUUUAAAAUUUUUAUUUAUUAAGCUAUUCUUUGAAAUGUAAUAACUAAUAGUUAUAAUAGCUUAAUAAUAUUUAAUAUUAUUAGAUCUCUUUUCAAUCUAAUUAUUUUAGAUUUGACAUGGAUAAAGUAAUAUAAUUCUUGAAUAGACUCAAUUUUUUAUAAUCAAAUUUUUUUUCAUAGUAUAUUUCAAGUUUUUGUUAUCCAAAUAAAAAUUCAUAAGUUUGAUACAACUUGUAGUAGUGCAAGAACUUUUAUACAUGUUACAAAAAAAGAUAGUUUGUUUUAUUUAUGCCACAUCCAUUUUUGAUCGUGAUAAGACUUCAAGUAAUAUUUCAAGUCAAUAUUAAGAUUAUUAAGAUUUUUUUUAAAAAAAAAAAAUAUUAUUCUUAUAAUUCCUCAAUUGUUCUUCAAGAAGGAACUCAACUAUGAUUUGGACCAAUUUAUAGCUUAUCACAAAAAAAAUUAGCUGCACUCAAGGAAUAUAUUGACAAGAAUUUAGAUAAAAACUUUAUACACCAUUCAAAAUCUCUAGCAGGAGCUCCUAUCCAAAUUUGUGUGGAUUAUUAAGAAUUCAAUAAGAUCACUAUCAAGAAUAAAUAUCCUCUAUAUAUUAUAUUAAAUUUUUUUAAUCAAUUGAAUCAAACAAAGAUCUAUAUCAAAAUGGAUUCAUAAAGAGUGUAUAAUCUAUUAUAUAUGAAAUAAAUAAAUAAAUAAAAUAUUUUAUUUUAAAUCAAUUAUGAAAAUUUGAAUAUAACGUUAUGUCUUUUGGACUCAAAAAUGCACCAAUUGUUUUUCAAUUUCUAAUUAAUGAUAUUUUUAAAGAAUUUUUAGAUGGUUUUAUUAUCUAUUAUUUAUGCAAUAUUUUAUUUUGCUCUAAGAAUACAAAAAAACAUGAAUUUCAUGUUCUUUCUAUAUUUCAAAAACUUAAAGAUAGAAGAUUAUAUGCUAAGAUGGACAUGUGUGUAUUACACACAAUUCAAAUUGAUUUCUUAAGAUACAUCAUUUCAAAUAAUGGCCUCAUGAUAAAUCCUAAGAAAGUUUAAGCUAUUGAAGAUUUAAAGAUUUUAUAAAUAAUAAAAAAUAUAUAAUAUUUUUUAGGAUUUGUGAAUUACCAUCAGAUCUUUAUUUAUAUUUUUUCAAAUCAUAAUUCUAUUCAUAUGUUUGACUUAUAAAAAUAUACUUAAAUAGAAUAAAAAAACUAAAGUAUCAGUUGAAGCUUUGAGACAAUUUUUACUUCUAUGUGAAUAUAGUAUUAUGUCAACUUAUAUAAGAUAUUUUUUAUGAAAAUAGAUGCAUUAGACUUUGCUUUGGAUGAUAUAUUCUUAUAAAUAAAAGAAAAUGAUAAUUUUUACACAAUAUUUUUUUAUUCAAGAAAUAUUUUAGUAAUAGAAAUUAAAGUAUGAGAUCUACAACAUAGAAUUUCUUAUAAUUUUGGACUUACUUUAAGAUUGGCACCAUUUUUUGAAAGACACUUUAAGUCUAAUAAUUAUUUAUAAAUAUCAAAAGAAAUUUAAAUAUUUUAUUUAUUACAAGUUCUAAAUCAUCACUAAGCUUAUUAGAGCAUGUUUUUAUAAAGGUUUGAAUUUAAGAUCACUUUUUAACCAAAAAAAUACUAAUAUUUAUUAGAUGCUAUUUUUAGAUGCUCUUAUCUUAGAUCAAAAGAAGAAAAUGCACCUUUUAAACAAUAAUGAAGAAUUCUUUUGAAACCAAAGCAAUUUCAUGUUUAAAUUUUAAAAUUAAUAUUAAGUGUUGAUUCAAAUUUUUUAAAGCAAAUUCAAUCAAAUAUGUCCUUAAAUCCUCUUUUUUAUAAUAUUAAGAAUAAUCCUUUUAAAAUUCAUGAUAUUUUUUAAUUUAAUUUUAAAAACAAUCUAUUGUAUUUUGAAGGAUGCUUAUAUGUUCUAAAAGAUGAAGGAUGAUUAUAUGCUCUUCAAGCUUCUCAUCAUUUUGUAGCUGUUGAAUAUUUUGGAUAGAAUAAGUCUUUAGAAUUAAUCUCAAGAGAUUUUUGGUUGCUUCAAAUAUGAAAGGUAAUCAAAGUCUUUGUAUAAUUUUUGAUAUUUAUUUAAGAUAAAAAACUCCUUGUUAUUGACCUUAUGGUCUUCUUUAGCCAUUACCAAUAAUAAAAUAACUAUAGUAUUUUGUUUCAAUGAAUCUUAUGGCAGAUCUUUUAAUCUCAAGCUCAUAUGAUUCUAUAUUUAUAAUAAUAUAUUAUUUCACCAAGAUGGUAUAUUUUGUACCAUAUAUAAAAUUUAUCUUAGAUGAAAAAAAAAUUAAUUUUUUUUACAAUAUUUAUUGCUAUCAUAGAUUGCCAAAAGAUAUUAUAUCAAAUAGAAAAUUUUAAUUUGUAUCAAGAUUUUAAAGAUUUUUUUUAAAAUAAUGAAAGUAGAUAUAAAAUUAUCAUUAGCUUUCUAUUAUAAAAUCAAUGGACAUACAAAACUUGUAAAUCAAGUUUUAGACUAGUCUUUAAGAUGUACCAUCAACUAUCAUCAAGAUAACUAGACAAUUAUUUUGUCACAAUUAAAAGAAGAUCAAGAAUGACAAAAAAUCAAUAUAGAUGCUUGUUGCAAGAGACAACUUCAAUUCUAUGUUGGCAACAAAGUAUGAUUAUUUUAUCCUAAUAUUAAAAUUAGGAAAUACUUUAAAAUUUUGGAUUAUUAUAGAUUUGGCCCAUUUUCUAUUAGUGAACAAAUCAAUCCAAUUGCUUAUUAAUUCCAUCUACCAAAAUCUAUAAAGAUCCAUCAUGUAUUCCACAUUUUUUUUUUUUAGCCAUAUAAGACAAUGGACGUAUUAAAAAAAAAGAUAAAAGUCACUUUCUCUUAUAAAAGUGAAUAAUAAUCAAAAAUUUGAGAUUAAAGAAGUCUUAGGCUUAAGAAAAAAGCUAAAAUAGGUUGGAAUAUUUUAUAUAUUGAUAUAAAUACAAUAUUAGUGAAUAUACAUAGAAGUUAGUCAAAAAUCAUGUAAAUGCUUUAAAGAAGCUUAAUGCUUGUUAUUGAUGAUAUCUAUCAAAGUUAAGAUGAAGAAUUAAUGAAUUAUUCCUAUAAAAAAAAUAAUGCUUAAUGGAGAGUACAUUAUAUUUUCAAUCUUUGUUUGUGAUUUUUGUAUAUUUGUGGUACUAUAAAUAGAGAAUUAUCAACCAAUAUAUUCAACUAAAGAACUACUAUUUAUUAAAUAUUGAAUAAUACAUUGAAAUUAUCACAAUCUUCAAGAUAAUGUAAUAGAUAUGAAGAUUCUCAAAAAUAGUAUGUUUUUCUUUGAAUACAUGGUAAGAUAUAAUGUAUUUGAAAUUAUAACUUUAGAAGAAACUCUCAAUAUUUGAUAAUAUUAUUAGAGGUGGAAACCACCCAUGAUGGUAUUUUAAAUAUUUUAUUUAAAAGAAGUUACAAAGAUCUCAAUAAUUAUUUAAUAUCAUAGUAGUCUUUACUUCUUGAUAUGAGACACUAUUGAUAAUUGAAGGACAUAUUAAUUGUAUACAAAAGAAACAAAUAUCAAAGUAUGUGAUAAAUAUAAUUUUUUGUAUUUUGGACUUCUUCAACAUGUAAUUAUUACUCUUCAUAGAACUUGUCCCUAGAAAUAAUAUUGUUAAAUUAUUGAUAUUUUUUUGAAAAGUUUCUCAAAAGCUUUGUAGACUUUACAUGUGAUUAUAAAUAAUUAAUAGGUUGACAACUUGGUGAAUAAGUUGGCUACAUAUUAUACAUUGAACUUCUUGUAUUAUAAGUUGGUCAUGUGGCACACUUGUUGGAGACUUGUCUUACAAAUCAAACAUUUAUCUCCAAAUUUAGAUAUGUGUCAUGUAGCCUAUAUGACAUUGUUAUUUAAUUUUUUUAGUAGAUAAUAUAUAUGGAGGCAAGUAUAAGGCAUUCUUUACUCUUUUCAAUCUUUUUUGUGUCAUCUAUUUUAAUUCAAGUUUUUUUAGUACUUUUUUAUUAAGCAUCAAUCAUUCUAAUUUUAAAUCUAUAUCUAUCUUUUAAUUGUCUACUUUCUCUCUUUUUAUGAUACAAAAAUAUAUUGUUAUUUUUAAAAUUGUGUUGUGAUUCAUAUCCUUAACAUUGAAGGUACAAUUAGAAGCAAAAAGAGAAAAUAUCUAGGAGUAGUAAAGAAGCAAUAGAAAUAGAAAUGAAGCAAUUAAGUGCAAAAUAUAAAAAUUAAGGUACUGGAAUAAGAAUAUAUAAAUAAAUAAAUAAAAAUUACUUACAUUACCUAUGAAUAAUAAGGCUAGCAACUACUAAAGACUUUGAGAAGCCUUCUAAAACACAAACCUUCUUAUGUCUCAUGCUUUUAACUUGGAAGGAGCAUAAGGCUAUGAUAAAUUUGUAAUAGAGGUUAUUAAAGUAAAAAUUGCAGAUAUAUAUAUAUAUAUAUAUAUAUAUAUAUAUAUGAAGUAGUCACUUUAUUCUUUUUUGACAUAAUUACAAGUAUAAUCCUAACUCUUAGUUAUACUACCAUAUAUAUAUAUAUAUAUAUAUAUAGAUAUAAAUUGGAUUGACAAUUCUUCCAAAAAUAUCAUAAGCCAUAGAACCUUGUUUCAUGAAAAUAGAAUAACAAACAAGAAGAAAACUAUAAAUUCAAAUAUAAAAAAAGAUGUAGUUUGAUUUAAAGGUUGAAAAAGUAAAAAUAUUAAUAUAAUUCAUAUAUAACAAAGACCUUGCCAUCAAUAUAUAGAGAGUAUAAGAAAGCAAAGAUGUAUCUCCACUUUAUCAAGUUUGUAACCUAAAUCUUCCAAAAAUAGUGAUGUAUUGUUUGAGAAUACUCUCAAGCCAAAAAAACUUGAGAUUAGAUUAUAUCAAUAAUGCAAAAGGUUGCUACUAGCCCCACCAUAAUUGGCCCUUGGCUAUCUUUUAUAUGGAAGUAAACAAUCGUUCCCAAGGAUACUCAUUCCAAGUUCAAAUAACAGAAAGUUAUAUGGUCUUUUUUUCAUGGUAUGUGCCAUUGGACAAUACAGAAAGAAUACAAUAACUUAUCUUUUAAUGAAAAAGUAAGAAAUGAUUAAAGAGUGUUUUUGAAAAUUUGAUCAAACCUACUAGAUUAUAGUAGAAUGAAAUAAAAACUUACAGAAGAUAUAUUAGGAAAGUAACCAAACAAUUGUGAAGCCAUGCUUUGCAGUUGGAAUAGAAUUGGGAUGGUGAAGAAAAUGACUAGCACAAACAAAUGAAAUCAAUUGUUUAAAAUUCAAAAAUUCUCAUAUUAUGAUAGUACAUGGUAGAACUUAAUCACUUAUAGACAAUCACUUGAUGUAGUGCUUUAUUUAACAGACACUCUCCCCCUCCAAUUUGUUUAGAUUCCAAGUUCUUGAAUGUCUUCUACUGAACCUUUUACUGAUUAAUUAGAAUUUAUGUUUGUUUUUGGAAACAACUUGAAUGUCUAACUGCAAGUUUAAGCACCGAGAUACCUCACAAAUGCAUACAAUCAACUUUUGUUUCCAUUCUAAGUUGUUUUUAUAUUUCAUUCUUCAUUAGGUUUGGUGGCAAUACGACUGCAGGUGGCUGGUGGGGCCAAGCAUGAUUCUGCACAUUAACAAUGCGUGGAACCAAAACUAUUCCUAUGAUUAAAAUACAGAAAAUGAAUUUGAUUCAUGUUGUAGUACUGAUCUUUAACUUCCCUAGUUUCGAGACUACAUUCCAACUUGGCACCAUUGCUUUAAGAUCACAGAAUAAGCAGCCAAAAGAGGUGGUACGAGGAAUCUAGUACAUGUCCGAGUCUGUAUUGUCUGUUGAAAAAUAAGCUGUAUGAGAUGAUUUACAGAACGUAGAUAGUAGUAUCAUGAUUCCAAAAAUGAUGCAAGUGUGAAAACCAGCUUCUCAACAAACAAUAAUUUAUCUGAUUUUGCAAAUGAAAAGUCAAAAUUAUAACCGUAGAAUUGAAGUUCUCCGAAGGGUGCACGCUUACACCUAGCCACAGAAUAGGUGAAGCACUGCACAUUCCACUGGAUUGCAUGUGCACCUCGCUUGCUAUUGAACACAUCUAGAAGUGUCAUAUGAAGAUGAACUCUAAGCGGUUGAAGGGUACUUUACAAUUCUCUUAGGUGAAAGUAUGAACUUGAAAUCGGCUCUAAGCGAUUGAAGGGUAAUUUACAACUCUUUCGAGAAAGUAUUCCUUAUCCUAAAGGCUACGUUAGGAAAUACCCGAGUUAGUUAAAGUAAUUGCAACAAAUAUCAUUGAAUAGUCGACCCACCUUUGAGAAGCACCUUCUCAACCCUGAGUCGAGAGCGGGGGAUUAAAUUAUAGAGUCCUUAGUAGGUACCCCGUUUCCACCAGUUGCGGCUUGGUGAUCGAGCUCAAAUUUCCGUUUCAACCAAGCUGUUUCCAUGUCAAUCAUAGCAAGAUCAGUUUCAAGGUAUCUCUGAAACGUACGUGAAAUCACAAGCUUCUCCGCAUCGAACCAAUCAGUUUCUUUGGUUCCCUUAAUUCCAUUCUGGAGCCUGGUCUCGUAAAGUUCUACCGAAGCGCGAGUGACUUCAUCUUUUCUUCCAUCUAAAAGUCUUCUUCGAGCUUCACUCCAGCAGUCUAUGUACGGAUGAGCCACCGGCCGGGAAGAUUUAACUGAAGCAACAGCAUCCUCCAAGUCCAUUUGUUGAACAAAUGUUAAGUGGCCAACUGUGGUCAAUGUCGCACGGUUGAUCCCAGCAGUGCAAUGCACAUAGACCUUCAUUCCUCUCCCAACAAGCGAAUUCAGAACUCGAAUAGCAACUGGAAGCAUCAAGGAUUGAUCUGCAUGAUCGAAAUCUCGUAUGGCCACUCGUUCCAAUCGAACCCCUCGCUCCACCUGCCAUUUUCAGAACAUUUUCAGAACGUUUCCUGUCAUUGCAUGUCCUAGGUUUACCCUAAGAAGCUGCUCAAUUCAGUCCAUCCGCUCAUAUAAUGAUCAAUAAACACUCAGUGCCAUGUCUCGCAUGCUCUCAAAAAGGCGGGUUUAUUCUUUGACUCUGUAAAACUACACGCCUUAAAUUGACCUGAUAGAAAAAAUACUGUGUGGACAAAGAGACAACCACAUCGCCCACACAUCAAAUUCGGAUGGAGAAAACUCAAAACUCAGAAGCACUUGCAAUCCUCACGAAAGCUGAAUAUCAACCGGAAUGAAAGAAAGAUGCAAUAUACGGCUAGAACAUGUAGAGAAACGAAAGGAUAUAGGUAGUUAUUGCAGGUUCUGCAACCGAAUUGGGCACUACUGUAAUAUUUCCAUAACUUACAACCAAAUUUCACUUCGUAUUCCCUUGAUGUACACUGGUCUAUCUGAAUGCGCCAUGAGAGACUUUUGAGGUAGGGAUACUCUACGGUAUUUCAGCAUAUUCAAGAAAUAAUAAACAAAAGAAAAAGUCAAUCCUUUUCGAUGUAAGUUUCUCAAACAUGAAAACGCUAAACAUAAAGAAGAUAGACUGGAAUAGACACAGAGUCGCUUUAGUGCAAGUAAAGAGCAGAUGUGAGCAAUACCGCUCUUGUCCGGAUGGCGUCGAAGGGAAUUUUGAGGGCGUCAAAGCAGAGAUCGCAUUGGAGAUUGAGGAUAGCAUCAAUUCCAGCUUCGUUCACCAUGCGGUCUAUGUCCCCAGGGCUUCGAGGACAAGAACCCACAAUUAUGUUGGGAGUGAUCUGAUUCCAAUUCAGGGUCCACCGCCACUGAAAGGGGUCUGCAGGGUCCUUGAUUUCAGCUGCCUCCUUCUGACGCUGCUCCCAGCCUGCUUGCUCUUCAACAGUCAUAGGAGGCACUUCUUCGGACUGCGCAUCUUCGAUUUUCGCAUGGCAGAUCAUCUCUCUCCUAGUACCAGGGACAAUUCCUCCACCAGGACAUAUAGACUUCGAACUUGCACCACCACUUGCCCGUACGCUUGCACUAUUGCCCACAGCCAACAGACCGAAAGAUUUCGCCGAGCUUUCCACAUUCAAAACUUGGAACGAUGAAGUGGACAUCGACGAGGAUACAUUUACUGGAGCGGGACAGGUCCUCCAACUUGAGUUACCACACGAACCUCCAACGUUCACAAUCUGGUAGACGCUACGUGUGGAAGAGUUGAAAGCAGCGGAGGAUGACAUCUGUGACACCGAAACGACGGAGGAGGCCAUUGCGGCCCGUCUGUGCAGCAGUUACUACAUUGGCCUCUGAUAGCGUGACAAACGCAGAAUUACCGGAGAAGAAGAGCUUAUGACAUCGGCACGCACGAAAAAUAAUUUCGAUCGACGCUUUCUCUCACGGAGUAAGCGAGACGAAGUCCAGUCGACACAAUUCCCAUGAACUAAAAACCCCGUAAAACCUCACCACGUGCAAUCUCUCCUCGACAACCAGGUCAACCACCUACGCAGCAACCUCUAGCUACCAAAUACUCUUCCCUCUAACAAAACUUCGCUAGACAAGCCUAAUAAGCUUCAUCUCCAAAUGAAUACCCUAAAGGAACCUUCUGAAAUAAAGAAGAUGGAAGCCCUAAACUACACAUUAAUCUACCCUUAAAAACCGCAUGCCCUGCUCUCUGCCAACUGGAAACAUGCUCUUAGCUUUCCGAGUCCGACACUCGAUGACCGGGUCAAAGAAAAAACAAAAAGAAAAAGAGACCCACCUCAGAUAUUUUCUCAAAAGUGCUACCCGGGCAUCUCUGCGACCGCAAGCAAUCCUGUAGUGUGCAGGUUCAUGGUACCCAAUCCUCGACAAUAUCCUCUUUUGCUCUACACAACCUAACAUGACAGCUUAAUCAUAACCUAAUUCCCAUACCCAUAAUGUACUACUCGUAUGUGUACAAUCUAAGACUGACUUUACCCUCCCUCCUCCUCCUCUAAUGACUCAAUCUGCCGAGAACCCUAGAAAAUUCCUAUGGCCAGGAAUAAAUAACAUGCAACCCCGAAAAUAUCCCACCCUCCUGCGGAUAUUCCGAGGCAUUUCCCCAACCCCGCCGGGAGCAAUUUCCACGCGCCGUGGGAUGUCAUAGUGAUCAUCUAAAAAGCGCACAAUGUUGCCAUGGAAUCCGACGAUCUUUUGAAAUGCCCAAGUGUCCCAGUUUUUCUGAGGGCAAAAAGCGGGAAUCUCCACUGCAGCAGCAAAGCCCAUGCCUCGACAAGCCUCACACAAAAUGUGCCGCAAGCCUCUUUCUAUUAUGGUCAUGGUGCGACAAGGUUUCAUACCCAGCAGUUUCAAAGAGUGUUUUGACCGGUUAUUCGGAAUUUUUUUUGAAGCAAAUUUUAAAAGGGGGGGGGGGGGGGGGGUGGGUGUGAAAAUUGGAAUGCGUGGAAUCUUGUUCGAGUGGAGUUAGCUUGGUGGAUUCCUUUUUGGAAAAUAAAAUAUGUAUGUUUCCUUUGGUAGAAUGAGUAUAAAAGUGGUUGCAUUCCAAAAAUCUAGUAAAAGCCUGGGUUAAUAUAUAUAUAUAUAUAUAUAUAUAUAUAUGUAUUUAUAUAUACUCUAAAUAUUUUGAUGGAUACUAUUUAAUAUAUGAUUUGAUUUUUAAAGUAGUGUUUGAAGAAGAAAAACAUAUUAUCAAUCAGGAAAUAUUAAGAUAUGGUAUCUUUACUACAUAUGAUAAGAGCUUAGUUUAGUUGUACAUGUCUUAUUUUUAAUUUUAAUUUUUUAAAAUAACUAUUAAGCUUAAAAUCUUGUUAAUUUGAAGAAUUUUAAAUUAUAAAAUUUUAAAGUUUAAUUUAGUAAAAUCUAUCUUAUUUUAUUUAACUAAGAAAAUAAUUUUUUUUUACAAUGUUAAAUAGACCAAGGCUUUUACUAAAUUUACUUAGUAAAAAUCUAGGUCUAUCUUAGGCAUCAUUGCACCCUUAGAGCCUCCAUCCCUGUUCUUAGCCAUUCCUUGUUCCCAACCAUUGCUAGAUAUGGAGGCAAGAUGCUAGAAGCAUCGAGAAUAAGGGCAAGGGGUUGGAAACAUUGGGAAUAGAGGCAAGGGGCUGAGAACAUCGAGAAUGGAGAUAAGAGGCUGGGAAUAAGGCAUGUAAAUUUCAAACAAAAUAAGAUAAUGAUACCAACUUUUAUGUUGCAAGUAUACAAUGGUUUAAUAAAUAUAUAUUUACGCAAUCUACAAAAAAAACUAAGUUUAUAUUUUAAAAGUUAUUUAAUAUUUUUUCUUUGGACUAGAUAUGAAUGUAUAUAUAUAUAUAUAUAUAUAUAUAUAGAUAUAUACAUACAUACAAACAUACACACACAUAAUUUAUCAUCUUUUGCAUUAACAUUAAUAAUUAUAUAAGAUUUUUUUAAAAUAUAUUUAAUAGAUUUAAAAAAUAUACGUAUUGCAUAUAUUUUUUUUAGUAUUUUUAACUAUCUAAACUUGCAAAUUUAAAGACAUGUAGCCAUUGUAUGUAUUAUAUAAAAUAAUUAUUAGAAAUAUAUUUUAAUUCAUAAUUUUUUUUAUCAAUUUAAGUAUGAAAAUUAUUAAUCUUUGCAUUAUUUGUGCCUUAAAUAAAAAUGAAGGUCACAAUAGAAUUUCAUAGUACUACUAAGAAUAUUAAGAUAUAUUUGAGAAGAAAACUAGUGGUUUAUUGCCAAAAUAUAAACCUUAUAAUUAUACAAUUAAUCAUUAUGAAGAAAUAUAUUGCUAAAAUACUUACAAAGAACUAAAUUUGACAUUCAAAAUCUCAUGCACAUGUGCCAAUCCUCUUCAUGAAGAAAAAAAAUAGAUCCUUGUAAAUGAAAAUAAAUUAUUGUAAAUUUUAAUAAAUUAAUUAUUAUGAAUCAAUAUUGUUUGUCUAUAAUGUUAGAGCUAUUUGAUCAAUUGACUUAAGCUAAGAUCUAGACUAAGAUAGAUCCACAAAAAACUUAUAAUUUUGUAAAUAUCAAAAAAAAAAAUGAAUAAAAAAUUAUGUUUUAAUCUAAGUAUGGCUAUUUUUAAUGUAAUAUCAUACCUUUUGAACUUAUAAGUAGUCUAGUUAUUUUUUAGUACUUGAAAAAAAAUAUAUAUAUAUAUGAAUUUUUAGAUAAUUAAGUUUUUUUUUAAUAAAACUUAGGAAUAAAAGAUUAUAUGAUAAGAUAGAAAAAUGUGUAUUCUAUAAGUUAAGUAGGAUUUUUGGAAUAUGUCAUUUUAAAUGGUAGUUUGUAAAUAUAUUCUCUAAAAGUAUAUACUAUUGUAGAUCAAAUAACUUUAAAAUUACACAUAAUGUCUAAUAAUUUUUUGAAUUUACAAAUAUAAGACAUUAUUAUAAGAUAUUUAUCAAAUAUUAAUAAGAUUUUAUUUUUAUUUUUUUACAUAUUUAAUUUCUAAAGACAAAAUAAAAUAGAAUAAAGAUGAAGAAGUAGUAUUUCAAAUUUUGAAAAUAAUUUUUAUCAUAACUCCUAUUUUAUGCAAGCUAAAUAUUUUAAGUUUUUUUUUUAUAGUUCCAUCACCAAUAGACUCAAAUGAUAUAAUUAAUCUUAUUAUAUUUUAAAUAAUAAAAUUUUAAUAAUUAAUAUUAAUUAUAAGAUUUAUAAAAGAUAGAAUUUUGAUAUUAUAGAUUCAUUCUAAGAAUGGCAUCAAUACCUAAAAGAUUCUUUGAUUCCUAUCGUAGUUUAUAUUUAUCAUUAGUAUCUUAAGUAUUUUAUACCAAUAUAUAUCUUAAAUUUUUAUUAAGUCCAUUGAAGCAUAUCUUUUUCAUAAUUUGUGUUUAAUAUUACAUCUUGUUAUAAAAAACAAUACAUUUUGUCAAAUGCCUUCUUUAAAUUUUCUUGUCUUACAUCAAAAAUAUGAGAUGCCAUAUAUAAAUAACAAUAGCUUGUUUUAUACUAAAGCAAGUGUAUCUUUAAGCUAAUAAACUAAUAAUUUUAAUUAAAAUUACCUUUUUUUUUAUGAAAUUCAUUUAAGUAUUUUAAUAUUUUUUUAUUAAAUUUUUAUAGAUUUUUAUUUUUAAAAUUAUAGAUAAAUAGAUUUUAUAAAUUAAGUAUUUAAAUAAUAUCUGAAAUUUAAUAUUAACUAUUAUUAAUGUAAUUAAAAAAAUUAUUAUUAGAAAUUUUUUCAUAUAAUAAUAAAAUAUAUUUUUUUAGAUAAUAAUUUUUUUUAAUAAUAAUUAUUAUCUAUAAUUUUAUUUUUUAAAAUUUAUAAAAAUUAAAAAUCUAGUGGUAAAAGAAUUAAAACAAAGAAUUAUAAAACUUUAUAUAAUAAUAAAGAUAUAAUUAAAUAAAAUUAAAAAUACUAUUAUAAAUAUUUUUGAAAAAAAAACCUCCAUUUAAAAUAAGUCAUAUGAAAUGGUUACUUUGUUCUAAUAUUAAAAUUUCAUGACCUUAUAAAAAUUAAAUUAUUAAAGAAUUGGCUUAUUAAUUUUUUAAUAAUAAAUUAAUCUAAUUUAGUAUUAAUUAUAGUUACUAAAAUUAAUGAAGAUAUAUCUUAUAUUUUAUAUAUUUUUUUAUUGAAUCUUUUUUAUAUUUUAUAUAUUGAGAAAAAAAUAAUUAUUGCCAUAUCUUGUAAAGAAAUAGGAAGAAAUUUAUAGAAUCAAUUCAUAUGUUAAUUGAUAAUUGUGAACUAAAAUAAAUCACAUAAAUUAGGAAAUUUUUUAGCUUACAAUUAAAAUUUUAUUAGACUCAUUGGAUAUAAAUCAAAUACUUAGGAAGAAUUUUUAAAAUCAUUAGAUAAUCAAAUUAUUGUGAAUUAAAAAAAGCUUCUAAUUAGUAGAGGUUUAUUUUAGUUUAUAAGUGUUACAAUGGAAAAUUUGCCUUGAUAGAAAUUUAGAUAGUAGAAUAUAGGCUUUGAUUACUGCCAUAACUUAUGUAAUUUUUUUAAUUGAAUUGAAGUCAUAUUAAUUAUGUUUUAUAUAACAUUUUUGUAAAAAAAUAUCUCUAAUCACAUUUAUGUGAAAACAAGCAAGGAUUGCAUAGCUACAUAUGUUAAAAAAUUAAUGGGAUCAAAUAGUUAGAUAUUGUUGAACCUCAUAAAUCAAAUAUAUCUCACUUUAUUUUUAUUUGACAUGCAUUGUACAUACAAUGGCUAUUUUGAAUCUUCCAACUUGAAUUAAUAUUGAAAAACUAACUUGAUUAUAUAUUAUGGAUUGAUAUAGAGAAUGUAUUUUGUGCAUUAUACUAUCCAUAGCAAAGGCAAUGGUGGAAUUUCUAUCAUGUUAUCAUUCCCUCAAAGAGCUACAUUUUUUUAGUCUUGAAGAGAUUAUAAUAUAUACCUUUAGAAAGAAUUAAUUUUUUUUUAUCAUUUCUAGAUAUUUGCACCUACAAAUACAACAACAAUGUAUGUUCAACAUACAAUAAGUAAUUAGUGGAUAUAAUGCAAAUGUACUACAAGGAAUGUAUUUACAAUAAGAACCUUUUAUUAUCACUCUACACAUUAAAAGAUAAAAAACUAGUAGACAUGACUUACUUCACCUUUGUCCAUGUAGUAAUAUAUCAAUUGCAUUUUUAUUUGAUGGAAGUAGUAGAAACAAUAGAUGGUCUAGGUCUAUAGCAAGAACUCAAUCAUCUAUAUUAAAAAGUUCAAACUAAAUAUUUCUAAUAUCAAACAUAAUGAAAGCAUAGUAUGUCAAUCUAGAUGGAUUUUUUUAGCUCCAAAUAGUAUAUAUGAUGUCGGAGGGCCCUAAUAGACAAAGAGAUUUUUUUCAACUACAAAAUCCUAAGUAAAGAUGAUUUUGUGAAUUAGCAAUUGAUAGUGAAGCAAACUUUGUUGCAUGUCAAGUAGCAAAAAUCAAAAUUCAGGAGCAUUCAAUAUUAAGUACAUUGCUAUUGAGUGACUUGAAUGAUUUAAAAAAGAUAGAACAAUAACAAAAUCAAAGAUAUGACAUGAAUAAUCCACCUUCAAGUUUUGAAGAUAAGAGCUAAAAUAAACCUCUAUAAGUUAGAAGUUUAUUCUACUUCACAACAAGUAAAUUAACUAUAGAAAUUUAAAAAUCCUAGUUUUUAUUUAAAUCUUAAUCAAUCCACUCUUAACUUCUUUAAAUCACUAUGUAUAAGAUAAAAAAUCUUCUAUUGAUUAGAACUUUAUCUUAGUUCAUAAUAAGUGAAUUAAUCAUAAAAUUUAAUAAAUUUUAGCUCUUAUUUAAAUCCUAAUUAAAUCACUAUUUAAUCUUCUUUUAAUACCUAAGUUAUUAAGCAAAAUCUCUACUAUUAACUUAUACUUAUAAUAGCAAUCUACUCACAACAUGCAUGCCAAAAAUUUCUUUUUCUUAACUUUUAAUUUAAUUUUGUUAAUUUUUAUAUUAUUUAUUAUUUUAUUUUAUUUUAUUUUAUUUAAUAAAAAUUCAUCCAUUGAAAAAAAUCAUCCACAUAUAAGUUAUUAUUUGUAAAUAACUUUUUAUCUAUGAAUAAUUUAUUAUCCAACUUAAAAUUCAUCUAAUUUAGAAUUUAUCCACAUUUAAAACCUUAUUAGUUUAUAUUCAACUUCCUCUGUAUUUGUACUCAUACAAUUAUUUGCAACAAAGAAACCAAAGAAACUCACAAUACUAAAUUAUAUAAAAUUUCUUAAUUUUUAGGCUAUUAGAAGCUAUGUACAAUUGAUCAUAUGUGCUCUUCUAUCCAUAAUGCGCAAUGCUUUAAUGACUUUUGCAAUGAUCAAAUAAAUAAUCUUUUAUAAGAAACCUUCCCCUCUUUUUGAUUGCAUAAUUUUUCCUUAUAAAAGACCAAUGGUGUGAUACAAUAACUAUGAUUAUCUGCUCUUCAAUUUCUUCUAUAAAAUUGUAAAAACUUAUCUUUGAAGAGUUCAGCUGAUAAUUAAUCAAAUCAUCUCUCUUUAUCUAUUGUCAUUAAAUUUUUUUUAUUCAUACAAUUUAUUGAAUAUAACCAGAUUCAAGAUUUUCACAAUAUAGACUACUUUAUUGACAAUUCAGAAAUAUCUUGCUUUCUUCCUCUUCCUAGUUAGCUCCUUCAAUGGAAUGAAACUAGGAGCAACUUAGUCAAAAAUUCAGUUCCACUCAUGAUUUUUUAUACAUGUGGCUCUAUUUAUUCUUGCAACUCUAAUACUUCUAUGAGAGUAGAUGUCACGGAUAUACAUAUUUAUUAUGAUAUUUACCUAUAUGAUUAAAUAAAAGUAAGUAAAAAUAGAUAUAUUUCAUAAUAUUUUUUUAAAUAGCUUCUUAGAAGCUUCAUAGACACUUCUUUGACUUUACAUAUGUUUGUAGUUGAUUGGUAGGAUAGAAACUUGGUCAAUAAAUUAACCACAUAUUCAUAGCUUGCGGAACAAGCUAACUAUGUGGCAUACAUAUAGAAAACGUGCCUUGCAAGUUAAGAUAUGUAUUUUACAAAGUCAACAUAUUUUGAGGGUCCUAUAGGAUAUUGCCAUAUAGUUCCUAGUUAAGAGUAUUGUGAUUGUCAUUUUACUUAUUCUACAAUUCUUUUUAGAAUAAACCUAUAUAGGAGAAUUCGAACACAGGAAAAGACUAAGUGCAUGAGUUUUUCUUGUUAGGGUCACACAAUUAACCGUAUUCCGAACCACUAAAACACUAAGAAAUAUUACAAUGCUUUCUUCCAGUAACAAUACUCCUUCAUCAACUGAUAACAACAAUGUGAAAUCUUGUACUUUCAAAAGUCCACUCAAAACACAUAAUUUCCAUCCAACACUAGAAAUAAUAGACUUCACUCCAACCAAUCUAAAUUCACAGAAUUUCUAUAAUUACCAACUUUCUUUGUUCAAAACACACACAGCUCUCAAUAAACAACAAUCAUAAUCUUCCAAUAACUCCUCAUAUAAUUCAAUCACUCAGUACUCCAAUUACAUAAUUAAUAACUCAUAAAUCAAUCUCUGAUUUAUUCCACAAACUCACUUCUCAAUAUUCAAAAAGUAUCCAUUACUCUUCAACAACAAAGAAAAUAAAGAAACAAAGAAGAGAUUAUCCCUCUUUGUAGAAAUUUUCAUUUGAUACUAGACUUUACAAACUACCCUCCUCUAAUUUGACUUGUGGAUUUGUUAAGUUAUUUAAAAUCGAAGAAAAAAUCAUGGAUGUUAUACUUGGUAGAAAUAAGAAUAGAUUUAUAACUAUUGCAGAUUUUUAUAAACUUGUUAAUAUUCUUAGAAUGAAAAUUUUAUGUAUCAUGAUUAACAACUAUGGAAAUAUUAAUCCCACGCCUAUGGAAGAAGUUUAAAAUCUAUGAUAAAAAAUUAUAUAAUGAAGAAAAAAAGUAAAUUAAUCUCACAAUCAAAUCUAAAAUUUUUUGCUUCUACAAGUAUGAUAAGGAUAUGGAUUAGUAUGCCGAAUAAUUUUAAUGAAAUGAGAUCAAAGUUUCAAGGAUUUUUACAACAAGUCGAGCUAUAUUUAAGAUUGCAUCUCUUCCAAUAUCCUGAUGGAUUUACUCAAGUUGGAUUCAUAUACAAACUUCUAUUUAAAAGUGAACUCUAUUAGUUUAUACUUUUAAUGAAAAAAUAUUUGCAUCUCUUUUAUAAUUUGAAUUCAUUUCUAGAAGUAUUUAUGGCUACAUUCAAAAAAAUGAUCAAAAAAGAAUAGUAGCCAUUAAACUUUUAUUUUUACAGUAAGGAUCAUAGUCACCUACUAUAUAUAUUACUAAAUUCUAAAAUAUCACUUGCAAUAUGGAGUGGAAUAACAAAGCCCUUAUCAAUCAAUUUUGAUAUGGAUUGAAGGAUAAUGUCAAAAAUUUGUUAUUGAUAAUUUCAAAAGUAAAAUCUUUAAAAUAAUUUAUUGCUCAAGCCAUUGCAUCCAAGAAUUGAUUAUUUAAAAGGCUUCAAGAAUAAAGAUUUAGCUACAGAGAAAUAAGUUAAGUCAUGAUAGUAAUUUCUAAGUUUUUAGAAACUUAUUCAUUAAAGGAAAACCAAUACAAAUUGAUAUAAUAUAUUUUAAAUCCCUCAUGCAGUAGGAAAAGAUUUGAUGUCGUUAAGAGGAUUUGUGCUUAUAUUAUGGAGAAGCUAAGCACAUCACUCAACAUUAUCUAAAGAAGCAAUAUAAUCAAAAAAUAAGGAUUUUAAUUACUAAAGAAGAUAAUGUAUCAAAAAAUGAGUUUUUCCAGCUACAAUAGAGACUAUGCAACUGGAAUCAUAUGUAACAUCUAAUAAAGGUCCUAUUUUCUCCUCAAAUAUAUCAUCUUGUUUUAUAAUAGAUAUUUGUCUAGGAUCUAAAAAUCAUAAUUUUUUUUUUAUUAUUAGAUUUAAGAGCCUCAGCUUGUUUUAUAAAUAAAGAUUUUAUUAAAAAAUAAAAAAUUUAUUUAAUCAAGAAAACUAAACCCUUACAUAUAGAAGUCAUAGAUGGCCAUUUGUUGACAUCUAGAGACAUCAUACAUGAAACUGUUCCUUUAGAUAUAACAAUUAAAAAUCAUAAUAGUGUAGUAAUAUUUAAUAAGAUAAGAUUUUUUUUCAAUCCACUUAUUUUAAAAUCAUCAUGAUUAAAAAAAUAUGAUCCUUACAUAAAUUAUAUUUCUUGUAAUCUUAAUUUUUCUUGUAGUUUAAUCCAAAAUUUUGAUAGUAAGGUAAAAAUAAAUAAUUCUAAUACAUCCAAAUCGUUAUUAGUAGGUAUAAGAAUUUUCAUGCAUAUAGUAUAAGAAGAUCCAUCUUUUUUUAUAUAUGCCACAUCUAUUUCUAAUAGUAGAAAGACAUCAAGUGGUAUUCUUAGCCAAUAUUAAGAUUUCUAAAAUAUUUUUAAAAAGAAAAAUGUAGAUAUUCUUUCAGAGCAUUUAUCCUAUGAUUGUAAAAUUGAUCUACAAGAAGGAGUCCUACCACCAUUUGGACCAAUCUACAACUUAUUGCAAAAUAAAUUGGACAUAUUAAAUGAGUACAUUAAUGAAAAAUUAGCUAAGAACUUCAUAUUCCUCUUGAAAUCUCUAAUAGGAGCUCUUAUCUUAUUUGUGAAGAAAAAAAUGGAUCUUUGCAGAUGUGUGUAGACUAUCGAGGACUUAAUAAGAUCACUAUCAAAAAUAGAUAUCAUCUACCUUUGAUUUUAGGAUUUCUUGAUCAACUCAAUGAAGCAAAGAUCUAUAUAAAAAUAGAUCUAUAAAAAUCAUACAAUCUACUCCCUAUUAAUGAAAGAAAUGAAUAGAAGCCUAUUUUUUGAACUAGGUAUGGACAUUUUGAAUAUAAUGUCAUGCCUUUUAGACUCACAAAUGUACCAACUACUUUUCAACAUAUCAUAAAUGAUGUCUUUUGUGAGUUUCUUGAUGAUUUUAUUGUUUGUUAUUUAGACAAAAUUCUAAUUUACUCUAAGAACAUAAAAAAAAUAUAAACUUUAGGUUUGUUGUAUAUUAAAAAAAUUUAGAGAUGCUAGAUUAUAUGCAAAGAUGAAAAAGUGUGUAUUCUAUAUUAUUCAAGUUGAUUUUUUAAAAUACAUUAUUUUUACCAAAAGAUUAAUAAUAGAUCUUAAAAAUAUCUAAAUUAUCAUAAAUUAGAAUAUUCCAAAAAUAAUCUGAGAUGUAUAAUAUUUUAAAAAAUUUACCAAUUAUUAUAAAAUCUUCAUCAAGAACUUUUUUCAAGUCGUAACUCUUUUUUUAUACUUGAUAUACAAGACCAAAUUAAAUGGAGCAAAAAAGCAAAAAUAUCUUUUGAAGUCUUAAAGAUAAAAUUUAUUUUUGCACCAAUUUUGUAUCAUGUUGAUUUUUUUAAGGUAUUCUUUAUGGAAACAAAUGCAUCAAACUUUGCUAUGGAUGUUGUUUUAUUAAAAAUAGGAGCAAAAGAUAAACUCCACCUAAUUGCUUUUUAUUGUAGGAAAUUUUGAACAGCUAAGAUUAAUUACGAGAUUUACAAUAAAGAAUUCCUUACAAUUGUAGAUUCAUUUUAAAAAUGAUGUUAUUAUCUAGAAGGUUCUUCUAAUCUAAUUAUUAUAUAUAUAGAUCACAAGAACCUUGAAUACUUCAUAUCAAUACAUAUUUUGAAUUAUUGUCAAGUCCAUUAGAAUAUUUCUUUAUCAAGAUUUGAUUUUAAAAUUACCUAUAGAACUAAAAAAUAACAAGAUAAAUCAGAUGAAUUUUCUAAAAAAAUUUAUUUUUUACCAAAAGAAAGAAAUGGGACUUUUCAUUAAGAAAGAAUGAUUUUCUUAAAGUCGAAACAUUUUUAUCUUUAAUCAAUAAAAUUACCAUUGAUUGUUGAUUCAAUCUUAGUCAAGCAAAUUCAAAUAAGUAUGUCUUUUAAUCUUCUUAUUCAUGAUAUUAAGAAUAAUUCUCUUGAGUCUCAUAACACUUUUAAGUUUAAAUUUAAGAAUAAUCUACUCUACUUUGAAGAAUAAUUAUACAUUCUAGAAGGCAAAGCACAAUUAUAUGUUCUUUAAGCUUAUCAUGAUUUUCUAGUAGUCAAACAUUUUAGAUACAAUAAGACUUUGGAGCUAAUAUCUAAAGAUUUUUGGGGGCCUCAAAUAUCGAAGGUAGUCAAAGACUUUGUACAAUCAUGUAAUAUUUAUUCAAGAUCCAAAACUCCUUAUCAUUGAUCUUAUAGACUUCUUCAACCAUUACUUAUUCCAAAACAACUAUGAUCUUCUAUUUCUAUGGUUAUUAUUAUGGAUCUUUUAAUUUGAGGUUUAUAUGAUUCUAUAUUUGUCAUAGUAGAUCAUUUUACCAAAAUAGCAUAUUUUUUAUAAUAUAUAAAAUCUAUCACAAGUAAAGAAACAACCAAGUUUUUUUUUGAUAACAUCUAUUGCUAUUAUGAAUUGUCUAAGGAUAUUAUAUCAAAUAGGAAGACUAAAUUUAUAUCAAGAUUUUAGAAAAUCCUUUUCAAGGUUCUAAAAGUAGAUAUAAAGCUUUCUUUAGCUUUUCAUCCUUAAAUUGAUAGACAAACAGAACUGGUGAAUUAAGUUUUGAAAUAGUAUUUUAGGUGUACUAUCAACUAUCAUCAAGAUGAUUGAAUGGCUCUUUUGCCAUUAGUAGAGUUUGAAUAUAAUAAUUUGAUAUAUUUUUUUUAUUCAAUAAAUACUUUUUUUUGCCAAUUAUGGUUAUCAUCCAUGAUUUGAUACUUUUAACUUUUUAAAAGUUGAUAAACCUACGAUAGAAGAUUUGGCAAAUCAUUUGUUAGAAUUACAUACAAAAAUAAAGGCAUAAUUAAAAGAAUCUCAAGAAUGAUAAAAGAUCAAUGGAGAUGUCUAUUAUAAGGAAUAAUUGCAAUUCAAUGUGGGUGACAAGAUAUGGUUAUUUCAUCACAAUAUCAAAACUAUUUGUUCUUGUAAAAAAUUGGAUUAUUUUAGGCUUAGAUCUUUUUUUAUUAGUAUACAAGUCAAUUCUAUUGCUUAAUAAUUAUAUUUAUUAGAAUCUAUGAAGAUCCAUUUUGUAUUCUAUGUAUCUCUUUUUGAGCCAUAUAAAACAAUGAAUAUCUUGAAAAGAAGAUAAAUGCCACCUCUUCUUAUAGAAGUAGAUACUAAUCAAGAAUUUGAGGUAGAAGAAGUUUUAGAUUCAAGGCGACACUGAAAUAGGAUAAAAUAUCUUAUUCAUUGGUGUGGAUAUAAUAAUUAAAUACAUAUAAGAGGCAACAAAGAAACUUACAAAUGUAAUAAAGGAGAUUGAUAUUUUUCAUUGACGGCAUCCAUCAAAACUAAGAUAAAGAAUAACAAAUCUUUGCUAUAAAAGAAAUAAGAUCUAGGAAAGAUUGUAUUCUACCUUUUAUUCUUGUUUGGUACUUUUGUAUAUUUUUGACUCUAAAAAGAUGGAAAACCAACAACUAGAAAAUUCAACUUAAGAGCUAUUAUUUGUUGACUUAUCAGAUAGAACAUUGCAAUUUUAAUAACCUUCAAGAUGACGUAAUUGAGAUGAAGUUCCUUAAGAAUGAUAUGUUUUUCUUUGAAUAAAUGGUGAGAUACAACAUAUUUGGUAUCAUGACCUUAGAAGAAACUCCUAAUGUUUGCUGAUUUUAUUAGAAGUUGAAACAACUUUUGAUGGUAUUCAAAAUAUUUUAUUUGAAGGAAGUUACAAAGGUCUCAACAAUAAUCAAAGAACAAGGUGGUCUUUUUGCCGUGGUAUGAGAUACUAUUGAUGGCUAAGAAGACCUAUCAACCAUCUUUAAAGAAAAUAAAGAUUAGAGUACAUAGAGAAUACAAUUUGCCACAUUUUAAAUUUUUUCAACAUAUGAUGACCACUUGUGGAAAUCAAUCUUAAAAGAGAAGGUAAUAUUAUGGACAUAUAUAUUUACUAUGAUAUUUACAUAUCUGAUUAAAUAGAAGUAAAUAAAAAUAAAUUUAUUUCAUAAUAUUUUUUAGAAAAUCAUCCUAGAAGCUUCAUGGACACUCUUUUGACUUUACAUAUGUUUGUAGUUGAUUGGUGGGAUAGAAACUUGGUCAAUAAGUUAACUACAUGUUGAUAGCUUACGAAAUAAGGUAAUUAUGUGGAAUAUAUAUAGAAAACUUGUUUUGUAAGUUAAGAUGCGUGCCUUACAAAGUCAACAUGUUUUAGAGAUCCUAUAAGAUAUUGCCAUAUAGCUCCUAGUUAAGAGUAUAUAUUGAGGCAAUAGUGAAGCCUUCUUCAAUGUUGUCAAUGCUUUUCUAGUCUUUAGUCUUAUUUCAAGUCUUUUUAGUUUUCUUAUUUUUAACAAUAUUCAUUCUAAUUUAAUACUAUAUCAUCUUUGACUGAUUUUUUAAUUCUUUUGAGUGACAUAAGAAUGUAUUGAAGAUUUUUUUCUGUAAGCUUCAUGUCUUUGAUAGUAGACUCAUAUGUAUAAACUUGCUCAAACUAUUGUAAUAGAAAUAGACUAAUUAAUUGCAAAGCCAGUAAAGACAAUAGCUUGUAAAUAAAGAUGAAUUAAAAAAACAAAAAUCCAUCAUAUUUUAUAUUCAAGUACUUAUUAUGCUUUUGUUAUUACGCUCAUUAAGCAACAAUACUAAAAUACAACACUUCUAGCAUCAAUGCUAUUACUUUAAAAAUAGUAAAAAAGGACCAUUGUACACAAAUUUUAAACUAGCUAUUACACAAAAAAAAGAAAGAAUAUACAAAUAGCCAUAUUUUUGUCAAAGAAAAUCUUUAUGAACUAAAAUAAAUUCUUAUUAAUUGAAAGCUUAUUCUAAUUUAUAAUAUUUUAAUUAUCUAGUUAAUCUAAUAUUUUUUAUUAAUAUUUGAUUUAUGUCCAAUAGUUCCACUAACUUUAUAAUUUUGAGCUAAAUAAAUCCCUUUAUUAGGAAAUUUAUUUUAUUUCACAACUACUAAUUAACUUGUGAAAUAAUUUAAUUAAUUUUUUUAAAUUUUUUUUAUUAAGAACUUAGAACCUCUAACUAAUUUAAUUGACAUUCAUACAACUUACUACAAUAAUGCAAGUUACUUCAAAUAACUAUAAAAAAUUCCAAAAAUAGAAUUUUUUUCAUAUAUUUUAUUUUAUAUUAGUAAAAAAAAUUAUUUUAUUUUAUAUGAGUUAAAUAUUUUAUUUUAUUUUCUAUCCACUCUUUUUUAUUUUAAUUGUUUAUUCUAUCAAUGUAUCUUUUGUUUUGUUUUGUUUUUUUUUGUUUUGUUUUGUUUUUUUUUUUUUUUUUUCCAUUAGACAGCCUUUAAUUAAUAACAACUUGGAUUAUUUUAAUUUGGAUUAUUUUAACUUAGAUAAUGUAGAUUCUAAAAAAGACACCGUUAAUGAUGAUACUCUAUAUAUAUUAAUAACAUAAUAAAUGACAAUAUAAUUCAAGUUAAUACUAAAACAUUGUCUCUUAUAUAUUGAUAUAAUGUAAUACAUAACAAUGGACUACAUAAUUGCUUUUAAUAACAUAAAAUCUAUAUUCUAUAAGAUAAUUAUAUAGUAAAAGAUAGAGAUAGAUGUUUUGAUAAUUAGAUAAAAUAUUAUAUAUAAUUAUGAUAAUUAUACUUUAAAAGUUGUAAUUACUAAGCUAUAAAAUAAUAAAUUAGAUAAUUAGUGACAUAUACAUUAGACAAAACAUCAAGUGCAGCAAUUGAGGCAGAGAAUGUUGUAUUAUGAAAUAAUAUAAGUUCUCUCUAUAAGUAUGUAUGAUAAAUCUUCUUUAGACCAUUUUGAAAUCCAUUGAAAUUAUUAACUUAUACAUAUGAUGGAUGAAUAAGGACUUAUGGUGAUGUUUAAUUCUUCUACACCAUUGCAUAAGAUGAUUUGUUCUAAUUCAACAAGGUACAAAACUGGUGCCAACUACAAUAUCCAUUGAGAGUUGCAAUUAGUGAAGUCUUUAUUAGAAAUCAUGUGUCAUGAACAUAUAUUUAUUGUAAUUUUUACUUAGAUAAUAUGAAUAAGUAGAAGUAGAUAAAAUAAAUUAAUAUCAUAAUAACUUCUAUGAAAGCUUUUAAGAAGCUUUUUAGAUGUUACUUUGACUUUAUAUGUAUUUGUAAUUGAUUGAUAGGUUACAAACUUGGUCAACAAGUUAACUACAAGCCAUACAUGUUCAUAGCCUACAAAAAAGUUAAUUAUAUAGCAUCCAUAUAAAAAACUUGUCUUAUAAGUUAAGAUAUGUGUUGUAUAAAGUCAACAAGUUUUGGAAUUCCUAUAAAAUGUUGCUAUAUAGCUUCUAGAUAGAUAGUAUAUAUAGAGGCAAGAGUGAAGCCUUCUUCAUUCUUGUCAAUUUUUUUUUUUGCUUCUAGUCUAGUUUCAAGAAAUCUCUAAUUUUUUUGUCUUUUGAAAAUAAUCAUUCUAAUUUUUUUUAAUAUACAUAAUUUUUUAUUUCUAUUUUAUUAUACUUCUUUAAAAAAGUUUCACUUCUUUAUUUAUUUUCAUUGAAUUCUUGUCUUUGAUAAAUUAACAAGAGUACACUUAUAAUAUUAGGGCUUUGUCUUUUUUUAAUUAAAAAUGGAGUAUUCUUUUUUCUUAAAAAGAUAUAAACAUAUUAGAAGUUACAAAUUAUCCUUUUUUAAAUUGAUAUUAUUUUUUUUGUUUAGAAGUUCUUUCUUUUAUUUAUCUUGAAUGACAUUAGAUAUAUUUUUUUUAAGUAUAAUUAUGGUAGAGCUUAUCAAAAUGAAGAGUGCAAUGGCACAAAUGUAAAAAAAAUUGAAGGAGUUAAUACUUAAGAUGCAUCAAUUCAAUUUAGUACUACAAAAAAAAAUGAAAAUGACAAAAAAUAGAGAUAUAGAGAUAAUUGAAGCUCCUUCAACAUCUACACCAAAUCAUGUCUCUUUUCUUAUAGUAGAACAUCAUUCAAGUGCUAGAAAACCAAAAAUUACCUUACUUGAAUAGUUUAAUAGUAUCAAAUCAAAGUUUCAAGGAUUCAUCAAUCAAAUACAACUAGCAAUUGAACUUCAAUCCCAAAACUAUCCAAUUUCAAGAUCACAAGUCAAGUUUAUUAAAACACUACUUUUUGAUUUUAUUAAUAUUAUUUUCAUCUUUUUUUGAAUGAUGUGAUUCAAUAUUGGACAAUUUAGAAGCUUUCUUGAUGAAGUUUUGAUCUAUGUAUGGAGAAUAUGAUAUAGUUUGUAUUACAAUAAAUAAGCUCUAUAUUUUGUAACAAAAAAAUUAAUUUGUAAUAUUGUAUGCUUCAUAAUUUAGACAACUUCUGAUUGAUAUCAAGUAGAAUGAUGUAGCAUUGACUAGCCAAUUUUUUUAUGGAUUAAAAUAUGAGGUAAAGAAAUUGAUGCUCAGUUUAUAUGAUCUUCAAACAUUGAAUCAAGGAAUUAAUUUUGCUGUAAAAUUUGAUAAUCAAUUUUUUAAAUUUUGAUUUAAUAAUUAUAUAAAUAAGCCUCAAUAUUGUUAUAAUUCAAUAGCAACACCAAUAUCUUUUCAAUACAUAUCUUUGGAAGUAGAAGAUAUGCAAAUUGAUGUGAUAUAUUUCAAAUCUCUUAUUGACCAAGUUAAGACUAAUUAUUUUCAAGAAGGAUUGUGUUUAUAUUAUGGAAAAACAAAGCACAUUGCUCAAUAUUAUCUAAAAAAAUAAUGCAAUCAUAAAAUGAGAAGUACAACUGUCAAAAAAGAUAAUAUGGUCAAAAAAUAAGUUUGUUGGGCUAUAAUAAGAAUCAAAUAGCUGAAAACUUGUAUAAUAUCUAAUAAAGGUCAUAUUCUCUCAUCAAAACUUUUUCUUUGUUUUAUAAUAGAUAUUAGUUUAGGACUUAAAUAUUACAAAGGCUUUUUCUUGCUAGAUUCAAGAGUCUCAAUUUGUUUUUUAAAUGAAGAGUUUGUUAAAAAAUAUAACAUACUUUUAGUAAAGAAAACAUAAGUUACUUAUGUAGAAAUCAUAGAUGGUUAUCUAUUAUCCUCUAAAGACAUCAUUCAUAAAAUAUUUACUCUAAAAUUAGUAACUAAUGGUCAUAGUAACUUUGUGGUAUUUAAUAUUAUUACAUCUCCUUCUAAUCCAAUCAUUUUAGAUUUAUUGUGGUUAAAAAAGUAUAAUCCCCAAAUAAAUUAAAUUUCUUGUAGUCUUAAUUUUUCUAAAAAUAUUUUAAGAAUAUAAUAAAUCAAGUAAAAAGUUAUAAGUCUAAUAUAAUCAAACUUAUAUUUGUAGAUAUAAGAGCUUUUUUUAUAUGCUACAAAAGAAAGAUUAUCUUAUGUCAUUUAUGCCAUAUCUAUUUCUUAUUGUGGAAAGACUUCAAAUAGAAUUUUUAAUCAAUAUCAAGAUUUUAAAAAAUUAUUUGAGAAGAAAAAUACAAAUAUUCUUACAAAAUAUUGUUUCUAUGACUAUUUAAUUGACCUUCAAGAAGGAACUCAACUGUCAUUUGAACCAAUCUAUAAUUUAUCACAAAAUAAGUUGGCUGAAUUCAAAGAGUAUAUUGAAGAAAAUUUAGCUAAAAACUUCAUACACCAUUCCAAAUCUCCAAUAAGAGCUCUAAUUUUAUUUUUUUAAAAAAAUAGAUCAUUAUAAAUAUGUAUCAAUUAUUGAAGACUCAACAAGAUCACUAUUAAGAAUAAGUAUUCGCUAUCUUUGAAAUUUAGACUUCUUUAUCAAUUAUAUCAAGCUAAGAUCUAUAAAAAAAAUAGAUCUAUAAAGAGCAUAUAAUCUAGUAAGCAUGAAAAUAAGAGAUGAAUAGAAGAUUAUAUUUUAAACCAAGUAUAGAUAUUUUGAAUAUAAUAUCAUACCUUUUGGACUUACAAAUACAUUAACAACUUUUAAAUAUUUAAUGAAUGAUGUAUUUUGAAAGUUUUUAAAUUAUUUUAUUGUCUGUUAUUAAGACAAUAUUUUAAUCUAUUUUAAGAAUAUAAACUUUAUGUUCAUUGUAUGAUACAAAAACUAAGAGAUGCAAGAUUCUAUAUUAAGAUAGAAAAGUGUGUAUUUUAUGCUAUUCAAGUCAACUUCUUAGGGUAUAUUAUUUCAAAUGAUGGACUUAUGAUGGAUCUUAAGAAAGUUCAAACUAUUAUAGAUUGGAAGAUUAAAAAAAUGAUAAAAUAUAUCUAAUAUUUUUUAAGAUUUUUCAACUAUUGGAUCUUUAUCAAAGACUUCUUUCAAAUUGUAGUUCCAUUUAUAUAUUUAAAUUGUGAAGAAAAACUUCAAUAGAAUUAAGAAGUAGAAGCAACAUUUAAAACUUUGAAGACAACCUUUAUUUAUAUACCAAUCUUAUAUUGUAUCAACUUUUUUAAACCAUUUUUUAUAGAAAUAAAUGCAUCAAAUUUUACUUUGAAUGCCAUAUUAUUACAAAUAGAAAUAGAUGAUAAAUUUUAUCUAAUAGCUUUUCAUUCCAAAAAACUUUCAAUAGCCAAUAUUAACUACAAGAUCCAUUACAAAGAAGUUCUUAUAAUUAUAGAGAGUAUAUUUGACAAAUCUUGUUAUUUUUUUGGUUAAUAAUUGAUUUUGAAUUCAAAUCUUGACAAGAACAUGCUCCAAUGGAUUUGGUGAUAAUUCAAAACAUAUAUUAAUAUAAAAUAUUUAAGUUUAUUUUAAUUUAUAUAUAUAUAGUGAUUAGAUUAGAAGUACCUUCUAAAUAAUGGUACCAUUCUUAUAAUUAUAGAUUUGAAUUUAAGAACAAUCUAUUAUAUUUUGAAGGCUACUUAUGUAUUCCAAAAAGUGAAGCUUGAUUACAAAUUCUUUAAGCUCAUCCUGACUUUCUAGCAAUAAGAUAUUUUAGGUACAAUAAGACUUUGGAACUAAUACCUAAGGAUUUUUGGUGGCCUCAAAUAUAGAAGGUAGUUAAAGAUUUUGUACAAUCUUGUGAUUUUUUCUCAAGAUCAAAAACUCAUUGUCAUUAAUCUUAUAGAUUUUUUCAGCUAUUAUUUAUUCUAGAACAAUUAUGGUCUUUUAUUUCUAUGGAUUUUAUCACAAAUCUUUUAGCAUCAAGUUUUUAUGACUCUAUAUUUAUGAUAGUAGAUCACGUCACCAAAAUGGCAAAUUUUAUAUCAUAUAUAAAAUCUAUUAUACGUAAAGAAAUAGCUAAGUUUUUUUUAAACAAAAUCUAUGGCUAUUAUGGAUUAUCUAAAGAUAUUAUUUUGAAUGAGGGAACUUAAUUUGUAUUAAGAUUUUAAAGGUAGAAAUAAAAAUAUCUUUGAUUUUUUAUCUUUAAAUUAAUGGAUAAAAAAACAUAUGAAUUAAGUUUUAGAGUAGUAUUUGAUGUGUAAUAUCAACUAUCAAUAAGAUAAUUAGACAAUUCUUUUGCCAUUGGUAAAGUUUGCUUAUAAUACCAUAAUACAUUCUUUUAUGUAAUAAAUAUUUUUUUUUAUUAAUUAUAGUUCUCAUCCAUGACUUGAUACUUUUGACUUUUUAAAAGUUGAUAAUCUUAUAACAAAAGAUUUGGCAAAUCAUUUAUUUGAGCUAUAUACAACAAUAAAGGUAUAACUAAAAGAGGCUUAAGAACAAAAAAAGAAUAACGUGGAUGAUUAUUGUAAGCAACAACCUCAUUUCUACAUUGGUGAUAAGGUAUGAUUAUUUUAUUAUAAUAUUAAAAUUACUCACUCUUGUGAUAAGUUGGAUUACUAUAGACUUGGACCAUUUCCUAUUUGUAAAUAAGUCAAUCGAGUUGCUUAUUGAUUACAUCUAUUGGAGUCUAUAAAAAUCUAUCUUGUAUUUUAAGUUGUUGUAUUAUAAUAAUUCUUGCUUGAAAAUGUACUAGGUACCUAGUUGUGGAAGAUAGAAAAGAAAUUGCAACAACAAGAUCCUAAAAAUUCUAAUUGAAUCCUAAAUAAAUUUUAAUUAAAUCUUAAUAAUUCUAAUUAAGCUUUAAUCAAAUCCAAAAGAAAUCUUAAAGAAAUUAUAAAAAAAGAUGAAGAAAUCCUAAAGUAAUAUUAGAGAAAUUUUAAAUAAGUCUUAAAUAAAGCUUAACUAAGUCUUAAUUUAAUCUUAAUUAAAAUUCUAAUGGAUCUUAACUAAAUCUUAGAUUAAAUACUAACUAAACUUUGAAUGAAAUUCUAAAAAAAUCUUAAAUCCUAAACCAAAUUCUAGAUAAAUCCUAAAUCCUAAACCAAACUCUAUACAAAUUUUAAAUCCUAAAUCAAAUCCUAGACAAAUCCUAAAUCCUAAAUUAAAUCUUAGAGAAAUCCUAAAUUCUAAACCAAAUCCUAAGAAAAUCCUAAAUCUUAAAUAAAAUUGUAGAUAAAUCUUAAAUUUUAAACUAAAUCCUAGACAAAUUUUAAAACUUAAAUCAAAUCUUAGACAAAUCCUAAAUUUUAAAUCAAAUCCUAAUUAAAACCUAACCCACUCAAACUAAGUUUAAGAUAGAUUAGAAACCUAAUAUCUAUUGAUUAAAUUAUUGAUCAUACUUAAAAAUUUAAAUACCUCUCAAUUUCUUAAUUAAAACAAGUAUAACAAAUUUGAAGAUCUUAAAAAUACUCAUUGUCCUUCAAACUCCAAUUAUUGAGACCUCAACCCACAAAAAUUUUUACAUACUUUGAUCUAAUUAUGUGAUUGACUUCAAAUUCAUAACACAUAUCAAAUACAACUAUAUCUACUAAUCCACAAAAUUUCACUUAUAGAUCUGCUAAAAAAUUCUUGAAAUUAUCCAAAAUAUCAACUCAAUUUUAUUUUACAAAAAUCCAAGUCAUCCAAAAAAAUGUUGACUUUGUAAAGCUCUUACAAAUUCAUUACAAAUUCAAAUCAUCCAAAUCUAAUGCUCAUAAAAACCUUAUUAAGUUUGCUCUUAAAUCCCAGUCUUCAAUCUACCAAAUAACCUUAGAAUCACCAUAGGUGCAUGGUUUUGUGUUUUAGGGUUUGAUUUUAACCCAAGUUGACAACUAGUCCUCUCUAGAUAUCAAUUCUUUGCUUCUUAAAGUAAAUUUUACUAAAAUCUAUUCUUAACACCCUUCAUCACUCUCCUAAUCGCCCACUUGGCANNNNNNNNNNNNNNNNNNNNNNNNNNNNNNNNNNNNNNNNNNNNNNNNNNNNNNNNNNNNNNNNNNNNNNNNNNNNNNNNNNNNNNNNNNNNNNNNNNNNNNNNNNNNUAGUGCUUUUAUUUACUAUCUUUUGACUGUUAAAUUUAUUCUAACGAUAAUUUUCUAUAAUAUUUUAAAAUAAGAUCUUCUAUAAUAAUUUUUUUUUCUUUUAUUCAUUAGUUGUAUUAUAUCAUGACAACAUGUCUUUUUUGGAGUCAUAUAAGAUAGUGAAUAUCUUAGAAAGAAGAAAAAUACCACCGCCUCUUAUAGAAGUGGAUAAUAAGCAAGAAUUUGAGAUAGAAGAAGUCUUAGACUCAAGGCGGUGCCAACUUAGAUUGAAAUAUUUUUUUCAUUGGCAUUAAUAUAAUAUUAGCAAAUGCAUAUAAAAGCCAAUAAAAAAUCUUACAAAUGUAAUAGAAAAGAUCAAAGCUUUUCAUCAACAACAUCUAUUAAUAUCAAGAUAAAAGAUAGCAAAACUUUGCUAUAAAAGAAAUAUAAUUUAAAAAAGAUUAGAUUCUACGUUCUAUCAUUGUUUGUAAUUUUUAUAUAAUUUUGGUAUUAAAGAGAUUAAGAACCAACUGCUAGCAUAUUCAACUCAAGAGCCAUUACUUAUUGACUUAUAAAAAGAGACAUUGCAAUUAUUUCAAUUUUGAAAACAACAUAAUAGAAAUGAAGAUCUUUAAGAAUGACAUGUUUUUUCUUGAAUAAAUGACAAGAUAUAAUAUAUUUACUAUCAUAACCUAGAAAAAGAUUCUCAAUAUUUGAUGAUUUUAUUAGAAGUAAGAAUUACUCCUAAUGGUGUUAUAAAUGUUUUGUUUGAAGAAAGUUAUGAACGUCUCAACAAUGAUAAAAUAACAAGGUGGUCUUUUUAUCCUACAAUGGGACAUUAUCAAUGGUUGAGAGGACCUAACAACUACCUUUAAAGAAAAUAAAGAUCAAAGUAUAUAAUAAAUAUAAUUUGUCACAUCUUAGACUUCCUCUAUAUAUGAUCACCGCUCCUUGUAGAAUUUGUUUCUAAAAAGAGGGAUAAUGUUAUAAACAUAUAUUUACUAUAAUUAUUAUUUGAAUAAUAUAAAUAAAUAGAAAUAAAUAAAAAUAAAAUAAUUUCAUAAUAUCUUCUAAAAAAGCUUUAUAAAAAUUUUAUAGAUAUUAAUUUAACUUUAUAUGUAUUUUUAGUUGAUUUAUAAAUUAUAAAUUUAGUCAAUAAGUUAAUAACAUACCACACAUAUUGGUAGCUUGCAGAAGAAGUUAAUUAUAUGGCAUCCAAAAUGUGAGAGUAAGUUUUUACUCCUUAACCCAAGUUAUAAGAUGGCCUCAAUUAAGAGUUGCUUGUAAUUGGUGGUGUGAAAUGAAGUAAGCAAAUAACAAGAACAAAAGAAGAAUAAACACAAAGCAAUUGAAAUAAAUGACAUGAAGCAAUUACAACACCCAAAACUAAGUCACAGUCUAUUUAUUAUGUUUUUAUCUAAUAAAAAUAAAAUUAAAAAUUAAAAAUUAUAUUUUUAGAUAGGUAAUUUUAUUAUCUUUCCAACGAAAUAAAAAAUAUGUAAAUCCUAAUUACUUUGAGUAAAUUAUGAAUUUUUAAAGAUAUGAAGUAAAUAAUUGAAAAGUGAAGUGAAAAUAUUUUACCUCAAAAGUAACUUACUUAUAGAUCAAGGAUUUGAGCCUCACCAAGGCUCACAUGUAAUAUAUAAGGGUAUCUAAGAGAGGAUCCGAGGCCUUAAUCUUAUCCUCCUAACUACCUUCAAGGUGCUACAACCCAUAUGUGACUUGUACACCCCUCUUUUUUCAAGGACUACACUAGCUGCUGGUCCUCCUGUUUUCUACUAGAAAGACCAAUAUUUUUGUAUUUUUGACCUCACCAUGGUGUUUAAAAAUACAAAAUUAUCCUAAGGACCUUGUAUAGCCUUCAAAUCUUGCUCCAUUUCUUCAUAAAGGCUCUCAAAGUAGUAAAACUCAUUUUUACCAAGAUCUUAAAAAUUGCUCUAAAAAUUCCUAAAAAAUUCUAAAUAAAUUCCAAAUAAAAUUUUAAAAAUUCUAUAAUAUUUUUAUAAUGCUAAUAUCCAUUUAAGGCUUUAUUUUUCUACCUUUGAGAUUUUUGAUAAUAAUAUAAAUUAAUUUAAAUCCACUAUAAAUCUUAUUUUUUAUAUCAAUAAUUAAAAUGACAUGAGGUUCUUUCUCAUGCUUCUUCUAACUACUAAAAUUUAAAGUUUUUAUAAGUAUCACAUAUAGAUAGAAGACAAAUAUAAAUAUUGGUCUUAAUAAAUAAUCCUUAAUAUUCAAUAAUGAAUAAAAAUACUAAACUAUUAAAUAUAAUUGCCUCCAAGACUUACUAAGACUCUAUUUCCACCACUAACAUUCUAAUUUUCUAUUUCUCUAAGUAUUUCUAUACUACUCACUAUAUAUUGUAAUUUAAAGCAUUCUAAAUACAUAUUUUUAUCCUAAAACAACAAGUGAGUCAAUUUGAUGACUUCUAUUCAUAUACAAAACUUCUUUUAUAAGUUAAGAUAUGUAUUAUACAAAGUCAAUAAGUUUUGGAGGUUUUAUAGAACUUUGCCAUAUAUCUCCUAUUUAGAUAGUAUAUAUAGAGGCAAGAAUAAAGCAUUCUUCAUUUUUAUUAACUCUUUUCUUGCUUCUAGUCUAAUUUCAAGAAGUCUUUAAUUUUCUUUUGGCAAUAGCCAUUUUAUUUUAUUUUUUUAAUAUAAAUAAUUUUUUAUUUUUAUUUUAUUAUAUUUUUUUAAGAAAGUUUCACUUAUUUAUUUAUUUUCAUCAAGUUUUUUCCUUGACAUCAUAAUAGAUUUGUAAAUUAGAGUUGACAAGAAAAUGAAAAUCAAUGUAACAAAAAUGGCCACAAUUUAUUAUAAAUUAGAUCUCAUACUUCAAAUAUAAAUAAGUUUAUCAAAAAUAUUGAAUUUAUUAUUGAAUCAUAAUCCAUAACAAAUUUAAAUAGAAAUACAAUUUCAAGAUAUAACAACAACAUCACAAUAUCAAGUAUAUAUGAAGAUGUAAACUUUUGUAGCUAUUACAUUCCAAUAAAAUCAUAUAAUGCAUUGAAUAUAUACUUUUUAAGUUUAUUUUUUAUAUAAUAGAGUAGACUCUAAUAUCAAAGUUUAUAUAUAGAAUUUCAACAAAUAAUAGAUAUACAAAAAAUAAGUACUAUUAAUAAGAUGUCUAGUAGUAAAAAAAUUGAAAGAACUAGGGGCUUUAAUAAUCUACUUGAUUCUAUCAUUUAGGCAUUAGAAUCUACUAAGACAAUAGAAAGUAAAUUGAGUUAGGAUGGAUACUAGAAUGGACAAUUCUACAAUAUAGAACAAGUAAUAAUUAGAUGAUUUAAUGGCAAUAUUUUUAAAAGCAAGAAAAGAUUAAUAGAAUGUGGUAAGUAUUGUAAAUUCUUUAUUAUCAAUUCUAUAUGGUAAGACAAUAUAGGAUACAUGAAUUUGAUAGAUUAUCAAAAUAUUAGAUUUUCUUCUCACAUAAAAAGAAAUGGUGCAAGUUUUUGUUUUACAAAUUUACAUACUAGAUCAAUUAUAUCCAAUAAAAUAUUAGAUAUUCCAAAAAAGAUAAGAAAAGAAUAAAGGAUUGAUAAGAGAGAAAAGAUCGUCAAAAGAAGAAUAGUGACAUUCUCUACCUUUGCAUGUAAAAUUGUAGAAAAAAUAUAGACUCUUCAAGGUAAAAAGUAUCGGAUAACAUAGAAACCAUCUAAAUACAUUGAUAGAGUUUUUUUUUCUAGAUUUAAAAUUUGUAAGAAAUAAGAUACAAAUUGAAUAAAAUUAAGAAAAGAUUUGAAAUGCUUCAAAAAAUUUAGUCAUGUCAUCUAAUAAAAUAAAAGGUGCUACCUUAAAAACUACAUUCAUAUAUUAUAAAAAUAAAUUUGAAGCAAAGUGUGGACUGAAUAAAUUUUUUGUAAAAUACUUAAUAAGAACCAUUGAAAACCAAAUUGGUUGUUUAGAUGCUAUAUCUAAAAUAUUCCAAUGAAGUUAUCACAAUAGGUUAGAAAAGACCACAUUGGCAAUUCCAUAAAAAAAAUCUUAUGUUCCUAAUAUAUAUGUUGUAUCAUGAAAAUAUGGUAUGCAACAAGUUACUAUCAACUAUAUAUAUUUCUAAUACAGCAACACAAAGCUUAUGUAUGGAAAUUUUCAGUAGGAAGAAAUUAAAAAAAUAGAGAUAUAAUCAAUAAAGAAGUUACAAAAGAUUCAACAAUCAUGUAGUUUAUAUCUUUCUUCUAUUUUAUGGAGGUUAAUUGAAUAAAAUGAUGAAUAAGUACAAGUAUGGAGUCAAAUUUUAUAUCAUAUAUUUUCAUGAAAAUUUUGUUUGGUUUUCAAUGUUAAGAAAUAAUUUUAUGAAUGCCUUGACUAAAAUUGAUAAAUGUACCUUUGUAAAUAAUUUGAAAUAGCUAUUCCAAUUCAUAAUUAUUAAUUAAUUUAUAAUUAAUUAAAUAAAAAAAUUCUUACUUUUUUUAAAAAAAAAUUAACCUUUUUAAAAAUUUAAAUUCACAUUCAAACAAUCACAAUCUAUAAUACAAGCCUUUCAAAAAUACAAAAAACCACUUAAAUAAUUCAAAAAUCACAUAAUUAAAAGAAAUUUUUUCAUAUGAUAUAAUUUAAUAUAAUUUUUUAAAAUUAUCUUGUAAAAAUUUCAUCCAAAAUUAAAUCCUCAUAUAAAAAUAAAAAUUCAUCUACUUCUAACCAACAUCCAUUUAAAACCUAAUUUAUUCAUACAUGACCUUGUUGAAUCUAAAUGAUUUUAAAUCAUAUAAUUUUUUUAAUUCAAGUCAAAUAUAAUUACAUAAUUUUAUAUUUUUUCUUAUUUUUAAUAUUAAUAAUUGAAUUCUUGGAAGUCCACAAUUCUUGCACAAUUUCCAAAGACCUAAUGAAUGUAUUCUAGUCACCACAAAUUCCUUAAUUUUAUUAUUGGAAGAAUUCCAAAUAUCUCUUUUAUUCACAAUCUUGAUAGUUGUUAUUGAACAAUGGCUCUUGAUCCUUGCUAUGACUCAAGUGGAUUUUUAAUUUGUAUGAUUAAUAAAAUCCAAUCACUUUGUUUUACUAUAUUUGCAUUUUGCCUAAUUGAUGGUUCUGAUAUUCCUACUAAUGAAGAGUCUAGUUACAAAUAGAAUGAUCCAAUGAAGAUCUUAUUCUUAUGGCUAUUGGUGGUAUUAACAAUCCUUACAAAUCAGAUAUAAGGGAUGCCAUUAAAAGAUGUCAAUGGCAAGAGUGAAGGCUUAGAAGAUUACAAAUAAUAACAAUUUUACAACCAUACUGUUGUAUUACGUGAAGUCUUGCUCGAGAGUGUAUUGGGCACCUAGUUAUGGAAGGUAGAAUGGAAAUUACAACAACAAAAUCUUAAUUCUAAUAGAAUACUAAAUAAACUCUAAUUAAACUUUAAAAAUGCUAAAUAAGUUUUAAUCAAAUUUAAAAGAAACCUUAAAAAAAUUACAAAAGAAAUAAUAAGAAAUAUUAAAGGAAUUGUAAAAAAAUCCAAAAUAAACUUUAAAAAUAACUUUAAAAAGUCUUAAAAAAUAUUAGAAUAAUGAAAAAUAUAUCUUAAAUAAAUCUCAACUAAGUUCUAAUUUAAUCCUAAUUAAAACCCUCAUGGACUUCAAUCAAAUCCUAGAUAAGUCCUAAAUUCUAAACAAAAUUCUAUAUCAAAUCUUAGACAAACCUCAAAUCCUAAAUAAAAUCUUAAAUCAAAUCUUAGACAAAUCCAAAAUCUAAAAUCAAACCUUAGAUCAAACACUAGAUUCUAAACUAAAUCUUAAAUCCUAAACCAAAUCCUAAAUCAAAUUCUAAACAAAUUCUAAAUCCUAAAUCAAAUCCUAGGUCAAAUCCUAGAUCUUAAACUAAAUCCUAAAUCAAAUUCUAAAUCAAAUCCUAAUCAAAUCCUAAAACAUAAACCAAAUCCUAGUUCAAACCUUAGAUCCUAAACCAAAUAUUAAUCCUACUCAAUCUAAUUCUAGUAUAGUUUAGAAGCUCAAUAUCUAUCAAUUGAACCAUUCAUCUUGCUUAAAAAUUUACAUACCUUUAAACAACUAAAUUGGCAAUAAGCAUACAAAUUUUAAAUAUAAUUGUAGUUACUAAAUGGAAGAAAAUCCCUAAAUUCUGCUAAAGUAUUGACUAUCCUCCUACUUCAAACUAAAUGUUGAAUUUCUAGUGCCAAUAUCUCCUUAUUAAACUAUUCAUUUUUUUUAAAAUUUUACAUGUUUGUAAAAAAUCAAGUCUCUUAUUCUUAAAUACAAAUUUCAUUGCAAUCCAAUUAAUAGUUUUCUAAAGAUCUUAGAAAUCCUAAGUGCCUUUCAAAGUGCAAUCUUUGAGACCUCAACCUAUUUGAAAUUCAAUAGCCUUCAAUUCAACCAUUUGAUCAAGCUCAAAUUUACAACAUAUAUUUUAAACAAUAAUUUUAAUAUUUUUUAAAAAUUUGAACUAUAGAUCUACUACCAAACUUCUAAAAUUCUCCAAAAUAUAAUACCAUUUUUAUUUCUAAAAUUCAAGAGUCAUCCAAAAUACUUGUGACUUUGCAAAGCUCUUACAAAGUCAUUACACAUUCAAUUUUCUCAAAAUCAAUGCUCAAAAAAAUCCUAUUAUGUUUGCUUUCAAACUCUAUUCUAUGAUUUCCUAAAAAGAAUUCUCAAAUUGCCAUAGGUACUCAAUUUUGUGCCUCGGAGUUUGAUUUCGAUCCAGAUUGAUAACCGAUCAUCUUUGAGUAUCAAUUUUUUUCUUUUUGAGUUAACUUUUAUUCCAAUCAACUCUUAAAUUCUUCCUACAUAUGUUCAUAUUCUUUAUUUUUCUAAUCUAUCUUGUUUUGCCUUAUUUAUGGUCUUAUAAAGUAAGUAGAAGUCUACUUUGUAAAAAUGUAGCAUUUAAAUCUUUAGUUCUACUUUCUUUUGGACUAUUGUCUAUUUUCUAAGAUAAUUUGUUAAAAUAUUUGAAGUAAUAUCUUCUAUAAUAUAAUAGAUUCUUCACUCCUUUCACUUAUUAGUUGUAUUAUAUCACAAUAAUAGUGAUUAUACAAGAAUGUGGUGCUAAAUGGUAAUAUGGAAUCUCAAUAAGUUCAACUUAUACAUCUAAGAUCAUCCAUGCUUAAUACAAUGCUUAUGCAUCUACUUACUUGACAUCCUUUUGAAUUCCUUUCAAGAAUUGAUAGAAUUUAAUUUCUUUUGAUAAUGCAAUUCUAUGAGCUCUACUACUUUAUAAUUGGCAACACUAAGAUGCUUGUGAUUGGAAAUUCUAGCCAUACUAUACUACGUCUUUGUUUCAACAAAAAGAUCAAUGCUUAGAUAUAUAGUAAAUAUAAAACUAAGUGUCUUUUUUUUAGUUUUGUGAAAUUGAUAUGGCUACAAAUGGCCAUAUUGAAGAAGCCAUGGUAGAUAAUUUCAAAUGUUUGAAAAAAGAAGGUUACCUUUAAUUAUUUGAUAAGGUUAGUUCUAGAUGUAUUACAAAAGUAAUGAAUAAAGUGGCAAUUAAUAAAGUAGUACCUUAUAGAUGGCGUAAGUGUGGUGGCAAAGAAUUCAAUAUAAGAGAUAUAGAUGCAAAUGCAAUUAGGAGUAAAGUGGAGUAUAGUAGAUAUGAGUGAAGGUUUAGAAUUUAGAAGCUGCAUUAUACUUCAAGAAAGGAAAGAAGAUAGAAUAACAAAAGUUCAUGACUAUAUAGAAAUAGAAAUAAGUGGUGAUUCCAAUUACAAAAGAUUGAAGAAUAUAGAAUAAAUAAAAAAAAAAAGAGAGCAUAGGAAUAAAUUAAAGAGUGCAUAGGUAAGUAAAAGAAUGGAUGAUUGAAUGGCCUAGUAAAUGAGACAACUUUAUGUACUAUAUUAUCAUGAGGCUCUAAAUCCUAAUUGUUUGAGUUCCAUAGGCAUCAAUAAUGAUGUUAUAUAAAUCCACUUUUAUUCCUUGUGUGUGUGUGUGUGUGUUUUUUUUUUUUUUUUUUUUUUUUUUUUUUUUUUUUUUUUUUUUU